UAGCAGCGGUUGCACAGGCAAACAAUGCUGCUCAACCAGCACCUCAACUUUACUGGAACUCCGUCCUGCCAAACACACAGAUGCCAAGAUCUAUCAGUGAACUUCUGCAUCCUGGUUUGUGUUGAGCUCUUUAGAAUCUUAGAUAUCUCUUCUACCUGCCAUUUUACUUAAAUAUGUUCGACCACAUAUUUAUCAGUUAACUACUGUCAUUACAUGAGUGACACAUAUUCACAAAUCGGCUGAUCACUUAUUUUCCAUUAUGACGUUGAUAUAUAAUUUGCAGACUCCACAAAUGAAGAAAAGAGCACAAAUGACGUUGGCAAACCUGAAACUUUCCCAUUGGGCAAUCAAAAUUACUCCAGUCAAAAAAAUUAUGGAACAGGCAAUAAACGUUACUGCAGUCAAAAAAGGUAUGGAAGAGGCAAGAAACGUUACUGCGAUCAAAAAAAGUAUGGAAGAGGUGCUUCUCCAUCUGACAAUCAACUACUCCAUUAUAAAGACUUAGCUAUUUUCUUCUUGGAGAAGGACAUGCGCCCUGGCACAACAAUGAAGUUCCAAUUCUCUAGAAAUUCAAACACGGCUACUUUCUUGCCACGAGAAAGCGCUCAAUCGAUCCCCUUCUCCUCUAACAAACUACCAGAAAUUUUCAACCAUUUUUCAGUGAAGCCAACAUCUGAGGAAGCCAAAACAAUUAAGCAAACAAUCGAAGAGUGUGAAGCUCCCGGCCUUAAGGGAGAGGAAAUAUAUUGCGCCACAUCUUUAGAAUCAAUGGUUGAUUUUAGCACUUCGAAGCUUGGAACAAGAAACGUUGAAGCAAUCUCGACGGAGGUAUUGGAAAAAGGAGCCACCAUGUCCAUGCACAACUAUACAACAAUGCCGGGACUGAAGAAGUUGGCCAGUGACAAAGUCGUUGUGUGUCAUAAGCAGAACUAUCCCUAUGCUGUGUUUUUCUGCCAUGCAAUAAAACAUACAGCAGCUUAUGUUCUCUUCCUGAAAGGCGAUGAUGGGGAGAAGGUUAAAGCAGUAACCAUCUGUCAUCUAGACACAUCAGAAUGGAACCCAGAGCAUAUGUCCUUCCAAAUCGUCAACGUUAAGCCCGGAACCAUUCCCAUCUGCCAUUUCAUUUCCACUGAUGCUAUUGCCUGGGUUCCGAACCACAAAUCUGCAUGAUCAUCACUUAGCACUGUACGUAUAAUUAUCUCCUUACUUAUUUCUGCCUCUUCAUCAUGUGGUGUAAGAUAUAUGAUGAGAUGAAGUUUUUGGGAUUAGUGGUUGGGUUGCCUGAAAAACACAGAUUACAGAAACUGCUUGAAAUUAACCCGAUCAUGUUUUCUCUUGUAACUAUAUAGACUUCAACUUGUACUCAUAAUAAAGCAUGCUAUAUUUAUGAAGAGAUAUUAAUCUAUAUAUAUUUUUUAUAUAUGCUUUGGCUUUGUGGUUCUACCCAAUGUUUGAGUGUUGAAUUGUUACGUUGGAAUAGGCUGCUAAUGCAUGUAGUUAGAGAAGCCUUCAUUUAUAUCAAAGUCCUCAAACUAUCAAGAACUAAUGUAUCCAGAAACAUAUACCAAGACGCAAAACAACAUAUUUUCCAUGCUCUGUCUGUAACACCAAAGCAAACUUCCUUGAUCACAAAAGGAUCAAAUUCCAGUACUAAUCUAAUCCAUCAUGUAAAGCAUACAAGUGCCUCCCUAAAUACUAUACUCUUUUUGUUAUUUCCUACUAUACUAUUUAAGAUUUAAAAUUCAGGUCAACCCAUAGAUUUCUCGCCUUUUUCUUCUUCAUCUCGUCGGGCUUGUCUUCUUCUUGAGGAUUGUAUAGGCCAAGGAAAUGCUUUGAGUUAGUUUUUGCGCUUUUGCGUUUUGGGCCUUGGAAGUUGGGACCCAAACCAACUUCACAAAAAGAAAACGCUCAGACUAUAAUGAGUGGAAAGUUAUAAGGGGUAAGUUAUAAGGAGUUCACUUUAUAGCCAUCAGAUCAAUCUAAGGGCUGGGGAGAAUUGAGAUAAAGUUUUAAAAUCGGGUAGGUGAGGAACCCAAACCCGAAUUGAAUAUCCAGCACGUCCGAAAAAGAAGAAGAAGAGGCAAGCACGUCCGAAAAAGAAGAAGAAGAGGCAAGGUCGAAGUUUGAACAGAAAAAACUCAUCUCUUUAAAACCCAUAGCUCUGAGAAACGGUUGAAGGCAACGGUUAACGACGGUUGUUGAAGCCACUCCGUUCUCCAGACCCUGAAAAAGUAUUUAUUUUGAGUAGAAGGGGCAAAUGUGUGGAUUCCGAAACAGUGAAGGGGCGAAGCAGUGGAAGGGGAAGGAGAGAAGCCGUAUUCGUUGGAAGUGGUAGGUUCCAUUUGUGGAGCAAAGCAACACAAAGACCCCGCACAGACACCUUGCGAUUGUUCAAUAACCAGCAUUUGGUGAGUAAUUUAUGGAAUUUGAGUUUAGGGUUAGAGUAAUGGUUUUCCCCAAUUUGUACCAUCAAUUUUGUUGGAUUUGGCAUCUCUUCUUUGUGCUUCAGUUGCAUGUUAAUUUUUGCUUGGGUAUAUGUUAAAAAAAGAAUGAAAAUCAAGUCAAUAACAAGUGAAUAACAUGUCAAUAAUGAUAUGAAUAAGAUAAUGGUGUUGAAUUGGAGGAGGCCCUCAAAACAUUCCACAUUUGAAGCAGUGCAUAGUGCAGAUUAUCUCUCUGGCGCUAGAAUAUAUAUAUAUUUUGAAAUAAAUAUGAUUUCCUUUGUUACUAAAUUUGCCUGAGAAACAUGAGAACAGAUAAUAAUAAACUCAUGAAUAGAAGUGCAAAGCAUUUGAUGAGUAAUUUAUGGAAUUUGAGUUUAGGCCCAGGAAAUUCCUUGACCCCAAAAAAAAAAAAAAAGUUGAUUUAAAAUUCAGGUCAACCCAUAGAUUUCUCGCCUUUUUCUUCUUCAUCUCGUCGGGCUUGUCUUCUUCUUGAGGAUUGUAUAGGCCCAGGAAAUGCUUUGAGUUAAUUUUUGCAUUUUUGCGUUUUGGGCCUUGGAAGUUGGGACCCAACCCAACUUCACAAAAAGAAAACAGAUUUGCCAAAAAUCAAAUUUCAAGUCUCUCCUCCGAUCGAAAUUUGGAUUUGAUGAACUAAAGUGGUUUUACUUUCUCCAUCAGUGUUUGAUAACUUAAUUUGUUAUUUACUUUUUUUUUAAAAAACUUUGGCUUAUAUAUAUUAGUUUUCUUUUUUCCUUCAUAUUCACCACCUUUAUGUUGCAUAAGUAUUUCAGUCUUAAUGGGUUUCCAUCUACCACUCAUCUUUGCUCUUCUCAGUGUAAGCCUUUUUUUUUUUUUAAAGCACAAGAUUAGAGGGGAGGGGGAUUUCUCAAUGUAAGCUUUGCAGUUUCAUAAUUAAUAUUUCCAAUAUCUCACUGUUAGUAAAAUACAGAAAAAGUACUAAUAACAUAUGCACAUGUUACUAAUUUAUUGAGAUAAAACACCAUUUUGCCCCUAGAAUAUUUUAUUAGGUUUAAAGUUGACUUUUUGACCAGGAAGGAAUUUGGGUAUUUAGACUAUAUCGUUGCGUAGAGCAUGGCGAGAUGAGUCCGUAGACACAUGAUUGGCUCGAAUCAGAGUUAUAAUGAGAGAGAUACGAUCAAAAUACCCUCAGUGGUAUAACCGUAAUUUUGGCUUAAAGGGUUUGAUAAAAUAUAAUUUUUCUUUCUUUCUUUCUCUCUCUCUCUCUCUCUCUCUCUCUCUCCUCUCUCUCACGACGGCAGUGAUAGCCGGCCACUUUUUGGCCAGCCAUGCUCUCGUCCGGCCACUAAAGUUGACGGGGCCGGUACCAAAAUGACCGGGCCACCAUCCUUUUCCAACCCCAGCCAGGCCCCACUGCCAGCAGUCGUGAUUUUGCUGAAAAAUGGAGAAGAAGCGGCCGAUUUCGUUCGAACUUCUCCGACUUCGUUCUCUCUCCUCCGGCCACCGAUUUCGAUGAAUGAGGUAUGGUUUCUCACCUACUUUUUAUGCUCUAGCUGCCUGUUGGGUAGGAUUCGAUCAAUUCCUUGCGUAGGUAGCUUGAUUUUCGAAUUGGAUUUCGGCCGGUUUUGGGAUCUCGAUUCCGGCCACUUCCGGUCAGUUUUUGGGGUACAUCCCAAAACAAAAGUGGUUCUAAAUAGGGUGUUAUACCUAGGGUAGGAACCUUGAACCGUAAUUUUGAGAAUUUUCGGUGAUGCCUAAUCGCUUUGGACACCUACGCUAUGCCUGCGUGUGGGCACUAUAGAAAAAGGGCAUUGUGUCCCGAUGCAAUCCCCUUGUUGUCUUGAGCGCGUAGGUGUGCUCGGAUUUCAAUUUGGAUACCGUUUGAAUCUCGAACGAAUAUCGCAUAUUGUGCGUUAUUCGGGGUCGAUAGGUUUGAACUGUUGGAUAGUCUUAGAUUUAUAAUAUGUUAAUCUAGACAUUCUUAGGAUCGAAUGGGAUUAAACGGAUCGUAAAACGGAGUCCCGGAUACUCCAAAAAUGCCAACCCUAGGGCUAGGUUCCUAGUAACCGUCCGAUCGUGCGAUCGUGAGCGAUCCGACCGUUUGAUCCGAACCAAACUUGCAGGACGUGUAUCCUAAACCUUGUAGAACCCAUAGGAACUUUCGGAUUAGAAUUUGGAGGUCGUGGGCCCCUUGGGCCGUUUGACUAAGUUUGGGUAGUUUGACCCUUGGCUGAUCGUGAGUCUUCAGAGGUCUUGAGCGUUGUUGAGCUAUGUUGACUAGGUUUAGACUUUUAGAGUGUUUAUUAUUAUCAUAGGAAACUAUUAGAUAUUAUUUUAAUAAUUGAAAUUAUCAAAUUUAUGUUUAUGUGCAUGAUUGUUGGUCUAAAAAUAACAUUGUUUUCUUGAUAAAAUUACGUUGCAGUCUACUAUAGACUGGUAUCACUAAAUGGAGAUUACCUCUAUUAUUAGUUUAGAUAAUUAAGAGUAUGUCAGUUUGAAGUGCUAUAUGCACUACCCUAAGUACCACCCUGUGAUUGUUAGGUCCCAUGUGGUGUAGAUUAUACAGCGUCAGGACAGACCCCAUACGUGGCUUUGGAUGUUCUGGCGCAUGGGGGAGAUUAUGUAAUGGUUAGGUCAUACGUGGCGUAGGUUAUUCAGCGUGUUGACAGACCCUAUACGUGGCGUUGGAUGUUCCAGUAUGGAAAGAUUUUGUGAUUGUUAGGUCCCACGUGGCGUAGAUUAUCCGGCGUGAGGACAAACCCCAUUCGUGGCUUUGGAUGUUCCUGCGUAUGGGGGAGAUUAUGUGAUGGUUAGGUCACACGUGGCGUAGGUUAUUCGGCGUGUUGGCUAACCCCAUAAGUGCCGUUGGAUGUAACGACCGGUCCUAAAUAAAUUAGUGAAUAUUAAUUUAUUCAGAGAAAAUACCAUUUUGCCCAUAGAGUAUUUUAUUAGGUUCAAAGUUGACUUUUUGAUCAGAAAGGAAUUUGAGAAUUUCGAUUAUACCGUUGCAUAGAGCACGGCGAGAUGAGUCCGUAGACACGUGGUAUGCUCGAAUCGAAGUUGUAACGAGAGAGAUACGAUCAAAAUACCCUCAGUGGCAUAACCGUAAUUUUGGCAAAAAGGGUCGAUAAAAUCAUAUAUAUAUAUUUUCUCUCUCUCUCUCUCUCUCUCUCUCUCUCUCUCUGCGAUAUUGUCCCUCUCUCUCUUUGAUUCACUGCCAUCUGCCCACGGCAGGACUUGAGACUGGUCACGUUUGAACCGGCUCGAUGUCCCGAUCACGUCGCACCCAAAAUGCAAAUGGAAACCUUGAAUUCCAGCCACGGCUUCGACUGGUUUGAACUGGGUUUUUCCCGGCGUUGCGCCACCGCCUCCGCCGCCCAAUUCCGGUGAAACAGGUAUAAUUCCUCACCUAUUUUUCGAGAUCCAGCUGUUGUUGUGUAGGAAUUAGACGAUUUUCAUGUUUAGGAACUCGAUUUAGAAUUUAGGUUUUGGUCGAAUUUUCAAAGUGAAAUUUCGGCCACUUCCGCUGGUUUUUCGGGGUAUGUCUAAGAACAAAAGUGGUUCCAAAUAGGGUGUUAUACCUAGGGUAGGAACCUUGAGCUGUGAUUUUGAGAAUUUCCGGCGAUGCGUAUUCGCUUUGGACACCCACGCGCCGACAGCGCGUGGGCACUGUAGAAAAGGGGCAUUGUGUCUCAAUGCGAUCUGCUUGUUGUCUUGAGCUCGUAGGUAUGCUCGAAUUUCAAUUUGGAUACUGUUUGAGUCUCGAACGGAUAUCGCAUAGUGUACGUUAUCCGGGUUUGAUAGGUUUGAACCAUUGGAUAGUUUUGAAUUUGAUAUAUGUUAAUCUAGGCAUUUCUAGGAUCAUGUAGGAAUUCAGGGAUCAUGAAUCAGAGCCCCGGAUGUUCCGAUUUAAUAACUUAAAGUUUAUGUUUAUAAUAACUAUCAGAUCGUGCGAUCGUGAGCGAUCCGACUGUCUGAUCUGGACCAAACUUGCAGCACGUAUAUCCUAAACCUUGUGGAACAUAAAAAAAUUUCGGAUUAGAAUUUGGAGGUCGUGGGCCCCGUGGGCCCAUUUAACCAAUUAUGGGUAGUUUGAUCCUUGGUUGACCGUGAGUCUUCCGAGAUAGUUUUACCUUCCUAGGAGGAUUAUAAUGACCCUAGUGAUAGGUCUUGACCGUUGUUCAGCUAUGUUGACUAGGUUGAGACUUCUAGAGUGUUUAUUAUAUUAUUGUAGGAAACUCUUAGAUAUUAUUUUAAUAAUUGAAAUUAUGAAAUUUAUGUUUAUGUGCAUGAUCGUUGGUCUAAAAAUAAUAUUAUUUUCCUGAUAAAAUUACGUUGCAGUCUACUAUAGACUAGUAUCACUAAAGUGGGAAUACCUCUAUUAUUAGUUGAGAUAAUUGGGAGUAUGUCAGUUUGAAAUGUUAUACCCUAAGUACUACUCUAUGAUUGUCAGGUCACCCGUGGCGUAGGAUUUUCCGGUGAGAUGACAGACCCCAUACGUGGCGUUGGAAUUUCCAACGUAUGGAGAGAUUAUAUGAUUGUUAGGUUUCACGUGGCGUAGGAUUUUUCAGCGGGAUGACAAACCCCAUACGUGGCAUUGGAAGUUUCAGCGUAUGGGGAGAUGAUAUGAUUGUUAAGUCACACGUGGCGUAGGUUAUUUGGAGUGCUGACAGACCCCAUACGUGGCGUUGAAAUUUCUGGCGUAUGGAGAGAUGAUAUGAUUGUUAGGUCACUUUGGAUGUUCUAGCGUAUUGGGAGAUUAUGUGAUUACCAGUGAGAUGAAUAAAGGAUUGUUAUGUUAUAUUGGGAAAAACAUGUUUGUAGAAAGAAUUACGUGUGGCUUGAUCCCUCAGUAAGGGUACGUAGGCAGCCUAGGGUAGUGCCUUGGUGCAGUCGCUGACUAAACAUUAUAAUGUUGUUUUUAGGUUUGAUUAUAUGGUAUUAUGGGGCAAGGCCCCUAGGACUAUUGGUGAUAAUUCAUAGAUGGUAGUGGAUGCAUGCUAGAAAUUUGUAGGAAGUUAUUUCAUGUGGAUUGCAGUGGUACUCGUAAAAUUUAUUUGAGUUCCUUAAUUGCAUUGUUAAUAUAUUAAUUUACUUAAGAGUACUGCUAGUAGUUCUGCCUUGAUUUAUUUGAAGGCUGGAGGCCUUGUCUGGAAACUGUGUGCAAUUAGAUUGUGUGUGCUGGCAGUUGACUUUUUAAAUUGUGAAUUUUGUGCAGGUUGAAAUUUGGGAAAUGUUCAAUUUACAGGGGAGACUCUGCUGAAAUUUCGGUAGAAAGUCUUGUGCCCUUAUUCCUUUUUGGGGAAAAGGAUAUAGUUUUAGAAGUGGCGAUGUCGGGAAUUUCCACAGGAUUCGUCUCGGGUUUCGGGAAAUUCGGGGCGGGUCUGAAAAAGUUGUUUCAGUUUUGGCAAGUAUCGGAAAAGACCAAAAUUUUCCGACUUUAUUAUUACUAGAAACAAGGUCGAAGUAUUUACCAAUCAUGUGGCCUUCCAAGUGCUCUAGGUUAAGCCAGGAACCGUUCCUAUCUGCCGUUUCCUUCCCAACUAUGAUCAUGUUGUCUGGGUUCCAACCCACAAAUCUACAUUGGGCUACGUAUUUGAAUUUGUACUAAAGCGUGAUCUAUAGUAUGCAUAUAUUGGAUAAGUUUGAGAUCAGUGGCUUGGGUGUCCGCUGAGCUUGAACAAGUUUGGGUGUGCUGAGUGUUUCCAUGGGUGUGUUGAUGAUCAUGGUUAUUAGAUUUGUGAUAGUUUGGGCUCAAUUUCAACAGAACUCAUCUCAAGCCUAGAUAGUUGAUUCUUAAGUUUAUCAGGAAAAAAAAUUAAAAAUUAAAAAAUCUAAAGUUAAGCCCAAGGCGCCGAACUUGGACUUCUCACCAAACUGUGCAUAAAUUGAAAUAUUUAAUAGAAGCCCAAGAUUUUUGAAGCACAUAAUAUCUACAAAAAUCUACAAAGUGUAAUACUUUACAAACUUCUUAUGUGUACCAAUUUCUGCUCAAAUUAAUUUCUCUGUGGUGCUGAGAUUCAUCAUAAUUUUAGUAGAAAUUGGAAGUUUUCAUCAUUUUUGCUUUAAGUCUCUCCUCCACUCACUAAUAAAGAUUACUCAAGUGAGUUUACAAAACAUUUUUUUUCUACUCUCUCCUGAAGACUACACAUCUUCUCAAAAGAUUAGAUCACUUCACAUCUUGUAUAUGUGAAAACUAAUGCAAAAAGUUGAAACUUUAUCAUAAAACCUCGACAAAAAUUAGCUCUACUUAGAACAUUAAAUUUGGAUUCGUUGAUUUAAAUGGCAAUUUGACACUUCAUAGAAAUUUUUACAUACAUGUGUUAGUGUUUGAUCACUUCACUUAUUACUUACUAUAUUUAUUCCAUGAUUCUCCCUCAAGUUAUGUAAAUAUUAUUAUCAAACAUUUCAAUUCAUUUGUGAUAUUUCUUGUCCAUCUUUCAAUGUACCCUGAAAUCCAUUAGCCACAUAUGAUGACCAAAAUCCACACUCUGUUGUUUGCAAACGUUCAAUAUACGACUUGCAUCCACAGUCCUGACCCAAAUGAAAUGCGGAAACUGUCAAGCUAACUGUAGGGAGGACUAUAUUUGAUUUUACCUUAAAGACUGAUCCGAAACCACCUUCUCCAAGUUUAUUGUUGUUUGAAUAGUUUUUGGUUGCACAAACAACAGCGGCCAAGUCAAAUAAUGGCAAUUCCAGAUCUUCCUUUUGGCCGGGCUUCAGUUCUCCUGUGAAGUACGUAGUGAAGUAAAUAAUGUAGCAUGGAACCUUAGCUUAGAAACCAGAGAGGCAACAGCAAAAAUUUUCUAUAGAACUGAACCUACCUAUCUUAGAAAAUGAAGGGGCAGAAGAGUAGAAAAUCAAAUAGCUUACCAUAUUUUUGUUGCUGGUUCUUCCUCACAUAUAAUAGCAGGGUAAGGCCCAGGGUCAGCAGUCCAGUAGACAACACAGUACUGGUUACUAUGAUCUUUGUAUUGUGUCCUUGAUCUAGGAAUGAAGUAUUUGAAAGCAGAAGAUUGAGGAGUCAGAAAUUCAUAAAGAAAAAAUCUCUACUUUUUAUCAUCCAACGAACAAUUAAUGCUAGUUUCUGAGACAGUUCUAAAGAAAUAUUUUUCUAACAAUGUCAAAAGUUUUCUGGCUCUAUCUUGUUUCUAAUCAUGUCACUGUUGGAAGAUUUCUUUCUUCUUUUUUCCUUGGUGGCUUUUAUUUUUCUUUCAAACUUUGUUUUAAACAGCAAGAUGAUUCCAUACCUAGUUCUGACGAAGCCAUUCUUAUGUAAAUAUCUUGCCCAUUUAUAUUGGAAUAUCUUAUAUCAACCAGAUCGCUGAACCACAGCAAGGACCCCCUUCCUCCAUCUCGGAUAUCCAAAUUUGAAAAAGCGGCGCAGGAGCAGUUGUUCAUGCACAUCAUCUCACAUUCCUUGAGGUUCAUAAUUGUGUUAUACUAGGAUUGUUCUGUACUUUAUUUCACCCCAGUGUACUUCUUAAAGAUGUCUCCACUGCAAUUCAGUUGGCUCUUUCUCACAGAUCUAUAUGACCAAUCCACCAAGUCCCAGUCUUGUUGAAAGUCGGUAUAAAUCCUUUCAAGCAGCUACGUACUGGGGACUUGUCAAUACAACAUGCACCAUUCGGACCACAUAUUCCAUAUUUGUCGCAGAUAUCAGUCGUUGCUCUUAGAUAAACAACCCAACCUUGGUUUCCAUCACUCCCGAUGUAGCUCAGCCCAAAUCCAUCUUGAGUUAACGCCAGCCUGAAAAGAGUUGAGCUGUUGAGAAGCUUAUAACCAUAAUAUACUUCAUCAUCAUUAUCCAACACAAAAUCAUAUGUUGGAUUUAAAUUAUGCAUCCCACUAAAUUGGAUUCCAUUCCAUGGUGCAGUCCGAUAUUUUAUAACAGAACCCUCCCUCAGAAUUAAUUCAUGGUACCCAUAAGGACCAAGUUGAUAUGGGUAAUGUCCUUGAGAAGGAUCCUGGGGGCUUUUCCAGGGUGUAAGAUGCCAAUUAAAACCUGUGAUUUUGUUCCUAACAAGCUUCAUACCUGGUAUUAAUGUAUCUCCUGGGUAAUCAAAACUCUGCCAUAAAAUAUUAUCAGAGUCAUUACGACCAUUGCCAUCUAUCACAACAAGAUUUCCGGAAUCCAAAAUCUGUGCCACUGGAUUCUAUGAAGAACUUGAUGUGUUGGAAGACCUGUAGUGUUCUUUGUUGAAUAUUUGGAUUGCAAAGGGAGCAAGAAAUGUACUGAGAGAGAAAGAGAGAGAGAGAGAGAGAGAGAGAGAGAGAGAGAGAGCAGUGAGCCUUAGAUUGUUCUAACAGUUUUCUUACUCUGCAUGAACAUAGCAGCAGAGCUUAUAUUCCUUCAUGACUGUUACAUGUUCUCUCUUACAUCAGUAGAUUCAAAUCUAACGGUUUGUAAUAGUAAGCCAAUGUGAGUAUGACACAUGGCAAUACACAGCUGUCCUAACAGCUGGGAAUUCAAAACAGACUCUAGCAUUGCACCUGGCAUAUAAGCACAAGGCACUCAGCUAACACAAAGAUUAAAAACAGAUUGAAUAUAAACUGACAUAGAACUUACUAACUAAUCUGAAAUUAGCUAGACAGUUUACAUUUUAACACUCCCUUCUAAAGUGCUAGCUGAUUUCACUCCAAGCAUUCUCCUCAAAUAGUCAAACCUGUCUUUGGGAAGAGCUUUGGUGAAGAUAUCAGCAAUCUGCUCUUCUCCUUUGCAGUAGAGCAGUUCAAUCACUUCUUCUUGUAUUGCAUCUCUAAUAAAAUGAAACUUCCUUUUAAUAUGCUUGCUCCGUUGAUGAAAAACAGGAUUUUUAGCCAUUGCUAUGGCUGAAGUGUUGUCACAAAACACAGUUGUUGCAGUGGUCUGUUCUUCCCCAAAAUCUUCAAGAACAAACCUGAGCCAAAUGGCUUGUGAUGUAGCUUCUGCUGCACUCACAUACUCUGCCUCUGCAGUAGAGAGAGCCACACUGUGUUGUUUGACUGAUGCCCAUGAAAAAGCACCACUUCCAAAUGAAAAUGCAUAUCCAGAAGUGCUUUUCAUAUCUUCCUCAGAUCCACUCCAGUCACUGUCACAGUAACCAACUAAGAGUGCAGAUUUUCCUGUCACAUACUCAAUUCCAUAGUCAAUUGUGCCUUGUAUGUACCUUAGAACCCUUUUAGCUGCCCCAUAGUGCAUCUUAGAAGGGUUAUGCAUGAAUCUUGCAAGCAGGCAGGCAGAGAACAUGAUAUCUGGCCUGGUUGCAGUAAGGUACAGCAGGCUGCCUACAAUUUUUCUGAACAAACUUUCAUCUGCAGCAUCACUUCCAUCCUCUCUUUUCAAUUUAUCAGUAGCCACUAAUGGAGUGCUUACUGACUUGCAGUCUUUGAGUCCAAACUUAUCCAAGAGAGUGAGAGCAUACUUCUUUUGAUGAAUGAAGAUGCUCCCUUCAGUUUGUGUUACUCCCAUACCAAGAAAAUGGUGGAGUAAACCCAAAUCAGACAUCUCAUACUUGCACAUCAUUUCAGCUUUGAAUUCUUUCAUCAUUUCAUCUCUACUUCCUGUGUACACUACGUCAUCUACAUAGAUUGACACUAUUAGUGUUCCCACCUUCCUUUGUUCUCACAUAGAGAGUGGCUUCACUUGGACUUCUGUGAAAACCACACUGAUUCGAGUAGGUGUCAAUUUCACUAUACCAGGCCCUUGGAGCCUGCUUCAACCCAUAGAGGGCUUUUCUUAACCUAUACACCUUAUCCUCAUCAUCUUUAACCACAAAACCAUCCGGUUGAUCAAUAUAAACUUCUUCUUCAAGGACACCAUUUAGGAAGGCUGACUUGACAUCCAAUUGCCAUAGUUUCCAGCCUUUCUGAGCAGCAAGAGCUAUGAGAGUUCUAAUGGUGUCUAACCUUGCUACAGGAGCAAAGGUUUCAUUGAAAUCAAUCCCUGGUUUUUGUGUGUAUCCCUUGGCAACAAGUCUUGCUUUAUGUUUUUGAAUGGAGCCAUCAAGAUUAAGCUUAAUUUUGAAUAUCCACUUCACUCCCACAAUUGGUUUACUACUUGGCCUGUCAACCAAUUCCCAACUGGAGUUUUUCUCUAUCAUAAGUAUCUCCUCAGUCAUAGCCUUCCCCCAAGCUUCAUCUUUGACUGCUUCUUCAAAAUUUUCAGGUUCAAUGAUGCUCAUCUUGCAUUGAGCAUACACUUCACUCAAACUCUUCCAUUUCUUUGGGGUGUUAUCAUAAGUUUCUAAUGGAGCAGAGUCUUGAGUAGCAUGCACAUCAUUACUUGUUUGUGUUUCCAUAGGAGACUGUACAAUCUGUUGCUGUAACAGAUUUGGUUAUGAAUCCAAAUCUGAUACAAUUGAACUUACUCCAUCACCCCAAGACAUAGGGAUUUGCAAUGCCUCAUUGGUUUCCCAAUUCCACAUUGCUUCUUCAUCAAAAAUAACACUCCUAGACAGCUCAAUCUUUUGAGUUCUCAAGUUGAGCACUCUAUACCCCUUUUCACAUACACCAUAUCUUACAAAUACUCCCUUCUCACCUGUGUCUUCCAGCUUGUGCCUUUUCUGUGUGGGGAUGUGAAUAUAGCAUAGAGAACCAAAUAUUCUCAAAUGCUUGACACCUGGUUUUCUUCCACCGAACUUUUCAAAUGGAGUGGAAUUGUCCAGUGCACUUGUAGGACAUCUGUUCUGCAAAUAUACAGCUGUAUUGACAGCUUCUGCCCAAAACUUCAAAGGGAUUUUCUUCUCAUACAUCAUGGCUCUUGCCAUUUCCAUCACAGUACGAUUCUUUCUCUCUGUAACUCCAUUCUGUUGUGGAGAGUAGCCUACUGNNNNNNNNNNNNNNNNNNNNNNNNNNNNNNNNNNNNNNNNNNNNNNNNNNNNNNNNNNNNNNNNNNNNNNNNNNNNNNNNNNNNNNNNNNNNNNNNNNNNNNNNNNNNNNNNNNNNNNNNNNNNNNNNNNNNNNNNNNNNNNNNNNNNNNNNNNNNNNNNNNNNNNNNNNNNNNNNNNNNNNNNNNNGGUGUGGUCAUCAAUGAAGGUGAGGAAAUAUCUGUUCCCUCCAAGAGUGAUGGUCUGCAUUGGACCACAAAUGUCUGAGUGAAUCAGUUCUAGAGGUUGAGUGGCUCUCCAAGCUCCUUCCUUAUCAAAAGAGCUUCUGUGAUUCUUGCUUUCAGCACAACCUGAGCAGACCUUCUCAUGUUCUUGUAAAUUAGGCAUUCCCUGAACCAUAUCUCUCUCUUGUAACAACUUCAAACUAAUAUAGUUUAGGUGCCCAAAUCUUCUGUGCCACAGCCAGGAUGUUUCUCCAACUGUUGCUCUGUUUGCCAUAGGAGGAUUAACAUAGUCAAGAUUUAAAGGAAAACAUUUGUUUCCCUUCAUUGGCACUCUUGCAAUGCAAUCUUCCAACUGCCUAUCUCCAUAGAUAUCAACUGCAUUAUCACCAAAUACAAGCCAAUGCCCAUGUUCUAUCAUUUGACCUACACUUAGCAAAUUUUCAUCUAAACUUGGUACAAUCAUGAUUUCUUUGAUAUAUCUAGUCACACCCUUCAUUUCUAUAGCCAAAGUCCCUUUGCCUAUUAACUGCACUAGAUCACCAGUCCCCAUUUUGACUUUACUCUUCAUACUUUUAUCAACAUUUACAAGUAAUGACUCAUGGGAAGUCAUGUGAUUGCUGCAUGCACUAUCAACAUACCACAUAUUCACAUUCUUUCCAAUUGUUGCAGCAUGACAUGCAUAGAACAUAAUGGCAGGUUCAGUUACCUGAUUUGCAAUGUUAGCAAGUUUCCCUGCCUUGUUUGCUUGGUCACAGUCCUUAACAAAAUGACCAAAUCGAUUGCAGCCAUGACACUUUGGUUUUCCUUUAAACCAACACUCACCAUAGUGUAACUUCUCACAAUGUUUGCAUUUUCCAGAUUUGUCUCCUUGACUUGGUUUUCCCCCUUGAUUGGCACUGUUUUGGGGUUUAGAAUCCCAUUUCUUAUCCUUGGACUUCCAAUUCUUCUUUGAUUUAUUAGAGCCAGAACUAGAACUUGAUUGAGAUCCUUUUGAGUUUAUGCUCAUGCUGCUGAAAGCUUUCUCAGUGGUGCUUUCUGCAUGUCUGUCAAGGCGCUGAGCAAAACCUCUUAAUGCUGCAAUUACCUCCUGCACUUCAAUGGUUUCAAUGUCUCUAGUUUGCUCAAUCACAUAGCAGACUGGAUCAAAUUCCUUGGUUAAGCUUAUUAGCAGUUUUUGAACUAUCCUCCCUUUGGUCAGAUCUUCCCCAUAUCCCUUCAUCUGAUUUACAAGCUCAAGUAACCGAGUGAUGUAUCCAGACAAGAUCUCAUCAUCCUUCAUCCUGGUGUACUCAAAAUCUCGACGCAGACCCUGCAACAUGAUGGAUCUGACUUGCUUAUCACCAUGAAACUCCUGAUGCAAGAUAUCCCAAACACCUUUUGAGGUUUCUUCAUUUGAGAUUCUGGGAAAGAUGUCAUCUGAAACAGCACCUUGGAUAAUACCAAGAGCCUUAGCAUCUUUCAUCAACAAGGACACCAUCUCUGAAUCUGAUGACCCUUCUUUAUCAGCUUUUGAAUCUGGAACUUGAAGGCCUUUCUCAACCAAAUUCCAGAUUCCAUGAGAUUUGAAAAUUGUUCUCAUUCGAAUCUUCCAAAACUCAUAGUUCUCCCCAUUGAAUAUUGGAGCUCUAAGAUCACUCCCUCCUGACCCAGCCAUCUGAGACCAGACUCAAUGAGUUGAGAGUAGGAAAUUUCCCGUUGGAUUUCCAGACUCAGCUCCCACAGCUUCAACGCCCUCUAUCCAGAUCCAACCUGCGCACCUGAUACCAUGUUGAAUAUUUGGAUUGCAAAGGGAGCAAGAAAUGUACUGAGAGAGAGAGAGAGAGAGAGAGAGAGAGAGAGAGAGCAGUGAGCCUUAGAUUGUUCUAACAGUUUUCUUACUCUGCAUGAACAUAGCAGCAGAGCUUAUAUUCCUUCAUGACUGUUACAUGUUCUCUCUUACAUCAGUAGAUUCAAAUCUAACGGUUUGUAAUAGUAAGCCAAUGUGAGUAUGACACAUGGCAAUACACAGCUGUCCUAACAGCUGGGAAUUCAAAACAGACUCUAGCAUUGCACCUGGCAUAUAAGCACAAGGCACUCAGCUAACACAAAGAUUAAAAACAGAUUGAAUAUAAACUGACAUAGAACUUACUAACUAAUCUGAAAUUAGCUAGACAGUUCACAUUUUAACAUUCUUAUGGUCGGCAGGGACAAGAAUUCCAGGGCUGCUCAACUUGAAUACACCUGAUGAACCAGUGAGGGGUGUGUUUCUUUUAGUCUGCACUAUAUAUGCAGGGUCUGACUCUAAUUAGAAGAUAAUUGUAUUAAUUUGGUAAAGCUUUGUCUGUAACUGUCUCGCACCUUAAAAAAAUUUCACAAUUAGCAGCAUUGGCAAUACUUGAUUAGAAAGCAGAAACCCUACAGUAUAUAGUUAAGUUGAGUAGCUGGGAAGACAAUUAGUAAGCUUUCAAUACUAAAGUUGAAUAUUGGGGAGACAAAUUACUAGAGCUUCAAGUUCAGAUAAAUAGGAUGAAUUUCUCUUAAGGGAUCCCCUUUCACUGUAGCUUGGAGUAGAAUUCAUUUUGACACAAUAUCAAUUAUCAAUGUAAACACGUUACUGAUGCACUAUUGACAAUAUCGAUGCACGUCAUAUCAUAUUUGUGGGAGUAAAUUUCCUCACGAGAAUAUUUGGUUCAAAAGAUUCCCCUUUUUUUUUUUUUUGCCGCCUCUUUCUCCUUGCAAAAUAGAACAAAUAAGAGGACCACACCCGGGGGGUGUUGGCCAAAGGCCCUCCGAUGCUAAAUUAGUUCAAGUAUUUGUAAGAAAAAUACUAGCUAACUAGGGUACAGAGGUGUAUUUAAGGUGUAAACCGGGCAGCCGAAGUCUUAUGUAAAAGAGAGAGAGAAAGGAGGUGGCUAGCGUUUGAGAGGAAUUUUCUGCAGAGUUUUUAGUAGAGAUUUCAGACGUACCUCAACCAUUGUGUGUGGCCAUCUUUUUAUAGUGGUCUUGGAGGCUAGGGUUUCAGAGGAAUAAUUCCGUAGAUGGAAAGGAAUUAUUCCUCCCCUAUUUGGAAUUGAUUUGAUUAAUUAGGGAUUUGAUUUAUUAGGGUAAAUCAAAUCCCUAAUUGUGGUAGGUAUCAAAUCAAAUCCUUUUUUAAUUAGGUAACUCCUCAUUUAAUUGGGAAUUGUGGUAGGAAUCAAAUCAAUUCUCAACCUAAUUAGGUAACGUUCAAUUUAAUUGGGUAAUUCCCAAUUAAAUUGAGUAACUCCCAAUUAGGUUGAUUAAUUCCCAAUUAGAUCAAAUAAUCCCCUAAUUGAAGGAAUUAUUUGACCUAGGGUCUGAUUUAAUUCGAUUCCCACAAAUGCCCCCCAGCUUCUGCAUGGUGCAUGGUGGCACGUAGGAGAUGUAAAUUAUCUGUUGGGCUGUCCAGCUGUAACUGGGCUUCCUUCGUGGACCUGGGCUCCCGAGUAGAGGAGGUGUUUGACUUGCCAAUUUUAUGAACACCCAAUUGGAAAGGGUUUGAGAUUCCUUGUAGGUCAAGGAAUUUUGCUCCUUAUAAAUGUAGGGCUCCUCCAAAUUAUUCUCGACAUCAGAAAUCUACUCCUCCAAAUUUGUUAGUGAGAGAGAGAAGACUUUGGAGAAUUUUUCAGCGUGCUUGAGACUUCAUCUUUGCAGCCCAUCCAAGGUAAUUUGAUAGGAAGAAUUUUAUUUUGAGUUGCUAUGACUUUUGGCAGCAAGCUGUGAGACUAAGGGCAUGUCUUGAGGUGCGCGCUAGGGCUUUAGGCAUGGCAAGAGACUCGGAAAGGCUAGCAGGUUCGUUUCCACCUACGCUGGGCUCAAGGAGAAGGCAACAGGGCUUCAGGCCUUGUGGAUGAAGUGGGCUUUCGCUGGGAGCAAGAGGCCUGGAGCUGAGGCAAGGAGACAAUGGGCCUGGUACGAGGUGUGGGCUGAGCAUGCCAGCUUUGGAGCAAGGGGGCCAGGACGACUGCUGGGCAGGAGGUGCGCUGGGCUGCAUGCGCGAGCUGCGCCGAGUGCUGGCUGGAGGAGCGAGCUGGGCUGCGCGCUAGGCCAUUCAUGCUGGGCUACUUCCGUUUUUUUUUUGUUUUUUUUUAAAUUUUAUUUGCUGUUGCUGCUUUUUUUUUUGUUUUUUUGUUUUUUUUUUGUUUGGUAUUCUAACUCGUAAUUUUUUUUUUCUUCUUACAGCUACUUGUUGAUCAACCAUGUCUUCCGGAGAUGGUAGCAAGGCUCCAAGCUCUUAGGUCCUUUUGUAUUUAUGGGGAGGCUCCAUAGUGCAUGGCAAGAAGUUUGUGGUCAACUUGCAUCGCGUCACGACUUAUGCUCAGUUCCAGAAGUGGCGGGCCACUUAUGCGUCUGCCAUUCCAGAUGACGUGCUGGUCAAGCUAUUGAAAUCUCAAACUGAUAACGAGCCUUUGGUGGACGUGAGUGAUCAUGAUGCUAGGAUCAUUACCUUCCGUCCUUUUUACUUCUCUUUAGGCUUCAAAUUCCCGUUGUCAAAGCUCUUCAAGAAGGUGUUCUGUGCCAUGGGGUGUGCUCCGAGCCACUGUACUCAUGUGCUUCAAGAAUUUGAGUCGUUUCUUCAUGUUGGAGCUGACGAUGCGAGAGUUCUUUUAUUUUUUUCGAAGUGAGGCACUUUGAGCGGUACGCCCAAGUUCGUAUCUACAAGGCCAAGCUGUUCCACGGUCUCAGUCAAGGAGAUCACGCUUGACAUGAAGAUGUGUUGGAGGUCAGCAGACGGUGGGAGGGUGACGUCGGUGACGGCCCACCUGUUCCCAUCACCUAUUGUGAUGGUAUGUCUCUUUACGAUUUUUGAUAUGCUCCUUUUAUUUGAAUUUCUUGAAGUGUGGCAGACUAACUUCUAUCUUCUGCUCGUAGUGAGUGACAUUAGCAAGCAAUUGGAGCUCCGACCAGACAUGGCUAAGGUCCGUCGUGCUUUGAACAUCCCUCUAAGGUUUCACGAGUGGCGCUGGCUGUUGAGUGAGUACCGGGAGGAAGACGGUGGUUUUCUCCUUGCCGAGGAUGUCGAAAGGUGGAAGCAGAACGAUCCUGACCCUGAUGAUCUGCUUGGCAGACAGGAAGAAUGUUCUGCUUAAUCGCUCUUAAAGAGAAAGGCUGCUGCCAAAUCUUUGAGAUGUGAAGCUACUUCUUCGCAUGCAAAGGAUGGGUCUCCAUCGAGGAAGAAACCAAGGCUCCCUUCUGCUGAGAAGACUCAAGUGGGGUCUGCUCCCUCAUCAUCUGCCAGGGUUAAGCAUCUCGUGGGUGCAGAUAGCAAGAAGGUUGGUGGUAUGCAUGGUACUCGGGGUGUUCUGCCCAAGCUUCCUGCUGACACGCUCGAAAACCAUGAUAUACUUCGUGAAGUGGCUCGUGCCCAACCUAGUUCUGCCAAGCGUCAAAGAGAUGUAGACAUUCCUCCUAGAAGUUCGAGUUGUCUGCAUCGGUCAAAAGAUGGAGACCGAAGCGGGAGGUCUGCUUAUGAUCCAGCAUUAUUGACUCAUUUGGAGAUGAGGUUGGCGAAGGCUAAGAAGGUGAAAGAGUCAUCUGCCCGGGUUAAGGGUUCUUCCUCGGCGUUGGUAGUUGGUCCCAAGAUGAACAAGUCUAGCUCUGUAGGGGAUGCAUGCGUAUCUGAUCUGCUCAAGAUGAACUUCCUAUCAAACCCGUCCUCUUGUGUUGAGUUGGUUGAUCACAUCCCUCAAGCGGGCGAUCUAGGCACUUUCUCGUGCCUUUCCUUAGAAAAAUGAAGGAAAAUGACAUUCCAUCUGAUUCAAAAAGGACUGGUUUUUGCUACUGAGACUAUUUGGAACUCAUCUGCUAUUGCCCCUCUUCUGUCCAACUCAGCGAGUUGGAGAAGAAGAAUGCUGAUUGGCUAGACAGCUUUCCGCCGAGCAGGCCCGUUACGAGAAGAAGAUGUCUGAUUUGAGGGCGAUGAUAUCUGAGCUGAAAAGCUCCCUUACCGAGAAGGAUUUCGAGCUCAACUCUUCUGCUGCUGAUUUGGCUAGUCGAAAAGAUACCUUCUUUCGUCUUGAGCAUAAGAAUGCUGACAUCUUCCUUAGCUAUAACAAACUCCUGGCUAGAUUUCAUGCCUACCAUAAGUCUGCUAAAGAAUCCAAGACAGAUGGAGCUGCUGAAGGCGUAGCCGGUCAGGUGGAUGCCGAAGAGGCUGCAGCUUAAAAGUCUUCUGCUGGCGUCUCAGAGUAGAUGAAGACUCUUUUUUGUUUCUUUUCAGCUUUUGUAGUUUGCUUUAUUGUUUAGAAUAACUGGUCUUAUUUGACCAUCUUCUUUUUGUUGAACUUGGCUGGUUGGUCUGUUUGUUAGGGAAAUUUCAGUUACAUUUUCCAACUUCAAUUUGCAUAUUUGACUUGUGAACUGCUUAAGUAACCAGCCUGUGUUUUGAUUGCACAUCCCCCUUUAGAGAUUUGUGAGUACCAGGGUCCCCCUUGGAGGACUCCGGCCAUGCACAGUAUAUCUCGUAGGAUGGUUCCCCUUAGGAAGUUGGCGAGUACCAGGGUCCUCUUUGAGAGACUCCGGGUGUGUUCUGCACAUCCCGUAUGAUGCCUUAAUCGUCGCCUUGCUUCUCCCGUAGGACGCUGCUUAUAGGCAACUAUAUGACUAUCCUGCCUUUCUUAGGAAACGGAUAGGAACCUGGAUAUUUCCCGCAUGAAGCAUGGAGACCUCCUUUUAAGAAAUUUUUGGUGCACCAUGCUUCUCCCUUAGGACGCUUUUUUCGCAGGCUGGGUCUCCAAAUGGACGCUUUUAGUCGUUGCCCUGCGUCUCCCUUAGGACGCUCCUUAUGGGCAACUGUGUGACUAUCCUGCCUCCCUUAGGAAAUGGAUAAGACUUGAAUAUUUCCCGCAGUAAGCAUGGCGACCCCCUUUUAAGAAACUCCUGGCGUACCCUGCAUCUCCCUUAGGAUGCUUUUUAAGAGGGCUGCUUCUCCAAACGGACGCUUUUAGUCGUUGCCUAUGUCUCCCCUAGGAUGCUCCUUAUGGGCAACUGUGUGACUAUCCUGCCUCCCUUAGGAAACAGAUAGGAAACUAGAUAUCUCCCUUAGGAAAUUCCUAGCGCACCUUGCGUCUCCCGAAGGACGCUUUUUUAGCUGGCUACGUCCCGAAACGGACACUUUUAGUCGUCGCCCUGCGUCUCCCUUAGAAUGCGCCUUAUAGGCAACUGUGUGACUAUCCUGCCUCCCUUAGGAAACGGAUAGGAACCUGGAUAUCUCUCUUAGGAAAUUCCUGGGGCACCUUGCGUCUCCCGAAGGACGCUGCUUAUGGGAAAAUAUUGUGUUUCGUGGGCAGAUGAGACAUUUUGGAAUGAGAAACUGAACUUAUAUUGAUAUUCAUAAGAUUACAGUCCUUUAUUUGAAAAUGGAAAUAACUUGGUUCAAAAACUUAGAACUUCUAGCAGCUACGAGGAAGCACUAUGGAUAAUACUUUCGGAGAUGGUGAGCAUUCCAUUGUCGUGGUAUUUCCUUCCUAUCCAUGGUGUCCAGUGUGUUGCUUCCUCUGCCCCGGACCUGCUGAUCACAUAAACGCCCUCCCAGUUAGGAUUCACUUUUUUUGACCCGUGUCUUGGUGCAGUAAUGAAAGCCUUAGCACGAGGUCGCCUGGUUGAAACUGUUUGACCUUAGCUCUUUUGUCGUAGUAAGACUUCAACUGCUAGUGAUAGGAGGCGACCCGAAUAAUGGUCUUCUCACGCCUGCCCUCAAGUAAGUUGAGGUUGAGCCUCAUCUGCUCGGAGUUCUGAUCAACACUGCCUACCUUAAGACUUAUAGAGAGGACAGUGAUGUGAGGUGGUAUGAUCACUUCUGUUCCAUAGGCGAGAGAGAAUGGGGUUUCACCAGUCGAUCUUCGCUUGGUGGUGUGAUAAACCCAUGGUACUCUGGGGAGUUCAUCCACUCAUUUCCCUUCAGCGCCUUCCAGCCUUUUCUUUAAGCAGUCCAAUAUGACUUUGUUGGAUGCCUUGGCUUGUCCAUUUCCUUGUGGAUACCUCGGGGUGGACAAGUGUUGUUUGAUCUUGUAUUUCACAAAAAAAGCGGUGAUCUGCUUGCCAAUGAACUGUGAGCCAUUGUCGGUAACCAACGACUGUGGGCAGCCAAACCGGCAUAUGAUGUUUCUCCAGAUGAAUCACUCCACAUCGGCUUCUUUAGUAAAUGAUAGAGCUUCGGCCUCGAUUCAUUUAGUAAAGUAGUCGGUGGGGACGAUCAUCAUUUCUUUCUUGGCGGGCGCUAGUGGCAAGGGAUCCACUAGGUCGAUGGCCCAUUGCAUGAACAGCCAUGGACUGUUUUGCGGAUGAUAGACUUCGGCAGGCAAGUUAGGGAUCGGCUUGUAUUGCUGACAGCGUCACAUUUCUUGGCACAUUCAGCACAGUCGUGACGUAUGGUAGGCCAGAAGUAGCCUAUGUUUAGAACUUUCUGGGCGAGUGACCUGCCCCAGAAUGGUUGCCAUACUCGUCGUCGUGAAUUUUACAGAUAAUCUCAAGUGUUUGAUGGUACUUUAUGCAGGUGAGAUGAAGGCCGGAGUAUGAUCUGUGGAUGAGCUUGUUGCCGUGCAUGUAGUAUCUCUCGGCCUUUUGCUGGACUUUUCUAGCUUCGGACUUGUCCGUUGGCAGGUUUCCAUUCGUGAAAUAGUCGAUGAUGAGGUCUUGCUAGCUGGGGUCCUCGUCAAUCUGCAUGGUAUUAAUCGGCUCUAUUUCUUCAAUGCUUGGUCGGUCAAGGUGUUCGACCUAGAUGGAGUGUUUGAACUGGGUAUCCAGCGUUGAACCUUGGCUUGCCAGUGCGUCUGCAUGCGCGUUCUUUGCCCGGGACACUUGUUGGAUAGUGAAGGUAGGAAAUGCCUUCAACAGCUCUUGGACUCUAUCAAGGUAUAAGAUCAUCCUUGGGUGCUUUGCCAUAUAUUCACCUGAGGCUUGAUUCGUGAUCAACUGUGAGUUUGAGUAGAUGGCUAGCUUUUUGAUUGCGAGCUCCUUUGCCAAGCGUAAGUCGGCGAGUAAUGCCUCGUAUUCUACCUCGUUGUUCGAGACCGAGAAGCCAAGCGUAAUAGCUUGCUCUAACAGGGUUCUAUCCAGGGUGGUGAUAACGACCCCUGCUCCAGCUCCUUUUUGGUUCGACGCUCCGUCUACACGCAACUGCCACAUGUCUCUGGGAUGGCUUGGUUCUGCGGAGGUCCUGUCUGCUUUUGAACUUCCCUCCUUUUGGUUGACUAACUUCUCUUUUUUGGCUGAUGGGGUGAAUUCUGCGACGAAGUAUGCUAAAGCCUGGGCUUUUAUUGCAGUUUUUGGCCCGUAGAGGAGGUCAUAUUGGCUUAGCUCUAUAGCCCACUUCAUGAGUCGCUGAGAAGCAUCAGGGCUGUGGAGGAUUGAUCUCAAAAGAAAGUCAGUCAUGACUAUGACUCGAUGAGCUUAGUAGUAGGGUCGCAGCUUUCUCGCAGAAACUACAAGAGCCAAAAUAAGUUUCUCCAAUUUCGGGUAACGAGUCUCUGCAUCGAGGAGAGCUUUUGACGUGUAGAAUACCGGAUAUUGGGCCCCUAUCUCUUCUCGGAUGAGAGCUGAACUGACAGCUGAGUUGGACUUACCUCACUAGGGACUGGAUUUGAGAGCAUGGAAGGUGAGGUGAGGUAAGUCUUCAGAUUAUGGAAAGCUACUUUGCAGUCCUCAUCCCAUUUCUCUCUUUGUCCUUUCUUCAAAGCUUUGAAGAGUGGUCUGCACUUGUCGGUUGAUCUCGAGAGGAAUCGGUUGAGAACCGCUGCUUUGUCCGUCAGACUUUAUAUCUCUUUCACCGUGGAAGGCGACUUCAUCUCUAGAAUGGCUUUGAUUUGACGUGGAUGUGCCUCGACACCUCGUUGCGUGGCUAGGUAUCCCAAGAAUCGGCCGGAGGAUACACCAAACAGGCAUUUACUUGGAUUCAACUUCAUGCGAUACUGGCGGAGCAAGCUGAAUGAUUGGGUAAGACUUCCGAUGUGAUCUGCACGUUUUGGGGCUUUGACCAGCAUGUCAUCCACGUAGACCUUCAUAGUUUUGCCGAUCUGCUUAUUGAAGAUUUUAUUCCCGAGCCUUUGAUAGGUUGCUUUGGCGUUCUUCAGCCCAAAGGGCAUGACCUUAUAGCAGCAGGUCCCUCUCUCGAUGAUGAAAAAAGUUUUUGCCUUGUCAUCCUCGUGCAUCAGGAUUUGUUUAUAGCUGGACUAGGCGUCCAUGAAGCUAAGCAGUUGAUUGCCAGAAGUGGAAUCCACGAGUUGGUCGAUUCUCGGCAAUGAGAAGUUGUCUUUAGGGCAUGCUUUGUUGAGGUCUGUGUAAUCGACACAAACUCUCCAUUUGCCAUUUUCUUGUUUUGCCACCAAAACAACGUUGGCAAGCCACUCUGAGUAGGAGGCCUCUUCGAUGAAGCCGACAGCUAGGAGUUUGUCAAUCUCGGCCUCGAUGAUAGCAAGUCGCUGGGGUGCGAAGUUGCGUCUCUUCUGCGCCACUGGCUUGCAGGCAGGGUUGAAGUGGAGUCAGUGACAGAUGAUGUUCUUGUCGAUGCCAGACUUGUCUGACGGCAACCAUGCGAACAUGUCUCUGUUGCUCUGGAGGAAGGUGGUAAGCUCCACAUUCUCUUCUGGCCUUAGGCGCGAACCGAUCCACUCUUUCCUAUCUGGUUGGUCAGGAUCCAAGGGUAUUAACUCGACGUCCUCCUUGGGUUUCCAUCCUUCUUCAGGAAAGACCUAUGGACGGAUUUCCUCGACUUGGUCCUGACGCUUUAAUUGCUAUAAGAUAGCAAGAUCCAGUUGCUCAACCUCCUCCAGAUCUGCCUGGCUCACAGGGAGAAACUGCGCUUGUUUACCUUUCUUUAGCCCUUGGGCGGAGCAUUUCCUCGCCAUUGCCUAAUCGUUGUUGAUUUGGCCGACACCGCCCCCAAGGAUUGGGUACCGAAUUUUCUAAUGUGUGGCGGAGGUGAUUGCAUUAAUUUUGCCAAUCGAUGGUCUGCCCAGAAUGCCGUUGUAGGGUAAGACCUUAUUAAUGACCAUGAAGGUUAUGAGCUGAUUAUAAGUGGGGAGUAGACGUCGAGGUCUAUCAUGCCCACGGUAACCGUUGUUGCACCAUUAAAAUCGCUCAGCAACCUAGCUAAUUUGUAAAUCUUUGUCUCCAAUCCCAUCUGUUGAAUGACCUCCAGUUGCAGGAUAUUGGCUGCGCUGCCCUCGUCUGUGUGGAUUCAGUCUACCAUGACCUGAGCAAUUUGAAUGCUGAUGACAAGGGCUUCGUUAUGUGGCAUGUAGAGGCCGAUCAGAUCUUUCUUUUGGAAGCCGAUUACAGGAUCGUCUUCUGCUGGUGGAAGGUCGGUCGAGAUUUGGGAGAUCACAGUGGUCUGUUUGAUCUUCCUCUUUUUUUCCUUUCUGGUCAGCCCAGACUCCUCGGAGUCAGCUAGGAUUGUGUUAAUUCUUAUGACCUUCUGAGGCGGCUCCUUGGCGAUGUCACGAUCUUCUAUCCGCUGGAUGACCUUCUUUGCAAUGAAUUCUGUGCAGUGACCUUCUCUCACGAGUUCUUCAAGAUGUGCUUUCCAAGCGAAGCAGUUGUUCAUAGUGUGUCCGUGCAUUUCAUGGACGGCACAGUAUUUGCUAGUAUUCCUUUUGUCCGGAUCUUCUUUCAAGGGUGGUGGUCUUCUUACCCAAGGUUGUUCUUCACUUGGGCUAAGAUUUGAUGUAUGGAGAUGGUGAACUUGGUGUAGUUCUCUCCUGCCGUAGCAUCCCCUUAUGGGUGCGACCUGCGCUUGUCCUUGUCCCUGUUGCUAAAUCCGUCGCUUCUUUGGCCUGCCCCCUUAGUCGGCUGAUCUUCCUGCUUAGUAGAGUUCUUUGCGGCGAUUCGAUCGUCAUCCCAAAGCGCAUAGCUUUCCGCGGUCUCGUAGACCUCUGCCAAAGUUUGGCUGGGAGUGAUGGUCAGCUCGUGGUACAAGUCGUGCUCAGUCGAAAGGUCUUUCUUGAAAGCAGAGGACGCAAUUUGGUCAUCACAUCCUACAAUGUUGGCCUUUUCUACUUUGAAUCUCUUGAUGUAAUCUCUAAAGGAUUCGUCGAACUUCUUGCGCAGGUUAUACAGGUGGUCAGGGUUCUUCUUGAUUGUUCGGUAAGAGGUGUAUUCUUUGGUGAAUAAGUAAGUCAGCUCCUUGAAGCUGCUGAUCGACCUGGAUGGCAGAGUAUGGAACGAGUCUUGGGCUUCCUCACAAGGUCAUUGCAAACACCUUGCACAUCAGCGCGUCGUCAACCUUGUGGAGGAUCAUGACACUUUUGAAGUGUUUUAGAUGGCUCUCAGGAUCGGAAUCCCCCUUGAAGUGUGUGAAUGUGGGCGUUGAGAAUCGCUUCAGGAGAGCAGCCUGCUCGAUUUUGGCAGUGAAAGGUGUAGAGUAUGCCUGGUCUACCUCAUUUCGUACAUCUUCGAAAUUUCCACCGGUCUUCAAGUCUCGAAGUUGGUCAUUCACAAGCUUCUCUACGUCUUCCGCACACAUUGCUUGUCGGCCACAUUGGCGACCUUCACGAAUUGUUCGAUGCUGACUGACUUCCUCGUUGAUUUCCGAGGAUCGACCUUCUUGUCUGCAUUGCCUAGGUGGAGUGUUGGUGGAUUGCGCCUACGAAAGAUUCUCUGUGGCUUGUCAAUGAGAAUCGGUUCUUCGAGAGUGAGUAACGAAGUGCCUUUCCUCAUGGUCCUUAUUGUGAGGGUUAUCCAGCUGACCUCCCUGGGGCCUAGCCUUUCCUGAAUGCUUCUCUGCGAGUAGACAGUUGAAUGCUUUUCUUCACGAUCCUCGUUGUGAUGGUUGUUUGGCUGACCUCCUUAGGGUCUUAGCCUUUGAUGUACAUUUCCCUGCCUGCCCAAGUAGGUGCGGACGUCGAGUCGUGGGCCCAGCCUUUCGUGCACGUCGUUCCUUAAACUCAAUCUGCUCUGAGUGUGGCUUGCAGAUGCUUGCGACAUGUCGGCAGGUCGAUCACGUUGUUGUCCCUCGACUUGUCUGCCCACUCUUGCUUGACCUGCUUGGUACUCGUUGAGCUGUCUACCGGCCCGUUCAUCCUUCCUUCUUUCCUCGCCUGGUUGUCCAAGGCCAAGGUUUUGAGCAAAGCUUAUUUGGUUGAGGAGCUGCCUCAUUAGAUUGUUUUGGUCGUCCAUUCUUUAAGCUAGCUGGUCAACUCUCAGAUUAAGGUCUGCUUGAUUUCAUGGAUCAGGAGGAGAGAAGUGUGUGGAGCUCAACUGCACAUAGGCUAGGGUUUCAUUAGAGGUGUAUGCGGGAGCGUGUGUCGAGCGUGGAGGCAAUAGAGGGAAUGCUUGGAGUUGCUCCAAGACCGGCCCUAGGUCGGCGGUGGUAACGAGUCCACCUUGAUGGGAAGUUCCACCAUGUUUGGCGGCAGUGACCGAUGCAGUGGUGAGAGGUGGUGGUGCCACCAUGUCGAUCGCGGGAUCGUUGGUGGAGUGGCUUUGGGCCGUCGCAAAUCUAGCCAUCAUGGCGGCUUUGCCUCUCGUGUUCAUGCUUCCAACCAUGGUUGUUUGGAAGGCUUAGGUGGAUUGGAAAAUUAGAGGAACGGAUUCCUUGAGCACGCAUUGAGUAUAACUCGUGCUCUCAAUGAAAGCACCAAUUUGUGGGAGCAAAUUUCCCCACGAGAAUAUUCGGUUCGAAAGAUUCCCCUUUCUUAUUCGCCGCCUCUUUCUCCUCGCAAAAUAGAACAAAUAAGAGGACCACACCCGAGGGGUGUUGGCCAAAGGCCCUCCGAUGCCUAAAUUAGUUCAAGUAUUUGUAAGAAAAACACUAGCUAACUAGGGUAUGGAGAUGUGUUUAAGGUGUAAACCGGGCGGCCGGAACCUUAUGUAAAAGAGAGAGAGAAAUGAGGUGGCUAGGGUUUGAGAGGAAUUUUCUGCAGAGUUUUUAGUAGAGAUUUCAGACGUACCUCAACCAUUGUGUGUGGCCAUCUUUUUAUAGUGGUCUUGGAGGCUAGAGUUUCAGAGAAAUAAUUUCGUAGAUGGAAAGGAAUUAUUCCUCCCCUAUUUAGAAUUGAUUUGAUUAAUUACGGAUUUGAUUUAUUAGGGUAAAUCAAAUCCCUAAUUGUGGUAAGUAUCAAAUCAAAUCCUUUUUUAAUUAGGUAACUGCUCAUUUAAUUGACAAUUGUGGUAGGAAUCAAAUCAAUUCUCAACCUAAUUGGUAACGUUCAAUUUAAUUGGGUAAUUCCCAAUUAAAUUGAGUAACUCCCAAUUAGGUUGAUUAAUUCACACUUAGAUCAAAUAAUCCCCAAAUGGAAAGAAUUAUUUGACCUAAGGUAUGAUUUAAUUCGAUUCCCACAAUAUUUAGAUGCAUAAUUGAAUGCGAAUAAACAUCACUCUCUCCAGUGUGAAAUGGCGAAAAUUCUCUUCAAUCAAAAGUGGGCUUACUUCAAAUUUAGUUGAAGAAUGAUGGUGUGUCUUGCCUGACAAUUGACAAUUAGGUUUAGGAGCGUUCCUCUAGUAGAAAAAUCUAAAUCAUUUGUGGUCAUCCACUCACUUGGUUAGUCUUCCAGAAUCAAAUACCAAAUCAACCCAAAGGAAGCUGCAAUUUUCUGAAUUGUAUACUUGUUUUAAUUCUUCCUAUCUUUUUCUCUCUUUCAUUUUUUUUGUCUCCCUCAAGUUAAUACUUAAGUGAGUUGCCAAAUGGGGGUAAAAAAGAGAGUAGAAGAGAUGAACCCCACAUUUGACUUUAAUAGACAAAUGCCCAAGAGAAGUACCAGUAAGAGCAUCUCCAAUUGGGAGGUGCUAUCCUAUAAUUUGACACACAUUUCUUUUUUCUUUUUUUUCAAUUCUAACAACAUGUCAUCUAUAUCGCAAUAGGCCGUUGUAGUUAAAUUUUCAAAUAACCAAGUUGCUCUCUAUUUUCCAAAGAAGACUAGAAAACAACUUACCAUCUAUCUGGUGCUGCUUCUUCCAAACAUUAGAAAAAACAGAGCUACACCCAGGAGGAGCCCAGGAGAUGACACAAUACUGCCUACUAUGAUUCUUACUUUCUUCACAUUCAAUGAGACUAUAAAAUAUAACCCAAGUGGUCUAACCCCCCAGGGCGGAAAUUGGGUUUAGCAAGUUUAGCACUGAUUGUUGUAUAGUCUUAAACAGUCCUGAUCUCUUGGACCCCUGUAGUCCAAGAGAUUUAUGGUCACCCACCGUUGGAUGUAAAUUCAACGGUUGACUUGAAUCGGGUAAUAAUAAUUUAUGUCAUAUUGCAUUUAUAUAUAUCAUUUUGAACCAUUGGAUUAAUAUCCAACGGUGGGUGACCACAAUCUCUUGGACUCCUGUGGUCCAAGAGAUCGGGACUGUAGUCUUAAAAUAAGUAGUUUAGCGAGUGCAAACUUCGACUUAAAAAAACUCUCAUGUAUAGCCGCGCGGCUAUACUAUUUACAUAUAAAUAUAUAAAAAAGCACCCCCUAGUCACGUGUCACAAAUAGUAUAGUCGAAAACAGUAGAGCCGCGCGGCUAUACUGUUUUUAAAAUAAAAAAAACCAUAUUCGAUUCUCCUUAUAUUUAAAAGGGGUAUAGCCGCAUGGCGAUACUAAUUUUUUUUUUUCAAAAAAAGGGACCCCAGUACUCCUUUUAUAUAUUAUAAUAUAUUGUCUAAUAUUUGGAAUAUUUACUCUAAAAUAAACAAUAUAUUAGGUUCUUUUUGUCUACAAAUUGACCAUUAAACUUCUUAAUCACUCUUAUACUUUCAAUUAAAUCUACUAGGCUAGGUUAUGAUAUUUUCACUAAAAAACUCCUCCUUUUUUUCUUCUCUUUCUCUUCCUGUUUUGUUUAACUUAAGCUUAAGUUUUGUAAUUUUUUUUCCCGCCCUUUUUACAUGUUUGAGUAGGGUACUUUAAUAUUGGGAUUUAUGAACUUUUUUUGUAUUUCUUCUUUAUAUUGGAAUAUAAAUUAUUAACUUUUGAGUCUUUAAUAGUGUAGAUGAUGAGAUUAUUAUUCAACCAUUUUAUAAUAUGAAAUGAAGGACAAUCAUGAUUGUGAUGAAUGGAUUAUUAAUCAAUAUGAAAUGAUAUUAUGAAGUGGGCUAAAUCGAGUAGUUAGUAUCGUAUUGUUGAGACCCAAAAAAUCCAAGGCUAGGCCCAAAUAUAUUAUGAAGUGGGCUAAAUCGAGUAGUUAGUAUCGUAUUGUUGAGACCCAAAAAAUUCAAGGCUAGGCCCAAAUAUAUUUCCGGUCCAAUGCGAUACCUUACCGAGAAGAAACCUUAUUUGGGCACGCGAAAGUUCGUCAUAUGCUCUUGCACACAUGCCAUGCCAAGCAAAUAAGCAACAUGCCACGCUACAAGCUUAAGUGGGCCCAAGCCACGUGAAUGCCUAGGGCCUGCUGAGUGGGUUGUGGUAUGGAUGGUUAUGAGUAUUCACGAGGCCCAUUGAUGGUCUAAGGAGUGGAAGUUUUGGGCUACUUGGGAGCACCAAAACUCAAGCCCAUUCAUUGAGCCCAAACAUAUGGGUAAGCAUGAGAUAAAACCUAGUAGCCCAUCACCUUAAGAAAUCCUAAUAGCCCAUAACAUGUGAGAAAAUCCCACAUCAACCAAAGCUUCCAGCAGUCUGACGAAAUCAAAGGGAACUCACAAGCCGUUGGAAACAAAACAACCCAACACUGUAACACCCCGACCCCAAAUUUCCCCAAAUUUAACCCUUAUUUAAUUAUUUAAGGGUAUUUUAGUCAUAUUUUUAACCGGAGAGAGUUUGGGGCAAUGACUAGUAUUUUUGGAUAGGUCGUACUGAGACGAGUUUAUGGACACGCAGUGAGCUCGAAUCGGAGUUGUAACGAGAGAGAUAUGGUCAAAAGAAGCCCAGUGGCACAAUCGUAAAUAUUUUGAAAUGAGAUUUUUUAUAAAAAUCUGGUUUUCUCUCUCUCUCUCUCUCUCUCUCUCUCUCUCUCUCUCUCUCUCUCUCUCUCGCUAGCGACCUCUCUCUCUCUCCCCCGUCGGUCUCUCCCCUCUUUCUCCUCGUAACUCCGGCCACCGGCCCCGGCUGUGGACGGGGCCGGUACCAAAAUGACCGAGGCGUCGUCCUCUUCCUACCCCAGCCACCUCCCACCGCCAGCCGUCGCGGAUUCGCCGGAAUCUGGAGAUGAAGCGGCCUACGUCGUCCAAAUUUCAAAGCUGCCGAUCUCCCUCCUCCGGCCACCAAUUCCGUCGACCCAGGUAUGGAUUUUGAACUUCUCGAGCUGCUCUAGCUGAUGGUUGGGUAGGAUUAGAUCGAUUCUUAGCUUAGACAACUCGAUUUUCAAAUUGAAAAUCGGCCGAACUUCGGCUGCCGUGAUCGGCCAUUUCCGGCCACUUUUUGGGGUAGGUCCAAGAACAAAAGUGGCUCCAAAUAGGGUGUUAUACCUAGGGUAGGAGUUUGGAGCCGUGGUUUUGAGAUUUUCCGGCGAAGCGUUAUCGCUUUGGGCACCCACGCGCUGCCGGUGCGUGCGGCGGCGCGUGGGCACUGUAGAAAAAGUAGCACUGUGUUCCGAUGAGAUCCUUAGGUUGUCACGAGUGCGUAGGAUUUUGCGGAUCUCAAUUCGGACGUCGUUUGACUAUCGAACGGAUAUUCGCAUAUUGCGCGUUAUUCGGGUUCGAUAGGUUGGGACCGUUGGAUGGACCCAAAUUUAAUAUAUGUUAAUCUAAUUAAUUCUAGGAUCGUGUAGGAAUUCACGGAUUGUGAAUCGGAGCCCCGGAUGUUCCGAAUAAUAAUUUUAAAGUUUGUAUUUUAUAUUAAUUGUCAGAUCGUGCGAUCGUGAGCAAUCUGACCGUUCGAUCUGAACCAAACUUGCAGGACAAGUGUCCUAUACCUUGUAGAACCCAUAGGGACCUUCGGAUCGGAAAUUGGAGGUCGUGGGUUCCGCAAGUCGGUUUGACCAGGGUUAGAGAAGUUUGACCCUUGGUUGACCGUGAGUCUCCCGGAGUAAUCUCACCUUUCUAGGGGAGAUUAUCGGGUACUAGAUGAUUGUGGACACAAUAUUAGAAUUAAUUUAUAUAAUUAUAAUUAUAUAUGGUUGUACAAGGGUACAACAGAGUCUAGAAUGUCAGUUUGGAGUGCUAUACGCACUACUUUAGGUACCUCCCCGGAUGUUGGGAUUUACUACAAGUACCACCAAGUGAAAUUGAGGUCCCGCGUGGCGUAGGUUAUCCAGCGUUGGGAUAGGUCUCAUACGUGGGGUUGGUUGUACCGGCGUAUGGGGAGAUUUGUGAUAUUAUGUUCAGGUCUCACGUGGCGUAGGUUAUCCGGCGUUGAGACAGGCCCCAUACGUGGUGUUGGUUGUACCAGCGUAUGGGGAGCUAUGUGAUAUUGUGUUGAGGUCGCACGUGGCGUAGGUUAUCGGGCGUGUCGACAGACCCCAUACGUGGCGUUGGUUGUACCGGCGUAUGGGGAGAUUUGUGAUAUGAAAUUGAGGUCCCACGUGGCGUAGGUUAUCCGGCGUUGGGACAGGCCCCAUACGUGGCGUUGGUUGUACCGGCGUAUGGGGAAAUAUGUGAUAUGAUGGCAUGGUCGCACGUGGCAUAGGUUAUUCGGCUUGUUGACAGGCCCCAUACGUGGCGUUGGUUGUACCGGCGUAUGGGGAGAUUAUUUGAAAUGCAGAGAAACGAAAUAUGGUAUCGCCCAAAUGUGGAAUUGGGUUUUAGGGAAGAACUACGUGUGGCUUGAUCCCUCAAGGAGGGUACGUAGGCAGCCUAAGGUUAAUAGGUGCAGCCGCAGACUAAAUGUUAGUCAUAAUUGAUAUUUGAAUUGUUUGGUAGUUGGUUAAGAAUUAUUGGAAGGCCGAAGGCCAUUUGUGUGAAUUGCAUGAAAUUAUAUUGUGCAUGCUGCCAGUUGGGAAUAUUAAAUGCGUUUUUAUGCAGGUAUAAAUUUUAGGAAAUGUCCAAUUUAUAGGGGAGACUCUGCCGAAUUUUCGGCAGGAAGUCUCAGUUUUUAGUAUCUGGGCCUGGCAUCGGGAGGAUGUCGGGAAUUCCAAAGGGUCGUCUCGAGUUCUGAAAAAUUCGGUGCGGGUCCUUUCAAACACCUUAUAAAAUAUCCAACGCCGUGCAUCUCUGUUAAAACCAGAUCACAGCCAAACCACCAAAACCAUGCAAACCCAUAUGCUGAUCACCAUUUUUACUAGCACCCUUACCCAUUCUUUCCUCUUCAAGCUUUGGUGAGAAAACAAGAAACAAAAGUGGGCGGAUCUUCACCCACAUGGAGAAAUCCAGCUGCCUGAGGGCCCUGGAACUCCAAAAAACUUCUUACCUACAUGCUCAGGCUAGGGAAGUUUCACCAAAUAAGCAAGAAUGGAAGAAAGUGAAGGAAAAGGGGAAAGGGUGGCUUGACGAAAUUAAGGUUUUCAGCACUUAUAAAAGGAAACACUUUCUAUCCAGCAAAAACAACUCACCCUGGUUGCUGCAAGCCUCCUAGCAACCAUGAGAAUUCAUUGAAGGCAAGCAUCCCCUUUGGAACCCUUCAAUUUCAUGCUUUGUUCUUCCAUCUUCCUCCUUUCUCUCUCUCUCAAAACCCACAUCCAGAGAGAGCAAGCAUCAUCUCUCAUCUUUGGAACCCUUCGAUUUGAAGCCUUGUUCUUCCAUUGCUUCCCAUUUUCUCUUCUGUCAAAUCACCUAGGAGCUUGACGAAACUUUCGUCAAGCUGCUGGAAAUAUGGUAAAGCCACCCAUGCUUCCAUCUUCUUCCUCUCUUUCCAUAAACACACAUCCAAAGAGCAAGCUUCAUCUCUCAUCCUCUAAACCUCUGCAAUUUCAAGCCUCAUUCCUCUAUCUUCUCCCAUUUUCAGCGGUAGUGAGAAUGAUUUCUGCGUGUGCAUGGGAAGGAUUGUAACUCAGAUGAGGAGGAGAUGGUUUGGAGUGGGGUGAGGCAGUUGGAUAGAGCUCUUGGCCUUUUCAAGUUUGGAUGGGAAAGAGCAGGGAUGAAAGAAGCUUUACAACUGCAAGGGCAUAUAUGGUGCGUAGGGGCUGAAGGCAGAACACUUACAUAUAGAGGAAACACAUUUUUUGUCCAUGGGAUUCAUGUUUGACAAACACUUGUCUUAGACUAUGAGUUCAAAUUUCAAAACCUUUUUUUUUUCUUUCUGAAAUCAGGACCAGUGUGGAGAACUAGCAAGGAUUGGAGAAACAGAUUUUUGGGCGUCACUUGACCACAGAUUGUUGAUUGCUCAAAUGUGUAGAAUUGGCCAUCUUAAAUGUCAAAAUGAUUUAUCAAUUGGGGUUUUUUUAGAAACGUUUAUGUUUGUCAAUAGAGACAGAAGUCAGAGAACAUAAACCUUUCUCAGCAAAUUGAAAUUCUCAGUGCAUGCUCUGUUCUUCCAUGGCUUUCAAACCUUCUCUGCCACGGUGAAAUGGAUCGAUAGAGAUAGUUUAGGCCGUUCCAUUUGUUUGAUGAAGCAUUCGUUCUAGGGAUUCUGUAUAUUCAUAACAAAAUCACUAGAAUGAUUCUUAGAAAUUCAUCACUGCUAAAGGCAAUGGGUUCAGCAUAAUAACUUCUUAGUCUUGCUUCUUGGUCCUUUAUUUUCUUUGCAUAAUACUCCAAGUUUACCUGGGUUCUACAGAGAAAAUCUCGUAGAUACCUCUUUUUGUGGUCUUCCAUGGCAUUUAAGUGCUGCUUUCCAUGGUGAAGUGGGCCUAUAGAGACUACCUGAGGUGUGUAGGCUUUGUCAUUUCCACGCCGUAAUCGCUCAGGAACUCUGUAGAUACACCUUCAAGGGGGACAAGGGAGACAAACUAUCCAAUUCCUUGCGCCUUACAAAUAGAUCGCAUGGGUUUUCUAUUUCAUCUGCAGCUUCAUCAAUUCCUUCCAUUUUUCUCCUGAUCAUCAUGCGCGGUGAUUCAAAUAUUUCAUAAUGAACAUUGAAAUGAGAUGCUACAAGCAAACUUAUGAAAAGAAACAGAAAUACCAAAAAGACAAAUCAAUGUAGAUGGUUUAGAAAAUCUAAACAUUGCAAUUAUACUCCUUUGCCCAACUUCUAGGAGCAAACGUACACAAAGACCUUAUUGCUUCCAACUUUUCCAACAGAAUUUCAUAUGAAUUGCUCCAAGUGAAAUCCGUAUGAAAAAUCGGUAGUUGGAUUUUCAUCCUGCUUUAAUAUGAUUAUUUAACUUCUAACAAAAAAACUCUUAUUACUUGAGCAAGUAAAAUACUAUUCCAGGUUUCUCCUAGUUCUAUAUGCGCUUAUAAUUGGUAUACUCUAUAAAUACCAUAAUCUGAAUUUCUCUGUUUUGAUUACUUUAAUUUAUUACUUAUGUUUUAAUUAUUGUUUACUUAGUGAAUUAUUAGUAUUUAAGAGAAGGCCUUCCAUCGAUUAGGCACCACGUGUCUAUAAUAAGUAAAGCCGUCCGGCUAUACUUAAAAAAAAAAAAAAUUGUAGUAUAGCCGACCGGUAUAGCCGCGCGGCUAUACUAUUUAAUACAUUAUAUUUAAACGGUAUAGCCGCGCGGCUAUACUAUUUAAUAAAAUAAAAAACAAAAGAAAAAGAAAAAUUACCCUCCUAUUUCAUUAGUUUGUACUUUAUAGAUACUAGCCCCUUGACACAUGCUCACGCAUGUGCCAAUUGGUUUUCUUUUUCUUUUUUAUUUUUAUUUUUAGAAUUAAGAAAAAAUAACAGGAUAGUUAUGUUCCAUAAAAGUAGGACCUAUUAUCUUAUUUUGUUUUUAAUUUUAAUUUUUUUAAUAUUAAAAAAAUAUGAAUUUACGAUAUUAUCCUCAUUUAAUUAAUAAUUUCAAUUCUUAAUGUUUGAAUUAACAAAGGGCAUUUUCUGGUAUUUUGAAUGUUUCACCAUUCUCUGCCUUUUGCUUUAUAUAUAUAGAUUAAUUUGCCAGUUUCAAGAUAUCCAAAGUACAUAUUAGACUUUCACUAUAUAAAUUUCAAUAUAUAUUUUUUAUAACAUGUGUUGUUCUUAUUCAAUAAUAUGUGAGAAUUAUUUGUAUAAUACGUGAAUUUUGUGUGUCUUACUGAAUUUUUUUAAAUACGUGUAUUAAACGUUACAAAUACGUACAUAUAUGUACAACACGACUAUUGUAAGUUUGCUAUAUAAAAAAAAGUGAGAUGUAUCUAGAACACGAAUGUAUUAUCGAAAAAUAUAUAUGUAUGUAUAUAUAUAUAUAUAUAUGUAAAAGCCUAUAGCCUCUCACCUAUACUAUUUAUUAAAGACAAUUUAAAAAUUACAACAACAAAAAAACCAGUACAGCCACAAAGCUAUACUAUUUUAAAAAAAAAAAAUAGAAAAAAUAUCAAGUACUACACAGGGCAAAGGCCCAGUGUAAAAUAGUAUAGCCGUACGGCUAUACGUUUUUAAGAAGAAUUUAAAAAACUAAGUAUAGCUCACCGACUAUACUAUUUUUUAAUAUAAAAAAACAACCCCAUCCAUUAGGCGCCACGUGUCAACAGAAGUUUAUUUUUAAAAAAAAAAAUUAAAAGACAAGGAGUAUAGCCGGGUGGUUGUACUAUUUUUUUAUUUUAAAAAGAAGACAGUCCAUCGAUUAGGCGCCACGUGUCCAUAAUAAGUACAGCCGCUCGGCUAUAUGUUGGAUAUUUUGAAACUAGCAAAUUAAUAUCAAUAGCCGGUCGUAACCUAUGCUGUCCACGUCACUCAUGUUUUACCAGAGUUAAAGCAUCCACAAUGAGCUCCCCAAACCAUCUCUUUAGACAAAUUUUAGGGAGAAAUUGGAAAAGUACAACUCCAACCAUGCUCCCUAUCCACCAACUAAAAUAGGGAGACCUCUAGGAGCUCCUAAAUCUGAGGAGAGGGAAAGGACUCUUAGUGACUCCCUAUAAUUUAAUGUUGCUUUGUUUUAUGCAUAUUUUAAACUUUUAAUUAAAUCAAAUUAUUAUUUUAUAUUAUUUUGUAUACAGAUGGACCAAUUAUAUUAAAUUAAAAAAUAAUUAAAGUAUUUGUGACUCUCUAAACUAAGGAGUAUGAUUAGAGUUCAAAUUUUAUAAAAAGCUCUUAAAAUAGCUUUUGUGUGUUUUUAGCUAAAUUUUAACUAAAAAAUUUGAAGAUUCUUUAUUUGGGUUUCUUUCAAGACGAAAACCAUAUCCACAACAGACAUCUUUGGCUGUUCAUCACAAUUGAGAGACAAUGAAGAAGACAUAAGGGAGAGGCUGCCAAAUACUUAUCACCUUAGCCACCACCAACACCACAAGACCAAUAUGUGUAGGCCAGGAGGCUUUCCAAUUUUAAUAUAUAUAUAUAUAUAUAUUAAAAAAUAAAAUAAAAAUCAAUCUAUUAUCAUAUAUAUUAUAAAAUAAAGAUUAUUGCUCCAUCCUCCAUGCACUUGCGUGCCCUCUUACAAAGUAUGAAGUAGAUUUUGUUAGCUGGAUUUAUAAGAUCUUUUGUUUUUUGGAAAUUUUCUGAAAUAAGGAAAAUCAAGUAAAAUUAAUAAAGCAUAAAUUGGAAAGGGAAAAUAUCUAGAGGAUGCAUUGUAGGAUUGCUCAAGCCAAUAAUUGUACCCUCUAAAUAUAUAGGGACAUAUUUUUUUUGUUUUCAUGACAUGUCGUCCUAAAAUUAUUGUUCUUAGCGGGCUCUCCACCCCCUCUCGAUUGAAAACCUAUUGUGUAAAUCUUCAAUCCUGAAUUAGAAAAGUACAACUCCAACCAUGCUCCCUAUCCAUCUCCUAAAAUAGGGAUACCUCUAGGAGCUCCUAAAUCUGAGGCGAGAGAAAGGACUCUUAGUGUCUCUUUAUAAUUUAAUGUUGCUUUGUUUUAUGCAUAUUUAAACUUUUAAUUAAAUCAAAUUAUUUUUUUAUAUUAUUUUGUAUACAAAUGGACCAAUUAUAUUGAAUUAAAAAUAAAUUAAAGUAUUUAUGACUCUCUAAACUAGGGAGUAUGAUUGGAGUUCAAAUUUUAUAAAGAGCUCCUAAAAUAGCUUGUGUGUGUAGGGGUCUUUUUCUUCUGGCAACUACAGAUGGGUUGGGCUACCGUAAGGAGCAAACUGAAGAAAAUAUCCCCUGUGUCUGAGUUCAAAGAUUCGGCCCCAAAAUAUUUCGAAAAGGCAGUAAAGCCUUAGGAAACACCUUAGUUACCUUCACCAACGAAAAUGACGGCUGCUUACAGGUAGAUUCUUAGUGCUUACAGAUGAAUUCUUAGCUUAGCAUGAGGAGAUCGUGGCAUGGAAGCAAAGUUAGCAUGAGUUUAGCACUAAAGAGAAAAUUAUGUGUUCUUGGGAGGAAGAAGGGGUGUCCAGGUAAAUGGGAAAAGGUUUUGCAAGUAGAUUUGGCUAAGAGAGAAGGGAGAGAGAGAAGAGGGUGGCUAGAGUGCUUCUUCCGGCAGCUUGACAGUGACUCUGUCAAAUGUUAGAGCAAUCUGCCAUAAGAGGGAAAAUGGGGAAGAAGGAUGAACAGUGCACAAAAUUGCUAGGUUUUUGCAAGUAAGAGAGGAAGCUUGCUCUCUGGAUGUGGAUGAUCCGUUGGGUAGAAGAGGCCCCAUUUUAUAGCCGCUGGAAACUAUCAUUUCUCAAGAAACCCUAAUAGUUUCUACCCAAUUUGGUCAAGCUUUUCCCUUCCUUUCUCAUCUCCUCCCUUGACUUUUCCUAUCUUGGUGAAAUUUCCUCUGUCUAUUUGCACAAAAUCAGGAGCUCAAGGCCUCCCUUUCCCGCAACUGUUCAAUGGGAGACUCCAUUCUUAGCUAUUUUUCUUCUUCUUUCCUUCCUCCUUCCCUGACCAAAUCUGAUGAAGGAAAGCAAAUAGGUGCACACAUUGGUUUGAAGGGUGCUUCUCCUUCUAGCAGCUUACAUGCCAAUAUCCCUUGGGUCCUUGCAUGUUUUUUGCUUUGAAACUUGUUUCUUCCUUCCCGUCAACUCACGUGGUCUUCCAUGCUUCUUCAUGGCUUUAUCUUUCAGCCAAAAGAUGGAGUUUUUACUGCUUGCUACUUUUAAUUGUAUGGGUCUUCUAGGAUAGGAAGUCAACCUACCAAACAAAUGGGCCACCUUUAUCAAAUAUUGGGCUGUUGGGGUUAGUUUUAGUGGGCCAUUUUGACUGGGCUUUUUGGUUGGGUUAUUUAAGUUAUUUUCCCUUUUGUGCUCACCCAUGUAUUUAGGCCUAAGAAAUGGGCUUGGGCUCCGAGUCUCCCAAGCAACCCGGAACCUCCAUUUCUUGGCCCAUUAAUGGGCCUCAUGACAACCUAUUACCAUCCAUACCACAACCCACUCAAGCAAGCCCCGGGCAUUUGAAUGGCUUUGGCCCACUUUAGGCUUGUAGUGUGAUUGGGUGUGGCAUAACGAUUUCUCGCUUGGCAUGGCAUGUUGCUUGGCAUGUUUUUUCAUUACGAUGCUUGAUGGAUUUGUAGAGCUACCUAUUUUUAUGAUCUUAAUCUUGAUUCCUAGCAUGACAAAUUUAUUUAUUUGGCAUGGCAUGCGGAGCGUGACUUGUGCGUGGCGAGUUUUGUAUGCUCCAACUUGGGCCUUUCCUAAAUAAUGUAUCAUUUUGGGUUAUGAAUUCUUUCGGGCCCAACCGUGAAUUUUUUGGGUUUCAACAGUGUGUUUUUAGCUAAAUUUUAACUAAAAAAUAGGGAGCAUGAUUGUAGAUCAUCUUAUAUACCUUAAUUUGAAGAUUCUUUAUUUGGGUUUCUUUCAAGAUGAAAACCAUAUCCACAACUGGCAGACAUCUUUGGCUGUUCAUCACAAUUGAGAGACAAUGAAGAAGACAUAAGGGAGAGGCCGCCAAAUACUUAUCACCUCAGCCACCACCAACACCACAAGACCAAUAUGUGUAGGCCAGGGGGCUUUCCAAUUUUAAUAUAUAUAUAUGGAGUGAAAAAAAUAAAAUAAAGAUUAUUGCUCAUCCUCCAUGCACUUGCAUGCCCUCUUACAAAGUGUGAAGAAGAUUUUGUGUGCUUCAAGUCAUUGACUAGAGCUGAAACAUGGUUAGCUGGAUUUAUAAGAUCUUUUGUUUUCUGGGAAUUUUCAGAACCAAGGAAAAUCAAGUAAAAUUAAUAAAGCAAAAUGGAAAGGGAAAAGAUCUAGAGGAUGCAUUGUAGGAUUGCUCAUGCCAAUAAUUGUACCCUCUAAAUAUAUAGGGACAUAUUUUUUUUGUUUUCAUGACAUGUUGUCCUAAAAUAUUUGUUCCUAGCGGGCUCUCCACCCCCUCUCGAUUGAAAACCUAUUGUGUAAAUCUUCAAUCCUGAACGAUGCUCCUAAAACUCAAGUGUCCCAGGCCAAUUAUUGCUCUCAUACCACUUGUUGCAAUACACAUCCACUCAUUCUCAGGGAAAGAAACCCAUCGAUAUUAUCUCAAAUUUAACCACUUUAGUCUAUUAUGAUUAACUAUGUAUUUUAUGGAUCAAUGCAGUUGUGAGGUUUUAUACCCAAUUAGAUCGACCAAUACAGAGAUCACAUGUGGACUGAAAAGCGCCAUCGGUAGGGGAGUGUUUGGCACCCUUUACUGCCGAGUGCAACACAAGACCCCUUACCAGGAACUUAUCUACUAGGACACGUGAAGCCACCACAAGUAAUAUCAACAGUCCCACAUCGAAGUUUAACAUAACAUGUACACUCCCCAGGACUGAUAAAAGUGGGCACAAGUCCCAAAAAUGGGGGAACUUGGACUUUCAGCAAUUCAUCCAUUAUUAUGUCCAAAUUACUAUACACUCCGUACUUAUUCUUACUUAAGCAUUGGAGAGCCUUCGGCCGGUACCACACCAGUGCCUAAGGGCUUACCGAGCGUUCUCUAUCUUGCAUAUUGAUCGCUCUACUGAAGCCCAUAAAGAGUUAAAGGUCAAGACAUCACUAAGUUGAGCCCAAAAGUGCUGAACCACAUCAAAAAUAUGUAUAGAUUGAAAAAAUAAAAUAAAAAUCAAUCUAUUAUCAUAUAUAUUAUAAAAUAAAUAUUGGAUAAAUUACUCAAAUGGUCCUCAAACUUAUACUCGAUUUACAUUUUGGUCUCUCAAUUAAAUUAUUUGUUCAAAUGGUCCAUCAACUCUAUAUUAUUUCUGCAAAAUCUACAAAGUGGUGGGAGGCAGACCAACAAAAAAAAUUAGCGAAGGCUUAUAACUCUGGUAAAACAAGAGUUACUUGGAUAGAAUAAUGUUACGUCGUACUGAAGAUUUUUGGGUUUCUUUAAUUGGUUAAGUGAAGAUUCUUUAUUUGGGUUUCUUUCAAGAUGAAAGCCAUAUCCACAACCACAACCACAACUGGCAGACAAUCUUUGGCUGUUCAUCACAAUUGGGCGACAAUGAAGAAGACAGAAAUUGGAGUACUGUAUGUUAUCACCCACACCACAAGACCAAUAUAAGGAGGAUGGGGAGGCUGCGGAAUACUUAUCACCUUAGCCACCACCUACACCACAAGACCAAUAUGUUGUAGGCCAGGAGGCUUUCCAAUUUUAAAUUAGAUAAAUCGGAAACUGUUUCGAUAUCCAAUUGUAUUCUAUAAAAUCAAUGAACACGGUGCUUCAAGAAAGUAAUAAAAUUUCAAUAAUUCAAUUGAGUGGUCAAAUUCAAGUGAUUUUUUGUAGUGAUGAUCUUUGAAUGAGUAUCUAUAAAAGAGACGGUUUGGAUUAGUGAAAUACAAUAUGGAGUGGGCCCUACCAGCAAUCCACGACAAAAUGUCUGCAAGCUUUCGUAAUAUAAGGAGGAUGGGGAGGCUGCGCAAUACUUAUCACCUUAGCCACCACCUACACCACAAGACCAAUAUGUUGUAGGCCAGGAGGCUUUCCAAUUUUAAUAUAUAUAUAUAUAUAUAUAUAUAUAUAUAUAUAGGGAUGUGAUUUCUCUACUCCCCUUUUCUCUACUUAUACUCCCUUUUGCUUUUAAAUACUUUUUAAUCAAUUUUUUUUCCGCUUUCCUAUUAAUAUUCUACCAUUUCCCUACAUUAAUUUCUUUUUACUUCACUUUUAUAUUAGUUCUUUUUCUUUAUACUUAAUUUUUCAACUUGCACUCCAUUUUCAUUAUUUUUUUCCUAAUCGAGUAAGAAAUUAAGUUUUUUUUCCCCAUUUAAUACUGAAAAUGGAGUGUAAGUUAGAAAAUUAGGUAUAAAGAAAAAGAAAUAAUAUAAAAGUAAAGUAAAAAAGAAAUUAAUGUAGGGUAAAGGUAGAAUAGAAAAGAGAAUGAACAAAAUUGAUAAAUAAAUAAAAAAGGUUUAAAAAGCAAAAAGGAGUGUAAAUGGAGAAAAGGGGAAUGAGGAAAUCAGCUCCAUAUAUAUAUAGAUUGAAAAAAUUAAAAUUAAAAUCAAUCUAUUAUCAUAUAUAUUAUAAAAUAAAGAUUAUUGCUCCAAGGAAAUGACAUCUUUUGUUUUCUGGGAAUUUUCUGAACCAAGGAAAAUCAAAUAAAAUUAAUAAAGCAUAAAUUGGAAAGGGAAAAGAUCUAAAGGAUGCAUUGUAGGAUUGCUGAUGCCAAUAAUUGUACCCUCAAAUUAUACAUGGACAUAGGGGUGGGCAUUCAAAUAGGCAAACUAGAAAUCCGAGCUGAACCGCACCUAGGAAAACCGGAAAAAAAACCGAGUUGACCAAAAAGUCAACAACUGGUCAAAAAUCGAACCGGACCGAUUUGGACUGGUUUUGGAUUCAGUUUAUAUGCAAUGCUACAUUUUUAGUCUCAUAACUAAUAUUUAUCCAAGUUCAAUUUCAAAACAUCUUUCUUUUUUAGCUUUAAUAUUUAUUUUUAUAUGAAAUUAAAUAAUUUAUUAAUUUUCAAGUAAAUAAAAUAAAAUUUCAGUUGAAAUUUAUAUUAAAAAAAUAAUUUUAAUAAUCCAGUUCAAAACCAAACCGGACCAUCCAGCUGUGAGGUACAUUUCUCCCACAUGCCACAAUUGUAUAUUCACAAUUACGUCUGAUACAUCACAUCAUGCCACUUGCCUCAAAUGAAUUUAAGUGAGUGUGGCAGUGGAAAGUAAUUAAGCUCUAUAUUGGUGGGUGGACUGUUACUUCUGGGUUCCCCUCAUCAUUCGUCUAUAAAAUGGUGAAGGCAGUUGCUAUUGUUACCAUAAGAGCCAGCUCCGACUUCCUUUAAUUUCUUGCUUCAUAUCCACUAGCUACAUCUGUUACCAAGUUAAUUUCAGUCCUAAUGGGGUUUCAUCUCCCACUCAUCUUUGCUCUUCUCAGUGUAAGCUCUGCAAUUUGAUUAACUUUUCCAUUCUCUCUCAUUGUACUCUAUAUAAACGAAAGUUUUGUGUUCCUAUAAUUCUCUCCGAUUUUAUUUAGUACGUACUUAAGUGUCGUCCACUAAUUAAUUACACUUUGUGAUUUGAUUUUAAUUUGAGUUCGAAUUAAUGUUGCAGCUAGCAGCAGUGGCACUGGCAAACCAUGCUGCUCAACCAGCACCUCAACUUUACUGGAACUCCGUCCUGCCAAACACACAGAUGCCAAGAUCUAUCAGUGAACUUCUGCAUCCUGGUUUGUGUUGAGCUCUUUAGAAUCUUAGAUAUCUCUUCUACCUGCCAUUUUACUAAAAUAUGUUCCACCACAUAUUUAUCAGUUAACCACUGUUAUUACAUGAGUGACACAUAUUCACAAAUCGGCUGAUCACUUAUUUUCCAUUAUGACGUUGAUAUAUAAUUUGCAGACUCCACAAAUGAAGAAAAGAGCACAAAUGACGUUGGCAAACCUGAAACUUUCCCAUUGGGCAAUAAACAUUACUCCAGUCAAAAACAUUAUGGAAGAGGCAAACCUGAAACUUUCCCAUUGGGCAAUAAACAUUACUCCAGUCAAAGACAUUAUGGAAGAGGCAAACCUGAAACUUUCCCAUUGGGCAAUAAACAUUACUCCAGUCAAAGACAUUAUGGAAGAGGCAAACCUGAAACUUUCCCAUUGGGCAAUAAACAUUACUCCAGUCAAAAACAUUAUGGAAGAGGCAAACCUGAAACUUUCCCAUUGGGCAAUCAGCAUUACUCCAGUCAAAAAAAGUAUGGAAGAGGUGCUUCUCCAUCCGACAAUCAACCACCAAUUCCAUAGAAAUUCAAACACGGCUACUUUCUUGCCACGAGAAAGCGCUCAAUCGAUCCCCUUCUCCUCUAACAAACUACCAGAAAUUUUCAACCAUUUUUCAGUGAAGCCAACAUCUGAGGAAGCCAAAACAAUUAAGCAAACAAUCGAAGAGUGUGAAGCUCCAGACCUUAAGGGAGAGGAAAUAUAUUGCGCCACAUCUUUAGAAUCAAUGGUUGAUUUUAGCACUUCGAAGCUUGGAACAAGAAACGUUGAAGCAAUCUCGACGGAGGUAUUGGAAAAAGGAGCCACCAUGUCCAUCCAAAACUAUACAACAAUGCCGGGACUGAAGAAGUUGGCAGGUGACAAAGUCGUUGUGUGUCAUAAGCAGAACUAUCCCUAUGCUGUGUUUUUCUGCCAUGCAAUAAAACAUACAGCAGCUUAUGCUCUCUCCCUGAAAGGCGAUGAUGGGGAGAAGGUUAAAGCAGUAACCAUCUGCCAUCUAGACACAUCAGAAUGGGACCCAGAGCAUAUGUCCUUCAAAAUCGUCAACGUUAAGCCCGGAACCAUUCCCAUCUGCCAUUUCAUUUCCACUGAUGCUAUUGCCUGGGUUCCGAACCACAAAUCUGCAUGAUCAUCACUUAGCACUAGUACUGUGCGUAUAAUAUGCCUGUAUAAUUAUCUCCCUACUUAUUUCUGCCUGUUCAUCAUGUGGUGUAAGAUAUAUGUUGAGAUGAAGUUUUUGGGAUUAGUGGUCGAAAUUAACCCGAUCAUGUUUUCUCUUGUAACUAUAUAGACUUCAACUUGUACUCAUAAUAAAGCAUGCUAUAUUUAUGAAGAGAUAUUAAUCUUCAGGCAAAUAGAUAUUAUGAAAACAUAUAUAGCAAUUUAUCCAGAAGAAAUAUUAUGAAAUGAAAAGAAUAAAAAGUAAAAAAACAGAAGGAAAGGAAUUCGCACCUGCUAUGUAUGAAAGGACCAAGAUUGUUUUCCCUUUGGUUAAUGACUAGAAAAGCUCACUUGCAGAUUGCUUUCUCUGACCGUAGAUGCAACAGAAAUUUUCUCUUAAUAAUAGCACAAUGAUCGGGUAAUUGUAAGAACAAGUUGAUUUAAAAUUCCUUGACCCAAAAAAAAAAAAAAAAUCAUUUCAAAUUCAGGUCAACCCAUAGAUUUCUUGCCUUUUUCUUCUUCAUCACGUUGGGCUUGUCUUCUUCUUGAGGAUUGUAUAGGCCCAGGAAAUGCUUUGAGGUAGUUUUUGGCCUUGGAAGUUGGGACCCAACCCAACUUCACAAAAAGAAAACAGAUUUGCCAAAAAUCAAAUUUCAAGUCUCUCCUCAGAUCACUAAUACAGAUCAAAUUUUGGAUUUGAUGAACUAAAGUGGUUUUACUUUCUCUGUCAGUGUUUGAUGACUUAAUUUGUUAUUUACUUCUUUUUUUUUUUUUACUUGAUCUUUGUAGGGGUUUUUUUCUUCCGGUAACUUAAACGGGCUGGGCUGCCGUAAAGGGUAGAUUGAUGAAAUUGUCUCCUUUGUCUGAGUUCGAAAAUCAAGCCCCAAAAGCGCUUCGAAAGGGCAGUAGAGCCUUAGGAAGCGUUCUAGUCAUCUUCACCAACUAAAACAACAGCAACUUACAGAUGAUUUCUUAAGGCUUACAGAUAAAUUUUCUAGCUUGGCAUGAGAGGCUUGUGACAUGGAAGCAAAAUCAGCAUGAGUUUAGCACCAAAGAGGAAAAUAUGGCUUCCUAGGGAGAAAUGGGAGUGUUUAAGGUGAGGAAGAAGAGGUUUGCAGGCUGAUUUGGCUGAGGAGAGAGAAAGAAAGAACAAUGUUCUUCCAGUAGCUUGACAAAGCUUCUGACAGAUGUGAAAGUCGUCUGCCAUAAGAGGAAAAUGAAGAAGAAUGGUGAAUAGUGCAUGAAAUUGCUGGGUUUUUGCAGGUAAGAGAGAAAGCUUGCUCUCUGAAUUUGAGUUGGUUUUUGGUUGGGUAGAAGAGGCCCCCUUUUAUAGCUGCGGGAAACCAUCUUUUUUCAAGAAACCCUAAUGGUUUCUAUCCAUUUUGGCCAAGCUUUUCCCUUCAUUUCUCUUCUCCUCCCUUGACUUUUCCUAUCUUGGUGAAAUUUCCUCUGCCUAUUUGCACAAAAUUAGAGAUUUUGAGGAGCUCAAGACCCCUUUCCCGCAGCUGCCUCAGUGGAGAAUCCCCAUUUUCAGUCAUCUUUCUUCCUUCUUUUCUCCCAUCUUCCAAGGUUAGGUCUGAUGAGGGAAAGAAAUGGGUAUGCACACUGGUUUGAAGGGUAUUUUUGCUUGAAACUUGUUCUCUCCCAUGUGCUGGAGCUUCCCAGCAACUUACACACAUGGAUAUUUUGGCUUUCAUCGUGGCUUUUGUUUUCAGCUAGGUGCUGGAGAUUUCGCAGAUAUUUUCAUGAGUUGCUUGGGCCUUCUAGGACAAUAGGUUGGUUUAUCAAGUGAAUGGGCUAACUUCAUCAAUUGUUGGGCUAUUUUGGUUGAGUUAAUGGACUAUUUUGGUUGAAGUAAUGGGCUAUUUUGGUUGAAUUAAUGGGCUAUUUUUCUCUCUUUGUGCUCACCCACAUAUUUGGGCCUAAGAAAUGGGCUUGAGUUCCGGGGCUCCCAAGCAACCCCGGGACUUCCAUUUCUCGGCCCAUCAAUGGGCCUCAUAUCAACUUAUUACCAUCCAUAUCACAACCCACUCAAGCAAGCCCUGGGCAUCUUGCGUGGCUUGGGCCCACUUAAGCUUGUAGCGUGACGUGUUGCUUAUUUGCUUGGCAUGGCAUGUGUGCAAGCGCAUAUGACGAACUUUAGCGUGCCCAAAUUGGGUUUAUUCUCGGUAAGGUAUCGCAUUGGGCCGAGAAUUUAAUUGGGCAGAACUGUGGAUUUUUGGGCCUCAACAAUCUUAUAUAUAUUGGUUUUCUUUUUUUCCUUAAUAUUCACCACCUUUCUGUUGCAUAAGUAUUUCAGUCUUAACGGGUUUCCAUCUACCACUCAUCUUUGCUCUUUUAAGUGUAAGCUUUUUUUUUUUUUUUUUAAGCACAAGAUUAGAGGGGAGGGGGAUUUCUCAAUGUAAGCUUUGCAGUUUCAUAAUUAAUAUUUCCAAUAUCUCACUGUUAGUAAAAUAUGGAACAGGAAAAGUAUGAAUAAAAUACACACAUGUUUUAUUUAGCAAAAUUUUGACAAGAUACAACUGAAAAGUUUGGCCACUAUAUAAUAUUUUGAUAUAAUUUCUACACUUCUUCUCAAAAGAUUAGAUCACUUCACAUCUUGUGUAUGUGAAAACUAAUGUAAAAAGUUGAAACUUUAUCGUAAAACCUCGACAAAAAUGAGCUCUACUAGAAAAUGUUCAAUUUGGAUUCGUUGAUUUAAAUGGCAAUUUGACACUUGAUAGAAAUUUUUACAUACAUGUGUUAGUGUUUGAUCACUUCACAUGUUACUUACUAUAUUUAUUCCACUCAAGUUAGGUAAAUAUUAUUAUCAAACAUUUCAAUUAAUUUGUGAUUUUUUUAUUAUUUAAUCAAUUAUGAAUUAAUGGAUUCUUCUUGUUGUUUUGAAGACCAAUAAAAAAAAAAGGGUAAGGAUGGCUUAUAACUCUGAUAAAACAACAGUGACGUGGACAGCAGAUGUUACACCGUACUGAAGAUUUUUGAAGAUUCUUUAUUUGGGUUUCUUUCAAGAUGAAAACCAUAUUAUCCACAACCACAAUGAAGAAGACAGAAAAUGGAGUAAUUCAGAUGUUACCAGCCAUCCACGACAAACUGAAGUCUGCAAAGCAUUCGUAAUCUAAAGGGAGACUUUGGAAAAGCCCAAAGGAGAGAGAAAAUUUUUAAAAGAAGCAAAAAUGGACAAAAUUGCCCUUAUUUAUUUUUUGAUUUCCUAAGAAAUCCUUUACAUUUGCAUGUCUUUGGUUUGAAAGUUGAGAGGUUAUUCUGUCUUUUUUCAAAAAGCUUUGGCUUUUUCCAAAAGUGAAAGUUUUUUUAUGGGUAAAACCUAAAUUUACUUAAUCCCUAAAAAGGAUGGGGAGGCUGCGCAAUACUUAGCCACGUGUAGGCCAGGAGGCUUUCCAAUUUUAAUAUAUAUAUAAAUUGAAAAAAUAAAAUAAAAAUCAAUCUAUUAUCCUAUAUAAAAUAAAGAUUAUUGCUUCCAUGGGCAGUGCUAUGCACAGGACAGUGCCUGCCCAGCACAAAUUUUUUUUAAAUAAAAAAAAAAAAUCUACAUAUGUUAUAAGCUCAUCCAAAAAAAUAAAAUAAAAUAAAAGUAAAUUCUACAUAUAUGUUGCCCAUCUAGGUGGUUCCAUAUCUUCUCUCUCCUUCUCUUUUGGCUAUUAGACUUCUUGUUUCUCUCUCUCUCUUUGCUACCUCACAUCAGCAAGUUUCUCCCUCUCUUUUUUUGGGGUCAAAUUCUUCCUCUAUUGACAAAAUCUUCUAUUAUCUUGGGUGGGCAACUUGGCAACAACAUCUUCUCUUCUCCUUUUGUCAACAACAAGUAUUAUUCUCAUUCUCUCAUUUGCUAUAUAUCUUUAAUUAUAGUUUUAAUUUAAAAUUGAGUAUUCUAGGGUUUAAUUAGGGAUGAAUUAUAAUUUUAGAAUUUUGUUGAAAUUAAUUAAGGCUUCGAUUAGGGGUGAAUUAUUCUACUGCUUUGGUUUGGAAUUUUGUUAAAAUUGAGUAUUAUAGGGUUUAAUUAUGGAUGAAUUAUAAUUUUUGAUUUUGGUAUUAUUGAGAUGUUAUUAUGAGAAUUUGUUUCAUUUUUUUAUUGGUAUAUUUGAUUAAAAUUCUUUCUACAUAUUAUUCAUAGGCUAUCUUUUAUUAUGUCGGAUCACAAUCGGAAUCCCAAGAGAACAAAGAAUUUGAAUAGUGUUGUUUUGUAUUGCAUUGCAUUUACUUUUGGUUUUAGUUUUGCUUUUAGUGUAAAUUACUCAAAUGGUCCUCAAAUUUGUACCCGAUUUACAUUUUGGUCCAUAAACUAAAUUAUUCAUUCAAAUGGUGCACCAACUCUUUAUUAAUCAGUGCUUUGGUCCUACCGUUAUGUUUUCUAUUAAAUUUAGUCAUGUGAGCAGCACAUGCUACAUUUGUAGGGGUAAAUAAGACUUUUGACCACUUUAUCACCUAUGUAUCACCACUUUAUAACCUAUUUGGAGAACAUAGGUCAGUUAUGGACGGUUUUACAAUUAUAUUUGACGGCAACAUUAACAUAAUGUAACAGUGGGAUCAAUGGAGCGAUUAAUAUAGAGUUGAUGGACCGUUUGAACGAAUAAUUUAAUUGAGGGACCAAAACGUAAAUUGAGUAUAAGUUUGAGGACCAUUUGAGUAAUGUACCCUUCGCUUUUAUAUUUGUUGAACUUUUAUUUAUGGAUAGAUAUGCAUUUGAGGGUAAGACCCAUUAUGUUCCCCCUGACUUGGUGUAUCUUUUUAUGUUUAUUAAUGAAAUUCACUCGAACUGUUGAGUUUAGUAUGUAAGUUUUGCCUAACCGGCUUUUGAAUCCUAGAACCGCCACUGUUGCUCCAUCCUCCAUGCACUUGCAUGUGCUCUUACAAAGUGUGAAGUAGAUUUUGUGUGCUCCAAGUCAUUGACUAGAGCUGAAACAUGGUUAGCUAGAUUUAUAAGGACCCAUCUCUCUAUUUCCUAGACAUAUACCCAUCUCUCUAUAAAUCUAUAUGUAAAACUCAAUUUCAAACUUAAAUGACCAGUAAGAUAUAAGAGGUCAUAGUAUUCCUAUGUUUUUACAUCGUUGCCACCAGACUUCUUAUUUUAUUUAUAAUUUAUUUCAAGCAUUUCAUUAACUGCCAUAAUUGUAAUUAAUACUCCAUAUUAAUAGCAUAUCAAUCACCCCAUUUCUUUUGAUUGCCAUUCCCUCUAACAUAUCGCCCCUUAAAAUUGAAAACCAAAAAAAAAAAAAAUGUAAAUUACAUAUCCAAUAAUGUACCUAUGAAAAAUAUAAAUAUAAAUAUAUACGUAUAAAAAUAUAGGUUUAUUAUUUACCAAAUAAAAAAUAUAAAAAAACUAGGUCAGUUGCUUUGUAAUUGAAAUUUCUAUACAUUUUCCACAAAUUAAAAAUAGGUACACAAUAAUUUAUAGAAAAUAUAGGUGCAUUAUUUAUCCAUAGGUAAAAAUACCUAUAAAUGCACAUAGGUAAAUUAUUUACCCAUAUAUUAUUUUUUUGCUAAGGAUUUACCUUAGUUUUUAGUAGAUUAAUUUACCUACCUAGAGGCAUAGGUAGCUUAAAAAAAUUGUAGCACCUUAGUUGGUUGCAUACUAAUUUACCUACCUAGAGGCAUAGGUUGCUAAGAAAAAAUGUAGGUAAAUUCAUGUACCUAAACACAUAGGGGUCAAAUAGAGAAUAACAUGUUAUUUCCCUUCGAACAAAUUAAUUUCAAACCAUAACAAUAAUUGAAUUCGGAAAUUGGUAUAAAUAAAAGGAAAUAAAUAAGCUAUCAAUUUGAAAAUUAAAAUAAGAAAUGAUCAAGUAGUCAUAUUUGAAAAAAAAGAAAAGAAUAUAUUCUUGGUUUUUAUAGGAACAACGUGUAUAUUCAAACCAAAUGGCAGUAACUACACCAAGCUUUAAUUACUUUUUUUUAAGGCCAAAAGUCACUUUUGGUCUCUGUAGUUUGACACUUCUAUUACUUUUGACGCUGUAGUUUCAAUUCCGUCAAUUUUGCCAUUGUAGUUUCAUAUUUGUAGCAAUUCAAGGACAUGUUAAUAUUAAUGUCAAUUUGUUUAAUGAUGCAAGGGGUAAUUUCGUCAUCCCAAAAUCCUUGAGCAUAAAAGCUUGUCUGAAAUUCUCCCCAUUUCAUAUUAGGGCUCGAAAUUCAACCACUAAUCCCAAUUUUUGAAGAACCCUAUACCCAAAUGACCAAUUUCAAGCCCUAAUAACAAAUUAGGGAAGUUUUAGAUGAGCUUUUAUGCUCAAGGAUUUUGAGUUGAAGAAAUUGCCCCUUGCACUGUCAAAGAAAUUGAUAGGAAUACUGACUUGUCCUUGAAUUGCUACAAAUACAAAAAUACAGGGUCAAAAUUAACAGAAUUUAAACUAUAUGGUCAAAAGUGGUUAAAGUGCCAAACUACAAGGACCAAAAGUGACUUUUAGCCUUUUUGUUUAAAUAAGGAAAAAACUUACCUAUUAAAUCCUUGGAAUCUAUACAAAAUUGAAACACAGUUAAUCAGCAUUGAAUUGCAGCUAAUUUCUUAAACAAGGGUAUUAUAGGAAUUUAAAAAGUAUAACAUUUAAUCCAUUGAGCUUGAUUAGGAAUCUUGAUGAGUUGGAUCCUAGUUAUAUAGUUUCUCUUAUAAAAAUCGGGUUUUAUUUAUAGACAAAUAAAACAAUGGGUUGUAGGUAAGAAAAUAUUAAUUUGAAGGGAAAGUGUCACAUCCUGGGAUCGGCUCCGCCGUAGCACGAUAUUGUCCGCUUUGGGCCCCCCUCUCUGCCCGCACGGUUUUGUUUCUGGGAGCUCACGAGCAACUUCCCAGUGGGUCACCCAUCCUGGGAUUGCUCUGGCCCCCAACUCGCUUAACUUCGGAAUUCCUAUGACUCCGAAGCCAGUGAGCUCCCAAAAGGCCUCGUGCUAGAUGGAUGCGGGUGUGUACAUAUAAGACACAUCACCCCCUCUCCGUUGGUUGAUGUGGGAUCUUACAGAAAGAGUCAAAUUUACUAAAUUAAUAAAGCAUAAAUUGGAAAGGGAAAAGAUCUAGAGGAUGCAUUGUAGGAUUGCUCAUGCCAAUAAUUGCACCCUCUCGAUAUUGAAAAACCUAUUGUGUAUUAUUAUCUUCAAUCAUGAAUGAUGCACCUAAAACCCAAGUGUCCCAAGCCAACCAUUGCGCUCAUACCACUUGUUGCAGUACACAUUCACCCGUUUUUAAAGAAAGAAAUUCUACCAAUCGAUAUUGUCUCAAAUUUAAUCACAUAGGUCUAUUAUGGUUAACCAUAUGUACUUUUAUCGGCCAUAUAGAGGUACCUUUUUCCAACGUGCAACAAUUGUAUUUGAUUCACAAUUAUGUCUGAUAUACAUCACAUCAUGCCACUUGCCUCAAAUGAAUUUAAUUGAGUGAGGCAAUGGGAAGUAAUUAAGCUCUAUAUUGGUGGGUGGAGUGUUACUUCUGGAACCCUCAUCAUUCGUCCAUACAAGGGAACAAUUCCCUUCCUUCUAUAAAAUGGUGAAGCCAGUUGCUAUUGUUUGUUAGAGUUUUAGGAUCUGAGUGUUAGAUUUUGUGAGAAGAGAGAAGAGAAUUUAGUGAAAACUUCCAAUACUGCUCUGCUAUACGUGUAGCAGAGAGAACAUUCUGUUUUGUUAUAUAUUUUCAGUACAACAACACACACUUGGUGUGAGAAGAAAAAUGACUGUUAUGCACAGUACCAGCUGGAUGCUUUCCAUCAAAGUAAUCUCAGCCAUUCACUAUCUAACCAAUCAAGCUAUGACACCUGGACUAAGUAUAAAGAAAUACAACUAAGCAGAAAACAAGACUCUUAAUCCUGAAAUCAACUUAAGCACUUAUAAUUCAACACUCCCCUUUAAGUCUUGAGGUGAUUUCACUCCAAGCAUGCCUCUGAGAUAAUUGAAUCUGUCUUUGGCCAGAGGUUUGGUAAAAAUGUCAGCCAAUUGUUCAUUUGUAGGACAAUAUUCCAGAUUGAUUACCCCUUCUUGCAAUGCAUCCUUGAUGAAGUGAUACCUCCUGUCAAUAUGCUUUGUCUUCUGGUGGAAUACAGGGUUUUUAGUGAUUGCAAUUGCUGAGAUAUUAUCACAAUGCAAUGGAGUAGCUUCAGUUUGAAGCUCUCUAAAGUCUUCUAGCACAAAACGGAGCCAAAUAGCUUGAGUAGUAGCCUCAGCUGCACUGAUGUACUCAGCUUCUGCAGUAGACAGUGCAACACAGUUCUGUUUCACUGAGGCCCAAGAAAAUACUCCACUUCCAAAACUAAACGCAUACCCUGAUGUGCUCUUGCAAUCACCAACUGAUCCUCCCCAAUCACUGUCACAGUAACCAACUAGAAUUGAUCUUUUGCCUUUCACAUAUUCAAGACCAUAGUCCAGAGUUCCUUUGAUGUAUCUCAAAACCCUUUUAGCUGUUCCAUAGUGUCUAUUUGUAGGACAGUGCAUGAAUCUAGCUAGCAAGCUUGAGGCAUACAUGAUGUCUGGUCUUGUAGCAGUUAAGUACAGCAAGCUACCAACAAUGCUUCUGUAUUGUUCUUCAUUUGCAGCUCAACUCCCAUCAUCCUUAGCUAGUUUCUCAGUGGCAACAAGGGGUGUUGUCACAGGUUUGCACUCAGUCAAACCAAACUUGCUCAACAAGGUGCUAGCAUAUUUCUUUUGAUGUAGAAAUAUACUAGACUCAGUCUGAAUAACUCCCAUGCCAAGAAAGUGAUGAAGUAAGCCCAAAUCAGUCAUCUCAUACUUAGCCAUCAUGUCUUCUUUGAAUUCAGCCAACAAUGCUUGACUGCUCCCUGUAUACACAAUAUCGUCUACAUAGAUAGACACAAUUAGAAUCUCCUUAUCUCCCCUUACUUUGGUAUAUAAGGUUGUUUCACUUAAGCUUUUCACAAAACCACAUUGAGUGAAGUAGCUGUCUAUCUCUCCAUACCAAGCCCUUGGGGCUUGCUUCAGACCAUAAAGGGCUUUAUGCAAACGAUAAACCUUGUCUUCUUUACCUUUAAUUACAAAACCUUCAGGCUGACUGACAUAAACUUCCUCUUGCAGCACACCAUUAAGGAAAGCAGACUUCACAUCAAGCUGGAACAAUUUCCAAUCCUUUUGAGCAGCUAGAGCAAUAAGUGUUCUAAUGGUGUCCAAUCUGGCUAUAGGUGCAUAAGUCUCAUUAUAAUCCAGUCCAGGCUUCUGAGCAUACCCCUUAGCCACUAAUCUUGCUUUAUUCUUUUGCACUGAGCCAUCCAAAUUCAGCUUUGUCUUGUACACCCACUUAACUCCAAUCACUGGUUUUUCAGUUAGUCUAUCUACCAAUUCCCAUGUUUCAUUCUUUUCAAUCAUCUGCAGUUCAUCUUCCAUAGCCUUAAGCCAAGAUUCAUCCUGAGCAACAUCAGCAUAUUUUUCUGGUUCCAUGAUACACAAGUUACACUGAGCUAGAACAUCAUCUAGCCUUCUCCAUUUUAGAGGGGUGUGAUCAUAAGCUUGAGUUCUCCUUUCUUCACUGCUUAUAUCACCUGGAGUUGAUGAAAUGCUCUCUUGCAUAUCCAAAGUUUGAGGUGUACCAGUAGAAUUCUCAUUAGAACUGUCAGAUUUCAAGUCCAAAUCAACUUGGUUUUCAAUUGAGUAUGUUGUCAUAACUGAACCAUUUUUGUUUGUCCAAUGCCAAGCAUUUUCUUCAUCAAAUGUCACAUCCCUUGAUAGUAAAAGCUUGUUAGAAACAGGAUCAAAAACUCUAUAUCCUUUUUCACAAGUUGCAUAUCCCACAAACACUCCCUUUGUACUCUUAGGAUCCCGCUUGUGUCUCAAUUCAGUUGGCACAUGAACAUAACACAGAGAACCAAACACUUUCAGAUGUGCAAUUCCAGGCUUCCUUCCACUAUAUGCUUCGAAUGGAGUAAUGUUGUUGAGAGCUUUGGUAGGACAUCUGUUCAGCAAAUAGAUAGCUGUAUGCACAGCUUCUGCCCAUAGGAAAUAAGGCAUUCCCUUCUCAUGUAACAUUGAUUUUGCCAUCUCAAUGACAGUUCUAUUCUUCCUCUCAACUACUCCAUUCUGCUGAGGAGUAUAGGCCAUUGUAAGCUGCCUUUGAAUGCCAUUAGCUUCACAAAACUCCAAAAAAUCAGUAGACAUAAACUCUCCACCCCUGUCACUUCUUAUGCACUGAACCUUGUGUCCAGUUUGUAAUUCAGUCAUGGACUUGAACUUCUUGAAACAAAAGAAGGCUUUUGACUUGUUUCUCAAGAAGUAUACCCAAAUCAUUCUUGUGAAAUCAUCUAUAAUCAGCAUGAAAUAUCUGUUCCUUGCAACAGACUCAUUUCUCAUGGGACCACAGAGAUCCACAUGUAUUAGCACUAGUACUUUGCUUGCUCUUUGAGCUUGAUCUUUUGGAAAAACAUUUCUGUGCUGUUUUCCAAAUUGGCACCCGUCACACACACCACUUUGUUCUUCCAAUUUUGGUAAACCAUGUACCAUUUCUUUAUCACUUAGCUGCUUCAAUCCUCCAAAAUGCAGAUGACCAAAUCUCUUGUGCCAAAUCCAUGUGGAUUGAAGAAAACUAGUCUUCAUUAGUAACUGUUUUUCAGCUAGAAAAGAGACAGGAUAGCAUCUGUUACUCUUCAUUUGCACCUUUAUGAUGAGAUAAUCCAUGGAUGGGCUAUCAAAUACCCUGCACAUCCCUUCUCCAAACACUAGACAGUACCCAUGUUCAUCCAUCUGCCCAACACUUAGCAGAUUUUCUUUCAAUCCUGGCAGAUACAUUACUUCUCUGAUGUAUUUCCUGCCCUUUGCUGUAUCAAUACUCAGUGAGCCAAUACCAGCUACACUCACUAAUGCACCAGUUGGCAUUUGUACUCUCCCAGCUACAUUAGUUCUCACAUCAACCAGCAAAUCUAAAUUUCCUGUCAUAUGAUUGCUGCAGCCACUGUCAAUGUACCAUUCAUUGGUUUUGAUCUCAGUGGUUGAGCAAUUGGCAUAAAACAGGUUUCCUGUAACCUCCAUUUGAUUUACACAAUUAGCCUUCUGCACAUUUUUGCUCACUGUACAGUCUCUAGCAAGAUGUCCAACUCUGUCACAGUUAUAGCAUUUUGGUUUUCCCUUAUACCUGCACUCACCAAAAUGAUGCUUUGAACACACCUUGCAUUGAGGCUUUGUGUUUUCCUGAUUUGAGAACUGUGUUGAAGUGUGGUUCUGUGCAGAAUAAUUAUUCUGCUGUGUCUUGUCUUUUGCCUCCCAUGACUUCCCUUUAGAGUUCCAGCUUCUCUGUGACUUAGAUGAACCAGACUGAGAAGCAUUUUUGUUCUGACCCUUUGAAUUCACAGUGAAUGAGGCAAAUGCCUUCUCAGCUGUAUCAACACUAUGCAUUUCAAGCCUUUGCUCCCGACUCUUCAAAAUGGCAGUUACUUCCUGCAAAUCCACAGUUUCUAGUGUCUUUGUGUUUUCAAUCACAAUGCAUAUAGGGUCAUACUUCUUACUUAGACUAAUUAACACCUUCUGAACCUACCUCUCAUUUGACAGAACUUCACCAAAUGUUUUCAUUUGGUUAAUCAAUUCAGUUAGUCUAGUAAGAUAUUCAGAUAAGGUUUCACUAUCACGCAUCCUACUGUAUUCAAACUCACGUCUAAGGUUUUGAAGCUUUACCGAUCUAACAUGCUCUCCACCAUGAUAUUCUGAGUACAGCAGAUUCCAAGCCAUCUUUGCAGAGUCAGCAUUGGCAAUUCUGGGAAAAAUCUGAUCAGAAACAGCAUUUUGAAUGAUACCCAAGGCCUUCGCAUCCUUCAUGAGAAUCGCAGCUGUUUUCUCAUCAACUUCUUCUUCUGAACCAUCCUCAGAUUCCUGCUUCGUCUUUGAAUCUGGGAUUAAAAACCCCUUCUCUACCAAACCCCAUAAACCAUAUGAUCUGAAUAUGGUUACCAUCUUAAUCCUCCAAAAUUCAUAGUUCUCACCUGAGAAAAUGGGGAUUCUAGCCUCUGAACUUCCAGAUCCAGCCAUUACGAAUUUCAGAUUCGCCUGGAAACAAGAUGUUUUCAGAUUUGACCCUUGAUCGAGCUCAAUCAGCUUCGUGAGCUUAGAAUGAGCUCACCUCGAUCGAUUUUCUUCACAGAACAACGCCCAGCUUCAGAUAAUCAAACUUGGCUCUGAGGCCAUGUUAGAGUUUUAGGAUCUGAGUGUUAGAUAUUGUGAGAAGAGAGAAGAGAAUUUAGUGAAAAUUUCCAAUACUGCUCUGCUAUACGUGUAGCAGAGAGAACAUUCUCUUUUGCUAUAUAUUUUCAGUACAACAACACACACUUGGUGUGAGAAGAAAAAUGACUGUUAUGCACAGUACCAGCUGGAUGCUUUCCAUCAAAGUAAUCUCAGCCAUUCACUAUCUAACCAAUCAAGCUAUGACACCUGGACUAAGUAUAAAGAAAUACAACUAAGCAGAAAACAAGACUCUUAAUCCUGAAAUCAACUUAAGCACUUAUAAUUCAACAUUGUUACCAUAAGAGCCAGCUCCGACUUUCUUUAAUUUCAGUCCUAACGGGGUUUCAUCUUCCACUCAUCUUUGCUCUUCUCAGUGUAAGCUCUGCAAUUUGAUUAACUUUCCCAUUAUCUCUCACUGUACUCUAUAUAAAGGAAUAAGUGUCGUCCACUAAUUAAUUACACUUUGUGAGAUUUGAUUUUAAUUAGAGUUCGAAUUGAUGUUGCAGCUAGCAGCGGUGGCACUGGCAAACCAUGCUGCUCAACCAGCACCUCAACUUUACUGGAACUCCGUCCUGCCAAACACACAAAUGCCAAGAGCUAUCAGUGAACUUCUGCAUCCUGGUUUGUGUUGAAUAAAUAUAGUAUGUUACUGGAGUACGUAUGGCAACAUAUUCACAAAUGUGUCACGUAUUUUCCAAUAUGACGUUGAUAUAUAAUUGCAGACUCCACAAACGAAGAAAAGAGCACAAAUGUCAUGAAUGCUGUUGGGAAUGGAAAGCCAAUUGACCACAAGGGCAACCUGAAAAUACUGUACUACCACAGCUUGCACGACGCCCAUUUUCUUACAAGAGUGAUGAUCGUCCCACUGACAAUCAACUCCAUUAUAAAAACGUAGCUAUUUUCUUCUUGGAGAAGGACAUGCGCCCUGGCACAACAAUGAGCUUCCAAUUCCCUAGAAAUUCAAACACGGCUACUUUCCUGCCACCAGAAAGAGCUCAAUCGAUCCCCUUCUCCUCUAACAAACUACCAGAAAUUUUCAACCAUUUUUCAGUGAAGCCAACAUCUGUGGAAGCCAAAACAAUUAAGCAAACAAUCGAAGAGUGUGAGGCUCCAGGCAUUAAGGGAGAGGAAAUAUAUUGCGCCACAUCUUUAGAAUCAAUGGUUGAUUUUAGCACUUCGAAUUUUCGAACAAGAAACGUUCAAGCAAUCUCGACAGAGGUAUUGGAAAAAGGUGCCACCAUGUCCAUGCACAAGCAUACAACAAUGCCGGGACUGAAGAAGUUGGCAGGUGACAAAGUCGUUGUGUGUCAUAAGCAGAACUAUCCCUAUGCUGUGUUUUACUGCCAUGUAAUAAAACCAACAGCAGCUUAUGUUCUCUCCCUGAAAGGCGAUGAUGGGGUGAAGAUUAAAGCAGUAGCCAUCUGCCAUCUAGACACAUCAGAAUGGAACCCAAAGCAUUUGGCCUUCCAAAUCCUCAAAGUUAAGCCCGGAACAAUUCCCAUCUGCCAUUUCCUUCCCACUGAUCAUAGUGUCUGGGUUCCGAACCACAAAUCUGCAUGAUCAUCACUUAGCACUGUACGUAUAAUAAGCUUGCACCCCUGUAUAAUUAUCUCCCUACUCUACUUAUUUCUGCCUCUUCAUGUGGUGUAAGAUAUAUGAUGAGAUGAAGUUUUUGGGAUUAGUGGUCGGGUUGCCUUAAAAACACAGAUUACAGAAACUGCUUGAACUUAACCCGAUCAUGUUUUCUCUUGUACUCGUAAAGCAUGCUGUUGUGGUUCUACUUAAUUUCGUUCUCCCCAAUGUUUGAGUGUUUAAUUGUUACGUUGGAUAAUGCUUGUAGUUAGAGAAGCCUUCAUUUAUAUCAAAGUCCUCAACUUGUAAAGAUAUCAAUGGUCCUAGUGCUGCCACGUGUAAGAAGAUUGAAGAAUAAAGCUGUUGAGAUAUUGUUAGACCUGUUAUGCAGUUUAGGAAAACUGUUAGUAUUGAUAAGAGAAGGUUAGAGAUGUUAGAGAGGUUAGAAAACACGUGAACAAGGCUUUAACUCAGCUGAUAUAAAGUCUGUAGUUGUGCUCAGUUGAACUUAAUGAGAAAUACAACAAGUCUCUUCUCUAUCUCUGAAAUUCUCUCUGCUCUCUCUGCUUUACUUCUUUUGUCUCUGCUCUACAUUUUUUUUCAAUCUUCCUAUCUUAACAAAACUAUCAAGAAUUAAUGCAUCCAGAAACAUAUAUACCAAGACGCAAAACAACAUAUUUUUCAUGCUCUGUCUGUAACACCAAAGCAAACUUCCUUUAUCACAAAAGGAUCAAAUUCCAGUACUAAUCUAAUCCAUCAUGUAAAGCAUACAAUCUACAAGUGCCUCCCUUAAUUUGUCCAUUGGAUAUAUAUGUCACUUUUUGGUAAUUUGGUAUAGCAGCACCACGUAGUCUUGAAAUAGUAGUGCGGCUAUACCAAAUAUACCAUUUGCCCCUGCAUUUAACAGAAAAGUAAACAAAAUUGACGGUAGAACUAUUUGUCCUAACGAAACUGCAGUUGAAAGACCAUGAGAACGAUUUUGAAAAUUGAGGGACUCAAAUGAAAAUUGGGUCUAAGUUCAAGAACCAAUAAAACGAUUAACCCAUAGAUUUUGGAUCCAGUACCACAUCCCAAAGAGAAAACCACAAGUUUGCAAGCAAGUUUGUCCAUAAUAACACUACGUACAGUAUGGGCAGUGCGCUAGACUCAUCUCACUUUCUCAACCUAUCCUAUAGUUGUCUAAAAGAGUUUCUAAUUUAAUGUACUGAGAUUUACGAAAGAAAUAUCAGAGAAACAAUUUUCAGGCAAUAAAAAAAUGUCUUGGCAAGAAAAUGUACAAUUUGUUACAUAACUUAUUAAAUAUGAACAGUUGAAAGAAAAAAGAAUCUGGAUGAGGGAUUUGCAAAUUCCUAUGGCCCAAUUACCUUUUUUUCUUUGUUGUUUUUUUUUUUUUUUUUUUGGUUCUUUUGAUCCAGUAGCAUAUUCCAAAGAAUGAAAACCACAGGCAUGCAAUGCAAGCUCUUUUCCCACGUUUUCCUCUGUUUUUCUCCUAUCAUGGAAGUGAUUAAAACACACCUCUAAGCUUGUUUUGCGUUUGGUAGCCGAGUGUAAAAGCUCAAUGCAAGAUAGUUUGAGGUAGAAUUUUCUCCUAUUUUAUUAGGACAAUGAUAAUUAAAAAAAAGUGUGAUUCAUUGAAUAUUUGCGGGGUUUUGUUCAGACCUGACAAAGUUCUAAGUCAACACAUCAAAUUCCUUUUUCCAACAUGCAACAAUUGUAUUUGAUUCCCAAUUUUUUCUGAUAUACAUCACAUCAUGCCACUUGCAUCAAAUGAAUUUAAUUGAGUGAGGCAAUGGGAAGUAAUUAAGCUCUGUAUUCGUGGGUGGAGUGUUACUUCUGGAACCCUAAUAAUUCGUCCCUACAGGACUCUAGAACUCUCAAACUUCUUACAAGGACUACUUAACUCUAUAGCUUAAUGCAUAUAGCAUAUAUAUGCAAACACAAUUAGAAAUUCUACAACAGAAGCAAGAUCAAUCUCACUAUGCCUUCUAAACAAACAAACAAAUAAAACAAGCAUAUUAAUUGCUUUAAUCACUCUACUAACAUCAACACAGCACACUUAGUUUACUAACAGAUGAUAUAGAAAGGAAAAAAAAGGACCAAUAGGGAGAAAAUGGUGAACUAAGGAGAGACUAAUACUUCUGGUCCUUAGAAGGCAUAACAGAAAUAAUAGAGCACACUGCUUGAAUGCAAGUCAGUAUUAGGAGCAAAACAGCUGCAAUGAAAGAAAUAGUUGCCCAAGGUGUAUUGAAAUAAUGUUGCCUCAAAUUUGCCUUCCAUUUGUUCCAAGGCUUUCUGCAGUAGCUAUUAAGGCGCUCAGAAAGAAUAGCAAAGUAGAAGCUUUCACGAUACACUGCAAUUCCUUUUCCGAGGUUGUUAAUCAGAGUGCACACCUCAUUGUAGUCACCAAGCAUAUUUUUGACAAUCCCAUCCUUCAGAAGGAACUCCACAUCCUUUUCGGUGUUCACAAACUCAUCCAUGAGUGAAACAUAAUCACUUAUGUAAUUCUUACGGCAAUGGCACUAUUCAAAGGCAAUGAGGUUACGGAGUGUGAGCUCUGUGUAAUCGUGUAUUUUUAGUUUUGGAAUUUCUAGAAUCCCAUCGUUGAAUUGUGUUAACGCAGCUUUCCUUUCCUAGCCUACACGGAAGUCAACUUCACAAUCUCCUCCUAGCAAUUAGUCUUUCCUGCUGUAAAUCAGAUUUCCUACUGUAAAUCGGAUUGUAUUCAUGUCUAUAUUAUUUCCUACUUUAAGUAGAUAUCUUGUACUAGUAUAAAUAGGGACUUUGUGUAAUCUGUUAAAUACAAGGAAAUAUAUACUCUGCAUGGUAUCAGCCUAACCUAGGGUUCUCUCUCUCUCCCUUAUUCGAUCCUCUUCUCCUUUAGGUCCACCUCAUGGCUUUGUCUGAAUCCACCAUCUCCCUCCCAAGCCCCAACUCUUCUAUUUUAUCAAGCUUAUUGACUCCAACUAUCUUCUUUGGCUCCGCCAACUCAAACCCUUUUUAGUCGGCCAUGACCUCUGGAAAUUUAUCGAUGGCAUUCAUAAACAACCUUCUGCCCACACCUCCACCUCUACCACCGCAACACCCACAACCACCACCACUCUUACCCAAAUCAAUCAUGCCCAUGCUCAGUGGUACCAACAAGACCAACUCAUUGUUAGCUACAUCACCAAUACACUCUCUGAGUCCAUUCUCUUUCUCACUGUUGGUUGCACCUCUGCCCGGGAUCUCUGGGAGUGUCUCCAACGCCACUUCUCUCAAUCCAGUAUGGCCAGUGAAUCUACUCUUCGUUUUAAACUCAUGGAUUUGCAAAAAGGCUCUGAACCCACUUAUGCUUACAUUCGUCAUGCUAAGUCCUUUGCCGAUUCACUGGCUGCCAUCAAUGAACCUGUCUCCCCAAAAGAACUUGUCACUACUGUGCUUUGGGGUUUAAGACCCUAUUGCAACAUCCUCGUCACAGCAAUUCUCAAUUUCCCUCUGCUUCCUAACUUUGCUAAUCUUCGUGCUCGUUUGUUAGCAUUUGACGCACAGACUCCUUGAAUCUCUCCUGAUCAAAACACAGCGCAAAUGGCCACCCAAUCCUCUCCUCACACCACCGGUCAUACUUCCUUCCCUUCUCACCGUGGUGGUGGCUCUUCCAACAACAGGCGUGGUGGCCUCGGUGGCUGGCGCAAUAGCGGCCGGGGUGGCUGGCGCAGCUUCUCAUCUUCCUGGAGCAACCCGUGGAAUGGCUUCCAGCAGCUCCAAUGACCUAAUCAACCAUGGCCUCCUUUUGCUCCAAGUUCUGGAUCUCAAAGCAACUGGCCUUCCUUUCAGCCUCCUUGGGCCUAAUCUGCCGCUUCUAUCAAACACUUUGCCCGGCCCAACUCAGCUCCUGGUGUCUUGGGACCCGCUUGGUGCACUACCUGCAAUACCAAUCACAUACUACUACAAUAUGUCCUCAUCGCUACAAUGGCCCAGAAUCCUUUCUUUGCUAGGGCUCAAUUCAUGUAGCCACCUGACUCUACUUGGUACCCUGACACAAGUACCACUCAUCAUAUGAUUGGUAGUCCUUCUAAUCUCCAAAAUCAAUCCUUCUAAUCUCCAAAAUCAACAGCCAUAUCAGGUUCAUAAUUCUGUAUUUCUUGGUAAUGGAGAUUCUCUCCCUAUCUCUCAUACUAGCUCUCUCUUUUGUCUUCCAUCUCUUCGUACUAAUCUUCUUUUUGUUGCCCAUUUUACUUGUGAUAAUUUAGUUUUCUUUGUCUUUACUCUUGACUUUUAUCAAAUCUAUGACUUAUGUACUGGUUCGUUACUCUUUCAGGGCCCUUCUAAAGAUGGUCUUUACCCACUUUCCAUCUCCUCUCACUCAUCCAUAGUCCCCCAUGCCCUUACCACCGUGCACUCUCCUGCUUGGCAUCAUUGCCUUGGCCAUCCAUUCCAUCGUGUGCUCUCUCAUUUAGCGCCAUCUCUAGGCUUUAAAGUUUCUCAUGCUUUCUGUAAGGAUUGUGCACUUAGCAAAUCCACCAAACUGUCAUUUCUUAGUAAUAAAACCUUUGCCCCAUCUCCCUUUUAUUUAAUUCACUCUGAUGUAUGGAUGUCCUCGGUCAUUUCUGUCACUGGUUAUCGCUAUUAUGUCUUGUUUACAGAUGACUUUUCUCGUUACUCCUGGAUCUAUCAUAUGCACCGUAAAAAUGAGGUCUUUUCUCACUUUCAAACCUUUCUUGCUAUGGUUAAAAAUCAAUUUCACACCACUGUACAAAUUCUUUAAAGUGACAAUGGCACUGAAUAUGUUAAUAAUGCUUUCUCUGAUCUUUGCAGUCAACUAGGCAUCCACCAACGUUUCACAUGUCCCCACACUCCCCAACAAAAUGGCCUAGCUGAACAUAAACACAGACACAUUGCCACCAUGAUCUGUCCCCGGUCAUUUAUUCAACCAUCUUGACCUUUUGCUUGAUCAUUUUCCACAAGCAACCGUCCACGUACCCCAAUAAUUUAAAAGGGCUGAUGAUCUUUAAUUUGGUGAAAGCUUCUAUCUACCUACCGUGCUAUAUAUGAGCUAUGCAAUCGUGACCGUGUUACAUGACGUCCCAAUGUCGUAGGGAUAAAAAAAUAAUAGUCAUGGUUUUCUUAUUAAUGUCAAUACAUUCAUAGCAAAGAGCUUGUAGCUCUAGUGGUUAAGAGCAAUUACCCAUGCACUUGAGAUAUUUUGUGUUUAAAUCCCCUCUUCCCCAAUAUUUCUUGUAUAAAAAUAAAAAUAACAAUAAUAAUGACAUUAAUGUUGUAUUCUAUAAAGUGUUGGACAUGUUUUAUACCCCUUUCUUGCAAAUUACAGUUUGCCACGUGUACAAAAAUAAUAGAUAAGUGUUGGACAUCAAGAGCACUUACAUAUAGGUUUAAUAGGUAAGUUUUGAAUAUUUCUGUAUUUAGCUUUAAAUAUUGAAAAUCAACCUAUUAGCAUAUUAAAGAUUUGUCCAUAUUCGACGUACAUUCUCUUAUUUUUCUCUCAUUGAAGUAAAUACAAAACUAAGCACAUAGUGGGAAAGUGCGUCACGAUUAGGGGUGGGUUUAGUCUAGGUUGGUUCAUUUUUGGGCUCAAUUUGAACACCGAACUGUAAGCUUCGGUUUGGCUAUUUUGGAAACCGAAACCAAACCAUAAUUGAUGAAAACCGACCACUUCGAUUACCUUCUGGUCUUCCAACCAGAAGAAAACUCAAAACUUUAACCAUACCAAGUGCAACAGAAUUACACCAGGCUGGAUUCAAGUUUAUGAUGGUUAAAGAUAAAAACUUAUUUGACAUACAAUUUGAGAAUGGAAUCCUCAAAAUUCCACACCUGCGAAUACGGGGUUUAACAGAAAUUUUCUUCCGCAAUCUUAUUGCCUAUGAGCAGUGUGAGCUUCAUGAUCAUUACAUCAACGACUAUGUCUUCAUCAUGGACCGCCUGGUCGACAGUGCCAGGGAUGUGGAAUUGCUUGUGAAGAGUGGAAUUCUUGAAUCUAUGCUACCGGACAGCGAGGCAGCAGGGGAAUUUAUUAAUUCUCUUGACUUGGGGCCUAUUUUAGGCAAGCUUGAAACAAGACUAUUUCAGUUCACCAUGGGCUGGCCUGUCUAUUAUUGUAGCCGCUAUACUAGUUGUGCUCACAUUUAUUCAAACAGUGUGCUCCGUAAUGGCGCUGUAGGUUCUUCAUUUCCUCAAUUUCAUGUUUAGUGGUUGCAGAUUUGUUGCUCAUGUACGUGUUUAUCUAAAGUUAAAUAAGAGUGAUUGACUGGAUUGACUGUUAGUCUGUUAGUUUGUUUUUCUGGGGUUUUUCCCCCCUGUUCGUCAAAAAAAAAAAUAAAAGAGUGAUGGCUUGUGCCUAUGAAAAUUACUUAGGAGUAUGCUCCACAGAGCCAAAAUAAAUAAACUAGGGAAGUGGAGGUUCUUCUGUUUGUAUAUAAAUGAGCAAUUCAAACUCUCAGUGCCAAGGGAGUUACCCUUGAUACAUUUGUUAAAAAUUAUAUAUUUGGUCUUACAUCAAACAAAUAAUUUGAAGGGCUUUUUUGACAACUGCUGACAGCGUUUGGCAGAAAAGUUUAGAAGCGCUUCUACGCUUCUAGAUCAUAAAAGUGCUUUACCAAAAAGCACUUAGAUUUCUUAUGAAAAUUUCAACAUUUUUAUAAUAAAAGCGCUUGCUAGAAGCACUUAUAAGCAGAAGUGCUUCAUAGAGAAGCAGUCCCAAACGAGCUUGAUUUUCAAAUGUGCUGCUUAAGAAGAAAUUUAAUACGUUUUGAAAACAAAAAAAAAUACGAAAUUUAAUACGUUUGUUUUACAAAUUGUAUUAAUUGUUAUCAAUAAUACUUGUGCACACCCACAACAUACUUCUUUCUUUCUUUAUUUUCCUUCAGUACAGUUCUGCCUUUCUUUAAUUAUUUUUAACGAAUGCAAAGAGUUUGUCACAAAAUCAAGGAUUGAAAAAAAAAGAGAGUAAAUUAUGUGCUAGAGAAACUUUCCUGCAGAAAUUGAAGAACAACUCUAGUUUCUCUCUUUCGCCUUGUACUCCCGCACUGAGGUUAGUAUUGUUAUAAUGUGCAGAUUAUACGGUCACUCUUGUAUAAUGGCGAGAAGGCUCUAAUUAUAUUUUUGAACCUCUUUGACAGGACCCGCCCCGAAUUUCCCGAAACCCAAGACGAAUUCUGUGGAAAUUCCCUACAUCACCCCGAUGUUGGGCCCACUUCUAAAACUAUAUCAUUUUUCCUAAAAAGGAAUAAGGGCACGAGACUUUCUACCGAAAUUUCGGCAGAGUCUCUCCUGUAAAUUGAACAUUUCCCAAAAUUUCAACCUGCAUAAAACACAUUUUAUAUUACCCAACUGGCAGCAUGCACAAAAUAAUAACAUGCAAUUCACAUAAACGGCCUCUGGCCCUCCGGUAAUUCAGAGCAAUGCAAACUAGCAACUCUAAACCUAAUAAAACAACAUAAGUAACAUUUAGCCAGCGGCUGCACCCAGGCACUACCCUAGGCUACCUACGUACCCUUACUAAGGGAUCAAGCCACACGUAGUUCUUUCAUACAAAAUUUCCAAAUCCAUCAACAUGCAAUCAAUUACAGAAUCCCAAACAAAAUCUUUCUCAAACAUCAUUAGUUCCCAACUCAGUAUAAUAAUCCUUAAUUCAUCUCUGUAAUAAUCACAAUAUCUCCCCAUACGCCGGAACUACCAACACCACGUAUGGAGCCUGCCUGUACGCCAGAUAACCAACGACACGUGGGACCUCAUCAUCAUAUCACAUAAUCUCCCCAUACGCCGAAACUACCAACACCACGUAUGGGGUCUGUCAACACGCCGGAUAACCUACGACGUGUGACCUCAACAUCAAAUCACAAUAUCUCCCCAUACACCGGAACUACCUACGCCACGUAUGGGGUCUGUCCACAUGCCGGAUAACCUACGACACGUGGGACCUCAUCAUCAUAUCACAUAAUAUAUUAACGAUCAAGAAAUAUCACUACGGUCAUUUAAUCCUCCUGGGAAGGUAAAACUAUCUCAGGAGACUCACGGUCAACCAAGGGUCAAACUACCUCAUACUUGGACAAACGAGCCCACGGAGCCCACAACCUCCGUUUUACUAUCCAAGAGUUCCUAUAGGUUCUACAAGGUUUAGGAUACACGGCUUGCAAGUUUGGUCAAGAUCAGACGGUCGGAUCGCUCACGAUAGGACGGUUACUGCAAACCUAGCCCUAGGGUUGGCAUUUUCGGAGUAUCCGAAACUCCGUUUUACGAUCUGUCGAAUCAUAGACGAUCCUAAGGAUUUGCAGACUAACUAUAAUAAAUUCAAGACCAUCCAACGGUCUAAACCUAUCGAACCCGGAUAACGCGCAAUAGGCAAUAUCCAAAUUGAAAUCCGAGCACACCUACGCACUCGUGAGGACUAGGAGAUUACAUCGGGACAUAGUGCCCUUUUUCUACAGUGCCCAUGAGCCGCCGCACGCACCAGCAACGCGUGGGUGCCCAAAGCGAUUAUGCAUCGCCAAAAAAUCUCAAAACCACGGCUCAAGACUCCUACCCUAGGUAUAACACCCUAUUUGGAACCACUUUUGUUCUUGGACCUACCCCAAAAACUGAUCAGAAGUGGCCGGAAUGGCUGAAAUGUAAUUCAAAAAUCAAGCUACCAACGCUCAAAAUCGAUGCAAUCCUACCCAACCAUCAACUAGAUUAUGAAGAAUGGAUAAAUUUCCAUACCUUGAUCGCCAACAAUGGCGGCCGGAGGAGAGAGAUCUGAUCCGGCGAAGUUCGAGUGAAAACGGCCAAAAAUCAUCUUUUUCAGGCGGCUGGAGGGCGACCGAUGUCAGGGAAGGGCAGGGUCGUGACGCUAAGGCUGAGCCUGUCCUUUUGGCACCGGUCCCUUCCGCAGCCGUGUCCGGUGGCUGGAGUUUCGAAGAGAGAGAGAGAGAGAGAGAGAGAGAGAGAGAGAGAAAUCUGAUUUUUAUCAAACCUUUUUGCCAAAAUUACGGUUAUGCCACUGAGGGUAUUUUGAUAGUAUCUCUCUCGUUACAACUUCGAUUCGAGCCCACCACGUGUGUACGGACUCAUCUAACUGUGUUGUACGCAACGGUAUAGUCGAAAUUCCCAAAUUAUUUCCUUGUCAAAAAGUCAACUUUAAACAUUAUAAAAUAUUUUAGGGAAAAAAUGGUAUUUUCUCUCAAUAAAUUAGUAACUAAUUUAUUUAGGACUGGGUCAUUAUACUCUUUUUCGCUUCAAUGGAUGGGAAAAAAUUUUAUGUAAUAUCCCACAUCGACCAACGAAGAGGGGGCGAUGUGUCUUAUAUGUACAUGCCCGCCUCCAUCUAGCAUAAGGCCUUUUGGAAGCUCACUGGCUUCAGAGUCAUGGGAACUCCGAAGUUAAGCGAGUUGGGGGCUAGAGCAAUCCCAGGAUGAGUAACCCACUGGGAAGUUGCUCGUGAGCUUCGAGAAACAAAACCGUGAGGGCAGAGAGAGGGGCCCAAAGCGGACAAUAAGGCCUCGUGCUAGAUGGAGGCGGGCAUGUACAUAUAAGGCACAUCACUCUCUCUCCGUUGGUCGAUGUGGAAUGUUAGAAUGGAAUUGUUACCUUUGGUGUGGAGGUGUUCUAUCAUUUGAGCAAGAAAUUCCCACAUAUUCUUCAACUAUUUUUCAAGCAUGCAUAUUCCUCCCUAUCAAUCUUUGGUUUCUUCCUUUACUGUGCAUAGUAAGGAUCCAGUCAGGGACGGACCGUCGCUAUGACUAUCCUGGGCUAUAGCCCAGGCAAAUUAUUUUUUUUUCUAGUCUAAAAUAGCAAUCCCACCGCUUGCUGUAGUACUUGUUCAGUUCGUCACAAACAUGAGCAUAAUAGAAGUUAUCAACAUCUAUAUAGGAACCCCAAUGAAAAGGCUGUUAACUAAUAAUGAAGUUAACCCGUCAAUUUUUCCGCAUAUCAGAUAUCUCUCAGAAUAUGCGAUUCCAUAUUCAAUAAGCCACUCCACAUGCCCUGAGGUUUUCAUCAAACCACCCAUUAAGGAAACAUACUGACUCAUGUAAUUAUCAUUACUCAUCGGGUAAUGCAAUUGUUCAAAGGCAAGGACAUUUCUCAUUAUUUAUGUAGCGAACCCCAAUGGAAAUGGUGGGAUCUUCAGAACCCCAUCGGUGCUACUGAAUUGUAUGUCAAAUAUGUUUUCACCUUGUCACGCCUCAAACUUGACUCCAGCGUGCUGUAAUUCUGUCAAGCUGGGUAUGGAUGAUGGGAGUUUGAUGCAGGAGCAUAGGGGUGGAUCAAGAUAGAUAUUUACUAUUUAAUUAGUUAUUUCAUGAUAUAUUGUUAUUUUCUUAUUUAGGUAGUUUUAUGAUAUCUUUUAUUAUUUAUGUGUGAUUUUAUAAUUAAUUAGUAUACUUUUGGACCAAGUAGCCUUGGUGCUCAAGUCUUGUAAAGCCUAUAAAUAAGGCUAAUGUAAUAGUUGUAGAAUAGAUGUCGAUGAUUAAUAAAAUCGUUUAUUUGUGGCAUGGAUUUGCUACGAUAUAUGUGAGUUUGCACUAGCCCUAGAUUUCAGUGCUCGUGUAUGUGGUUGGUGACCUGUGUCCGGAUCCCGAUCCCCAUCAAUUGGUAUCAGAGCUAUGGCUCAAGAUCUGCUAUAUCGGGGAGGUUUUUGGAUGGAGGGUCGUUUUAACAACUACAACGACAUGGAGGAAAUUAGGAGGAUGCUACGGCAACUUAUGGAACACAUUGCUCGCAUUGAAGCUCGAACCCAGAUAGGUAAGAGUUCUGACGGGGAGGGAUGUGUGAACCCUUAUCUGAACCGAGUAGCUCGCAUCGACACUCUAAGCCGUGAGAGUCUCGACGGGGAGUACGAGGGAGAUAGCCCUUUUCAUUAUUGUGCUCCGCUGUGUGAGUCAAGUGAAGAGGGGCACGGUUAUUCUCAUUGUGUCUUUGAAGGUAUAAAUGAAUUUAGUAAUUUUGGUGCAUCUUGUUAUUCAUCAAAGUUAUUAAAUUUGGAUUUACCUCCAUUAUUUGAUCCUUGCAAUUGUGAAAAUUGCAAUAAAAAUUGUUUGGGUGUUCAAAGCAAUUUUGAUAAGCAAUUUAUUGACCAGAACAGUGAAGAGAUGAGAAUUGAGAAAACUUUCGAAGAUAUUAUUGAUUUUAUGGGCAUUAAUAUUUUCACUUGGAAGGUUGCCAAAAAUCUGGUUGAUUUUGUCAAUCGGUUGAAGAUUCUAGAGAGAAACAUUUGCAUUGCUAGAGGGAGUAAGAAGUCAAGAAUAACGAAAUAUUCCAAAUAUCUUUUUAUUUGGAAAGGAAGGUUUCAAUUGGAUGCUAAAAGAUCCAAAAUUAAUAUGCAGCAAUUGAAGAUUCUACUCGGAUUUUCCUUAAUCAAAGGCUUGAAUUCGAGGACGAAUUCUUUCCAACUAUGGGAGUCUGAUGCAGGAGCAUAGGGGUGGAUCAAGAUAGAUAUUUACUAUUUAAUUUGUUAUUUCAUGAUAUAUUGUUAUUUUCUUAUUUAGGUAGUUUUAUGAUAUCUUUUAUUAUUUAUGUGUGAUUUUAUAAUUAAUUAGUUUACUUUUGGACCAAGUAGCCUUGGUGCUCAAGUCUUGUAAAGCCUAUAAAUAAGGCUAAUGUAAUAGUUGUAGAAUAGAUGUCGAUGAUUAAUAAAAUCGUUUAUUUGUGGCAUGGAUUUGCUACAAUAUAUGUGAGUUUGCACUAACCCUUGAUUUCGGUGCUCGUGUAUGUGGUUGGUGACCUGUGUCCGGAUCCCGAUCCCCAUCAGAGUUCCCCUCCAGCUUUUGAUUCCAACGGUUGAUAGAGUUUAAAUAUUUUCCUGAAAAGAUCAAUAAUAUGUGCCACUGAUCUAAAAGUCUCCAAAUUGUCUUCCAAUUUGUCAACAGGCAAUAGAUGUUCGAAGAAACUGAAAGAAAUACAAAUUAUUGAAAGCCCCUCAGUAAUGCUGUUAUUGUCAGCAUUAGCAGGGAGUGUAAUUUUCUGUGGGUCGAAAAGAUCCUCGAGAAUGAAGAAUGGCAACUGAUUUUCAAGCAACCACGUAUCUGUCCAUGCAUCUUGCAACAUACCUGGUUUGUCAAAUAUGCGGUCAUUUUCGUCCCAAAAUUUGAAGUAGUCCUUCAAUAAGGGCUCAAUAACGAAGGCGGCGCCCACUAGAAUGAUUGUUACAAAUUCAUCACUGCUAAACUUGAUGGGUUCUCCAUAACAACGUCUCAAUCUUGCUUCGUGGUCCUUUAUUUUCUUAAUAUAAUCCUCCAAACUCACAUUGGUCCGACCUAUAAAAUCUUGCAGGUAUCUCUGUUUGUUCUCUUCCAAUACGACAUUCAAGCCUUCCUUUCCAUGGUGAAGUGGACCUAUAGAGACCGACUGCCUGAGGUGUGCAGAGCUUUUCAUUCACACAUACGUAGAUAAAAUGUCUGGGGGCUCAGAGAGUGAUGAAUGUGCAACAGCUAAUGGGAGGGUUUAUAUUCCUGAAGUAAGAAAUGAGGAAACACCAGCAGUUGGGAUGAAGUUUGACUCGCUUGACCUCGUUUACAAUUUCUAUAAUAGAUAUGCAUUCUUGGCUGGCUUUGGUAUUCGACUUCAUUCUAGCUUUUGGGGGAAAAAUAAGAAAGAGAUUUUGAGGAAAGAAUUUGUAUGUUGCAAACAAGGUGCAUACAAGAAGGAUGAAACUCGGGAGAGAAAAAGACAACGGGGAAUAAGUAGAUGCAAUUGCAAAGCAAAGAUUGUGGUUGUGAAGACAAAUGGGAGCAAGAAGUAUACCAUUUCUCUUUUUGCAGAGGGACACAAUCAUAAGAUGACACCCUCAGAAAGAAUGCAUUUAUUGAGAUCACACCGUCAUAUUUCAGAUUCUACAAAAGUACUCACAAAACAGUUGGGUUCAGUUAAUAUUCCCAUUCAUCAGAAGGUAAGUAUAUUCGAGGUGCAAUCCGGAGGAAUGGAUAAAAUCGGUUUUAUCAAAAAAGAUAUCUACAAUCUUGAAUGUAGUGUGAAUGGGAAGCUGAGGAACCACGAUGUUGAACUAGUGACCGAGUAUUUUAUGGCUGAACAGAAAAAAAAUGAGGCUUUUUAUUUCAAGAUUGAGGGAGAUGGGCAUGACAGGUUUAGUCGAUGUUUUUGGGCAGAUGCAACUUCUAGACGGGCGUAUGGGUUUUAUGGAGAUGUUGUUGUAUUCGAUACCACAUUCAACACGAAUCGAUACGACUUGACAUUUGCACCAAUGUUGGGAGUUAAUAACCAUGGUCAGACAAUUGUCUUAGCAUGCGCAUUUUUGAGCAAGGAAACGACUGAGUCGUUUGUUUGGAUGUUUGAGGAGUUUAAGAAAGCCAUGCCAGGUGGGGAACCUAAAACGAUCAUUACAGAUCAAGAUGCGGCAAUGGCCAUAGCGAUUUCAAUAGCCUUCCCGAGUACAUUUCAUCGACUUUGCAUAUGGCACAUCACAUCAAAGUUCUCUGUUAAGUUACCACGUGACGCUUAUAAGGAGUAUUGGCCUGAAUUUCAGAAAGCCAUAUGGGAUACUGACAAUAAGGAUGAGUUUGAUGCAAAAUGGAAUAUUGUGGUUAUAAAGGCUGGUUUGACUGACCAUCCAUGGCUAAGUUCAAUGUUUGAUUUAAGGGAAUCUUGGGUUCCAGCCUACGCACGACAAUUUUUUGCCGCUGGAAUGUCAAGCAGCCAAAGAGCGGAAGGUUCUCAUGGUUUUUUCAAGCAAUACAUAUCAAGGAGAAAUUCGUUGAUGGAUUUCAUAAUACGAUUUGAGAGGGCAUUUUCUCAUCAACGUGAAAAAGAGUUAGUUGCUGAUCACGUAGAUGCAUUUGAAGUGGCUCAAUGUCUUCUACCGAUGCCAAUGAACAAACAAAUGGCUACCUUGUACACAAGGACAAUGUUUCAAAAGUUUGAGCAAGAACUAAUACAAAGUACAGCAUGUUUCCUAGAGCUCAAAACAGAGGAUGCAUGUAAAGUUGUGUUCAACGUGAGCGAAAGGAAAAAUUGGGAAACAAGAGUGGCAGAAGUCGUAUAUGUCAAAGAUUCUGACCACGCAUCGUGUAGCUGCAAAAGAUUUGAAUUUGUUGGAAUUAUUUGCAAGCACAUCCUAGCAUUGUUCAGAAGGGACCAGAUUGAAUAUAUGCCCGAUAAAUAUAUUUUGAAGAGGUGGAAGAAAACUGCGAAAUGUGGAUUGGUGUCAGAUGCAAAUGGCAACGAAAUUAAAGACUGUGCAGAUCCUGGCCUUCUAAUAAAGCGGAGUACAAUGUCUCGACUUGCUUCAAAUGUGGUUGAGGAUGCAUUAAUGAGUGAAGAAGGAUGUGAGCUACUGUCAGAGACUCUAAAAAGUUUGCAGGUGAAGUUGAAGUUGCUGAAGGAUGGACCAAGUAAUAACGAAGUUGGAGGGUCCAGCUCUCAAACACAAUAUAUGAAAGACCCUAAGAGAGUGAGGUGCAAAGGAAGGUCGAAAGGAAUAACGGGAGCAAAGGAAAAGGCAAUGAAGCGAGGGAUUAGACACUGUCGGGAGUGUGGACACAUUGGUCAUGAUAGAAGACAAUGCCCAGCCUUGAACACACCGUAAGAUGCUACCACUAUUUGUAAUAAUAUCUAAAAUAUGAAAAGGUAAAAUUUUUAUGUGCUUGUGUUUGAUGUUUAUGCAGGACAUCACCGUCGAACAAUGACAAAUCAACUCCAAUACAUCGUAGUGACCCAUUAUUCGACGAUUUUGACAAGAUGCACAGACCAACUGAAUGAUUGAUAUUUGUAUUAGACGAAAUGUGGUUGUUAUGAAGAUUAAUGAUCAAGUGAAGUUUUAUAGAUUCAGUUUUUGAAUGUUAUUGUGUUUUUGUUCAUGUCCACCGAUGAGCUCUUACUAUGUCCACUGGUAAUUGAAAUGAAAAUUUUCUUGGUUUCAUUCUUCCAAGACAUUUGGAGACAUGUUAAUUUUACGUCUUCUCCCUAUUUAUAAAUUUUCAUAGACAUUUGAUCAAGUUUGAAAUUUGUAGUUAUGUGAAGAAGCAAUGACUCUUACCAUGUAAAAUGGGCAGUUUAGGGUGAAAUUUGUUUUAACAGAGAUUCAUUUUUCAAUUCCUCAGGGUAAUGCAGCAAUUACAGCAGCCAGCUGUUGUUUCCAUUACCAGUAAUCAUUUCCAGCAGCAGCCACUUUUUCCGACUGGUUAUUAGGGGCACGAUUUUGUACACUUUUGUAAGUGAAGGAUACUCGAAGCACUUUGUUGGAACAGAGCAAAUAGAAACCAGCGGGUAAAAAAAAAACAUAACAUUGCAGCUAAUUACAUUUCGAUACAUAGGUGAAAAAUAUUAAAGGGUACACUAACUUACAUAAAUACUCAUAAUUCCACACACAAAAGAACAUUUGAUUGCAAAACAUAUUAUGUGCUUCCUCAUAGCAAUACCACGAUCUCCCCAACCAACUGAACAACGGUAGCCACAAUCACUGGGUCGUACUCGUCAGCUUCUUCUUAGCAGGUCUCACAUGCUUAUGGCCACUCAUAUCCCUAGUGAUAUACACGAAAUAAAUCUUCAGCAAUAUUUGGAAUUUUAUUAUAUAUAAAUAAACCAUAAACCAUUCAGUAAACAAUGUAUAGCACAUGUUAUGUAACUUAUGACUCACGUGUCAGUUUUUUUUUUAACACAUUAGUACUCCAGCUCUUUAAUGUAAAUGGACAUGAUAAGGAGCAUUUACUGAUUCCCGGCUUUCUAUGAUAUUGACUGCUUCUUGAAUAAUAUUUCCAUAUUUGCAAAAUAUAAUGUUAGACAUUAUAACACAUGAUGACUUGCAAUACAUAGUCCCAAUAAUUAUAUAUCAAGCAAAUGAAACUGAUAUUUGUGUUAUUUUAAGUUAGAUAAUGACAUUAAGGGAGUAUAUGUGCAAUACCACGGUCACCCUCAACCAACUGAACAGCGGUAGCCGCAAUCACUUAGUCGUAUCGGUCGGCUUCUUCCGAGCAGCUUUGACGUGCUUAUGCUCAUUCAUGUCACCCCCAUCGUCUAGUAUCUCUCUCACAGCAUCAGGGGACACAUAGUUCCAAUCAUAACUUGUAUGAGUAGUUGCCGCAAAUGCUCGGAAUUUGUCGAAUCCUUCGUUGAAUGCCAACUCCAGUUCAGUAUGGUGCUCUUCGCAUCGCAUAUGGUUCAUCAAACAACCUUUGAUUUCAUCAUUCAUUACUGUAUCCAACUCCUCAGCUUUCAGCUUCCUGCUAUGACUCAGCUUCAAGUACUUGUUCUUUUGGGAUAACGCUUUGUUCACCCUAAUGUUAAGAUCAGCCAAAAUUGCCUCGUCUUCAACACAUUUCUCGUGCCAUGAAUUGAUCAGUCUGGAAUUAUAAUCCAGCUUGCCACUGACUGCAUGUAUUGCCUGUAAUGGAUCAUCGGAGUCCCCCUCACUCCCAAAUGAUGUUGAAAAAGGAAGGGGUCGGCGAGUACAAUGUGGAAAUAGAACCUGCCACUCCAAUUUGUCAUCUUCGAUUGUGUUGUUGGCGCCUGAAGAGGUUGACAUGCUUGAAUAAUCCUCUUUGUUUUGGGAGGAUGAGGAUUGCAUAUGCAAUUUCGUUUGAGAAAGGGAACAUAGGUUUAUAGACCAACAUACCAAAGCUUGUGUGUAGUCAACAUAUGUACUUUUUGGCGGGAAUUUUUUAAAAAUAGGUGUUAGGUUUUGCUUUUCAAGCAUGUCAACCUCACACUCUCCUGACACCACUGCUAGUGGUUGAAACAAAGUCAAUGGAAGUGACAUCUACUUAGUUAACUCAACCAAACUAGUUAGGAUUAAACUUAGAUUGUAUCAGACCAAAAAAUAAUUUCUACUUUGUCAACCAAAUAUUUUUUGGCGGGAACCCUUUUCUUGGUAUUACUAUCACCCCUUUCAUAUAAAAUCUCCUUCCACACAAAACUCACUCCUCCACCGAAUCUGUCUCCAUCUACCGAUACUCUCUCAAGCAAACAAACUCAUUCCCCCCAAAGAAUGAGCAUAAGCACAACCAAGUUUGAUGUGAGCAUAAUAAACACCCCUCCAAACAAAGACCGGCUUCGACACGCAAGUGAGUCACCGGACAAGCAAUGUCACAUUGCUAGACAGAAUGACCAUUUUGUUGGAAGUUUUGAGUCUGAAAGAGUUGUUGCUUUUUGGAAGGAGAGGCAUCUUCAACUUGGUGAUGAAAUCCAAAGGGCAAGGGCACGUUUGGAAUUUGUGGAAGGCCAAAUUGAAGAUGACAAAAGGCAGGCCAAUCUGGAUAGGGCGAAGUUGUAGCGCAUGAAGCGUAGACACAAACGACUUCGGAGUGUAGCUGUUCAAAAAUACAAGAACUCAUCUAAUGUAGUGGAGUCAAAGAAGCGUGUGAUGCAAGCUGGAUUCGACUACUUCCGAUCCUAUGCAAAACUCGUCGUACCCGGGUUUGAUUGGUCAUCUAUUACCGUUUCCGACGUCACCAAAUAUACUCAGCAAGGGAAGUAACCAUUUUGGUUCUCGUGUUUUAGCAGAGGCAAAUAAGUGGAAUUGGAAUUUUGGUUACACUCUGCUUCAAAGCUAUUUUGAUGCUAACUACUAUGGAAGAUUUAAACCUUAAUAUUUUGAUGUCUUUAAUUACGAAAACAGAAGAUGCAAAGAGCUCAUCUACUUCAGCCAUAUGUUGCUGCCAUGUCCAUUUGUUUUUGAUCACUUAUCAGAUUUGGACAUGGUUGCAUCAUAUGCAAUGUUGCCUUUAUUUAUUAUAUGUUAGGACAAGGUUUAUGGAAAAGCUUUUGUGAGUGCGUUUGUGACAAGGUUAUGGAAUUAUUAUGUACACUUUAUAUAUUGUUUUUUGUACUGGUUCAUUUCCUACUAUUUCUUGCUUUCUUUAUAUUUUAUGUUUGUGGAAUCCCUCUCAAAGUUAACAUAUACUGUGAAAAAAAUAUUAUGCAACUGAUUAUAUAAUCACUCAUAUAGACUAGGACAAAUAUUCACUAAGGGUUUUAAACUUGCUUCACUUGUGUGAUGUUAUUGACAAAAAGUAUGGCAUUAUUUAUGUGAUUUGACAUGAUUGAAAAUAUAUUACUGAUUCCCAAUGCGGCGUCAUAUGGACAACGUAUUGAAUACCUGUGACGUGUUAAUAACUCAAGGUGCAGUUGCAUGUGGACAACUUCUUGAAUACCUCUGACGUGUUGAAAACUCUAGGUGCAGUUGCAUGUGGACAACUUAUUGAAUACGAACUGACGUCUUCAAAGCUCUAGGCGUAGUUGCAAUGAUGGCUUCAAAGCAUGUGCAAUUAUUUUUUAUGUACAUUAUUAUAACAAAACAUAUUAUUGUAUAUAGUGAAACUAAAUAUUGUAUUAUUAGAAAUUAUAUUUCGAAUAUUAUCCGAAAUAUACGUGUUAACGUGAAUUUGGGUUAAGAGGAAAGUGAGUUAUGUACAAAUAAUUUUCAUUUUCUCAUUUUCCGGGCAUUUUUUGGAUUUUCGUAGAAUUUAUUACCUAUGUCCACAGAUUGUUGCACUAAAAAAGCCAAAAUAAUAGCAAGAGGACACCUGGAGCGAUCUCAGCCCGUCACUGAUGACUACUUGCACAAGUGUACGUCAGUCAACAUGGCCACACCCUCCCAUUUUACCCUAAAUUAUUAUUUUAUUACUUUUCCUUACAAAAAUCAGAACUAAUUACACACAAAAUAAAAAAAUUAUCCGAAAAUUGCUACGAACUCAUUGACACUCCAUCUCCGUUGCUGAAUUCUCCGAUUCAUUGUUACGUAUUUGUAAAAUUAAUUCCCAACAUUAACGGGAGAUGCUUGUUGAAGUAGGUUAUUCAAGUUGAAGUUAACAAACAUCAAUACUUAGGGUUAAGAGGAAAGUGAGUUAUGUAACACAAUUUGGAUUAUUUCAUUGCGAGACGAAUGAUUUAUAGGUUCUCCUAGUUUUAUGACGUCACAAGUAGGCCGGAGUAAUUUUUGGGGCAUUUUUACGAUUUUCCUACUAUUUUUUACCUAGUUUCAAAGAUUUUUGAACAAAAGAAUCCAAAAUGUAAAAGAAGAUGACACCUGGCGCGAUCUCAGCCCGUCACUUUUCACUACUUGCACAAGUGUACGUCAGUCAACAUGGCCACAUCCUCUCAUUUUACCCUAAAUUAUUAUUUUAUUACGUUUUGUCUUGGAAAAUUCAUAACUAAAUACACAAAAAUUCAAAAUUAUUUCUGAAAAUUGCUACGAACUCAUUGACACUCCAUCUCCGUUGCUGAAUUCUCCGAUUCAUUGUUACGCAUUUUUAAAAUUAAUUCCCAACAUUAACGGGAGAUGCUUGUUGAAGUAGGUUAUUCAAGUUGAAGUUAACAAACAUCAAUACUUAGGGUUAAGAGGAAAGUGAGUUAUGUAACACAAUUUGGAUUAUUUCAUUGUGAGACGAAUGAUUUAUAGGUUCUCCUAGUUUUAUGACGUCACAAGUAGGCCGGAGUAAUUUUUGGGCCAUUUUUACGAUUUUCCUACUAUUUAUUACCUAGUUUCAAAGAUUUUUGAACAAAAGAAUCCAAAAUUAACAAGAAUAUGACACCUGGCGCGAUCUCAGCCAGUCACUUUUGACUACUUGCACAAGUGUACGUUACCGAACAUGGCCACAUCCUCCCAUUUUACCCUAAAUUAUUAUUUUAUUACCUUUUUUCUUGGAAAAUUCAUAACUAAAUACACAAAAAUUAGAAAAACGAUCCGAAAAUUUCUACGAACUUAUUGCGAUUUCAUCUUCCUACUGCAUUCCCUGUUUAAUGGUUAUGCUACAUUAGUAUUUUAUUAUUAUUUAUCCACAAUUAUUAUAAUUAUUAUGAUAUUACUUUUUAGGCUGUCCAUUUGUUAAUUAUACCACAUCCAACUUGUUGAAAACAAUUUUAUUUUCCGUGCGAAUAGGCCAUUUGUAGUGCUUAUCGGUUUCUCUGUUCUUCAAUUUGUUAAUUUUUUUAUUUUUUAGGUUGAAGGGAUGUUUUGAAACAUAAUAUGGAAAUAUACAAGUCAUCCAUUGUACUCCUUCCACACAAAAAAAUAGUCUACGUCAUUCACUGUUCAACACCCUAGGUUAAGACACGUGUAACCAAAUCCGUUCGGAUAUGCUAAGUGGGAAAAUGUCAUUCCCAAGCACUGGUGAAAAGACACUUAUUUACUCCAUGCAUGACUUUUGGUUUACCAAAUAUGAAGAUUGGGGUCGGUGAGCAAAAUAUCUGUGUCAGUAAAAUGUCAUUCCUAGCCAUCUAUGAUGUAAGUAAUAAUUCCGCUAUAUAAUAAAUAUUAUACAUUUAUAUAUAAAACGGUUUAUGACAAAAUACCAACAUUUGAACAACAUUUAAACUGAGAUAGGUAUAACGUAGCCAGCCAACCUAGAAGUGAAGAGAAGCAAGUCCACAAUGCAUCAAAACUGUAAAUUCGUACUAAAACUAAUGCAAAAAUACGUGAUUCCCUCGCACAACUUACUCACGCAGGAUUUUGCACCAAAAAAUACUCUCACGGUGCCAUUUGCAUCGGUUGCAGCAAGUCCAAAACGCAGGAUUUAUCUUGUCUUCACUAGGCCACCCUGGAAUAACAAAAUACCAUUCAUUGUUGUUACAAGCGCUGCACCGAUUGAACUUAAUCUUCCCAUAGUCAAACAUAUCUACGAUAUGUCUUGCAACAAAUGCUCCGCGACAUCUUCCUGUUAAAGCAUCCCUGGUUCCUUUCAUAUCAAUGUUGUUACGUUGAUUCAAAGAACACAAGAAUUGUAAUGCAUCCUCUUUUGACUGACCAAUUCCGGACAUACCAAGUAGUCCAACUACAUAUGCCGCUUCCAUAUGGCCUGCCGUGGCUGCAAUGCGCAUCCCAUACAACGCUUCCACCUUACCGUCUGUGAAAAAACCUUCGAAUGCUUCUCUAAAUAUGGACUCAGGGUUAUCGCAAGCCCUGCAUUGUUGCAAGAAAUGCUGGACUGCAGGUUUGGCACGGUAGCAGAUAGGAUGGUGUGGGUACUUUGCCAUUGAAAUGGUGUUCCACACUUGUGGACUGUUUGCCAAAAUGUUGAACAAUCGGCACACACAUGCCAUACGGAAGAGAUCUUCCGAUGAUUCGGUUGCCACGUAUAACAUCACUUGAAACCAAGCGGACUCCGGGAUAAAGGCUUCGGGCAUAUCGAAAUGGAGAUGCUUCCUUCUCUUUCCUCCGACUGUAGUGAAGUGUUUCGAAUUCAUUGAAAAGUUUUUGGAAUGGAACGAUUUGAGGAGUGGCAGAGGGGAUAAAUGAUAAUAUUUGGGGUACACGUUCUACUUCCGAGCCUCUGUUUAUAGUGUUUUGAAAAGGUGUUUCCAGUUGGGGUUUUUCCAAGUUGACCCUUUUGAAAGAAACUGAAUCCAAGUGAAUUAAAACUUAAGACAAAAGAAGGGAAAACGUCAUAACGGUGCAUACAGAGUCAGACAGUUAAAAAGUUAAUUAAAUGGCUAUUUGCAUAGCCAUUUUUGGGUUUAUCCCACUAUCAAAUUCAUUGAUACAAAUGUGAUGGAUUACUGACUAGUGACAGAAGGUCCCAUCAUAUACUUUUUCAUUUUCGCACACCCAACUAUCCCUAGUAAUGUUAUUAAAAUGGAACCAAUAAUGACGGAUUCUUAUCCAACUAGUUGCCUUAAUGAAAUAUAAAUAAAUUAAUAAAAUUGAAGCAGUGUCCCGUCAUUAGUCAGAAAAUAUAUUUGGUAGUGAAGUAGUUUCUAUUGCUUUUCGGGCUAAAAGAUGUCACAAUGCUGACGGUACAGGUGUCGACAUCGUGACCAACCCACCAAAUGAUCCCAAAAAAAAGUAAUAUAACUCGAUUUGGGCAGAGAUGAGAGAGAGCUGAGUGACAAGUUUAGGGUUAUGAGUGAAGGGGUAUGAAUGACAACUAUGAGUGAGAAGGUAUGAGUCCGAAGAGGUUUCAGUGAGAAGAUUUGAGUGAGAAGAGGUACAACUGAGAAGAUUCAACAUGUCUUCGUCUUCAUCUCCUGCUCAAACAAAGAGGUGUCAGUAUUGUGGAGCUACAAUGGUGCUUCGGGUUUCAAAAUCUGAAAAAAAAUCGAGGGAAGCCAUUCUGGAAGUGUCUAACCUCCUAUGUAAGUUUUAAUUUAAAGAAUAUGUAUGUGGGUGAAAAAAAACCUAUGUCUAACUCUGACAGAAUUAUAUUCCAUAUAUGAUGCCUGCAAUUAGGGAGCCACCAGUUGCAAUGGAUUCGAAUGGGUUGAUGUAACCUCCGCUGAAGCAGAACAUCAAGAUGACACGUAUGAUGUUAGAGUGCUGAACAUGCUGAAGUCCAUUAAGGACUUGGUAUUAGUUUUAUUAGUUGUAUUAAUUGUCAUUUUAUUUGUUCUUUUAAUGAUCAUUUAACUGCACGGUUUAAAAGAUUGUGAAAGUUCUCUCGCACAAGACAUAUUGCACGCACCACCAAUGAGACCCUAAACCCAUUUUGUAAUAUUUGGUAACUGCAUGUAUUUCGCAUGUUAUUGAAUGUUUAUUGAAGGUUUAUUGAUAGUUUGCUGCAUGUAUAUGGAAUAUCAUUGCCCCAAAAUUGGAUGUUUAUUGGGGCCACAAGUAUCACUCAAGUAAGAAUGAAGGGGAGAAACGGACCUUAUUCUUUCUUAUAGUAGGAAGAACAACUGUUAAGUUUAAUAUCCUAUUCAAUACGACUUCCCUAUGGUUGGUGUACUUGGGGACUGAAGUAUAUUGCAUCAUUAUUGUGGGCAAGGGCAUGUCUAUUGUGUGUGUUAAGGGAGUAUUGUGUGGGCAAGGGCAUGUCUACUGUGUGUAUAUUGCAUGUCUACUGUGUGUAUAUUGCAUAUCUAUUCUCUGUAUAUGGCAGGCCAAGUUUGUGUAUAUUGUUUGUCUGUUGUGUGUGUAUUGCUUGUCGGUGCGUUUGUGAAUUGUGGUUCAUUUUGUGUAUAUUGUCUUUGUUUCUACUUUUAUGCUACUGAGCUGCGGAAAACCUCGCAUGUUUAGACACCUAUUAUGAUGCAACACAUUGCGAUUAAUGGUGGCUUGCAUCAACAAUGACAUAUCACUUUGCAAUGAUGUAAUACACUUAAAAAGCCGUCUUCAAAUCCCAAUUCACAUAUGCAGUCUUAAAAUUCUAAUUCAAUGCAGUUUGGUUAACAAACAUGUAAAUGUCAUGAAGGAGUUAGCGGUAGAAUUCGAUAAGGACCCGUACGUCUCUAUUGUGUAUUUACAUUAGUUUGAGAAUGGACAUUCCCAAAACCUUCUCAUGUACCAUUUGUCAUCUUCAACCAAUAUCAUGGGAAGUAAGCAUCUCCCCUUGUUAUCUCCGCAGCCAAUUUCAACCGAAAAAAAGGCAUGUUGUGCGAGGUGCAAGUAGCUAACGGAAGCUUAGCGCUGAAAAGCUCAAUGUACUUUAACACAAACAUGCCACAAUCGCCUCUGAAGCAAAACAAGAACUCGAUCAAUUCAACUAAUGACAUUCUAAUGUAAUUGACAAUUGAAAGUAAUAAAAUUAAAUUGCAAGUUGUGCUUACUCAUUAGACUGUUGUGGAACAUCCACACGCUCUAUUGGCCACGGACACCACCAAUCUCGGCUGCAAUUGUUUGCAUAAACACCUUCUUCAUAAAAGUCGAUGGUGUUGAGAAGAUUUGGAAGCGUAAUUGAUAGCGGGCCGAGUUCUUCCUUUACGAUGUCAUCUGGAAUUAGUGAAACCUUUGAAUCGUACACUUUGAUUCACACAAUACCAGAUCAAACANNNNNNNNNNNNNNNNNNNNNNNNNNNNNNNNNNNNNNNNNNNNNNNNNNNNNNNNNNNNNNNNNNNNNNNNNNNNNNNNNNNNNNNNNNNNNNNNNNNNNNNNNNNNNNNNNNNNNNNNNNNNNNNNNNNNNNNNNNNNNNNNNNNNNNNNNNNNNNNNNNNNNNNNNNNNNNNNNNNNNNNNNNNNNNNNNNNNNNNNNNNNNNNNNNNNNNNNNNNNNNNNNNNNNNNNNNNNNNNNNNNNNNNNNNNNNNNNNNNNNNNNNNNNNNNNNNNNNNNNNNNNNNNNNNNNNNNNNNNNNNNNNNNNNNNNNNNNNNNNNNNNNNNNNNNNNNNNNNNNNNNNNNNNNNNNNNNNNNNNNNNNNNNNNNNNNNNNNNNNNNNNNNNNNNNNNNNNNNNNNNNNNNNNNNNNNNNNNNNNNNNNNNNNNNNNNNNNNNNNNNNNNNNNNNNNNNNNNNNNNNNNNNNNNNNNNNNNNNNNNNNNNNNNNNNNNNNNNNNNNNNNNNNNNNNNNNNNNNNNNNNNNNNNNNNNNNNNNNNNNNNNNNNNNNNNNNNNNNNNNNNNNNNNNNNNNNNNNNNNNNNNNNNNNNNNNNNNNNNNNNNNNNNNNNNNNNNNNNNNNNNNNNNNNNNNNNNNNNNNNNNNNNNNNNNNNNNNNNNNNNNNNNNNNNNNNNNNNNNNNNNNNNNNNNNNNNNNNNNNNNNNNNNNNNNNNNNNNNNNNNNNNNNNNNNNNNNNNNNNNNNNNNNNNNNNNNNNNNNNNNNNNNNNNNNNNNNNNNNNNNNNNNNNNNNNNNNNNNNNNNNNNNNNNNNNNNNNNNNNNNNNNNNNNNNNNNNNNNNNNNNNNNNNNNNNNNNNNNNNNNNNNNNNNNNNNNNNNNNNNNNNNNNNNNNNNNNNNNNNNNNNNNNNNNNNNNNNNNNNNNNNNNNNNNNNNNNNNNNNNNNNNNNNNNNNNNNNNNNNNNNNNNNNNNNNNNNNNNNNNNNNNNNNNNNNNNNNNNNNNNNNNNNNNNNNNNNNNNNNNNNNNNNNNNNNNNNNNNNNNNNNNNNNNNNNNNNNNNNNNNNNNNNNNNNNNNNNNNNNNNNNNNNNNNNNNNNNNNNNNNNNNNNNNNNNNNNNNNNNNNNNNNNNNNNNNNNNNNNNNNNNNNNNNNNNNNNNNNNNNNNNNNNNNNNNNNNNNNNNNNNNNNNNNNNNNNNNNUUUUCCUCUCCCUCAUCUCUAUUAUUUGGCCCUUCACCCCCUUCAAUCCCUUCAUCUUCUUUUUCCUCUCCCUCAUUUCUGUUACUUGGCCCUUCAUCCCAUUGAAUGUCAUCCAUUUCCCCAUAUCCCUUAAAUAGAUGUGAGACGACACAACGAUUCGUCCUCUGUUUCAGUAAAGCUAGGUCCCUCCUUACUUCCUGCUCAAACUGAGGACCUAAACAUUGGUCCAAUAGUUUUUCCAUCCGUAUGACCUUUAAGUGAAGGACGUCUUUUUCCCGCUUUUCUUGAAACAACUCGGACCUCAACAAGCUUACCACCUUGUUCAACUCAUCAAGAUCACCACAUGAAGAAGGAAUUGACUCUGCCGAGACAACAGCAGGGCGAUCCUGUGGCCAACUCCAAUAUGGCUGUCUCAUUUCCUCUUCACUUAGACAUAGCGCCCGCAACUGAACUGACUGUUUCAGAAUACAGACAAGAGUCAUAUUAAAUCAUUCUACUUCAUAAUUUCAUUCAAUCUUAUCAAUAGUUCUAAGGGCUGCAAACCAAACCUCUUUGCUCUGGAAAAAAUAAUUGUUCAACUUUCUCAUCUCUGGAACAGACGUAGUAGUUCUCCAUCGCAAAAUACGCGGGACAGCGGUCGGAUCAACAACCUUGCAGUAAUUCAGGUCCGCCAUUCUAGGAAUUAAUUCAUAUACCCAAAUCUACACAAUUCACAGGACAAAAGUCAUUAUUUAUGUUUUAAAGAAAAACAAAACAUAACUGACAUGAACAUUAUUACCAUGUACCUGGAAAGCAUACGUGAAACCUUUAAAACUCCAGCCACUCCUUUGCGCUUCACUAUGCUUAUCCUUCUUGCCCUUCUCAUUUCUCCGGCUUGUUCCCGUUACCUUACUUUUCCCCUUCCCUCUUCCCUCUUCAUUUUCCAAGCUUUUCACAUACUUUGUUGGUGCAGAAAAUAGACUGUCUUGGGUUUUGUCAAAGGACACCGAACCCCACGGAUACCUGUUGAACGCAUCCAAGUCCUCUACAAGGGUCAGGUAAUUUAGAUUGAUGUUCAAAUGUUUGUCCCUUCCCAAAACCACUAACUCAGCAAAGUAAACAAGAGGUAGCUUGAAGAUGUCAUCUUCCUCUGUGCACCUCACAAAUGCUUCUUCUAAAGCAUUGCAUGUAAUUCCUUCGUCUAUAAAAUAUCUUUUCUGAAGUCUGAUUUCAUUACUCUCUCCACUGGAAACUUCAGGCACUUCCCCAAAACGAAGCCCUGUGAUCAAACAGAAAUCCUGACGAGUGAACUGAGCAACGUCACACCCUAAUAAGAAACUCAGUCCAUCCAAGUCUUUCACACCCUGCCCCGCUACUCUACGCAACACAACCCCAUGCACAAUCUGUCCGCUAAACUGAAUCUUAUCUAUAUUCAGAAGAUGGCCAAAGCAUGAUGUCUUGAAUUGUUCUAAUUGUUCCGCACUCAACUUCGCUCGAAUUGCAGCUAGAGAUGAAUUUGCAUGUGAGCAGUUGUUCACCCGUGAUGAAUAUACCUCUGCCUCUGGCCAUACCAGCUCCACGUUGGAUCCCAUUUCCUCAAAUACAAUGUGAAAUAACGUGAACAUAUAUACUACCACGUAUUUGCACAAUCACAACUAGUCAACCAGGCACAUUACAACUUUUACAAAGUACAUGAGCAUAUGGAUUACUCAUCACAGGCUUUAACAUCAUCAAAGCAAUAUGACAAUUUUUGUGCAAAUACCUGUUAAUGCAAUGAUUAUGUGAAUUACAAACAAUUUCACGUGUUUUAUUUAUGGAUCCAUACUCGUGUGAGUGCAAUGUAGGCAAGUUCUGCACUUCACACACAUGACAAUUAUUGUCAUCUCAUACACAACCCAAAAUAAAUAAAUAAGAAAUAUAGUGGAAGGAAGCAAAGCAAAGCAUGUACUCUGCUAUCUGCUUGCUAAGCAAUUGCCACAUCCUUCUUUCUUUCUACCUUUUUCUUCAGUCACCCACAAUCGUCAUAGAUCAACCUUCAUUUCAAAUGCUUUGCACUUUUAUUCAUGAGUUUAUUAUUAUCUGUUCUCAUUUCUCAUAGGCAAAUUUAGUAACAAAUGAAAUAAUAUUUAUUUCACAAAAUAUAUAAAUUCUAGUGCCAGAGAGGUACUCUUCACUCUGCACUGCUUCAAAUGUGGAAGGUUUUGAGAUGUUAUUGACAUGUGAUUGACUUUAUUUUCAUUCGUUUUUUAACAUAUACCCAAGCAAAAAUUAACAUGCAAUUGAAGCACAAAUAAGAGAUGCCAAAUCCAACAACAUUGAUGGUACAAAUUGGGGAAAACCAUUACUCUAACCCUAAACUCAAAUUCCUUACAUUACUCAUCAAAUGCUUUGCAGUUCUAUUCAUGAGUUUAUUAUUAUCUGUUCAAAUGUUUCUCAGGCAAAUUUAGUAACAAAGGAAAUCAUAUUUACUUCAUAAAAUAUAUAUAUAUAUAUAUAUAUUCUAGCGCCUCUUCUUAAUCUGCACUAUGCACUGCUUCAAAUGUGGAAGGUUUUGAGGGCCUCCUCCAAUUCAACACCAUUAUCUUAUUCAUAUCAUUAUUGACAUGUUAUUCACUUGUUAUUGACUUCAUUUUCAUUCUUUUUUUAACAUAUACCUAAGCAAAAAUUAACAUGCAACUGAAGCACAACGAAGAGAUGCCAAAUCCAACAAAAUUUAUGGUACAAAUUGGGGAAAACCAUUACUCUAACCCUAAACUCAAAUUCCAUAAAUUACUCACCAAAUGCUGGUUAUUGCAAGGUGUCUGUGUGGGGUCUUUCUGUUUCUUUGCUCCACAAAUGGAACCUACCACUUCCAACGAAUACAGCUUUUCCCCUUCCCCUUCCACUGCUUCGCCUCUUCACUGAUUUGGAAUCCACACCUUUGCCCCUUCUACUCCAAAUAAAUACUUUCUCGGGGUCUGGAGAACGGAGUGGCGAAUCGUUGCCUUCAACUGUCGUUAGCCGUUGCCUUCAUUGGGUAUCUCAGACCUCUGUGUUUUAGAGAGAUGAGUUCUUUCUGUUCAAACUUCGAACUUGCCUCUUCUUCUUCUUUUUCGGACGUGUUUCCCUCUUCUUCUUCUUUUUGGACGUGCUGGAUAUUCAAUUCGGGUUUGGGUUCCUUACCUACCCAAUUGUGAAACUUUAACUCAAUUCUCCCCAGCCCUUGGAUUAAUCUGAUGGCUAUAAAGUGAACCCCUUAUAACUUACCCCUUAUAACUUUCCACUCAUUAUAGUCUUGGCCAGGUAUGGCGGCCAUGCUAGUAAGUGUUGGGUCUUUGACCCAACUUAAGCUAAAUGGGUCAUAAGAUGACCGAUCAUCUUAUCUCAUAAGGAUAUAUAAGUCAUGUUAUGAUUUAGGAUUUUAUAGGGUUUCCUUUGUAAGAGGUAAGAGAGAAACAAGCUCUCUCUCUCUCUACACAAGGAGGUCAGCCAUAGCAAGGGAAAGGCUCCUAGCACUCUCCUCUCUCUUAUUAUAUCAUCCUUCCAAGGACAGCUUUGGUAUGGUAAAGUUGGAGGUUGCACACUUUGUGCACUUUGGUAAGAACUCAUCCAAGGGAGCCAAGAUUAAAUUGGUUAGCUGUUGGAUUAAAUUGGUUAGCACGAUUCAACGGUUAAUAGAUAAAACUUCACAUAAAAGUCAUAUAUAAGGCCCUCACUAUAGAAUGACUCGUUAGUUUAGUCUCUUGUUACAUAUCAAAUGUUAGAGAUAUUUUUUAAUAAGGAUCUGCCAUACCACAUAGUUGGAUAAGACAUUAUACACGGCUUUUGUAAGAGCAUCUCCAGCGCUCCAAACUAGCCCAAGCAGCAGGGGGGCCUAAGUCUAGGAAGCAGCUCCAGCUCGCAAGAUUCAACCCAGGCAAGGUGUGGAACCCACGAGGAGAUCUAGCCCGUCACCUUGCCUUUGGGUUUCAGUCAAGCUGAUGUCAACGAAAGAAUUUCAAAUUUUUUUUACCGUUACAAUGUACGCGCCAACGAUAAAUUUUCUUUGGAUUUCUUGCAUUGAUCCACAGCUACCAAAAACCAACAGCUACAAGCCACGUGGCUUCUCCAGGAGCCUCCGAUCCAAAAAUCAUGUCAAAUCUAACGGCAGUCCAUUUUUUGGCUAAAAAUAUCAAAAAAUUAUGGAAACAUGUUCUAUAAAUUCCUACAAAUAUUAUUCACUUCCCACACCAAAUCUUCAUACAAAUUCAUAUCCUUUCAAUAUUUUUCACUUUCCAUACAAGAUUUUCUACUACUAAGUUUCGUUUGUGUAAAAAUACAAAUGACCUCUUCUAUCGAAGCCGGAGGCGCGUGUACAACCGUGGAAGAUAUUUUGUUGCGUGAGUGUUGGGUCAAAGUUGGUCAUUCCCUGAUCACGGGCAAUGAGAUGAAGUCCUCUCGUAGGAGUUUCUGACAUCGCAACGAAAGUAAGAUGUGAUAUGAAAAUGUAAGGAAUUUGAUGAGAGGAAUGGGAUUUGAGGAGUUUGAUGUAGGAAUUGAUGUAGGAAUUGAAUUUGGGAGGUAUGUAUAUAAGAUUUGAGGGUAUGUGUUUAGGGAUUUUGAUAAGAGGAUUUGAGGAAUUUAGAUUUGAAGGAUUUGGAUUUGGGGAAUUUAAAUAUGAGGAAUUUGAUUAGGGUUUGGGUUUGAAUAUGUGAAAUUUGAUAUGAGAGUUUAGAGACAACAGAUGAUCGAUUGCUCUGAUACCAUGCUAAAAUAUGAUAUGGUUUGAAUACUUUAGGUUGAGUUUUAUUCUUUUCCAUAAAAAGGUAUAUAUAGGAGUUUACAUGAGUGCUUUACAAAGAAAUAGAUACAAUAAUCAAUUAGGAUAAUAUCUCCUAAUUAUACAAUAAUUUGUCAACUAUAUAGAAUAGGAAAGUAAAUUCCUUAAUUAAUCAAGAAAAUAAAUCUCAUUGAUUAAUUAGGAGACUAACGUCAACAUUUAUAAGCCAUAAAAGAGCAGAAAAAGAGGUACUUAGGAGAUUUUAUACGUCGGACUAAGGUAAGCUUAAAGGACUAUAUCAAAAAAAUAAGGGACCAAGAAGCAAGACAGAGAAGUUGUUAUGCAAACCCAUUAAGUUUAGCAGUGAUGAAUUUGUAAAAAUCAUUCUAGUGGAUUCUGCCUUCACUAUUGAGUUCUUAUUGAGGUUCUAUCUGAAAGGAUCUGGACAUGAAGGAGACCGCUUAUUAAACAAACCGUGGAUGUUUACAGCCUGACAUGUGGUUGCUUGAAAAUCAGCUCCCAUUCUUUAUUCUUGAGGAUCUUUAUCACACAUACAUAAUAACCGACUCUUUUAGGAAUUAUUACAGUACUCAUGAUCAUGAGAGGCUUUCAAUAAUUAAUAUUUCUAAGAAUUUCUUCACAGCCGGAAUAUUGAAUUUGGAGGGGAAGGGAGACAAAUGGAACAGAAUAUCAUCUUCUUCUAGUGUUGGAAAUUUUAUAUUAUUUAAUAAUAUUUAAUUUCUAUUGUGAAUGAAAAAUAAGUUUCUUUAAGAAACGUGUGUCUUAGGCCAGUUUUUCUAACUGGUCGGCUUCCUUAGAUUUGUGCCUAUUGCUUUUCAAAGUAUAAUGAUGCAAUGGUUGUAUCUCGUUCAGGCAAAUGGAAGGUAUAUAGCAAUUUAUAGAACAAUACAGUAAUCCAGAAGAAAUAUUAUGAAAUGAAAAGAAUAAAAAGUAAAAAAAGAGAAAGAAAGGAAUUCCCACCUGCAAUGUAUAUGUAUGAAAGGAAGGACCAAGUUUGUUUUAAAAUGGUAAGAACAAGUUGAUUUUAAAUUGGGUUCAGAUCAACUCAUAGAUUUCUUGCCUUUUCUGUUCUCCUUCCUUGGACAUGAACUGUUUAAUCUUGGACUCUUCCCCAUCAUGUUGGGCCUGUCUUCUUCUUGAGGAUUGUAUAGGCCUAGGAAAUGCUUCGGGGUAGUUUUUGUGUUUUGGGCAUUGGGACCCAACUUCACAAAAAGAAAACAAAUUUGACCAAAACACAAAUUUGAAGGACAUUGAAAUUGUACCCGUAGGAUAGAUUAAAACACUAUAAGGGAGGUAAAUAGUACGUUUACAGAGUUUAAGUGUAAUAAAGGAAUAAAAACAUGCCCAGAGAAUUGAUAAGUGAUAUCAAUUCUUGAAUAUACGUGAAAAUUAUUUUAUGUGGUUAAACCCCACCUCUGGGGAAAAUCCACGGAACUUCUUAGUCCAACUUCUAUCACUUAUCCUAGACACAUUCUAGAUAAUGUUUGCCAACCUCUUCGUAACUCAACUUCUGUCACGAGAUGAUCUUUCAACACUUUAUGUCGAACGCAAUACUGGUCACGAUUUCUUCAAGCUCGCCGGAGUUCUUCCAAUUCUCCUUAUAUUGAAUCUGAUACUAGUCACGAUCGAUUCAAGCUCAUCGGAGAAAAAUCGCCACAACAAUCUUGGUGCCCUCAACCGUAUGAGUCACUGAACAUGCAAAUGAAUACAAUAUGAAUGAUAAAAGUGUUUGAUAAAUCACCAAGUUAUGGAACACUUGAUGAUUUAUCUCAAAUAAAAAUUCAGCUUUCCAAAGUUUAUGAAUUGAAAAUAUGACCGUUAAAGCUCUCUAAACAAAGAAGACGAAGGUCUUAUUUUAUAGACUUUUACUUUACAAGAAAGAAAACACGUUGAAAACCAAAUCUCCAAUUUCCAAGGCUUGACAGAAAAUCACAAAAUUAUCUUUCCUAUUCUAGAGAUUGGUCACAUGAAGUCCAACCAAUAGGAAAUGAGAUAUUUAAGAAAGGAAGAUUUUGAUCAAUAUCAAUAUCAAAUGAAUUCUUAUACGCCUAGUCAAUUGUUAUGGGUAUCUUGACUCCUUGAUAUUGUGAUAUGAUUGAAACAUGAUUUCCACGUUAGAAAAUUAAGGGGAUGUUAAAACAUGAAGGUAAUAGGAGAAUCAAAUUGAUUUGGGCCAAAAUUGCCUAAAAAGAAAACACUCCUUAAUAAACUUCAAUUUACUUUUAAAAAUAGUAAAACGUGAUUGAAUCGUUCUUUAAAACAAUUCCCUAAUAUACAUGCAUGAUAGUGAUAUCACUUACCUUUGAAUCAGAUGGCUUUCACGGGUCAAGCCACAAGUUUUUGUCUUGGGGAUUGCUGAGCUUCAUCAAUCCUGCCAAUGUCAAUUUUGCCCCUAAGCUCUCUCAAAGCACGUUUACAACCUAUGCUAACAUAUAUUAGAGUUUAUGUUAGUAUCAAGAAAAUGCCAACACUAAUUUCGUAACACGUAGAAAUUGUUAGAGAUUGAAGUUUUUAUCAUUUUUUCUUCCAGACUCUCCACCACUCACUAAUAUAGUUUACUCAUGUGAUGAGUUUACAAAACCUAUUUCUCUACUCUCACAAAGACUAUACUUAGGGGGGUGUAUUCAAUUAGGAUUCUAAAGCGUUUAAAAAGAUUUUGUUUAAGUGCCAGCUUUCAUAGAACUUGAUGGAACUUUAUAAUUCGUAUAGAACUUGAUAGACUUUCAGAAGACUUCUGUAUAAUUUUUUAAUAAAACUUUCUUAAGCUUUCAUAGAACUUGAUAGGCUUUCAUUCCAAACUUAUGUAGAUGGUAUAUUUCAUUUUAUCCCCAUCCUUGACAUUUAAAGAAAGAAACUUGAAUUUUUUCAAUCAAAUUUGUUUUUGUUACCAAAGCAGCAAAAACAAAAAGUACUUGUUUGCGAUGGAAGAACAUAUGCACAGUUCAAAAUGAAAAGAAUAAGAAGCAAAGUACCUAUUUGACCAAUGAAUGCUGUGUCAACUAGAGAAGCAAUUGGAUCGGCUGUCAAAGCCAAUGCUGCAGGCAAUGCAUCGAUGGUCCAAAUUGCAAUAAAAAAAUAUUUUGAAUAAUGGCUCUUGCAGACAAAGACCACAUAAAUUCUGAACUGGUCUAGCUUGAAUAAUAAGGUUAGAUUAGCCAAUUGAUGAGAUUAAAAGCAAAGCAAGUUGAUGAAUUUAUCAUCAACUAUUUAAUAACCACAGUCCUGAUCUCUUGGACCCCUGUAGUCCAAGAGAUUUAUGGUCACCCACCGUUGGAUGUAAAUUCAACGGUUGACUUGAAUCGGGUAAUAAUCAUUUAUGUCAUAUUGCAUUUAUAUAUAUCAUUUUGAACCAUUGGAUUAAUAUCCAACGGUGGGUGACCACAAUCUCUUGGACUCCUGUGGUCCAAGAGAUCGGGACUGUUAAUAACCAAUAGAGUAUUUAAACAUAAACAACAAUGUUUGAUCAACAAAACAAAUAGUCCAAAUAUCAUCCAAAAAACAAUAACAAAAAAUCAAUCAUUCCAAACAAACUAGUCAUUCUCAAAAACUCUCAAAAAACCCACUCAUUCCAAAUUGUAGGAUAUCCAAUUUGAGCACUCCUCAGGAGACAUUUUCAAAAAUGCAUCCUUUUUUGUGUUACUAUGCAACAAAGAGAGUGCUUUAUAACGAGCAUGUUCAUCCAAAUUUGGGGUCUCCUUAAUGGCAUCCCAUAUAUAACUCCGCUGCUCUCUCUCUUUUUCCCUUUUUGCCAAUAGGUUAUGGACCUCCCGGAAGUCGAUGACAAUUGAAUCAAUGCUAAGGCUAAUUCUUCCCAUAGCUUGCUGGGUGGUCACAUUUGAGAUAGCAUUCCCUUCCAAAUAUGUUCUAGUUCGUUUCCUCUAGUAACAAGCAUAAAUCCUAGUAACAAGCAUAAACCCUAACCCCAACCUAUAACCUAAUAACAAGAAGAAAACCCAACGAGGUAUUGAUCAAAGAAAAAUUAGGGAGCAUACCUUCACAGAUGGAGGAAGGAAGCUGUUCGUCUUCGCAGAGAGAAAAUCUAGGGAAAGAGAAAAACGUCUUAUGAAAUACUUGGGGGGGAGGUUGGAUUUAUUUUGGUCUUUUUUAUUUAUAACUCUCCCCUUAAAACCUACGUAAAUUUAUCACUUAAUGAAAUCCUUCCAAAUAUAUGACCUUUCGAAUACACCUAGAUUUGAUUCAACUUUUUUAUAAUCAUAAUUGAAUACACCCAUAUUUGAAUGGACUUUUUAAAAGUUCAUAUAGGUCCGAAAUGAAUAUACUCAAACUUGUAAAACCUCUUUUAAAGUUUGUAUAAAUCCAAAUUGAAUACACCUGGAUUUUUAAAAUCUUUUUAAACACUUUAUAAUCCUAAUUGAAUACACCCCCCUUAUUCUCAAAAGACUAUAUUACUUUACCUCUAUCUCUGUGAAAUGUAAAAAGUUGAAACUUUAAUGUCAAACCUCAACAAAAGAUGAACUUUCAUCAGUUACGUUGAAUUUGGAUUUGUUGAACUUAAGUGGUUUUAUUUUCUUUGUCAGUGUUUGAUGACUUAAUUUGGUAUUUAUUUCUUCUUUUUUUUCCUUGGAAAUGUGUUCCACCAACGUGAGGAAGAAAAAUAUGCACAAAUUAAUAUAUUUAAUAGAAGCCCAAGAUUUCGGAUGCAUAUAAUUUCUACAAAAAUCUACAAAGUUUUUUACUUUACAAACUUCUUAUGUCUACCAAUUUCUACUAAAAUUAAUUUCUCUGUGGUGCUCAAAUUCAUCAUAUGUGUGUCGUUAAUUUUAUUGAAAAUUGGAAGUUCCCAUCAUUUUUGUUUUUUGGGAAUUUUCUGAACCAAGGAAAAUCAAGUAAAAUUAAUAAAGCCUAAAUUGGAAAGGGAAAAUAUCUAGAGGAUGCAUUGUAGGAUUGCUCAUGCCAAUAAUUGUACCCUCUAAAUAUAUAGAGACAUAUUUUUUUUGUUUUCAUGACAUGUGGUCCUAAAAUUAUUGUGUAAAUCUUCAAUCCUGAACGAUGCACCUAAAACUCAUCCACCCAUUCUCAGGCCAAUUAUUGCACCUAGUGGGCUCUCGACCCCCUCUCAAAUUUAACCACAUAUUUUAUGGACCAUCCAGCUGUGAGGUACAUUCCCCCCACAUGCCACAAUUGUAUAUUCACAAUUACGUCUGAUACAUCACAUCAUGCCACUUGCCUCAAAUGAAUUUAAGUGAGUGAGGCAGUUGGAAGUAAUUAAGCUCUAUAUUGGUGGGUGGAGUGUUACUUCUCGGUUCCCCUCAUCAUUCGUCUAUAAAAUGGUGAAGGCAGUUGCUAUUGUUACCAUAAGAGCCAGCUCCGACUUCCUUUAAUUUCUUGCUUCAUAUCCACUAGCUACAUCUGUUACCAAGUUAAUUUCAGUUCUAAUGGGGUUUCAUCUCCCACUCAUCUUUGCUCUUCUCAGUGUAAGCUCUGCAAUUUGAUUAACUUUUCCAUUCUCUCUCAUUGUACUCUAUAUAAACGAAAGUUUUGUGUUCCUAUUGUUCUCUCCGAUUUUAUUUAGUACGUACUUAAGUGUCGUCCACUAAUUAAUUAUACUUUGUGAUUUGAUUUUAAUUUGAGUUUGAAUUAAUGUUGCAGCUAGCAGCAGUGGCACUGGCAAACCAUGCUGCUCAACCAGCACCUCAACUUUACUGGAGCUCCGUCCUGCCAAACACACAGAUGCCAAGAUCUAUCAGUGAACUUCUGCAUCCUGGUUUGUGUUGAGCUCUUUAGAAUCUUAGAUAUCUCUUCUACCUGCCAUUUUACUAAAAUAUGUUCCACCACAUAUUUAUCAGUUAACCAUUGUCAUUACAUGAGUGACACAUAUUCACAAAUCGGCUGAUCACUUAUUUUCCAUUAUGACUUGAUAUAUAAUUUGCAGACUCCACAAAUGAAGAAAAGAGCACAAAUGACGUUGGCAAACCUGAAACUUUCCCAUUGGGCAAUCAACAUUACUCCAGUCAAAAACAUUAUGGAGGCAUACCUGAAACUUCCCCAUUGGGCAAUAAACAUUACUCCAGUCAAAAACAUUAUGGAAGAGGCAAACCUGAAACUUUCCCAUUGGGCAAUCAGCAUUACUCCAGUCAAAGACAUUAUGGAAGAGGCAAACCUGAAACUUUCCCAUUGGGCAAUAAACAUUACUCCAGUCAAAAACAUUAUGGAAGAGGCAAACCUGAAACUUUCCCAUUGGGCAAUCAGCAUUACUCCAGUCAAAAAAAGUAUGGAAGAGGUGCUUCUCCAUCCGACAAUCAACAACUCCAUUAUAAAGACUUAGCUAUUUUCUUCUUGGAGAAGGACAUGCGCCCUGGCACAACAAUGAAGUUCCAAUUCCCUAUAAAUUCAAACACGGCUACUUUCUUGCCACGAGAAAGCGCUCAAUCGAUCCCCUUCUCCUCUAACAAACUGCCAGAAAUUUUCAACCAUUUUUCAGUGAAGCCAACAUCUGAGGAAGCCAAAACAAUUAAGCAAACAAUCGAAGAGUGUGAAGCUCCAGACCUUAAGGGAGAGGAAAUAUAUUGCGCCACAUCUUUAGAAUCAAUGGUUGAUUUUAGCACUUCGAAGCUUGGAACAAGAAACGUUGAAGCAAUCUCGACGGAGGUAUUGGAAAAAGGAGCCACCAUGUCCAUCCAAAACUAUACAACAAUGCCGGGACUGAAGAAGUUGGCAGGUGACAAAGUCGUUGUGUGUCAUAAGCAGAACUAUCCCUAUGCUGUGUUUUUCUGCCAUGCAAUAAAACAUACAGCAGCUUAUGCUCUCUCCCUGAAAGGCGAUGAUGGGGAGAAGGUUAAAGCAGUAACCAUCUGCCAUCUAGACACAUCAGAAUGGGACCCAGAGCAUAUGUCCUUCCAAAUCGUCAACGUUAAGCCCGGAACCAUUCCCAUCUGCCAUUUCAUUUCCACUGAUGCUAUUGCCUGGGUUCCGAACCACAAAUCUGCAUGAUCAUCACUUAGCACUAGUACUGUGCGUAUAAUAUGCCUGUAUAAUUAUCUCCCUACUUAUUUCUGCCUCUUCAUCAUGUGGUGUAAGAUAUAUGUUGAGAUGAAGUUUUUGGGAUUUGUGGUCGAAAUUAACCCGAUCAUGUUUUCUCUUGCAACCAUAUAGACUUCAACUUGUACUCAUAAUAAAGCAUGCUAUAUUUAUGAAGAGAUAUUAAUCUUCAGGCAAAUAGAUAUUAUGAAAACAUAUAUAGCAAUUUAUCCAGAAGAAACAUUAUGAAAUGAAAAGAAUAAAAAGUAGAAAAACAGAAGGAAAGGAAUUCGCACGUGCUAUGCUAUGUAUGAAAGGACCAAGAUUGUUUUCCCUUUGGUUAAUGACUAGAAAAGCUCACUUGCAGAGUGCUUUCUCCGACCAUAGAUGGAAGAGAAAUUUUCUCUUAAUAAUAGCACAAUGAUCGGGUAAUUGUAAGAACAAGUUGAUUUAAAAUUCCUUGACCCAAAAAAAAAAAAAAAGUUCUUUUCAAAUUCAGGUCAACCCAUAGAUUUCUUGCCUUCGUCUUCUUCAUCACGUUGGGCUUGUCUUCUUUUUGCGUUUUGGGCCUUGGAAGUUGGGACCCAACCCAACUUCACAAAAAGAAAACAGAUUUGCCAAAAAUCAAAUUUCAAGUCUCUCCUCCGAUCACUAAUACAGAUCAAAUUUUGGAUUUGAUGAACUAAAGUGGUUUUACUUUCUCUGUCAGUGUUUGAUGACUUAAUUUGUUAUUUACUUUUUUUUUUUUACUUGAUCUUUGUAGGGGCUUUUUUUUUUCCGGCAGCUUAAACGGGCUGGGCUGCCGUAAAGGGUAGAUUGAUGAAAUUGUCCCCUUUGUCUGAAUUCGAAAAUCAAGCCCCAAAAGCGCUUCGAAAGGGCAGUAGAGCCUUAGGAAGCGUUCUGGUUACCUUCACUAAUUAAAACAACAGCAACUUACAGAUGAUUUCUUGAGGCUUACAGAUAAAUUUUCUAGCUUGGCAUGACAUGGAAGCAAAAUCAGCAUGAGUUUAGCACCAAAGAGGAAAAUAUGGCUUCCUAGGGAGAAAUGAGAGUGUUUAAGGUGAGGAAGAAGAGGUUUGCAGGCUGAUUUGGCUGAGAAAAGAGAAAGAAAGAACAAUGUUCUUCCGGCAGCUUGACAAAGCUUCUGACAGAUGUGAAAGUCGUCCGCCAGAAGAGGAAAAUGGAGAAGAAGGAUGAAUAGUGCACGAAAUUGGUGGGUUCUUGCAGGUAAGAGAGAAAGCUUGCUCUCUGAAUCUGAGUUGGUUUUGGUUGGGUAGAAGAAGCCCCCUUUUAUAGCUGCGGGAAACCAUCUUUUUCCAAGAAACCCUAAUGGUUUCUAUCCUUUUUGGCCAAGCUUUUCCCUUCCUUUCUCUUCUCCUCCCUUGACUUUUCCUAUCUUGGUGAAAUUUCCUCUGCCUAUUUGCACAAAAUUAGAGAUUUUGAGGAGCUCAAGGCCCCUUUCCCGCAGCUGCCUUAGUGGAGAAUCCCCAUUUUCAGUCAUCUUUCUUCCUUCUUUUCUCCCAUCUUCCAAGGCUAGGUUUGAUGAGAGAAAGAAAUGGAUAUGCACACUGGUUUGAAGGGUGUUUUUCCUUGAAACUUGUUCUCUCCCAUGUGCUGGAGCUUCCCAGCAGCUUACACACAUAGAUAUUUUGGCUUUCAUCGUGGCUUUUGUUUUCAGCUAGGUGCUGGAGAUUUUGCAUAUAUUUUCUUGAGUUGCUUGGGCCUUCUAGGACAAUACGUUGGUUUAUCAAGUGAAUGGGCUAACUUCAUCAAUUGUUGGGCAAUUUUGGUUGAGUUAAUGGACUAUUUUGGUUCAAGUAAUGGACUAUUUUGGUUGAAAUAAUAGGCUAUUUUUCUCUCUUUGUGCUCACCCACAUAUUUGGGCCUAAAAAAUGGGCUUGAGUUUCGGGGCUCCCAAGCAACCCCGGGACUUCCAUUUCUCGGCCCAUCAAUGAGCCUCAUGUCAACUUAUUACCAUCCAUACCACAACCCACUCAAGCAAGCCUCAGGCAUCUUGCGUGGCUUGGGCCCACGUAAGCUCGUAGUGGCAAUGUUGCUUAUUUGCUUGACGUGGCAUGUGUGCAAGUGCAUAUGACGAACUUUCGCGUGCCCAAAUUGAGUUUCUUCUCGGUAGGGUAUCGCAUUGGGCCGAGAAUUUAAUUGGGUAGAACCGUGGAUUUUUUGGGCCUCAACAAUCUUAUAUAUAUUAGUUUUCUUUUUUUCCUUAAUAUUCACCACCUUUCUGUUGCAUAAGUAUUCCAGUCUUAGCGGGUUUCCAUCUACCACUCAUCUUUGCUCUUUUAAGUGCAAGCUUUUUUAUUUUUAUUUUUUUAUGCACAAGAUUAGAGGGGAGGGAGAUUUCUCAAUGUAAGCUUUGCAGUUUCAUAAUUAAUAUUUCCAAUAUCUCACUGUUAGUAAAAUAUGGAACGGGAAAAGUACGAAUAAAAUACACACAUGUUUUAUUUAGCAAAAUUUUGACAAGAUACAACUGAAAAGUUUGGCCACUAUAUAAUAUUUUGAUUUAAUUUUUUUUAUUUUUUUAAUAUAUAUUAUUUUUAUUCAAUAAUAUGUGAAAAAUAGGUGUACAAUAUAUGAAAUUUGUAUGUAUUAUUGAAAAAUUCGUAAAAAAAAAACAUGUUAUUAAAUGUGAAAAAUAUGUACGUAUAUGUAUAAAACAUGUAUUGUACAUUACUUUUUAACAAACUUGUAUUUUACCUAGUCUUUAAACCGUAUAUGGAAAACGGAAGUAUUAUUGAAAAAUACAUAUGUACGUAUAUGUAUAAAACAUGUAUUGUACAUUACUUUUUAACAAACUUGUAUUUUACCUAGUCUUUAAACCGUAUAUGGAAAACGGAAGUAUUAUUAAAAAAUACAUAUGUACGUGUAUAAUAUGAGUAUUAAACAAAAAAAUGUGCUAAGUACUUAUCUUUUAAUUUAAUAAUUCAUUUCAUUUUGUGAUCUCAUACGUAGUAAUGAGAGUUCAAAUUAAUGUUGCAGCUGACAAUGGUGGCUCUGGCAAGCCAUGCUUGAUGCAGGAGUAUAGGGGUGGAUCAAGAUAGAUAUUUACCAUGUAAUUAGUUAUUUCAUGAUAUAUUGUUAUUUUCUUAUUUAGGUAGUUUUAUGAUAUCUUUUAUUAUUUAUGUGGGAUUUUAUAAUUAAUUAGUUUACUUUUGGACCAAGUAGCCUUGGUGCUCAAGUCUUGUAAAGCUUAUAAAUAAGGCUAAUGUAAUAGUUGUAGGAAAAGAGAUGUCGAUGAUUAAUAAAAUCGUUUAUUUGUGGCAUGGAUUUGCUACGAUAUAUGUGAGUUUGCACUAGCCCUAGAUUUCGGUGCUCGUGUAUGUGGUUGGUGACCUGUGUCCGGAUCCCGAUCCCCAUCAAUGCUGUUCUCCCAGUACCUCAACUUUACUGGAACUCUUUCCUGCCAAACACAAAUGCCAAGAGCUAUCAGUCAACUUCUGCAUCCUGGUUUCUAUUAAGGGACUUUUCGUGAGCUUAUCAUCUACCCAAAUUUUACUCAUCCGACGUAAUUUUAAAAGUGAUUUGAUCCUUUGGCAAAGUAAUCUUGAACUACAAAAAAGGAGGGCACUCGAAUAGGCAUGCCAUUUGGUAUUACCCACCUCUAAUUUCUUUUAAAAUUUUAGUAAUUGAUUUUUAAGAUUAGAAAAUGGGAAAGUUCAAAACCGAAAAAGUUGUUUCAGUUUUGGCAAGUAUCGGAAAAGACUAAAAUUUUCCGACUUUAUUAUUACUAGAAACAAAGUCGAAGUAUUCACCAAUCAUGUGGCCUUCCAAGUGCUCAAGGUUAAGCCAGGAACCGUUCCUAUCAGCCAUUUCCUUCCCAAGUAUGAUCAUGUUGUCUGGGUUCCAACCCACAAAUCUACAUCAGUACCUGAACUAAUCAGUUCUACAUGAAUAUUCAUUCAUGGCAACCUUGGGCUAAGUAUUUGAAUUUAUGCUCAUAAAGCUUUAAUGCUUUUGAGGGCCAAUCGUUGUCUACAUAUGGUAUUGUAGCAUCUUUAGAUGGAAGAGGUCAGGGGUUCAAUUCUUGUUUUCCACUUCUUUAUUUGUUGGUUUAUCGAGUGUAGAGUGGAGUUGCACCUAUAUGUUCGUCUCUCACCCCAUCAUUUACCAUUGAUAUAUAUUUAAUAGAAGCCUAAGAUUUCGGAAGCACAUAAUUUCUACUUUACAAACUUCCUGUGUCUACCAAUUUCUACUAAAAUUAAUUUAUCUGCGGUGCUGAGAUUCAUCAUAAUUUUAAUAGAAAUUGGAAGUUUUCAUCAUUUUUGCUUUAAGUCUCUACUCCACUCACUAAUAAAGAUUACUCAUGUGAGUUUACAAAACAUUUUUUUUUUCUACUCUCUCCUGAAGACUACACUUCUUCUCAAAAAAUUAGAUCACUUCACAUCUUGUGUAUGUGAAAACUAAUGUAAAAAGUUGAAACUUUAUCGUAAAACCUCGACAAAAAUGAGCUCUACUACAAAAUGUUAAAUUUGGAUUCGUUGAUUUAAAUGGCAAUUUGACACUUGAUAGAAAUUUUUACAUACAUGUGUUAGUGUUUGAUCACUUCACAUGUCACUUACUAUAUUUAUUCCACUCAAGUUAGGUAAAUAUUAUUAUCAAACAUUUCAAUUAAUUUGUGAUUUUUUUAUUAUUUAAUCAAUUAUGAAUUAAUGGAUUCUUCUUGUUGUUUUGAAGACCAACAAAAAAAAAAAAAAGGGUAGUGAUGGCUUAUAAUUCUGGUAAAACAACAGUGACGUGGACAACAGAUGUUACGCUGUACUAAAGAUUUUUGAAGAUUCUUUAUUUGAGUUUCUUUCAAGAUAAAAACCAUAUUAUCCACAACCACAAGCACAUCCGGCAGACAAUCUUUGGCUAUUCAUCACAAUUGGGAGACAAUGAAGAAGACAGAAAAUGGAGUAAUUCAGAUGUUACCAGCCAUCCACGACAAACUGAAGUCUGCAAAGCAUUCGUAAUCUAAAAAGGAUGGGGAGGCUGCGCAAUACUUAGCCACGUGUAGGCCAGGAGGCUUUCCAAUUUUAAUAUAUAUAUAGAUUGAAAAAAUAAAAUAAAAAUCAAUCUAUUAUCAUAUAUAUUAUAAAAUAAAGAUUAUUGCUCCCAUGGGCGGUGCUAUGCACAGGACAGUGCCUGCCUAGUCCAAAUUUUUUUUAAAUAAAAAUAAAAAUCUACAUAUGUUAUAAGCUCAUCCAAAAAAAAAAAAAAAAAUAAAAGUGUUGUAAAUUAUAAGGUGGAGCCCACAUGUUGGAAGGCUUUGCCUACAAAAGGGUUCACACCCUCCCUUUGUAAUUAGACAUUGAGAAUACUAAGGAAGACAGAAAUGAAUAGAGAGAAAACAUUCCCUUCUCUCCAUCUCAAUUCCCUCUCCAAUUCCUCUAGAUUUAUAACACGUUAUCAGCAGCACGAAUCGCUUUCAAACAAUACCAGCUGAAUUUUAUGAUGAAACCCAGAUCUCUCAUCCAUCUCUGCUGCUCCACUACUUCAAAAUAAAUCCCACAGAAAAAGAAAAAGCCUCAAUGCUCUCUCUCUCUCUCUGUCUCGCUUGGGAGACUUGGACAAUUCCUCAUCCCCGUUACUGACAAUUUCAACAGCUUCAGGGGAAGCUAGUUUAUCUUCCUCUGCUCACGAAACCAUGACUCUUUCAGAGCCAAACAACAACACAAUAGACAACGCAUGGAGACCAGACUGGAGCUCGUCGGCUAAGGCACCGACGAUCCGACCCUACCCGUAUGGACCUUCCGGAUGUGGUUCCUGGGUCUUGUCUCAUGUGCCCUCCUCUCAUUUCUCAACCAAUUCUACAAGCAGCAGAGCUUCAAAUCAAACAGAUCAUGGCAUCGCUUUCACACCUCCCCAUCUUCCUCUUCCUCCUGUUCACCGCUUUCUAUUCUACAGCUUCGCAGUCCUUCAUCGGCGCAUCCAAAGGCGACAUACCGGCGCUCGCCUCAGAUCCGAACGCGGCGGCUCAGUGGGUGAACUCGAAUGUCCUCGCCUUCUACUCGGCCAGCAACAUCGACCUCAUCAACGUCGGCAACGAGGUCCUUUUUCUCCAACGACCAGGGCCUCAUCUCGCAGCUCCUCCCCGCCAUGCGAAAUGUCCAAUCUGCCCUCUCCGCCGCGUCCCUCGGCGGCAAGGUCCGUGUCUCCACGGUCCACUGCCUCGCCGGAUCGGGAUCCUUCCUUCAAGUGUUUCUCUGUCUUCGACUUGAAAAAGAAGGUCAUGGCAGGCCUAUGUAAAAAUUGCGAAAAGGAAGGCAAUCUUCAACCUUUUCUCCUGUCUCUCUCUUGAUCAAUUCAUGGAAGGCACAUUUGGGUCUUCCGGGGGCUCAUCAAAUGAGUCAGCAAUGUCAAAGGUGGAGGUGGUGGAGCAAGACUACGUGGGGAUGUCAUAUGAGGCAACCUCAUACCCAGCUGAGGCAGAGCUUGUGCUGGGCCUGGGCCUUGGCCUGAGCCUUCGUGGUGGUGGUGCAGGGAAGCAGCCAAAGCCAUGUGCAUGGGGUGAGCGUGGUAGAAUCUUGACUGCUAAAGUUAGGUGCUGAGUUACACUGUGUUCUCUGCUACUGACCCUAAGAGGAGUGCUAGAAACUUCCAUGUUCCGCCAUCAUUUCGCUUUCACUGUUACAAGGCACUGGAGUAUGUUUAAUUGAAAAGUGAGAUACACAGCAAGUUGAUCAGCCUAGUGGAAAGCAAAGGAUUAUUGCCAGGGAUAUGAACACCCACCGAAAUAAAGGGAUAAGUACUCUUUUUCCCUUCGACCAGUUUUUUUUUGUCCCACUGGGUUUUUACUGGCAAGGUUUUUCACGAAACAUAUUCCGUAUCAUUUGUGGUCUCUAAGAGGGAGUGUUGUAAAUUAUAAGGUGGAGCCCACAUGUUGGAAGGCUUUGCCUACAAAAGGGUUCACACCCUCCCUUUGUAAUUAGACAUUGAGAAUACUAAGGAAGACAGAAAUGAAUAGAGAGAAAACAUUCCCUUCUCUCCAUCUCAAUUCCCUCUCCAAUUCCUCUAGAUUUAUAACAAAAAGUAAAUUCUACACAUAUGUUGCCCAUCCAGGUGGUCCCAUAUCUUCUCUUUCCUUUUCUUUUGGCUAUUAGACUUCUUGUUUCUCUCUCUCUCUUUGCUACCCCACAUCAGCAAGUUUCUCCCUCUCUUUUUUUGGGAUCAAAUUCUUCUUCUAUUGACAAAAUCUUCUAUUAUAUUGGGUGGGCAACUUGGCAACAACAUCUUCUCCUCUCCUUUUGUCAACAGCAAGUAUUAUUCUCAUUCUCUCAUUUGCUAUAUAUCUUUAAUUAUAGUUUUAAUUUAAAAUUGAGUAUUCUAGGGUUUAAUUAGGGAUGAAUUAUAAUUUUGGGAUUUUGUUGAAAUUAAUUAGGGCUUCGAUUAGGGGUGAAUUAUUCUACUGCUUUGAUUUGGAAUUUUGUUAAAAUUGAGUAUUAUAGGUUUAAUUAUGGAUGAAUUACAAUUUUUGGUUUUGGUAUUGUUGAGAUGUUAUUAUGAGAAUUUGUUUGAUUUUUUGUUGGUAUAUUUGAUUAAAAUUCUUUCUACAUAUUAUUCAUAGGCUAUCUUUUAUUAUGUCGGAUCACAAUCGGAAUCCCAAGAAAACAAAAAAUUUGAAUAGUGUUGUUUUGUAUUGCAUUGCAUUUACUUUUGGUUUUAGUUUUGCUUUUAGUGUAAAUUACUCAAAUGGUCCUCAAAUUUGUACCCAAUUUACAUUUUGGUCCAUAAACUAAAUUAUUCAUUCAAAUGGUCCACCAACUCUUUAUUAAUCGGUGCUUUGGUCCUAUCGUUAUGUUUUCUAUUAAAUUUAGUCAUGUGAGCAGCACAUGCUACAUUUGUAUGGGUAAAUAAGACUUUUGACCAGUGGCGGAUCCACGUUGGGACAAGAGGGGUCGGACGACCCCUUGGAAGGCUGGAAAUUUGGCAAGGGAGUCCAUGAAAGCCCCCUUGGACAGCUGCUGGAAGCCCCCUUGUAUGCACACAAUGUGCUCGACGAAAUGCCCCAACGAAAUGUCCUGCGCAGCUGUGCUGCGCCUUGCGCGUAAUUUUUUUUUAAAACCAGCCUUGCCAAACGACGUCGUUUGGUCAAGGCUCAGUCAAAUUUUUUUUUAAUUAACCUGGCCUCAAAACGACGUCGUUUUGGGCCAGGUUUAAAAAAAAAAAAACAGAACAGUACACACGCACAGCAGCUCUGCACAGAUUCAUUUUCUCCAAACCUUUCAUUCCCAAUUCCACAGCCCCUCUUCCCAUCCUCUCAAACCCUAACCUCCCAACCUCCCAACCUUGGACAACCUCCAUCAACUCUUCACCGGUGGCCCAAUGCCGAUCACCACCACCUUCUACCGCCGUCCGCCGCCCAUUUUUUAAACUACAAGUAAGUAAGCAUGGAAAAUCUGAUAUUAAUAAUUAUAGUGAUAAUAUAUAUUGUUGAUAUUGAUAUUUUUUUUUUAUGUAAUGAAAUUUAUGGAUAUGAAUCAUAUUGAUUGAUUGAGUUUAUGCUUGAAAUUUAUGGAUAUGAAUCAUAUUGAUAUUUUUUUUUAUGUAAUUAAAUUUAUGGAUAUGAAUCAUAGUGAUAAUCAUAUUAAUGUAGAUUGAUUGAGUUUAUGCUUGAUUGAUAAUAUGAAUUGAUUGGGUAUAUUAAAUAUUGAUUGCUAUUUGAUAUGAUAAUUUGGUAUAUUGAAUAUUGAUUGAUAUGGGUUUAGGGAGUAUAUUGAAUAUUGAGAGUGGGUUAUUGAAAUUUUCAUAUUCAUAUGAUAAUUAGGAUAAAAAUUAAUGAUUGAUUGAAUUAAUUGAUUUGUAGAUUUAUGGAACGAUUCUUUAAAAGAAAAUUAUCUACGGAUAGUUCUUCUCUGUCUAAUCCGGGUAGUUCAAAUGCAAGACCAAUUGAAGUAGAUGAGAUCUUAGCUAAUCUUCAAGCAGACCCUGGACUAAGAACUCGAAUGGCGGAUUAUAGUCCUAAUAUUAGGGAUGAGAUCCGAAGAGCAUAUCUACAAAAGGGACCUUGUCAACCUAGAAGUUAUAAAUUCCCACAAACUAAUCAAUCAGGAAUUAAUAGACGCUUCAUUGCUCAUUGGUUUGAUGAUCAUGAUUGGUUGGAAUAUAGUAUUGCUAAAGAUGCUACGUUUUGUCUUCAUUGUUAUCUCUUCAAAUCUAAUUUUGAUCAAGUGGGUGGUGAUGCAUUCACUGGGGUAGGCUUCAAUAAUUGGAAGAAGGCGAAAGAAAGAUUUAACCUUCAUAUUGGACCGGUUGGUAGUGUUCACAACCAAGCUAGAGAAGUUGCUUACAAUUUGAUGCAUCAAACUACACACAUUGAAACAAUUGUGCUCAAGCAAACAAGCCAAGCUCGCACGGCUUAUCGCACUUGCUUGAAUGCAUCACUUAAGUGCACUAGGUAUUUGUUGCGGCAAGGGCUUUCUUUUCGUGGUCAUGAUGAAAGUGCACAAUCAAGUAAUAAAGGGAAUUAUUUAGAGCUCUUGCAAUUUCUUGCGGAUCAUGAUGAAAAAGUUAAGGCCGUUGUAUUGGAAAAUGCUCCGGGAAAUUUAAAGUUAAUAGCUCCUUCAAUUCAAAAAGAUCUUGUCAAUUCUUGUGCCAAAGAAACCAUUGAUCUUAUCUUGAGUGAUGUAAAAGAUAGAUAUUUUUCAAUAAUGGUGGAUGAAGCACGUGAUGUUUCAAUAAAGGAGCAAAUGGCAAUGGUGUUGCGUUAUGUGAAUGACAAAGGACAAAUAAUUGAAAGGUUUGUGGGGGUUCAACAUGUAACCGACACUACUUCAAGUGCACUAAAGGAAACAAUUGAUGAAUUCUUUUCUUCCGCGAAUUUGAGCUUUUCCAAGCUACGAGGACAAGGUUAUGAUGGAGCUAGCAAUAUGAGAGGUGAGUUCAAUGGCCUUAAGAGAAAGAUUUUGAGAGAACAACCUUGUGCAUUUUAUGUUCAUUGCUUUGCUCAUCAACUUCAACUAGCUCUUGUUGCGGUAGCAAAGAAAAACAUUGAUGUCAACUCUUUUUUCACAACGGCUAAUAGUUUGGUUAAUGUGGUUGGAGCAUCUUGUAAGCGUCGCGAUGCACUUAGAGCACAAUACCAAGAAGAGCUUGUGAGAGCUUUUGAAGAUGAUUGUCUUAUAACGGGGCGGGGCUUAAAUCAAGAAAGGACUCUCAAACGUGCCGGCAAUACACGAUGGAACUCACAUUAUGGUACGUUGAUUAGUAUCAUUUCUAUGUUCCCAUCUGUGGUGAAUGUGCUUCAAAUGAUUGUUGAUGAUAAUCUUAAUGAUAGUUCGGGUGAAGCCUAUAAGUUAAGGAGAGAAAUACAAUCUUUUGAGUUUGUGUUUCACUUAUUUGUAAUGAAAGCUAUAUUGGGAAUAACAAACACUUUGUCUCUAGCAUUGCAAAAGAAAGAUCAAGACAUUGUGAGUACAAUGAAUUUAGUGAAAACAUGCAAGGAAAACCUGCAGUUGAUGAGGGAUAAUGAGUUUGAAGAAUUGGUUGGGCAAGCAUCCUCGUUUUGUUACAAAUAUGAUAUUAUAGUUCCUACCAUGGAUGAGGAAUAUGUAAUUCCAGGGAGAUCAUGGCGUAAUGCUCCAAUGAAGACAAAUUAUCAUCGUUAUCGUGUGGAGAUCUUUAUUCAUGUAAUUGAUGGGCAACUUGCGGAAUUAAAUGAUCGCUUCAACGAGGUAAGUACUGAGUUACUUACUUGUUUGGCAUGCUUGAGUCCAAAAAAUAACUUUGUGACUUUUGACAAACGAAAGCUAGUUCGUCUUGCUCAAUUUUAUCCUUAUGAUUUUUCGGAUAGAGACUUAUUGAUGCUUGAAGAUCAACUUGGUGUUUAUGUUCAUCAUAUGCGUUCGAGUAGUGAUUUUUCUCAAUUGGAAGGGAUUAGUAGUCUUGCGGAAAAAAUGGUGGAGAAAGGAAUGCAUGAAAUAUUUCCUUUUGUAUUUGCUUCUUACAUUGGCUUUGGUUUUACCGGUUGCAACUGCAUCAGUGGAGAGGGCAUUUUCCGCUAUGAAUAUUAUUAAAAAUCCACUUCGCAACAGAAUGGGAGAUCAAUGGUUGAAUGAUAGCUUGCUUGUUUACAUUGAGAGAGAUGUUUUUGCUUGUAUUGAUAACGAAAUUAUAAUGCAAUGUUUUCAGAAUAUGAAAACUCGUCGUGGACAAUUGUAACUUGUAUUAUUGGUUUUGUUAUGAAUUAUGAAUGAAAGUACUAUCUUUCUAUCUUUUUAGCAUUAUUUUCUUUGUAGAAAAAUUUCAGAACUUUUACACUAAGCCCCCUUGGCUACAUAAUCCUGGAUCCGCCACUGCUUUUGACCACUUUAUCACCUAUGUAUCACCACUUUAUAACCUAUUUGGGGAACAUAGGUCAGUUAUGGACGGUUUUACCCUUACAUUUGACGGCAACAUUAACAUAAUGUAACAGUGGGAUCAAUGGAGUGAUUAAUAUAAAGUUGAUGGACCAUUUGAAUGAAUAAUUUAAUUGAGAGACCAAAAUGUAAAUCAAGUAUAAGUUUGAGGACCAUUUGAGUAAUUUACCCUUCGCUUUUAUAUUUGUUGAACUUUUAUUUAUGAUAGAUAUGCAUUUAAGGGUAAGACCCAUUAUGUUCCCCUGGCUAGGUGUAUCUUUUUAUGUUUAUUAAUGAAAUUCACUCGAACUGUUGAGUUUAGUAUGUAAGUUUUGCCUAACUGGCUUUUGAAUCCUAGAACCGCCACUGUUGCUCCAUCCUCCAUGCACUUGCAUGUGCUCUUACAAAGUGUGAAGUAGAUUUUGUGUGCUCCAAGUCAUUGACUAGAGCUGAAACAUGGUUAGCUAGAUUUAUAAGGACCCAUCUCUUUAUUUCCUAGACAUAUACCCAUCUCUCUAUAAAUCUAUAUGUAAAACCUAAUUUCAAACUUAAAUGACCAGUAGGAUAUAAAAGGUCAUAGUAUUCCUAUGUUUUUAUAUCGUUGCCACCAGACUUCUUAUUUUAUUUAUAAUUUAUUUCAAGCAUUUCAUUAACUGCCAUAAUUGUAAUUAAUACUCCAUAUUAAUAGCAUAUCAAUCACCCCAUUUCUUUUGGUUGCCAUUCCCUCUAACAUAUCGCCCCUUAAAUUUGAAAACCAAAAAAAAAAAAUGUAAAUUACAUAUCCAAUAAUGUACCUAUGAAAAAUAUAAAUAUAAAUAUAUACAUAUAAAAAUAUAGGUAUAUUAUUUACCAAAUAGAAAAUAUAAAAACCUAGGUCAGUUGCUUUGUAAUUGAAAUUUCUGUACAUUUUCCACAAAUUAAAAAUAGGUACAUAAUAAUUUAUAGAAAAUAUAUGUACAUUAUUUAUCCAUAGGUAAAAAUACCGAUAAAUGCACAUAGGUGAAUUAUUUACCAAUAUAUUAUUUUUUUGCUAAGGAUUUACCUUAGUUUUUAGUAGAUUAAUUUACCUACCUAGAGGCAUAGGUAGCUUAAAAAAAAUGUACCACCUUAGUUGGUUGCAUACUAAUUUACCUACCUAGAGGCAUAGGUUGCUAAGAAAAAAUGUAGGUAAAUUCAUGUACCUAAACACAUAGGGGUCAAAUAGAGAAUAACAUGUUAUUUCCCUUUGAACAAAUUAAUUUCAAACCAUAACAAUUAUUGAAUUUGGAAAUUGGUAUAAAUAAAAGGAAAUAAAUAAACUAUCAAUUUGAAAAUUAAAAUAAGAAAUGAUCAAGUAGUCAUAUUUGAAAAAAAAGGAAAGAAUAUAUUCUUGGUUUUUAUAGGAACAACGAGUAUAUUCAAACCAAACGGCGAUAACUACACCAAGCUUUAAUUACUUUUUUUUAAGGCCAAAAGUCACUUUUGGUCCCUGUAGUUCGGCAUUUCUACCACUUUUGAUGUUGUAGUUUCAAUUCCGUCAAUUUUGCCAUUGUAGUUUCGUAUUUGUAGCAAUUCAAGGACCUGUUAAUAUUAAUGUCAAUUUGUUUAAUGAUGCAAGAGGUAAUUUCGUCAUCCCAAAAUCCUUGAGCAUAAAAGAUUGUCUGAAAUUCUCCCCAUUUCAUAUUAGGGCUCGAAAUUCAACCACUAAUCCUAAUUUUUGAAGAACCCUAGACCCAAAUGACCAAUUUCAAGCCCUAAUAUGAAAUUACGGAAGUUUUAGAUGAGCUUUUAUGCUCAAGGAUUUUGAGUUGAAGAAACUGCCCCUUGCACUGUCAAAUAAAUUGACAGGAAUACUGACUUGUCCUUGAAUUGCUACAAAUACAAAACUACAGUGUCAAAAUUAACAGAAUUUAAACUAUAGGGUCAAAAGUAGUUGAAGUGUCAAACUAUAAGGACCAAAAGUGACUUUUAGCCUUUUUGUUUCAAUAAGGAAAAAACUGACCUAUUAAAUCCUUGGAAUCUAUACAAAAUUGAAACACAAUUAAUCAACAUUGAAUUGCAGCUAAUUUCUUAAACAAGGGUAUUAUAGGAAUUUAAAAAGUAUAACAUUUAAUCCAUUGAAUUUGAUUAGGAAACUUGAUGAAUUGAAUCCUAGUUAUAUAGUUUUUCUUAUAAAAAUCAGGUUUUAUUUAUAGACAAAUAAAACAAUGGGUUGUAGGUAAGAAAAUAUUAAUUUGAAGGGAAAGAGUCAAAUUUACUAAAUUAAUAAAGCAUAAAUUGGAAAGGGAAAAGAUCUAGAGGAUGCAUUGUAGGAUUGCUCAUGCCAAUAAUUGCACCCUCUCGAUAUUGAAAAACCUAUUGUUUAUUAUUAUCUUCAAUCCUGAAUGAUGCACCUAAAACCCAAGUGUCUCAGGCCAACCAUUGCGCUCAUACCACUUGUUGCAGUACACAUUCACCUGUUUUUAAAGAAAGAAAUUCUACCAAUCGAUAUUUUCUCAAAUUUAAUCACAUAGAUCUAUUAUGGUUAACCAUAUGUACUUUUAUCUGCCAUCCAGAGGUACCUUUUUCCAACGUGCAACAAUUGUAUUUGAUUCACAAUUAUGUCUGAUAUACAUCACAUCAUGCCACUUGCCUCAAAUGAAUUUAAUUGAGUGAGGCAAUGGGAAGUAAUUAAGCUCUAUAUUGGUGGGUGGAGUGUUACUUCUGGAACCCUCAUCAUUCGUCCAUACAGGGGAACAAUUCCCUUCCUUCUAUAAAAUGGGAGCAAUUCUCUCACUGUACUCUAUAUAAAGGAAUAAGUGUCGUCCACUAAUUAAUUACACUUUGUGAGAUUUGAUUUUAAUUAGAGUUCGAAUUAAUGUUGCAGCUAGCAGCGGUGGCACUGGCAAACCAUGCUGCUCAACCAGCACCUCCACUUUACUGGAAUUCCAUCCUGCCAAACACACAAAUGCCAAGAGCUAUCAGUGAACUUCUGCAUCCUGAUUUGUGUUGAAUAGAUAUAGUAUGUUACUGGAGUACGUAUGGCAACAUAUUCACAAAUGUGUCACGUAUUUUCCAUUAUGACGUUGAUAUAUAAUUGCAGACUCCACAAACGAAGAAAAGAGCACAAAUGUCAUGAAUGCUGUUGGGAAUGGAAAGCCAAUUGACCACAAGGGCAAACCUGAAAAUACUGUACUACCACAGCUUGCACGACGCCCAUUUUCUUACAAGAGUGAUGAUCGUCCCACUGACAAUCAACUCCAUUAUAAAAACGUAGCUAUUUUCUUCUUGGAGAAGGACAUGCGCCCUGGCACAACAAUGAGCUUCCAAUUCCCUAGAAAUUCAAACACGGCUACUUUCCUGCCACGAGAAAGAGCUCAAUCGAUCCCCUUCUCCUCUAACAAACUACCAGAAAUUUUCAACCAUUUUUCAGUGAAGCCAACAUCUGUGGAAGCCAAAACAAUUAAGCAAACAAUCGAAGAGUGUGAGGCUCCAGGCAUUAAGGGAGAGGAAAUAUAUUGCGCCACAUCUUUAGAAUCAAUGGUUGAUUUUAGCACUUCGAAGCUUCGAACAAGAAACGUUCAAGCAAUCUCGACGGAGGUAUUGGAAAAAGGUGCCACCAUGUCCAUGCACAAGCACACAACAAUGCCGGGACUGAAGAAGUUGGCAGGUGUCAAAGUCGUUUUGUGUCAUAAGCAGAACUAUCCCUAUGCUGUGUUUUACUGCCAUGUAAUAAAACCAACAGCAGCUUAUGUUCUCUCCCUGAAAGGCGAUGAUGGGGUGAAAGUUAAAGCAGUAGCCAUCUGCCAUCUAGACACAUCAGAAUGGAACCCAAAGCAUUUGGCCUUCCAAAUCCUCAAAGUUAAGCCCGGAACAAUUCCCAUCUGCCAUUUCCUUCCCACUGAUCAUAUUGUCUGGGUUCCGAACCACAAAUCUGCAUGAUCAUCACUUAGCACUGUACGUAUAAUAACCUUUACCCCUGUAUAAUUAUCUCCCUACUCUACUUAUUUCUGCCUCUUCAUGUGGUGUAAGAUAUAUGAUGAGAUGAAGUUUUUGGGAUUAGUGGUCGGGUUGCCUUAAAAACACAGAUUACAGAAACUGCUUGAACUUAACCCGAUCAUGUUUUCUCUUGUACUCGUAAAGCAUGCUGUUGUGGUUCUACUUAAUUUCGUCCUCCCCAAUGUUUGAGUGUUUAAUUGUUACGUUGGAAUAGGCUGCUAAUGCAUGUAGUUAGAGAAGCUUUCAUUUAUAUCAAAGUCCUCAAACUAUCAAGAAUUAAUGCAUCCAGAAACAUAUAUACCAAGACGCAAAACAACAUAUUUUCCAUGCUGUGUCGGUAACACCAAAGCAAACUUCCUUUAUCACAAAAGGACCAAAUUCCAAUACUAAUCUAAUCCAUCAUGUAAAGCAUACAAUCUACAACUGCCUCCCUAAAUUUGUCCAUUGGAUAUAUAUGUCACUUUUUGGUAAUUUGGUAUAGCAGCACCACGUAGUAUGCAUUUAACAGAAAAGUAAACAAAAUUGACAGUAGAACUAUUUGUCCUAACGAAACUGAAGUUGAAAGACCAUGAGAACGAUUUUGAAAAUUAAGGGACUCAAAUGAAAAUUGGGUCUAAGUUCAGGGACCAAUAAAACGAUUAACCCAUAGAUUUUGGAUCCAGUACCACAUCCCAAAGAGAAAACCACAAGUUUGCAAGCAAGUUUGUCCAUACUAACACUACGUACAGUAUGGGCAAUGUGCUAGACUCAUCUCACUUUCUCAACCUAUCCUAUACUUGUCUAAAAGAGUUUCUAAUUUAAUGUACUGAGAUUUACGAAAGAAAUAUCAGAGAAACAAUUUUCAGGCAAUAAAAAAAUGUCUUGGCAAGAAAAUGCACAAUUUGUUACAUAACUUAUUAAAUAUGAACAGUUGAAAGAAAAAAGAAUUUGGAUGAGGGAUUUGCAAAUUCCUAUGGCCCAAUUACCUUUUUUUCUUUGUUUUUUUUUGGUUCUUUUGAUCCAGUAGCAUAUUCCAAAGAAUGAAAACCACAGGCAUGCAAUGCAAGCUCUUUUCCCAUGUUUUCCUCUGUUUUUCUCCUAUCAUGGAAGUGAUUAAAACACACCUCUAAGCUUGUUUUGCGUUUGGUAGCCGAGUGUAAAAGCUCAAUGCAAGAUAGUUUGAGGUAGAAUUUUCUCCUGUUUUAUUAGGACAAUGAUGAGCUAUAUGUGACAACAAAUUGCUUUAAUAAUGAAAAUUAAAAAAGUGUGAUUCAUUGAAUAUUUGCGGGGUUUUGUUCAGAGCUGACAAAGUUCUAAGUCAACACAUCAAAUUCCUUUUUCCAACAAUCGUAUUUGAUUCACAAUUUUGUCUGAUAUACAUCACAUCAUGACACUUGCAUCAAAUGAAUUUAAUUGAGUGAGGCAAUGGGAAGUAAUUAAGCUCUAUAUUGGUGGGUGGAGUGUUACUUCUGGAAUCCUAAUCAUUCGUCCCUACAGGACUCUAGAACUCUCACACUUCUUACAAGGACUACUUAACUCUAUAGCUUAUUGCAUAUAGCAUAUAUAUGCAAACCCAAUUAGAAAUUCUACAACAGAAGCAAGAUCAAUCUCACUAUGCCUUCUAAACAAACAAACAAAUAAAACAAGCAUAUUAAUUGCUUUAAUCACUCUACUAACAUCAACACAGCACACUUAGUUUACUAACAGAUGAUAUAGAAAGGAAAAAAAAGGACCAAUAGGGAGAAAAUGGUGAACUAAGGAGAGACUAAUACUUCUGGUCCUUAGAAGGCAUAACAGAAAUAAUAGAGCACACUGCUUGAAUGCAAGUCAGUAUUAGGAGCAAAACAGCUGCAAUGAAAGAAAUAGUUGCCCAAGGUGUAUUGAAAUAAUGUUGCCUCAAAUUUGCCUUCCAUUUGUUCCAAGGCUUUCUGCAGUAGCUAUUAAGGCGCUCAGAAAGAGUAGCAAAGUAGAAGCUUUCACGAUACACUGCAAUUCCUUUUCCGAGGUUGUUAAUCAGAGUGCACACCUCAUUGUAGUCACCAAGCAUAUUUUUGACAAUCCCAUACUUCAGAAGGAACUCCACAUCCUUUUCGGUGUUCACAAACUCAUCCAUGAGUGAAACAUAAUCACUUAUGUAAUUCUUACGGCAAUGGCACUAUUCAAAGGCAAUGAGGUUAUGGAGUGUGAGCUCUGUGUAAUCGUUUAUUUUUAGUUUUGGAAUUUCUAGAAUCCCAUCGUUGAAUCGUGUUAACGCAGCUUUCCUUUCCUAGCCUACGCGGAAGUCAACUUCACAAUCUCCUCCUAGCAAUUAGCCUUUCCUACUGUAAAUCGGAUUGUAUUCAUGUCUAUAUUAUUUCCUACCUUAAAUAGAUAUCCUGUACUAGUAUACAUAGGGACUUUGUGUAAUCUGUUAAAUACAAGGAAAUAUAUACUCUACAUGGUAUCAACCUAACCUAGGGUUCUCUCUCUCCCCCUUAUUCGAUCCUCUUCUCCUUUAGGUCCACCUCAUGGCUUCGUUUGAAUCCACCAUCUCCCUCCCAAGCCCUAACUCUUCUCAUUUUAUCAAGCUUACUAACUCCAACUAUCUUCUUUGGCUCCGCCAACUCAAACCCUUUUAGUUGGCCAUGACCUCUGGAAAUUUAUCGAUGGCAUUCAUAAACAACCUUCUGCCCACACCUCCACCUCUACCACCACAACACCCACAACCACCACCACUCUUACCGAAAUCAAUCCUACCUAUGCUCAGUGGUACCAACAAGACCAACUCAUUGUUAGCUACAUCACCAGUACACUCUCUGAGUCCAUUUUCUCUCUCACUGUCGGUUGCAUCUCUGCCCGGGAUCUCUGGGAGUGUCUCCAAUGCCACUUCUCUUAAUCCAAUAUGGCCAGUGAAUCUGCUCUUCGUUUUCAACUCAUGGAUUUGCAAAAAGGCUCUCAACCCAUUGAUGCUUACCUUCGUCAUGCUAAGUCUCUUGCCGAUUCACUAGCUGCCAUCAAUUAACCUGUCUCCCCAAAAGAACUUGUCACUGCUGUGCUUCGGGGUUUAGGACCCGAUCACAAAAUGCUCAUCACAGCAAUUCUCAAUUUCUCUCCGCUUCCAGACUUUGCUGAUCUUCGUGCUCGUUUGUUAGCUUUUGAUGCACAGACUCCUCGAAUCUUUCCUGAUCAAAACACAACGCUAAUGGCCACCCAAUCUUCUCCUUACACCACCGGUCAUACUUCCUUCCCUUCUCACCGUGGUUGUGGCUCUUCCAGCAAUAGGCGCGGUGGCUGGUGCAGUAUUGGCCGUGGUGGCUGGCACAACUUCUCAUCUUCCUAGAGCAACCCGUGGAAUGGCUUCCAGCAGCCCUAAUGACCUAAUCAACUGUGGCCUCCUUUUGCUCUAAGUUUUGGAUCUCAAAGCAACUGGCCUUCCUUUCAACCUCUUUGGGCCCAAUCUGCCGCUUCUAGCAAACACUCUGCCCGACCCAACUCAGCUCCUGGUGUCUUGGGACCCGCUUGGUGCACCACAUGCAAUACCAAUCGACAUACUACUACAACAUGUCCUUAUUGCUACAAUGGCCCAGAAUUCUUCCUUUGCUGGGGCUCAAUUCAUGCAGCCACCUAACUCUACAUGGUACCCUGACACAAGUGCCACUCAUCAUAUGACUGGUAGUUCUUCUAAUCUCCAAAGGAAAUUAAAUGAAGGAGUCCUACGAAGGCUCAAGGCUCGAAAGCACACGAUCCGGCUCUGCUGCGGAGCUCACUCAACUACUGGCUGAGGGGGCGCAAAACAGAAAAUUGUGAGUGGACAAAAAUAAAAAUUCAGUUCAGUGUAAACCAACGUAAUAUAACCCCACCGUUUAGAAAACCAUGCAAGAAAUCCAAAUGCAUCUCAAAACCAUCAUAAUCAUCAAAUCAAAAUCAAAUACUGGAUGCCAAGUCCGAAAUCCAUAAAGAAAGCUUUACAAACCCACCAUCCAAAUCUUACAAUCCCACAACUAAACUCUCGAAAGCGUACCCAUUGGCAGUACCAGCAAGGAAGUAUCCUCACCGAGAAACAAGAACAAAAGAAUAGCUAUAUAUAUAAUUAUAUAAUAUAACCACACCUAGUUGUACCGGGAAAACAAUCCAACCGGGGGAUUGUUUGACUAGUCACCAUGGCAGAGUCAAAGUAAACAAAUUCCUCAAUUCACCAUGUGACUAGGGAACGAGCUGUCCAACUGGGGGACCAACUCUCAGCCAGCAUGUACCGUCGAUAGCCUCAAAACCCGUACGUCUGUGACCAGUCCUACGCGUGCAGACUACCCAAUCAAGGGUUUACAGCAACAUCCCAUCAAGGAUGCCCUAGGUUCCCACAAUUCCAAGUAUCUCAAGUUUGCGUAUCCAAGUUCCAAAUCCGGGGAGGUACAUAGGGUAGUGCUUAUAGCACUCCAAAUUGACAUUCUAUACUCAUCACUUUCCACAAUCUCAUCUCAACAACCUAAGUACCCCACACAUAGCCAAACAUAUAUAGAAAUUCUCAAAAUCCAUAUAUACAUACUCAAGAUACUCAAAUAUGUCAAAAUCCAAAAUAUAUUUCCAAUGCAUCAUAAAAAUAUCACUUUUAACAAUUGAAUAAAUAAUAUAUAUCCAAUAUACCAAUUAAAACAUCAUGCAUAAUAUUUCCCAUCAUAAAAUCAUGCAUAAGAUUUGAAAACAAAGUCCACUCACAAGUAGUCCCACACUGCUUGACCUUGAGAGGGUCCCGCCUACUGCGUAUGCGUGGUUGGAGUACCUAUUUCAGAAUACGUAUACGAGAUUAAUAAGAAGCGUUUCGAACGAGAACUUUGAAUUAAAUAUCCUAAUUUCCCAGGUUUCUAGUAAGUGUACUAGGAACGAGACGUUCUAAGGUUCCACUACCCAAUUCGAACCAUGGAAGAGCUUCGGGAGACACUCGGUCAACCGGCGGUCAAAUUCCCAAAUCGGGUCAACUGGCCCACGGGACCCACGACCUCCGUUUUUAAAAUCCGUAAGUUCCUAAAGGUUUCACAAUGUCUAAGAUACUACUAUCACAAGUUUGGUCCGAAACGGACUGUUAGAUCGCUUACGAUCGCACGAUCAGACGGUUAUUGUAAAACGUAAACUUUAAGUUAUUGAAUCAGAACAUCCGGGGCUCCGAUUCACGAUCCGCGAAUUCCUACACGAUCCUAGGAAGGUCUAGAGUAACAUAUAUUGGAAUGGAGUCGAUCCAAAGGUCCGAACAUAUCGAACCUAGACCGGAUAACUCCUAAUAUGUGAGAUUCGUUCGGGGUUCGAACAUCAACCAAAUUGGAAUCCUAAGGUACCUACGUGCUCGUGACAUUAAGGGGAUCAAUUGGGACAAAAAUGCCCCUCUGCUACAGUGCCCACGUGCCACCACACGCGGCGGUAGAGAGUGGGUGUCCAAAGCGAUUUCUCUUCGCCGGAAAAUCUCCAAAUUACAAGCCACUCUCCUGGCUACAGGUUCUACUCAACGAGUGGAACACUUUAUUCAACUACAGCCAAGUCCAAUUCGGACGGCAAGUGGCCGGAAACUCACGGUUUAACCCGGAACUUCAUGGCUUGGAUUGGGCGACCAUCGUCACCAUUGUCGUGGCACAACCUAGGAAAUAGCUAAAAGGAGAGGAGGGCUACCUAUUCCAAGCGAUGGCGCAGCUCGCGGUAGCCGAAAAUGUAGCCGAUGACGUUGGCAGUUUUGGCCGGUUUUUCACGUCGUUGCCAUCGCCGUUUGUCGAGUUUUCGAUUGGAGAAAAGGGGUGGGGUGAGUAGAGGAGGAAGAGAGGAAGCUUUUGCAAGAAAUGACACUUGUCAGGGAGGGGGGGGUUGGGGGAAGAGAGAGAGAGAGAGAGAGAGAGAGAGAGAAAAAAAAAAAAUUUCAGAUUUUCAUCCAAACCCUUUUCGAAAUAUUUACAAGUUUGCCACUAAACUACUUUUGGUUGCCAAAUCUUCGUUAUAACUCCGAUUCAAGCCUACCACGUGUCUACGGAUUCGUCUCAAUACAACCUACCCAAAAAUACCAGUCACUGCCCCAAACUCUUUUUGGGUAAGAAAAUGACCAAAAUACCCCUACCCCAAGGGUAAAUUCAUAAUUUCACUUCAAUAAUUUAAUAAAGAAUUAAAUUUGGAGUCGGGGUGUUACAUUAACUACCUGUUUAGUAGGUGUGGGGUUUUAUACAAAAAGCAUCGAUGUUAUUGGGAGUGGAACCACUUAUUAUAAGUUGUGAUUUAUUUAGUCAAGUUUCCUAUGUGGGAUUUUCUAUUCUUCAACAAGCCCCCUCAUGUGGGACCACCACAUAGUGGGCCACAUGUAAAGCUAAGUCCACAUCGGAGUCAAUCAUUCAAGCCCAAUACCUAAACACCACGUAUUGUGUGAGGGGUAGGGGUAAACAUUCAAGCCCAACAUGUGAACCACCAAAUAUUAAGUAAGGGUAAAGGCUCAAUUCAGGCCCAAUCAAUGAACCCAUUAUGAUAUCAUGUUAAAUUUCAGAUAGACGGGACUGUGGCCCACCACUAGCAACAUUGAUAUUGUCCCCAACUUAACUACAUGUUUAGUAGGUGUGGAGUUCUAUACAUAAGGUCUCGAUGUUUUUAGGAGUGGAACCACUUAUUAUAAGUUAUAAUUUAUUUAGUCAAGUUUCCAGUCAACCUGACUUUGAUACCAUGUUAAGAUUUUAAAGGGACGAACUCUUGGCACUAUUAGUAACAUCGACAUUGUCCCCAACUUAACCACCUGUUUAGCAAGUGUGGGGUUUUAUCCUAAAGGCCUCGAUCUUAUUAAGAGUUGAGUCAUUUAUUAUAUGGAACUUUCUAUUUUGUUAACUCUGUGUAUUCUUCAUCAAUGUGAACACCCCUAAACCAAUCAUACCUGAUACGAAUUGAAACACAAGUUUGUUUUUUGCCUUUGGUAGAUGAGUAGCUAGAAAAGCUCAAUGCACUUGCUCUUCUGCUACAUUUCAAUAUAAGAACAAGGUUUGGAAGUCAGGUCAACUCCUCAUAGCUUCCUUGCCUUUGCUUUGACAUGUCUAUGCACUUCUUGGGGAAGUUUGAAUAAUCCAUUGCAGGCCCCAUGACAACUAAGGAACCAACAUUUUGUAGAAGGUUUUGUCUAUACCUUUUGACUAUAAGUAAAAUCUUUUGUAUCUGCUCUUAUGUUUCGGUGAAGUUUCUAUGUGUCCUUUGUGCCGAGUUUCUAUGCGUCCUUUGUUGAACCAAAAAAUGAGGUUGUUUCUUACUAGAUUCAAAUACUUAAAAGAAAAAAAGAAAUUGUUGUUUCUUAAUGGAUUUUAUGAUGAACAAUAUCAAACUCUCCUCUUAUACGUCUGUUGGUAAAUUUUAACAACAAUAUUAAAACCUUGCAAGUGCACAAAUCAAAUGAUAGUAUAGUAAGCAAGCAAGGGUCGAUCCCACGGAGAUUGUGAUCUAAAGAGAUGUUUAUCAAUGUCACGCAAUGAAAAUCAAAACAAAGGACUUCCAAACACACGCCAACACCAAGGGGGGUUUUGAUUUGUUUUUGUGAAUCAAACAAAAUAAGGAAAAGGAAACAAAAGAGAAUUUAAAUUAGAGUUUAAGAGAAAUUGGUUUAAAAUCAAUCAAGAUCAAUAGCUAGGACUUACUAUCCACCUCCAAACAAUCAAUCAAUCCAUAAACAACAAUAGAUAAUCAAUUUCUAGUAAGCACACUACUACAAAAAAGCAAAAAGACGACGGUAAAUCACCGUCGUGUAUUCGGUUUUUCAAUGGUCGUGGAAUCCACCGUCAUCUUUUCCCUCAUAAACCACGACGCUAAAUCACCGUCGUUGUUACAAUAUACAACGUCAUCAACAAAUACAAAACGACGUCUUUGUACUGCAAAAAGAUCUAAAAAAGCAAUCGAUGAUGAGAAAAGACGACCAACUCUCUAAACAAACCGUCGUUAAAAAGAAAAAAUAUGACACAUAUUAACAGAACAUGGCCGCAAGAUAGACAUACAACGACGAAAAUUAAAAUAAGACGCCGUUAAAUAUCAUUUUCACGACAAUAAAAAAUAUGUCGUCUUUAAAUACAUUAGAAGACGACGUUAUUGAUACCUACUACGUCGCCUAUAUAAAAAUAACCGUCGUAAAAUAAAUUUUCCACUUCGAUUUUUCUAUAAAAGAUGACGUGGAAAUAGUUGUCAGUGUCAUUAUUUACGACGUAUGUAUUUAUAGAGUAGACGUUGAACAACGAAACAACGUCGGUUACAAAUAUAUGAGAGUCGUAUUACAAAAUUUAUACGUCCUAUUUUCAGAAACAAACAACGACGAUAAAUAUUAGACGUUGUUAAAUAAAACAACGUCGAAAACAAAUAAAAACAGACGUGUUUAGUCUGCUAAAGUUCUAAAAAAUAGUCGAGGAUGAGAAUAGACGACCAACUCAAACAAAUCACCGUCGUUAAAAAGGAAAAAUAUGACACAUAUUAAAAGAACAAGGCCGCAAGAUAGACAUACAACGACGACAACUAAAACACUACGCCGUCAAAUAUAAUUUUCACGACAAGAAAAAAUAUGACGUCUUUAAAUACAUGAGAAGACGACGUUAUUGAAAUAUACUACGUUUCUUAUUUACAAACAACCGUCGUGAAAUAAAUUUUCCACUUCGAUUUUUCUAAAAAAGAUGAUGUGGAAAUAGUUGUCAGUGUCAUUAUUUACGACGUAUGUAUUUAUAUAGUUGACGUUGAAAUGCGAAACAACGUCGGUGGCAUUUAUAUAGUCGACGUUGUAUUUAUAUGUAUUCAUUACUCACGACGCACUUAUUAAUAUAGACGACGUUGAACUUCUAAACAACGUCGGUUCCAAAUAAAUGAGAGCCGUAUUACAGAAAAUAUAGAUGGCGUUGAUUAUGAUGAGAGCCGUAUUACAAAUAACGUCGUUUAAUUGAUAUUAGACGGCGGUUAUAAUGAAUUACCGUCGGAAUUCAUUUCGUUCCUCUUCGUUUAUAAAAGAACUUGCGACGUGGAAAAUGUAUGAUGACGUCGUAUUUUUUAACGUUCAGAUUAUAUAUCUCGUUUUUUAGACGUCGGUAUUAUGGGAUUGGAGUCGUGUUAUUUUGAAUUACAUGGCGGUUCUUAAUCCUUCCCCGACGUGAUAUCCUGAAUAAUUGCUUCAUAAUAGCGUCGUGGUUCUUCAUUGUUACGUUGCUUUAAGACGUCGGUAAAUAUGCUGAAUAACUGGUUCACAAUAACGUCGUGUUUUAUUUGAACGUAGAAAGUGAAGAAAUCACAUUACAAUAUAUUACAAAAUUAAUGUCAUACACUGCCAAUUACAUAAGCAUCAUUCAAUCCAUAUAUCUUCACACCCAUCUCGAAUAUUUUGACCGCCUAACUCACCCACCAGUUCAUCAAAUGUGUCAACAUUUGGCAUCCCUCUAGUAAAUGGCUCACACUCAAUUAUCACAUCACCUAAGACUUCAUCACCAAUAACAUUAUUAUAUUCUCUAUUAGGCAUUGAUAACACUACCGACCAACCACGAUGCAUCGGGUCGUCAACAAAAAAUAUUUGUUUGACUUGAGAAGCCAAAACAAAUUGGUCAUUCCUAUGUCCAAUUUUACUCAAAUCUACAAGGGUAAAUCCAAGUUCGUCGACUACAAGACCAGAACUAUCUAUCCAAUCACACCUAAAGACUGGGAUUGUAAACUUUUGGUAGUCAAGGUCCCAAAUUUCUUGAAUGACACCAUAGAAACCCAUAUUUGAGAGAAUUGAGUUUUUAUCCUUGGCACUAGCAACUUGCAUGGUAUGUGCAAGUAAAUAAACUCCACUAUUUUGAGUUGUCCGCACAUCAUCUUGUGCCUUGAUAUUGAAUUUAAUACCUUUAAUAAGAUAGCUCCUAUAUAAUGGCACAGCCAUGUUUGGACCAGCUGCUAGCCACCUUAAAUUUUCUGAUACGCCAUGAUUGUCUUCCUCAAGUUCACUUUGAACCUGCAAAUUAAUCAUAUAUCUUAAUGCAAUCUAACAUAGAAAUAAGAAGAAAAUUAAAAGAGAAAUAUGUUAUUCAACAACAUAUACCUUGAAGCGUAGCCAUUGAAUGAAAGUGUUAUUGUGCUUAUCCUGCAGCCACUUUGUGAUUUAAGGUAUGACAAUCAUGUGAUUUAAGGCCAAGAAGUCUUGAAUCUUGUAAAGAUACAAGAUUUUUAAUAUUUGAAGAAUAACCUUCAGGGACCUUCAUACCAUAGAAAGAAUUGCAAACCUCUCUCUUCUCUGCUCUUGACAAAUUCCAAGGCCCAGGAGGCAAACGAGUACGUCUUUCUCCAUACUCGGGUUGCAAAUCAGUUUUGACCCCCAUGUUCAAUAAAUCUAAUCGAGCAGCAAUCCCAUCUUUAUUUUUUCCAGGGAUCUCCAGCAAUGUACCAAUGAUACUAUCGCAAACAUUCUUCUCAAUGUGCAUAACAUCUAGGGCAUGCCUCACAGGAAGGUAUUUCCAAUACUCGAGAUCAAAGAAUAUUGAUUUCUUCUUCCAACAAACUCUGUCACCAUUUUCAACCAUGUGCAGCACUUCUUCUCCGGUUAAUGGCUCGGGAGGUAUGCCAUAUUCAGGUUUCCCAUUAAAAGCUGCACGUUGCCUCCUAUAUGGAUGAUUGAUUGGUAACCAUUUUCUAUGCCCAAUGUAACAAAUUUUGUGGCCAUUUUCAACCUGUGACUAGGUGUAUCAUCGCCGCAUAUUGGACAAGCUUUAUAUCCUUUAACAACACAACCAGAUAAGUUUCCAUAGGCGGGGAAAUCAUUAAUUGUCCACAUUAAUGCAGCUCUGAGUGUAAAGUAUUCUCCAUUAUGUGCAUCAUACACUCCUCUAAUCCCAUCCCACAAAGAUUUUAAAUCAUCAAUCAAAGGCUCCAAGUAGACGUCUAUAUCAUUUUCGGGUUGUUUAGGACCGGAAAUCAAUAAGGUUAACAUCAUGAACUUUCGUUUCAUGCACAGCCAUGGAGGGAGAUUAUAUGUAACUAAGAUAACCGGCCAACAACUAUAUCUGCUACUUAGAGAACUGUGGGGAUUGAAUCCAUCAGAUGAAAGAGCCAAUCUCAAGUUUCUCGGCUCAUUACCAAACUCAGGCCAUUUAUCAUCAAGAAGUUUCCAAGACGGGGAAUCCGCCGGAUGAGACAUCUGACCGUCAAUUGAUUUUCUAGCAGCAUGCCAAGUCAAACUCUUAGCUGUCUCAUGUGAUUGAAACAUCCUUUUAAACCUUGGAAUUGGAGGAAAAUACCACACCACCUUCGCUGGCACAUCCUCUUUCAAGAUUGAAUCUUUGCCUUCCUUCCACCUUGAGAUACCACAAGUAGGACAAUUAGUUGAAUCCUCAUACUCCUUCCUAUACAAGAUGCAAUCAUUGGGGCAUGCGUGCAUUUUCUCAUAACUCAGCCCCAAUGCACACAAAGUCUUUUUUGCCUCAUACAUAGAGGUUGGUAUUGUAUUUCCUUCUGGAAGCAAAUCGCCUUGAAGUAUCAAUAAUUCUGUAAAACAGACAUCACUCAUCCCAUGUUUUGCCUUCAAAUUAUACAACUUCACUAAUGCCGAUAACUUCGUGUACUUUCUACAACCAGGGUACACUGGUUGAUCUCCAUCCCCAAUCACAUUGGCAAACUCAUACGGAUCGGAACCAAAAUCACCAAAAUCAUUAUCAUCCAUAUCAAUUUCUUCAGACACAAAACUGUACCUACUAUGGCCAUCAUCUUCUUCAACAUUUCUACUAGCAUUAGUAGUUGCUUCCCAAGGUUCUCCGUGAAAUGUCCAAUUCUUAUAGCUUUGGUCAAUUCCAUUAAAGUAUAAGUGAUCCCUUAUAAUUCCAACCCCAAACAACUUCAAAUUAACACAUUUAACACAUGGACAACGGAUAUGUGUUGUAGUUAGAAGAUUUUCUACAGCAAAGUUCAAAAAUGCUUCCACCCCAAACUCAUAUGCCUUCGAUCUUCUAUCCGAGUGCAUCCAUGACUUAUUCAUCUCCGACACUAUAACCUAUUAUCUAUAAUAAAGUGAAAAUACAGGCAAUGACCAUCACUAUAGCAGAUUAUACAAAGAUCUAAUAGCAAGUAAUACAUAACAGAGACGACGGGUUUUAAACAAAAACAGACGUAUUUGGCAUAUAUAGACGACGGAUUUUCAACAGACGUCGUCUAAUAUAAGUAAUACAAACGACGGUUUAUGAAAAAACCGUCGUGUAUAAGUAAUACAACGACGGUUUUUUCAUAAACCGUCGUGUAAUCGUCGUCGUAUGCCUAAAAAGGCGUCGUGUCUCAGUUUAUUUUCAAGAACCCAAAACCCAUUAAGAACACAACAUAUAUAUGAAACCAAGCAAGAAACCAACAUAUACAUGAAGCCAAGCAUGAAAACAAUAAAUCCAUUCCCAAUUCAACAUAACAUAGGGUGAUUAAAAGAUCCGACAAAAUUAAAACCAUUCCCAAUUCAACAUAACAGAUAAUGUAAUCCAUGAACCCAUUAAACAGAAAAUCCAUGAACCUAUACCUAUAAGCACAUUAUUAACAGAUCGCAAAGCAUAUACCUAAAACCCUUUAACAAAACAACCUAAUAUCAUUCAAUGAAUUUACAAAGGGAAGAUAGGGUUUGUACUUACAGGUUGGACGAGCUCACAGAUUCGACGAAGCCUGGAGAGUGCAACUUUUAAUUAGAGCAGAAGUGAGAGAGCGAAUGUUAUGUUGCGCGAAAUCUGAAAAUUUUAGGGUUCAGGGUUAGAAGUAUAAGAAUAAGAGCCAAAUAUAAAAAAAUUUAGGGCGCGCGAAAAUUUUUAGAGCGCGCGCUCUUUAAAACGUCGAAAGAAAAACCAUGGCGAAAGUUCUACAAGAACCGACGUAAAUGUAAUAUUCCACGACGAAAACACUUAACGUAACGCCGUUUAUUUUGACGUUCAUUUUUCGGAUUAAUUUUAAAUUUAUUUUGAAUAUUUUGAUAUAAAGACGACUGAAAAACCACGUCGAAGUUAAGAAAUUGAAAACGUUGUAAAUUAUAAUAGACGACUUACAUAUUAAAAUGACGUCGUUUAAAGUGGAAACCAUGUCGGAUAUUUUACUGCACGACGUAACAUAUGUAUUCCACGACUCAACCACCGUCGUUAACAAUUAAUACCCUAAACCCUUAAAACUAAAUUAUAUAAUUUUAAAAAUUAAGUUUAUAAAAGGGUUUAUGGUUUUACAGCCUAAUAUAUACCCUAUACUACCCAAAAAUUAUACUUUAAAAAUAAACCCCAAUAAAUAACAACCCUAAUCUCUAAACCCUAGACUCUAAACCCUAAACCAUAAAACUAGAAGUGAUUUUAUGACUCAUCAAAACAAUUUUGUUUUGGAUGGUCAUUUUAAAUUUUUUUUAUUCAAAAUGAAUUUUUUCAAGGUUUAGGGGGAAGAAAAUAUAUCAAUGACUUCAUAGGAGUUGACUUUUCAUUUUUCUGAUUUAUUUUAAAUUUAUUUUGAAUAUUUUGAUAUAAAAAUAAUAAAAUAUUCUUAUCACAAUAACAAACCACGUCGGUGUUAAUAAAUUUUAGACGUUGUAAAUUGUAAUAGACGACUAAGUUGUUAAAAUGACGUCGUUUAAAUGAGAAACCAUGGCGGAUAUUUAACUAUCCGACAUAAAAUAUAUAUUCCACGACUUAACCGCUGUCGUUACAAAGUACUACCCUGAACCCUUAAGAAAUUGAAGACGUUGUAAACCAUAAACGACUCAAUUGUUCAAAGAACGUCGUCUAAAUAUCCUUUUACGUCGGAUUUGGUUAAAACGAAACAACAAAAAACGACGGCUUUUGACUUUAUUACGUCGUUGGAAAAGUAUUACACGUCGGUUACGCAAUUUGUAUGUUUGUUUUUUUUUUUAAUUUAAGAAAACCUCAACAAAUUUUUACAUUAUAUAUUAUAGACAAAAUUUGUACAUUAUACAUAAAUAUCAAGUGUUCAAUAAUUCCCCUAUUCCAGGUGAAGGCAAACAAACUCUGACCAUUCAUUCCGGACUUCAUCAAUUGCUUCUUGGGGGUAUGGCGCUUCCUGUUUUCCCUUGGCAUACUGCAUAAACAAUGACUAUUAGGGUUUAUAAAUAAAAAGAAAUUCAAUCACAGACGACGAUAUUUUUCAUAACCGACGUACUAUAUCUAUUCAACGACGGUAAUUUUACAUGACCGUCGUUGAUAAUACAAAAAACGACGUAAAAUGUAUGAAGGUAAUUUCUUCUUACCUUCUUCUCAAACCCCAAGGAAGGAUCCAUGAUGAUGUCCCUCAUGAAGCGCAUCACAUAAUACCCGCAUUCGACAUUGCUGGGUUGCUUUGGUGUCCCUGACAGAGUUUUCCAAAUGGCUGCCUUACGGCCUGGUCUGGCUAUGUGAGAAUUAUAAAUUUUUAUAGCACUGUUCACAAUGUUUUUGGCCUCUUCAUCGACCACACGAUUUCCUGGCAGAGGAUCCAGAAAAUAGACGGUUUCUCUCUUUGCUCUUACAAUCAGCAAGAUCCAAUGACGGCUGCACAAAAUUAAUAUAAAAACGACGGUUAUUUACAAUAACGACGUAUUAUAAUGUUUCACACGACGAAAUAAAGUAGCAAUCGACGACAUUUUACAUUUAUCACGACGAUAAAUAACUACCGACGUGGUUAGUAGUUUCAAACGACUCAAUAAAAUAAAACACCGACGUGGUUAGUUUAUACGCUGUAAUUUAUUGAAAAUCAUAAAAACAAAAUCCUGUUAAGGAGACUAACCCUGGAUUGUAAGGCAUCAGGAAAAUCUGUUCACCGUCAGUCUUUUGAAGUCGAGCUGCUAGUAAGCGUGAUCUGUCAGCUAUUGUGCCAGAGUUGGCACUAACUGUAGCAAGGUCGAUAAAGCCAACCAUAUUGCACAUAUUUGCUCGUUUCAAAACAUCGUGCAAGUGCCUAAAUAUAUAAAAUAAUAUAAACAAGUCAGCACAAAAAAACACACGACGGUUAUGUAUAACAAAACGACGUAUUAUAAAAUUUCACACGACGUACUGAAAUAGACAACGACGUUAUAAUAUAUUUAUCACGACGGUAAAUACUAACGACGUGGUUAGUUAGUUAAGACGACGUAAUAAAUAAACCAACGACGUAUUAUUUUAGAAUGACAAACCUCAUAUAUACAAAAAAACACGACGGUUAUGUAUAACAAAACGACGUAUUAUAAAAUUUCACACGACAUACUGAAAUAGACAACGACGUUAUGAUAUACUAACGACGUGGUUAGUUGGUUAAGACGACGCAAUAAAUACACCAACGACGUAUUAUUUUAGAAUGACAAACCUCAUAUAUACAGCAAUGACAGUGGCUCCUAUUUCUUCCAUGCCUGCAAAUUGUGUAAUAUCUUCAGGCAGGAGGAAGGUAUCGCGCUCUAGACCAAACACCUCCUUAUCAAUUGUAAAGUGCAGGGUCUUAUCCUGAGGCACGAGUGUCGUUUCCACAUAACGACAAAGGGAGUUUAAAGAAGAUGGCGCCUCCAUAUUUGAAUAAUCAACAACUUUAAUAACCUGUUUAAAGAAAUAUAAAAAAUGACGUGGUAAUUCAAUAAAAACGACGGUUUAAGGAAUAAAACGUCGUCUGAAAAGAAUUUAAACGUCGUCUGAAGAAACCGUCGUGGUGAAUAAUUUAUUACGUCUUAAAAAAAAUUCCGCCGUCUAAGUUGUAAACAAACGACGGUUUAAAGAAAAAUAUCGACGUCUGGAAUUUUGAAAAACAAAUAAAAAAGGCAAAGUUAUGUGAACAUACCUGGUCGUCAUCUUCUUUCUCCUUUUCAUCAUGUUUUUCUUCUGUCUUCCCUUCAUCUAUUACGUCGAGAAUGACUAACUCCGUCGUCUAAAAACCACAAAGUUUUAAAAUAACGACGUUUAAUGGCGUGUAAAACAAGUAAACUAAAUACGACGUGGUAUUGAAAUACAAACGACGGUUUAUGUUUAAAAUCGUGGUGGUAUGUAUUUCAAACGACGGUUUUAUUAAUAAUAACGACAUCUAAUGGUUUUUAAAAAAACAGAGAAUUCAAAGUUCAGAUAUGUUACCUUUUCUUCCUGAUGUUUCCCAUUUUUGGCAGUAUCAUCCUCAAAAUGCUGGGAUCUCACAUCACCUCCAGAGCAGCUUGCUUUGUCAGACAUUGGAUUUUUGGGACUUUGGCUAAUUCUGGGUUUAAGCAUGCUUGGAUCAAAAUUGGGAAUUAAUUGGGAAAGCUGACUCAGGAAAUGCUCCCUCUCAGCCUCUACCAAUUGUUUCGUUCUAGCCUCCAUCCUUAAAGCCUCUUCCCUUGCCUUAGCUUCCAUCUUUUUAGUCUCUUCUUGAAGGAGAACUCUUAAACUGUCCUUCAAACGGUCGUCAAAGCUCACUCUCUGUGGUUUGGGUAAAUUGAAAUAUUGCCUUGGUGAGAUCCCAGCACCUACUCCUCUCACUCUGCCUGGAUGCUCGGGGCCCAAAGCCAUGGUCAGCACAUCAUUGCUGCCAGAAACAGUGACUUUGCCUUCCGAGACUUGUUUUUGCAAUUCAUCCUAAAACAAAGAUAUAUAAAAAAGUAAGAACAAAAACACACGACGGUUAUUUAUAUACAAACGACGUAUUAUAUAAUUUCACACGACGCAAUAACAUAUAAAUCGACGUUAUUAUAAUUUAUCACGACGGUAGUUUUUAAACCGACGUGGUUAGUUUUUAAAACGACGAAAUGAAUAAACCACCGACGUCUUAUGCUUUAUUUACAGAUAACAGAGGGAUGAUUCAAUAUUCACACCUUUAACGACCUUGUUUAAAAUAUUUCGACGUAGUAAUUCAAUACAAACGACGCGAAAAUGAACCACCGACAUCUUAUGCUAUAAUUACAGAAAACAGAGUAGUGAUUCCUGAUUUAGACCUUUAACGAUGUGGUAAUAUCAUUCACACGACGCAAAAUAUAACAUAAGACGUAAUAAGAAUUAUUCACAGUUUAAUAAAAAUUUAAAACAGAGUGAGUAGGCUUACAAUUAAUUUUGCUUUCUCUGCCACCUUUGGAUCCGGGAUGUUACCAUGUUUGUCCUGUCUAGCUCUCUUCCAUAAGGUAGAUCGAUCAAUUUCUACCCCAGGCAUGGUUUCCUCCAAUUGAUCCUCCAAACCAGCAUAUCCUUUUCGAGACAAUCGAUGAUUGUACUCAAGUUUCUCCCUAAUCUGUGCAUGUUGAGAAUGCACAGACUCAAAAUCUUUGGAUAACCUUGAAGCUACAAAGGCAUCCCAUUGUGCUUUCUCUAUGAAUUUAUAUAUUUCAGGGGGUUGGCUUAAUCUCUCCCUGUCAUUAGUGUAUGGAAGGAUAUAUUGCCUCGUUAGUGUAGACUUGAAAUCCUUCCAUUUCUUGGCAGCAGAAGCUAACACAGAGCUCUUGCCCCCUUGACCUACCACAAAAGCAAUGUCAACUGCUUCCCAAAUCUGCUCCUUUAUAUCCUUGGAGAUUUGAGCCUAUUUCAUGUCCACAAGUGGAACUCUGGAGCGUGCCAACACACCAAUGUAGGACUGCAUCUCACUAUGUGCUUGGCCAAUUCCUUUCCCCCUUUUAUUGUACUCAACAAUUGGCCUCAGUUUCUGAAGUUUUCUCUUCACAACAUGAGGCAUUGUGCUCAUACCUCGACCAGACUUUGAAUCAUCAGAGAUUGUUGUCGUGCUGGUUCGUUCUGUCUCAGCAGAUGAUGAAGCAAACUUCAUCUUCUUCGAAGGCUUCACUUGAGGAGGUACCAUUCCAAGGUCCUUACCUCCAUUUUUCUUGGAGCCAGAAUCCUUACUUUGGUCUUAGUGAGAAACCAUUUUUACAGACAAAACUGCAAGUGAAAAUAUUUCAGGAAAAGAUUAAGAACACAAACGACAGUUAUUAAUAAAAUACGACGUAUGAUAUGAUUUUAAACGACGCAAUGAAAUAAUCUCAGACGUAAUAAAUGUUUAAAACCAAGGUAAUUAAACAACGACGAAAUAAUUAACUAUAAACGACGUGAUAAUUAACUAUAAACGACGAAAUAUUUAUAUAACGUCGUGGUAUUGAUGUUCACACGACGUCAGUCGUAAUAUACCGUCGUCUAUAUAAGGAUCCAAAACCCUUCUUUCUUUCUCUGUGAAUGUUUGAUUGCAGAUUUGAUUUUUCUGAACCAUGGUUUUUGUUUUCUAAUUUGAUAAAAUACAAGGCCAAGAAAGAAAGUUUUGGAAUCUUAUAUAGACGACGGUAUUUUAAUAUGACGUCGUGGUAUUAACAUUCACACGACGUAAAACAAUAAGAUACUGUCGUCUAUAUUAGAUACCAACCCUACUUUCUUUUUCUUUAUAUUUUAUCAAAUUAGGGAAAAACAAAAACCAUUGUUCAGAGAAAUCAAACCUGCAAUUAAACAAGCAAAUAAAAAAAAGACUAUAAUUUUAAAAACAACUUUGUCAAUUUUCAGACGACGCUAGAACGACUGACGAACCGUCGUGGUCUACAUAUUUAACCACGUACAUAAGAAGCUACCGUCGUCUUAUUUAGUUGAGGUAGUUGUCUUCAAAGUUGGAAACUUUCCCUCUUUGUCUGUAUAUUUUAUUGAACUUGGAAAGAAGUAAAAUGAUUUUGGCCAGAAAAAAGGUAAAAAGAUUUUUCAAACAAAAAACGUAUGAGCAUGCAAAACAACAACCAAAAUAGUGAAAAUGAAAGCUUACCUUUUGCGUGCAAUGAAAGCAAGAGGAAGAUUAUGUUUAAGUUCAGAGACGACGAAGAAGAAGAGAGGAAGACGAUGAGAUACUCUGACAGUGCUCUGACAAGGAAAAAAGUCUAAAAGUUUUCUCUGGGAGAUUGAACUUUUUAAUCGGGUUUGAAAACGGCGCAUGUGUAUGUCAGGUAGACGAAAAGUUGCUUACAUAUAAAACCAUUUCAAAAAAAUAAUACGGCGGUUACAUAUAACUACGACGUAUAAAUUACAAAAUACGACGGUACAUUUAACUUCGGACGUGGUAAAUAAAUACGACAGUAGUGUUGUAGGUACCGUCGUAGUAAACUCAAAAAUUAAAGUACAUAAGUAAUAACUCGCGUCAUGGUAGAUUAUUUAACACGUCGUUUUUAUUAAUUUACCGACGUGGAUUUCUGUAAUAUACGUCGAUAAUACCGACGUUGAUUUUACAAUUUAAACGGCGGUUUUUUUGUAAGGACCGCCGUUGGUUUUAAAAAUUUAUUCUAUAAAUUUGUCGCUUUCAUUCAUUUUCGGUUUACAUUUAAGGUUCCAAGUUCUUCCUCUCUCAGUCUCUCACGUCUCAAAGACAAUAAUUUGGAUGUCUUUCUCAAAGAGAAAUUGAGCUUACUCGCAUCAAAUAUAUGUCCACAAGAAGAAGCUUGUCAACUAGCCUUCUCACUUCCUUGAUCAAGCCUGAUAGGACACUUAGUGCUUCUGAAUACUCCUUGCUUUCCAUCAAAAGAGAUGCAAGCCUGGCCUCCACUCGCUGUCGAAGGAAAGUUCGCUUCUCAGGGAAAUCUUCUUGAUUUUCUUGGCUAAGAAGAUCCGUCAGAUUUGUGAUAGCCUCUUCCUUUAUCCGUAGAGCUUCAGAAGAAGAAGAUGGGUUUCAAGAAUGCGAUAAAGAAUAGAAAUGGCUUCAGAUGGCCUCUAAAGCAUGAGCAAUCGAAUCAGUAGUUGUUGGGAGAUAUGAUGAAGACAUUGUCAAUGCUUUGAACUAUACAAGUCCUGCAGAAAGAUAAAGGACCAAACUGUUAAAGAAACUGAAACAAUGGCGGUUUUCUGUUCUACCGUCGUCUUUUCUCGUCGUCUAUAUUAAGGUAAGAUGGCGGUAGAUUUAUAAUUACCGACGUAGAUUAUUUUGUUAAACGUCGUUAAGUGUACUACAACCGACGUGGAUUUUAUUUUUAAAUUAUAAAUAGAGUUUUUUUUCCCCUAUUCUUUCAGUUUUAGUUUUCAAUUACAAAGCGUGAUAAAUAGAUUUUUCUUUCCCGAGGAAAUUUAAAAUGAGGGAAAUUAAUGUUCUAGAAUUUGUAAACUAACACGACGCAAUAUUUGCAAAUCUGUGUCAUCUGUUAAGAUUAUGAUGUGGAACAGAGUUCCAUCUGGUAAGAUUUCGUAACCCUUGGGAUCUCAGACAAAUCUGAUUAUGUCGGCGGUUUUCUAUAUAAAUCGUCGUGGUUAUUUCAAUUCUUGUCAUUAAGUAGAUCUACCGACGUAGGAUAAGAAAAUCAAAGAAAAAAAUUGUUAACAAAAAUUCUUAUUAAGACGACGGUUAAAAUUAAAGGUACGACGUAUAAAAUGAAUAAAUACGACGUUAAAUUUUAUUGUACGAUUUAAAGAUAACGUCGUAGAACUAUAAGAGAAUGACGUCGAUAUAUUUAUAUUUUCCGUCGUUGUACAUUAAUUUAAUACGGCGAUAUUUUGUAUUUUAAAGCCGUGGAUUUGUUUGUAAUUAUACGGCGUCUUAUACGAAAACCUCGUCGUGUUAUUUUAUGAGUAAAAACGGCAGUUUUUAUUGAAAUCGUCGUCUUUACUUUCUACGUCGGUCGAUUCAUAACUUCUGCCGUUCUUUGUUGGCAUUGAUUUUACACUGCGAAAAUCUGUUUCAAAUAGACGUCGGUUGUUUAAUUAUGUACGUUGUUGUUUUUGAACAGCCAUUUGAAUCUCCAUUUUUUAGUUGUCUAAGGUUGUAUUACACGACGGUGUUUUUAGAACCGUCGUCUUUUUAAAAACCACGACGGUUUUCACUUAGACCGUCGUUGUUUUCUGGUCGUCUUUUUCACUUUUUGUAGUAGUGGCAUAUGAUGACGACACUCACAACAAGAUCAUGGCAUUUGACUCGAGUUGUAUGAUUCUCUCUUAAGUGUAUGUAAAGUGUAUGACAUUUACAUCAAUACGUGUAUUCUUAAUUGAAAUCUACUAUGGCAUUUACUCAAAUUAACAAUCAAGAAUCCAUUAAGAUCAAAGAGAAUAUGAGUGUCACAAAAACCCUAAAACAUGGCAUUUGUUAUUAGGAAUUCAAGAAUCGAUUUCUCAUAACUAGUUCUUAACCCAAUUAUUCGUUGCAAAUAAGAACACAUUCAAUAUGGCAAUUGACCUAUGUUCUACAACAAUUUAAUUCCAAUACAUGCUUCUAAGUUAGCUACUCAAAGAAACAAAAUAUCAGAAUUCACAUAACAUAUAGAAACCGAAAACAUCACGCUUGUAGAAACUAAAAAUCCAUUAACCUUGUUUAUAAAAUUGAAAUCAUGUUUAGGGCUUCAAGAUUAAGCCCUAACUAACAAGAAAUUAGUUACUCAUGGUCUUGGAUGAACUCAAAAAUAAAUACAUAAGAACUGAAAAUUAAAGAAGGAAGGAAAAGAAAGAACUCGUUCGCAGCUUUCUCCUCUUGCGCUGUUGAUCUCUUUAGGACGUGAAUCCUUUUUAUCAGCCUUGCCUCGUCUUUUAUAUCACUUAUAUCAGAGUUCUAAACCCUAAAAUUGACUGAAAAGUCGUCCAAGAAGUCUUGGUAAACAAGGAAUCCAAAUAGGAAAGUAAAAAUCACAAUUCCUAACUCCACUGGGAAAUACAGCUCAGCCCAAUGUUCACACGAUUUUGGGAUCUUCGACCUUGUAGAAAAAUCAUUAAAAAUAUAUUUUAGAAAGAUAAAUGUCUUAUCUUUCCAACCAUAUAUAGCACGUAACUUGAAAAAUUCGGAAAGGCUUCCGUUUCUUCACAUUCACGUAGCAUGUACGAAACUGUCCUGUCUGCACGUGGGCUAACUUUACUUGUAAUACUGUACCAAUUGGCUCGGUAGAAAAUUCUAGAAAAAUCAUAGAUUGAACUUCAAGAUGUUAGCUUUCAUCUCCAAUCAGGGGCGGCCUUGGGGAGGUGCAAGUGGCGCCACCGCACAGGGCCCCCGAAAAAAAAAAUAUUUAUAUUAUAUAUAUAUAUUAAUAUUAUAUGAAUCGUAUAUAUAAUAUAGCGUCUGGAUAUUUGCACAACAGCGUGUUCAGGGGAGUUGGAUGGAGCACAUCUCUCUUUGGCAAAAGGGCCCGAGUUCGAUGCUCCUUGAUGUCGUUCUACUGGCUAGCCUUUUGUGAUAUUAUUUUUGCAUUCAAACUUUACAUAAUUAUUGAACCAUUGGAUUAAUAUGCAACGAUGGGUGACCACAAUCUCUUGGACUCCUGUGGUCCAUGAGAUCGGGACUGAUAUUACAUGACUUAUUUUAUUAAAUUAUUAUCAUGUUGAUGAUUGGUUGUAUGAGAAUAUAGUUUGUAGAAAUAUUUAUCUAUUUCUUGUUGGGGUUUUCUUCCAGGUUAUAGGGUUUUGGAAUUUUUCUUUGUAAUCUAAACAUGCCACCUACUAGAAAAUACGUUUAUGGAUAUACAAAACGGCUUAGAAAAAGAAAAUUCGAGGAAUUGACUCAAUCUCAAAGAGGAGCUCUUGAUAGAUUCAUUGUUAGAGAAUCACAUGCUACAAUUGAUGAAAAUAUUUAAAUUUUUAUGAAUUUAAUUUCUGAUUUUCAUUGCAUAUUUAUUGAUGGUGAAUUUUAGUUAUAAAAAAAAAUUGUUUAUGACAUUAAGUUAUGGCAAAUUUUUAUAGUAUUUUCGUAUUAGAUUAUGCAAGGCCCCAAUUUAAGUUUCGCACAGGGCCCUCAAAAUCUCAGGGACGGCCCUGUCUCCAAUUGGUCUUGUGCUAAAAUUCCUCCGAAAAGUUGAUUUUCCCUUAAAAACCUUCUAAGAGUGCAGAAAAGCUGAAAAUCAGAAAAAUAAAGUAAUAAGCCAUUUUUAAAUCUAAUUCUCUUACAAAACCAAAGUAAAAAGAGUACAUAAAUGAGUAUAUUUAUGGACUUAUCAACGUCUUCUUCGUUGGACUUGGGGUUGUUUUCCUUAUAUGUCCCCUAUAUAUAUAUAUGGCCUUUAGUUGAGCCCACAAAUACCUUCAGUUAGUUUUUGGGUUUAGGGGCCUACAGAACCUGCACUAAACAAUAAAAGAAAAUACCUAAUUAGUUUAGUACGAAUUUAUAAUGAAGGCUUUAUUAGGUGAAGUUUUAUUUCUUAAUCGUUAGAUCAAAUUGGUUAGCAUCUGAAGUCGCCCAAAGAUUUGAGAGGGAUUCCACAAACAUAUAAUAUAAAGAAAGAAAGCAAUAGUAGGAGAUGAACCAGUACAAAAAACAAUAUAUAAAUAGUACAUAAUAAUUCCAUAACCUUGUCACAAACGCACUCACAAAUGCUUUCCAUAAACCUUGCCCUAACAUAUAACAAAUAAAGGCAACAUUGCAUAUGAUGCAACCAUGUCCAAAUCUGAUACGUGAUAAAAAAAAAAGGACAUGGCAGCAACAUAUGACUGAAGUAGAUGGGCUCUUUGCAUCUCGUGUUAUCGUAAUUAAAGACAUCAAAAUAUUAAGGUUGAAAUCUUCUAUAGUAGCAAGCAUUAAAAUAGGUUUGAAGCAGAGUUUAAAGAAAAUUCCAAUUCCACUGAUUUGCCUCUGCUCAAAGACGAGAACCAAAAUGGUUACUUCCCUUGCUGAGUAUAUUUGUUAACGUCGGAAACGGUAAUAGAUGACCAAUCAAACCCAAGUACGACGAGUUUUGCAUAGGAUCAGAAGUAGUUGAAUCCAGCUUGCAUCACACGCUUCUUUGACUCCAUUGCAUUAGAUGAGUUUUUGUAUUUUUGAACAGCUACACUCCGAAGUCGUUUGUGUCUACGCUUCAUGCGCUGCAACUUCGCCCUAUCCAGAUUGGCCUGCCUUUUGUCAUCUUCAAUUUGGCCUUCAACAAAUUCCAAACGUGCCCUUGCCCUUUGGAUUUCAUCACCAAGUUGAAGAUGCCUCUCCUUCCAAAAAGCAAGAACUCUUUCAGACUCAAAACUUCCAACAAAAUGGUCAUUCUAUCUAGGAAUGUGACAUUGCUUGUCUGGUGACUCACCUGCGUUUCAAAGGCGGUCUUUGUUUGGAGGGGUGUUUAUUAUGCUCACAUCAAACUUGGUUAGUAAAUCCAUUCUAUGGGGGGAGUGAGUUUCUGUGGAGGAGAGAGUUUCAGUAGAUGGAGACAGAUUCGGUGGAGGAGUGAGAUUUUUGUGGAGGGAGAAUUUCUAUGAAAUGGGUGAUAGUAAUACCAAUAAAAGGGUUCCCGCCAAAAAGUAUUUGGUUGACAAUGUAUAAAUUAAUUUUUGGUCUGAUACAAUCUAAGUUUAAUCCUAACUAGUUUGGUUAGUUUGGUUGAAUUCACUAACUAGAUGUCACUUCCAUUGAGUUUCUUUCAACCACUAUCAGUGGUGUAAGGAGAGUGUGAGGUUGACAUGCUUGAAAAGCAAAACCUAACACCUCUUUUUUUUAAAAUUGAAAGAAAGUACAUAUGUUGACUACACACAAGCUUUGGUAUGUUGGUCUAUAAAGCUAUGUUCCCUUUCUCAAACGAAAUUGCAUAUGCAAUCCUCGUCCUCCCAAAACAAAUAGAAUUAUUCAAGCAUGUCAACCUCUUCAGGCGCCAACAACACAAUCAAAGAUGACAAAUUGGAGUCGCAGGUUCUAUUUCCACAUUGUACUCGCCGACCCCUUCCAUUUUCAACAUCAUUUGGGAGUGAGGGGGACUCCGAUGAUCCAUUAGAGCUAAUACAUGCAGUCAAUAGCAAGCUGGAUUAUAAUUCCAGACUGAUCAAUUCAUGGCGCGAGAAAUAUGUUGAAGACGAAGCCAUUUUGGCUGAUCUUAACAUUAGAGUGAACAAAGCGUUCUCCCAAAAGAACAAGUACUUGAAGCUGAGUCAUAAAAGGAAGCUGAAAGCUGAGGAGUUAGAUACAGUAAUGAAUGAUGAAAUUAAAGGUUGUUUGAUGAAUCAUAUGCGAUGCGAAGAGCACCACAGUGAACUGGAGUUGGCAUUCAACGAAGGAUUCGAAAAAUUACGAGCAUUUGCAGCAACUACUCAUACAAGUUAUAAUUGGGACUAUGUGUCCCCUGAUGUUGUGAGAGAGAUACUAGACGAUGGUGGUGACAUGAAUGAGCAUAAGCACGUCAAAGCUGCUUGGAAGAAGCCGACCGAUACGACUAAGUGAUUGCGGCUACAGUUGUUCAGUUGGUUGAGAGUGAUCGUGGUAUUGCACAAAUUAGAAGUAUAUUCCCAUAAUGUCAUUAUCUAAUUUAAAAUAACACAAAUAUCAGUUUCAUUUGCUUCAUAUUGUAACACCCCGACCCCAAAUUUCCCCAAAAUUUACCCUCAUUUAAUUAAUUAAUUAUUUAAGGGUAUUUUAGUCAUAUUUUUAACCGGAGAGAGUUUGGGACCAUGACUUGUAUUUUUGGAUAGGUCGUACUGAGACGAGUUCAUAGACACGUAGUGGGCUCGAAUCAGAGUUGUAACGAGAGAGAUAUGGUCAAAAGAAACCCAGUGGCACAAUCGUAAAUAUUUCAAAAUGGGAUUUUUAUAAAAAUCUGGUUUUUCUCUCUCUCUCUCUCUCUCUCUCUCUCUCUCCCGCGACUUCUCUCUCUCUCCCGUCGGCUCUCUCUCUUUCUCUCCUUGUAUCUCCGGCCACCGACCACGGCUGUGGGCGGGGCCGGUACCAAACUGACCGGGACGACGUCCCCUUCCUUCCCCGACCAUUCCCCGCCGGCAACGCGGCCGUUGCUGGCCGGAAAAUGCAGAAAACCGCCGGGAGGUCGUCGAAACUUCAACGCCGUCGAUCUCCCUCCUCCGGCCACCAUUUUCGUCGACCCAGGUAUGGAUCUUGAACCUCUCGAGCUGUUCUAGCUGUUUGUUGGUUGGGUUUUGAUCGAUUCGAUCUCUAGAUCACUCGAUUUUCGAAUUGAAAAUUGGCCGAAACUUCGGCCGCCGUGAUCGGCCAUUUUCGGCCACUUUUUGUGGUAGGUCCAAGAACAAAAGUGGCUCCAAAUAGGGUGUUAUACCUAGGGUAGAAGUUUGGAGCCGAGAUGUUGAGAUUUUCCGGCGAAGCGUUAUCGCUUUGGGCACCCACGCGUGCGGCGGCGCGUGGGCACUGUAGAAAAAGUAGAUGUGUUCCGAUGAGAUCCUUAGGUUGUCACGAGUGCGUAGGAUUUGGCGGAUCUCAAUUCGGACGUCGUUUGACUAUCGAACGGAUAAUCGCAUAUUAUGCGUUAUCCGGGUUCGAUAGGUUGAGACCGUCGGAUGGUCCCAAAUUUAAUAUAUGUUGAUCUAGGUAUUUCUAGGAUCGUGUAGGAUUUCACGGAUCGUGAAUCGGAGCCCCGGAUGUUCCGAAUAAUAAUUUAAAGUUUAUAUUUUAUAUUAACCAUCAGAUUAUGCGAUCGUGAGAAAUCCGACCGUCUGAUCUGAACCAAACUGGCAGGAAAAGUGUCCUGUACCUGGUAGAACCCAUAGGGACCUUCGGAUCGGAAAUUGGAGGUCGUGGGUUCCGCAAGUCUGUUUGACCAGGGUUAGAGUAGUUUGACCCUUGGUUGACCGUGAGUCUCCCGGAGUAAUCUCACCCUUCCAGGGGGAAUUAUCGGGAGCUAGACUAUUGUGGAGGGUUACACAAUAUUAGAAUUAUUUAUAUAAUUAUAUAUGGUUGUACAAGGGUACAACAAAGUCUAGAAUGUCAGUUUGGAGUGCUAUACGCACUACUUUAGGUACCUCCUCGGAUUUUGGAUUCGCUACAAGCACCACCAAGUGAAAGUUAGGUCCCGCGUGGCGUAGGUUAUCCGGCGUUGGGACAGACCCCAUACGUGGCGUUGGUUGUACCGGCGUAUGGGGAGAUUUGCAAUAUGAUGUUCAGGUCUCACGUGGCGUAGGUUAUCCGGCGUUGAGACAGGCCCCGUACGUGGCGUUGGUUGUACCAGCGUACGGGGAGAUUAUGUGAUAUGAUGUUGAGGUCCCGCGUGGCGUAGGUUAUCCGGCGUUGGGACAGGCCCCAUACGUGGCGUUGGUUGUACCGGCGUAUGGGGAGUUAUAUGAUAUGAUAGUAUGGCAUGGUCGCACAUGGCGUAGGUUAUCCGGCGUGUUGACAGGCCCCAUACGUGGCGUUGGUUGUAUCGGCGUAUGGGGAGAAUAUGUGAAAUGCAGAGAAAGGAAAUAAGGUAUCACCGAUGUGUGGAAUUGGGUUUUAGGGAAGAACUACGUGUGGCUUGAUCCCUCAAGGAGGGUACGUAGGCAGCCUAAGGUUAUUGGGUGCAGCCGCAGACUAAAUAUUAGUCAUAUUUGGUAUUUGAAUUGUAUGGUAGUUGUUUGAGAAUUAUUGGAAGGCCAAAGGCCAUUUAUGAGAAUUUGCAUGAAAUUAUAUUGUGCAUGCUGCUAGUUGUGGAUAUUAAAUGUGUUUUUAUGCAGGUUGAAAUUUUGGGAAAUGUCCAAUUUAUAGGGGAGACUCUGCUGAAAUUUCGGCAGGAAGUCUCGGUUUUUAGUAAGUGGGCCUGGCAUCGGGGUGAUGUCAGGAAUUCCAAAGGGUUCGUCUCGGGUUUUGAGAAAAUUCGGGGCGGGUCCUUAAACAUAUAUAAUUAUUGGGACUAUGUAUUGCAAGUCAUCAUGUGUUCCUUCUGUCUAACAUUAUAUUUUGCAAAUAUCAAAAUAUUAUUCAAUAAGCAGUCAAUAUCACAGCAAGUUGGGAAUUAGUAAAGCCCCAUUAUCAUGUCCGUUCACAUUAAAGAGCUGGCGUACUUUUUCUCAAAAAACUGACACGUGAGUCAUAAGUAACAUAACAUGUGCUAUACAUUGUUUAGUGAAUGGUUUAUGGUUUAUUUAUAUAUAAUAAAAUUCCAAAUAUUGCUGAAUAUUUGUUUUUUCUAUAUCCCUGGGAACAUGAGUGACCAUAAGCAUGUAAGACCUGUUAAGAAGAAGCUGACUAAUACGACCGAGUGAUUGUGGCUACCGUUGUUUAGUUGGUUGGGGAGAUCGUGGUAUUGCUAAGAGGGAGCACAUAAUGUGCUUUGCAAUCAAAUUUUCUUUUGUGUGUGGAAUUAUGAGUAGUUCAAAUGUUAGUGUACCCUUUAAUAUUCUUCAACCGUUUGAAAUGUGAUUAGCUGCAAUGUACUUUUUUACACGCUGCUUUCUAAUCACUCUGUUCCAACAAAGUGCUUUAAGUAUCCUUCAGUUACAAAUGUUUACAAAAUCGUGCAUCUAAUAACCAGUCGAGCUCAGAUCUUAAUAACAAGUAAAACACUAGAACAUAACAUUCGGAAAAAGUGGGUGCUGCUGGAAAUCAUUACUGGUAAUGGAAGCAAGAGCUGGCUGCUGGAAAUGCUGCAUUAGCCUGUGAUAUAAUCAAUGAAUCUCUGUUAAAACAUAAUUCACCAUAAACUACCCAUUUUACAUGGUAAAAGUCAUUGCUUCUUCACAUAACUCAAAAUUUGAUACUUUAUCAAAUGUCUAUGAAAAUUUCUAAAUAGGGGAAAGACGUAAAAUUAACAUGUGUCCAAAUUUCAUGCAAGAAUGAAACCAAGCAAAUUUUUAUUUCAAUUAUCAGUGGACAUAGUAAGAACUCAUCGGUGGACAUGAACAAAAAAAUAAUAAUAUUAAAAACUGAAUCUAGAAAACUUCACCUGAUCAUUAGUCUUCAUAACAACCGAAUUUCGUCUAAUAGAAACAUAAAUCAUUCAGUUGGUCCGUGCAUCGUGUCAAAUUCAUAGAAUAAUGGGUCACUACGAUCUAUUGGAGUUGAUUCGUCAUUGUUCGACGGUGAUGUCCUGCAUAGACAUCAAACACAAGCACAGAAAAAAUUUACCUAUUCAAAUUUUAGGUGUUAUUAUAAAUAGUGUUAGCAUCUUACGGUGUGUUCAAAUUUCUUGCGCAUUGUCUUCUAUCAUGACCAAUGUGUCCACACUCCAGACAGUGUCUAAUCCCUCGCUUCAUUGCCUUUUCUUUUGCUCCCGUUACUCGUUUCGACCUUCUUUUGCACCUCACUCUCUUAGGGUCUUUCAUAUAUUGUGUUUGAGAGCUGGACCCUCCAACUUCGUUAUUACUUGGUCCAUCCUUCAACAACUUCAACUUCACCUGCAAACUUUUUAGAGUCUCUGACAGUAGCUCACAUCCUUCUUCACUCAUUAAUGCACCCUCAACCACAUCUUAAGCAAGUCGAGACAUUGUACUCCGCCUUAUUAAAAGACCAGGAUCUGCAGAGUCUUUAAUUUCGUUGCCAUUUGCAUCUGACACCAAUUCAGAUUUUGCAGUUUUCUUCCACCUCUUUAAAAUAUAUUUAUCGGGCAUAUAUUCAAUCUGGUCCCUUCUGAACAAUGCUAGGAUGUGCUUGCAAAUAAUUCCAACAAAUUCAAAUCUUUUGCACCCACACGAUGCGUGGUCAGAAUCUUUAACAUAUACGACGUCUGCCACUCUUGUUUCCCAAUUUUUCCUUUUGCUCACGCGAAAGACAACUUUAGAAGCACCCUCUGUUUUGAGCUCUAGGAAACAUGUUGUACUUUGUAUUAGUUCUUGGUCAAACUUUUGAAACAUUGUCCUUGUGUACAAGGUAGCCAUUUGUUUGUUCAUUGGCAUCGGUAGAAUACAUUGAGCCACUUCAAAUGCAUCUACGUGAUCAGCAACUAACUCUUUUUGACGUUGAUGAGAAAGUGCCCUCUCAAAUCGUAUUAUGAAAUCCAUCAACGAAUUUCUCCUUGAUAUGUAUUGCUUGAAAAAACCAUGAGAACCUUCCACUCUUUGGCUGCUUGACAUUCCAGCGGCAAAAAAUUGUUGUGCGUAGGCUGGAACCCAAGAUUCUCUUAAAUCAAACAUUGAACUUAGCCAUGGAUGGUCAGUCAAACCAGCCUUUGUAACCACAAUAUUCCAUUUUGUAACAAACUUAUCCUUAUUGUCAGUAUCCCAUACGGCUUUCUGAAAUUCACGCCAAUACUCCUUAUAAGCAGAAUGUGGUAACUUAACAGAGAACUUUGAUGUGAUGUGCAAUAUGCAAAGUCGAUGAAAUGUAGUCGGGAAGGGUAUUGAAAUCGCUCUGGUCAUUGCCGCAUCUUGAUCUGUAAUGAUCGUUUUAGGUCCGCCACUUGGCAUGGCUUUCUUAAACUCCUCAAACAUCCAAAUAAACGACUCAGUCGUUUCCUUGCUCAAAAAUGCGCAUGCUUAGACAAUUGUCUGACCAUGGUUAUUAACUCCCAACAUUGGUGCAAAUGUCAAGUCGUAUCGAUUCGUGUUGAAUGUGGUAUCGAAUACAACAACAUCUCCAUAAAACCCGUACGCCCAUCUAGAAGUUGCAUCUGCCCAAAAACAUUGACUAAACCUGUCAUGGCCAUCUCUCUCAAUCUUGAAAUAAAAAGCCUCAUUUUUUUUUUCUGUUCAGCCAUAAAAUACUCGGUCACUAGUUCAACAUCGUGGUUCCUCAACUUCCCAUUCACACUACAUUCAAAAUUGUAGAUAUCUUUUUUGAUAAAACCGAUUUUAUCCAUUCCUCCGGAUUGCACCUCGAAAAUACUUACCUUCUGAUGAAUGAGAAUAUUAACCGAACCCAACUGUUUUGUGAGUACUUUUGUAGAAUCUGAACUAUGACGGUGUGAUCUCAAUAAAUGCAUUCUUUCUGAGGGUGUCAUCUUAUGAUUGUGUCCCUCUGCAAAAAGAGAGAUGGUAUACUUCUUGCUCCCAUUUGUCUUCACAACCACAAUCUUAGCUUUGCAAUUGCAUCUACUUAUUCCCCGCUGUCUUUUUCUCUCCCGAGUUUCAUCUCUCCUGUAUUCACCUUGUUUGCAACAUACAAAUUCUUUCCUCAAAAUCUCUUUCUUAUUUCCCCCCCAAAAGCUGGAAUGAAGUCGAAUACCAAAGCCAGCCAAGAAUGCAUAUCUAUUAUAGAAAUUGUAAACGAGGUCAAGCAAGUCGAACUUCAUCCCAACUGCUGGUGUUUCCUCAUUUCUUACUUCAAGAAUGUAAACCCUCCCAUUAGCUGUUACACAGUCAUCACUCUCUGAGCCCCCAGACAUUUUAUCCACGUAUAUUAUUGAUCCACUUCUAUAUUAUUGCAUAGCAAAUAUUAAUUCAUUAAUAAAUCAUUACUGCAUCACAACAUAUCAAUGCAUUCCACUUACACAAAACAUUGCCCAAAUUGACACAAAACACGCAUAGCCUAACUUGUUGGAUUCCGAUUACACAAAACGCAAGCAAAAUUUAAUAAUAGUUACGUCAUCUCUUGUGAAAUAAUCUAGAAAAAAUAACAUUAGAACCAACAUGUUCAACUAAGAACACAAAUGCAAUUCAAACCAGCAAUCACAUAACUUCACCCAAUAUCCUCUCCAAAUGCUUACUCCUAAUGUCAUUAAGCCUAAGUUUAGGAUCUUUUACCUACAUUUCAUAAUUUUUCACCCCCACCAAAAAUAAUCAACUAAGUAUACUGAAUAUUCAUAAGGAAAUGACGCAUUAUUGAUGCCACAAAUGACGAAUUUCCUACCCUCACAAAAAACAAAUCAAACCCAAUUAAAUCAAUCCAGCAAGAGUGAACUUACCUCUCAAAAUCAAUCGGGAGCUCCGAAGUCAGUAAGCUUGAGAGAAUGUGGUGGACAUUAGAGAAGACUCUUUGGUAUUGGAGACUCCAUCUCUACCAAAAUCGAGGAACGAACUGCUGCUACGGCGUCUAGCUACAGAAAAAGAUAUGCUACUUUACUUUCAUCUGGAAUCUUGUUUGCUGAACGAAAAAGAGAAAGGGUUUUCACUUGAGCCAUAGAAUCAAAACAAGGCAACAUCUAGGUAAGAGCCAUUAAUCGUCAUAUCGAGGAUACCAUAGAUCGCAGGCCUCCCAAGGAGCUGAUGACAAUGGAGCGACUAUAGGGUUUGGGAGCUUUGGAUCCUUCUAAUUGUGGGUUUGCGUUACAUUCAAAAAAAGAGGAGUGUGUUGUUGAGUUUUUCACAUAGAGGGAAAGAGGGAAAGAUCUUCAACUGAAGUUGGGUUUCCAACGGGUCAAAUUUCAACCCGGUUCUACAUGCACCCUCUUUUAAAAACUCACCGUUGGAUUUCAUCCAACGGCUCGUACAUACCCCUCAAAAACACCCCUUAUAACUUUCCACUCACUAUAGAAGCUCUCCCCAGGAAAUGCUUCGAGGUAGAUUUUAUGUUUUGGGCCUUGGGACCCAACUUCACAAAAAGAAAACAAAUUUGACCAAAAAACAAAGUUGAAGGACAUUGAUAUUGUACCUGUAGGAUAGGUUAAAACACUAAAAGGAAGGUAAAUAGUACGUUUACAGAGUUUAAGUGUAAUAAAGGAAUAAAAACAUGCCCAGAGAAUUGAUAAGUGAUAUCAAUUCUUGAAUAUAUAGAACGUAAAAUAAAGGAAUACGUAGAAAAUUAUUUUAUGUGGUAAAACUCAAUCUAUGGGGCCACGGGACUUCUUAGUCCAAAAAAAAUCCAUUGAACGAUGAUUACAAGAAGUACUCACACACUUAUCCUAGACACAUUCUAGAUAAUUUUUACUAACAUCUUUGUAACUCAACUUCUGUCAUAGGAUGAUUUUUUGACACUCCUUAUGUUGAACGCAAUACUGGUCACGAUUUCUUCAAGCUCGCAGGAACUCUCCUUAUAUUGAAUAUGAUACUAGUCACGAUAGAUUCAAGCUCAUCGGAGAAAAACAGCCACAACGGUCUUGGUGCCCUCAAUGGUAUGAGUCACUGAACAUGCAAAUAAAUACAAUAUGAAUGAUAAAAGUGUUUGAUAAAUCACCAAGUUAUGGAACACUUGAUGAUUUAUCUCAAAUAAAAACUCAGCUUUCCAAAGUUUAUGAAUUGAAAAUAUGAUCGUUAAAGCUCUCUAAACAAAGAAGACGAAGAUCUUAUUUUAUAGAAUUUUUCUUUAUAAGAAAGAAAACACAUUGAAAACCAAAUCUCCAAGGCUUGACAGAAAAUCACAAAAGUAUCUUUCCUAUUCUAGAGAUUGGUCACAUGUAGUCCAACCAAUAGGACAUGAGAUAUUUAAGAAAUGAAGAUUUUGAUCAAUAUCAAUAUCAAAUGAAUUCUUAUACGCCUAGUCAACUAUUAAGGGUAUCUUGACUCCUUGAUAUUGUGAUAUGAUUGAAACAUGAUUUCCACGUUAGAAAAUUAAGGGGAUGUUAAAACAUGAAAGUAAUAGGAGAAUCAAAUUGAUUUCGGCCAAAAUUGCCUAAAAAGAAAACACUCCUAAAUAAACUCAAUUCACUUUUAAAAACAGUAAAACGUGAUUGAAUUGUUCUUUAAAACAAUUCCCUAAUAUACAUGCAUGAUAAUGACAUCACUUACCUCUGAAUCAAAUGCCUUUCAUAGGUCAAGCCACAAGUCUGUGUUUUGGGGAUUGCUGAGCUGCAUCAAUCCUGCCAAUGUCAAUGCUGCCCCUAUGCUCUCUCAAAGCACGUUUACAACCUAUGCUAACAUAUACCCUAAACCCUAGUAUCAAGAAAAUGCCAACACUAAUUUCGUAACACGUAGAAAUUGUUAGAGAUUGGAAGUUUUUUUUCUUCAAGUCUCUCCACCACUCACUAAUACAGAUUGCUCAUGUGAUGAGUUUACAAAACCUAUUUCUCUACUCUCACAAAGACUAUACUUCUUCUCAAAAGACUAUAUCACUUUACCUCUAUCUCUGUGAAAUGUAAAAAGUUGAAACUUUAAUGUCAAACCUCGACAAAAGAUGAACUUCCAUAAGUUACGUUGAAUUUGGAUUUGUUGAACUUAAGUGGUUUUACUUUUCUGUCAGUGUUUGAUGACUUAAUUUGGUAUUUACUUCUUCUUUUUUUCCUUGGAAAUGUGUUCCACCAACGUGAGGAAGAAAAAUAUGCACAAAUUAAUAUAUUUAAUAGAAGCCCAAGAUUUCGGAAGCACAUAAUUUCUACAAAAUUCUACAAAGUGUUCUACUUUACAAACUUCAUAUGUCUACCAAUUUUUACUAAAAUUAAUUUAUCUGCAGUGCUCAAAUUCAUCAUAUGUGUGUCCUUAAUUUUAGUGAAAAUUGGAAGUUUCCAUUAUUUUUGUUUUACGGGAAUUUUUUGAACCAAGGAAAAUCAAGUAAAAUUAAUAAAGCAUAAAUUGGAAAGGGAAAAUAUCUAGAGGAUGCAUUGUAGGAUUGCUCAUGCCAAUAAUUGUACCCUCUAAAUAUAUAGGGACAUAUUUUUUUUGCUCAUACCACUUGUUGCAGUACACAUUCACCCGUUUUCAAAGAAAGAAAUUCUACCAAUCGAUAAUGUCUCAAAUUUAAUCACAUAUUUUAUGGACCAUCCAGCUAUGAGGUUUUAUCUCAAAAACCUUCGGUACAUUUCUCCCACAUGCCACAAUUGUAUAUUCACAAUUACGUCUGAUACAUCACAUCAUGCCACUUGCCUCAAAUGAAUUUAAGUGAGUGAGGCAGUUGGAAGUAAUUAAGCUCUAUAUUGGUGGGUGGAGUGUUAGUUCUGGGUACCCCUCAUCAUUCGUCUAUAAAAUGGUGAAGCCAGUUGCUACUGUUACCAUAAGAGCCAGCUCCGACUUUCUUUAAUUUCUUGCUUCAUAUCCACUAGCUACAUCUGUUGCUCUUCUCAGUGUAAGCUCUGCAAUUUGAUUAACUUUCCCAUUAUCUCUCACUGUACUCUAUAUAAAGGAAUAAGUGUCGUCCAUUAAUUCUCUCCGAAAGUGUCGUCCUGAUUUUAAUUAGAGUUCGAAUUAAUGUUGCAGCUAGCAGCGGUUGCACUGGCAAACCAUGCUGCUCAACCGGUACCUCAACUUUACUGGAACUCCGUCCUGCCAAACACACAGAUGCCAAGAUCUAUCAGUGAACUUCUGCAUCCUGGUUUGUGUUUGAGCACUUUAGAAUCUUAGAUAUCUCUUCUACCUGCCAUUUUACUAAAAUAUGUUCAACCACAUAUUUAUCAGUUAACUACUGUCAUUACAUGAGUGACACAUAUUCACAAAUCGGCUGAUCACUUAUUUUCCAUUAUGACGUUGAUAUAUAAUGUUGGGAAUGGAAAGCCAAUUGACCACAAGGGAAAACCUGAAAAUACUGUACUACCACAGCUAGCACGAAGCCCAUUUUCUUACAAGAGUGAUGUGGGGACCAAAUCUCAUGUAUCAUAGCUUAACCCAUAUGCCACAACUAAAAGACGUGGGAUGAUCGAACAGCAUACCCACAUGGUCAUGGAUCUCUUCAGAUAAUCAAUAUUAAACAACCCAUAAACUUCUCCCUUUGAAGAACAAAUUAAAACCAAUUUCUAGAGGAAGGUUACAAAACAUUUUAGCCCGUGAAGAACAAAUCAAGACAAUAUAACCCAUUUGAUAACAAAAUCAAAAUGAGAUUUACCAAUACUAGAUGACCACGGCGCCAGUAUAAUGGUACGACGGCGGCGUUAUUGUAACGGUGGAGAAGUGGAUGGUAUGACGACGGUGUUAGUGUGACGGUGGAGGAAACGAUAUUAUGAAGGAGGCGUUGCUAUGUUCGGUGGAGGAGUCGUGUGUUUCACAGUUCAAUAUAUCCUUUUUAGUCAUUUUAUAUUAGGGUAAAUCAGUAAUUCAAUAAAUAAUUUGAUAGUAUGGUGUACUCAGUUAAUAUUAGGGUUCAUUUAACAGCACUCAAAUUAACUAGUGUAGAGUCUAUCUAUAUUAUUAAUACUAAAAAUAAAUAUAUGACUAAAUAACUCAAAAAAAAAAUAAAUCUACAAUCUUUUUUUUAAAAAAUUUUUUUUAUAGAAUUUUAUUAGAUUAAUAGGCACUACUAAAAAAUCUCCUUAUAAACUACAAAUACACGCAUAACUUAUACUAAUGUGAGCUACUGACACCACCUGCCACAUGACAGUUGUCCAAGCAUAGUGUUGUCAUUCAUUAUUCCCCACAGCAACUAACAUCCAAUAAAGGGUUGGGGCCCACCCAUACUCCACCUCUCUGUAUGUAGCUCUUUGAGAAUACAGAAGAAAUAUUUUUUAGGGAAAUAGCUUAAAAUGAUACCCAUUUCAUAAUUUUAAUUAAAAAUACCACCCCUUUCCAAUUUUUGUACAACUAUCACCUAUAAAUAUAAAAUUAUUGUCCACUUAUUGCUGAUUUUUCACAAGUUCAGAAAUUUUGGAAAGAAGAAGCUCACACAGCUCUCUCUCUCUCUCUCUCUCUCUCUCUCUCUCUCUAGCACAACUCUCUUUCUUUGGUAUCUGUCUAUCACAGCUCUCUGUGUCUCUCUUGGCUCUCUCUAUCUUGGCUCUCUCUCUCUCUAGCACAACUCUCUGUCUCUCUCUUUGCUCUCUUUCUCAUAGCGCAGCUGUUUCUCUCUCUAGCUUCGUUAUGUCUCUUUCUCCCCUAUUCGAUCUCUUGCUUUCUGUUUGGAAUCGCGAACCCCUCCCUUUAGCUAUGUCUUCUGAAUAGCUGCUUGCAACCUUGAAGCUCUAGUGGAUUGCCGACCUCGAAAAGGUAGUGUUGAUGGUUAUUUUCUUAAUAUCAGUGGGAUUAUGUGAAAUGGGUUAUAGUUUGAUUGUUUGGGUUUGUGUUAAAUUCGUUUUGGCUUUAAUUUCUUUGGGUUAGGUUUUGUUGAAUAUUCAUACUCAUUCAUCUGGGUUUGUACCAAUUGCAUUUAGAUUGGUCUGGAUAUGUGAAUCUUGAAACUUGGGAUUUUCUAUUUGAUGUAGUAGAUCUGUAUAGUGUGAUUCUGUUGUGUUCCUCUUAUUUUACAGUCGUAUUGCUGUUAUAUUGUCAUUAUAUUGCUUAUAUAUUGCUGUUAUAUUGUGGUUAUAUUGCUAUUGUAUUGUUUGGUUAUUGUGGUUAUAUUGUGUUAAUGAAAUGUUGUUUUGUCAUGGUCAGAAAUGGAGACAAUUGUUAUUCUCGUGUGCUACAAUGGAAAAUGGGUCACCUCGAAGAAGAUGUGCAAAUACGAAGGGGGUGACUCAAAAGGCUUAAUAGUUCCACGGACCAUCAAAUUUGUUGAACUGUUGGACCGUGUGCAUUAGAUUGGUAAUACAAACAGCAGGGAAGACAAGGUUUGCUUAAAAUUCUCAGUUUUGGUGGCCUCGAAUGAGUGGAAGCACAUAAAUAUUGAGGACGAUGAUGAUAUCAAUUUUUUUAUGAAGUACAAUUCCGAGGUAACACCUUCAAAACUAGCUCCCUUACUCGUGAGUAUAGAAGAUAAAGGAUUGACAAAUGAUGUAGUUCAUAGUAUGCAUAUCACGACAGAUAGUAGUCGGAUGGGUCAUUCUUCAGUUGCCAUUGUUGAAAGCAAUGAAGUAACUUGGAAUAAUACGAAUGUCACUGAUGUGGGAGGUGAAGUAGGGACAGAUUUUGUGGAUAUGAUUGAUUUUAGCGAGGUGUAGGAGAUGCAUGGUGGUGAUAAUAGUACUGAAAGAAAUGAAGUGUCAGUGUACUCUGCCCCUCCUAAUUUGGGCUGCUUCAACAUAGCUGCCCAGUUGCCAAUAAUGCGUUUAGGAGGAGAAUCUGAACCCACUCGUCAACAUUAUUGGAGUCAAAUAGGUGAACAAAAUCGGUACAAUGCAGCCGGUGUAAAUGAUGAAGAAGCAUAUUUGGACAGCGGGUUUUCACGAAGUGAUUGGAAUCCGAAAAUUACAGUUGGGCAAAUUUUCUCUAGUAAGAAAGCAUUGUUGACGGAGUUACGGUUGACGGCAUUAAGAGGCCACUUUGAAUUUAAGGUGCAAUUCUCUUGCACUAAAAGGUUGCUUGUGGUUUGUUGUCAACGUCCAUGCCCAUGGCGGGUCCGAGCAUCGAGAAUUGGAGAAUACAGCUUCAUGAUUGUGAGGUGUACAACUGUCCAUGAAUGUGAUUUGAGGUUCGUAAGUGACAAGCAUCGUCAAGCAACCGCAGCACUUGUAGCCACUUCACUUAAAAGGAAGUGACAUUAUGAGAGAUGUGAAACACAACUUUGGUUGCACCAUCCAUUAUUCGAAAGCUUGGAAAGCAAAGGAGUUAGCUCUAUUGUCCAUUAGAGGAUCAGCGGAGGAGGCAUAUUAUAUCCUUCCAGCUUAUUGCUAUGAAUUGGAGCGUAUGAAUCCCGGCACAAAAACACACAUCCAAACUGAUGAGAACAAUCACUUUGUGUAUUUAUUUAUGGCGGUUGGCGCAUGUAUUAGAGGGUUCCGUUCUUCCAUGCGCCCAGUGAUAGCCGUGGAUGCCACUCAUUUAAAAUCCAAGUACAAGGGUGUUAUGUUUGUAGCAAAUGCAUUCGAUGGUAAUUGAAAUAUAUAUCCUCUUGCUUUUGGGAUCGGGGAUUUGGAGACGGAUGCAUCAUGGCAUUGGUUUUUCACUAAACUUCAUGAAGCCAUUGGUGAGUGUCCCAAUCUUGUUAUUAUUUCUGAUCGCAAUGUUAGCAUAGAGAAUGUGUGGAACAAAAUUUUUCCAACUGCACAACGUGGCAUAUGCUUUUAUCAUAUGAAGGGGAACAUGAAACGCACUUGCUAGUUGAAAAAGCGUGAUCACAUACUUAUGCACUUUGAGCAGGCUGCGAAAUCUUAUUCCAUUGCUGAAUUUGAUUGUCAUUUUUGCAAGAUCAAGCGAAAGGAACAUGUUGCUCAAUAUCUUGAAGAGACAGGGUUACAUAAGUGGUCUAGAGCUCACAUGGAUGGACGCCGCUACAAUGUAAUGACAACAAAUAUUGCAGAGUCAAUCAACUCAGUCCUUAGGUUUGCAAGGAUGCUGCCAGUGGUUCAUUUGAUAGGGGAAAUUGUUAAUCUCCUUGUGAAAUGGUUCACCGAACGUUGUGAGUUGGUUUUGAAUUGCACAACAACAUUGUGCCCCAAUUUUGGAGAGAAGAAGUUGAGGAACAGGUUGGAGGAUGCUGCAAGGAUGAAUGUGGUUAAAGUAAAUAAUGCACAGUUUAAUGUUUUGGACGGUGAUAUGGACGGCCUCGUAGAUUUGGCGAACAGCAGUUGUAGUUGUAGAAAGUUUCAGCUUGAGCAGCUACCUUGCAAGCAUGUAGUUGCAGUUUGCCGCUUCUUGAAAGUAAAUGUAUACGCAAAGGCUUCUCGGUAUUACACUCAGAAAACCUGGAUGAUGCUUAUUCGGAUAGCAUCUACCCGGCACAACCUCACGGAAUGUGGGAUAUUCCUGAAGAUGUUCGAAGUCGAGUUGUGCUGCCUCCCAUGGCAAGGGUCAUGCCAGGCAGACGAAAGAAGAUCAGAAUUCCCUCGCAAGGAGAGGGCACCAUUAGAAGAAAGUGCUCAAGGUGCGGUUCCGCAGGCCACAAUAAAAGCACAUGUAAAAACAAUAUUCCAUUGCGCAAUGUAUCUUAGACAAUAUGAUUUGUGUUGCUUUGGUAGGUCAUGUAAACUCUACUUUUAUUUGUGGUGGGUUUCGUGUUAUGUUGAAUGGGAAUUCUUUUAAAUUUGCAUAAUUUGGGUUGCAUUGCUACAGCAUGCUGUAUUGCUGACAGAUUGCUAUUAUAUUGGACUUUUAUUGUACUGGUAUUGCUUCCAGAUUGCUAUUAUAAUUUGAGUGCGAAAUUAAAGGGACUGGAAUGUAAUUCCAAAUGGAUCCAAAUCAUUAAAGUUCUUAGAAUUCCUAUAUUACACAGUUACUGUGAUACUCCGACUAUACCUUCUUUUAUGAUUACAAAUUCGGCCAAUGCAUAGGCCAGAUGUGGGGCAAAUACAAGGUGAAAUGUCCUAUGUGUUUGACUACAUAUACUUGUUGAAGGAGCAUUACGAAUGCUAACCUCAAUAGAUUGCUCAUGUCUUGCCAAGAACACUCUUGAAUUUAUGCAAUGUGCCCAAGCCAGUCCCAAAGCUGGACUCACCCGUCUGCCUGAUGUGUCCAGGGACUCCAAGUUUCCCAACCUCACCUCAUUCACUUUAUCAUGUGGCCCAAUAAAAUCCACCACUUGGUUGGUGACAACCACCGCCAACCCAAACUUAUUUGCUAAACCCUUCAAUGUCCCAGAUAUGUUGAAAAAUAUUUCAAACCGCCAUUUCAAAUCUGCUGGUGUUGUCUGAUACUGUGAUCGGAACAAUGCAGCAAUGGAAUCAAUGACAAUGAGUUUCACAGGUAGGUGGGUGUGAUCAAUGGCAAUAAAUGCUUCUAUGUCUCCAAGGACAUGGAUGAGUUGUUGAGCAUCAUGAACACCAUGAACAUAUAUGUCUUCCAAUGGCUCCAACCUUAUUAAGUUGGGGUAUGAUGCAUGAUAAAGGUUGCCUAGUUGUUGCAAUCGACGAAAUGGGAAGCUGAAUUCUGUGAAUAUGUAGACGGUGGAGCCCUCUAGUCCGCCAUGUGAGGGUGGGAGCUGAGCUGGUACCGUAAGUUGGAGACAAAGUUGCGUCUUCCCAGAACCACUCUCCCCUACCAAUUCUGUUAUAGAGUUGCAGGGUAUCCCACCCCCCAAGCAGUCAUCUAGUAUUGGGCAUCCAAUGGAUAAUUGAGGGGUUGAAAGAGGAAGGAGCAUGAGGUUUUAGGGUGUCAUAUUUGUGUAAUUUAGGGGGGGAUGUGAUGGUGCUACAAGGCAUGCAUUAUAUAUAUAUAUAUAUGUAGAGUUCAUUUUGAAGGUCUGUAUUGUAGGCCAUAUGUCUUUUAAGGGAUGUAUAAUCCAUCCUUUUUUCAGGUUGUAAUUAAUUUUUUGUUUAUUUAUUAGUAUUUUUUUGGACCAAAUAAUUUAAAAAACAUUAUGAUGCAGUACGUACUGUAAUAGGAUCAUAUUGUAACUCUAUCAUCACUCUAUUGUACUCUUAUUGACAUAAUAUUGCCGUUAUAUGCAUGUUUAUUAUAUAGUUAUUACUGCUAUAUCGCCACUGAACUGGACACCGAUAAACUGUAUACGCACAAAUACAAAAAGAGGCUUCAUCAUUCCAUAAAAUCCUAUUUCCAAACUUACAUAAUACAACAACAGGCCACCCCAUCGUUACAUAAUACAAAAAUACGCCACCUCAUAGUUCCAUUUCCCUACUGUUGACAAAUUCGAAGUUGCAUACUCUUCAAGUGCGGUGACCGCGACGCAUGAAAUUCAUGACCCCGGCCACAGUGAUGUUGGCCUAGUUUCCUGCCGGAUCCACUAUUUUUGCAAACUUACGAAAUAGUUCGAAUCCGCUUUCCACUUCUUCUUGCUUCAACUUGGCCGUUGCUUCUGAUUCCUUGAAUACCAUAAUUGCAGUGGUAGGGGCAAUUUCAAUUUUUGCUUUCAUUGUCUUUAUAUGUAGGAGAUGCAUGCGCGCAUGAUAACGAGAGCGAAUUGUGCGGUUUUUUAUGACACCCCAUCUAGUUUGGCCCUCCACAAUUUUGAAACUAUGUCUGCAUGAAGAUUUUUCCAAAACAUGGUAUUGCCUCGACAUUGCUGCAUGCCAUGGACCAAGUCUGCAGGGAGUGAAUUGGGUGACUUGGCUUGUGUUUCAGUCUUCUCUCCUUCAGUAAUUGAAAGUGUUGGGUGUGGUGUGAGGUUAUGGUCCAUGGUCUUCGAUAUUUAUUGUAGCCUAGUGUACAACUUAAUUGGAAAAAAAGGGGACUAAAUGCGAUGGGAGUGAAAUCAGUGGGGAAGGUAGUGGCUGUAAGCAGGAGUUAAUGUGAUGGAAGUUUUCAUUUCAAACAACUGGGUUGAUUAAUAUAGGCAAGUUUUAAUGACCUGGAGUAACUCAGAGAGUUAUUGGUGGGAGGGAUUAGAGGGAGUAAUUGGCGGGAGGGAUUGGCGGGAGUCUUAGGCGGGAUAGUAUUGGGCGGGAGUUAUUACCCAGUUGACUGUAUGCCUUUUUGUAAUAUAUUUGUAUGUUGGACGUUCCAAACUUGGUAAUUUUCCCAUUAUGUAAUUCAAAUAAGGGAUUUGCCUAUUUGCCUAAUUGACCAACUCAUUCAAAUUGACCAAUAUGGUUAUUGUCUUAUUUCUCAUUUCAGCAAUCUCAAUUCGUUUCCAUUUUUCCAUUCUUCAUAUUUUCCUAUUUUCCAUGUGUCAUCCAAUUUUCCAAUUUUCCAAUUUUUCAUUAUUUUUGCCUAUUUUUUCCUAUUCCCUAUUUUCCUAUUGUGCAAUUUCCCAAGUUUCCUUUUGUUGUAUUUCUAGUUUUCCAAUUUUUCAAUGUUCCCAUUUUCCCAUUAUGUAAUUUAAAAAAAGUUGCCUGCUUUGCCUAAUUCAGAAAGUAAUUAAAAUGGUCCAAUAUGGUAAUUGUCUUAUUUUCCAUUUCCACAAUUUCAAUUCGUUUCCAAUUUUCUUAUUUUCCAUGUGUCCCUAUUUCCUAUUUCCAUUUUUCAAAUUUUAAGUUUUUGUCCAAUUAUCCAAUUAUCUUUUUUCCAAUUGGACUAUUUUCUAAGUUUCCUUUUUUUCCUAUUUCCAAUUUUCCAAUUUUUCAAUUUGCUAACUUUCCUUUUGUUCUAUUUCCAAUUUUGCUAUUUUCCAAGUUGCCUUAUUUCCUAUUUUUCAAUUAUCCAGUUAUCCAAUAUUCCAAUUUUCCAAUUAUCCAAUUUUCAAUUUUCCAAUUUGCGAAUUUGCCUAUUUUCCAAGUGUCCUUUUUUCCUAUUUCCUAUUUCAAAUUUUCCAAUUUUCAUGUUUUCAGAGUUUCCUUUUUUUUUCCUAUUUUCCAAGUUUCCUUUUGUCCAAUUUCAAAUUUUCCAAUUUUCCAAGUUGCUUUAUUUUCCAAUUACCCAAAUUUCCUAUUUUCCAAGUGUCCUUUUUUCCUUUUUCCAAUUUUCCAAUUUUCCAAGUGUCAUGUAAUCCUAUUGCCUAGUUUCCUCUUUCCAAUUUUUCCUUUUUUCCUAUUUCCAAUUUUCAAUUUUCCAAAUUUCCCAAAUUUCCAACUUUCCAUUUUUUCGUAUUUCCGAUUUGCCAAUUUUCCUUUUGUUCUAUUUCCAAUUUUCCAAGUUUCCUUAUUUCCCAUUCUCCAAGUUUUCACUUUUCCUAUUUUUCAAUUUCGCUAUUUUCCAAUUUUCUGUUCUGAAAUUCGCAAUAAAUGCUUAGUUACACAGUCCUAUUUUGGGUUGAAAUCCACAAUUUUCAAUUUCCCAUUAAGGUUUGCUUUUUUGUCGUUUGGAAGCCAAUUUUAUUGUUGUUAAUGUAAUGUUGUACUGUUGUAAAUUACAGCCAAUGAGUUAAUGAUGUAGUUUGCAAUCCCAUCAAUUGAAUGCACCAACUAAAUACCCAAUAUACUUCAUAUAAGUUCGUACAUAUAACUCAACCUUCCUAUACAGAACUGCAACAGAGGCACCUUCUUAACGGGAAAGGUAAUUAGUCUUACUAAAACGCAAAUAUUCUCCACUACAGCUAACCAAUUGUCGUUUACAACUGGAGACUGAAUCUACCUUUAUUUGUUUUGUUGCAGGCAACAGCUGUGAAUUGUCCCCGGCAAUACUUAAAGAUGUCGGAUGUACGCCCUCCAAAUGAGCAUGUCACAGUUACCCGGGGGACCAGCCGUGGCAUGUGCCAUUCCCAUCUCCACCUCGGACUCCCAAUCAUGAUCCCACUUCAUCUGGAAGUGAGGCUGAGAGCAAUGAUCCGCUUGACAAAAUCUCUGCCGUCAAGCACCACCUCCAAUAUAUGUCAAAGGCAACGGAUUGGUGGGAGAGUAAGUGCGAUAUUCAUGGCCAAGUUAUGGGAAACUUGGCCAACAAGUUGAACAAAGCAUACGCUGGAGAGGUGAAGCAAACUCUAAAAGCAAAAAGUCGGAGCAAAGAGUUAGAGUCCUUGAAGUUGAAAUUGGAAGAGAGAAAGAAAAAUGCUGUCGAAAAAUUCACACAAUCUGAAGAAUAUAACCAUGAAAUGGUUGAAUGUUUCAACAACGGCUUUGAAAUGUUCCGAGAUUAUGCUUCGGUCAUCUCACCAGACUACAAUUGGAGUGAAAUUGAUGUAGCUGGUGUUUGGCAGGUGCUGAAUAUGGGUGCUGAGGGAAUGGCUCAUCAUAGCCUCGUGCAUGCAGCAAGGAGAAAGGACAAAGACUUGGAUCUUUUGAUGGACCUGUAGUAACAGUGAGUGCUGCUUCAGUUCAACUCACCUGAGUACAUGGAUCUUUUGUUGCCUUCAUUUUCCCUUCGCAGGCUAGUAUUGUUAAGGUUCGGUGGCGAUUUCUUUUGCAUGUGUAAAAUGUUGUCUGUAAUGUGUAUGUAUUGUAUGUAGAUUGACUUAAUAUUGUAGUUCUAUUGUAUGUAUAUUGCCUUAAUAUUGCCUUUGUAUAGCAUAGAUAGUGUAUGCAUAUUGCCACCGUAUUGGAUGUAUAUUGUAAAACUAUUGGUAUCGUAUUGCCCUUAUAUUGCUCUAAUAUUGCCUCUAUAGUGCACCUAUAUUGACCUAAUAUUGCUCUUAUAUCGUAUGUCAAUGGCAUGUGCUCUAAUAAGUCUCCAGUUCGUUGAAAGUAAUCCUGAAUUCAAAUAUGAUGGACAAGACAAUUGUUAUCCAUCCUUAUAUUACCAUGAAUUGAUUUGGACCUUUCAAAUGAUAGUUGGAGUUGCACAUGGAUUCAUAUUCAAAAGGAAAGUAAUUCUCUCCCUCAAUGAAUUGUCGUUCAAAAGAAGGCAGCUAUCAAAUUUUGGGUACAAAAAGGCAACAUCCACGGUAAAUUAAUUGGGCACAAACCACAUAUUACAAAACCAGGAUGAUUUUUGGCAUGCUUCAAAAGAGAAGGGCCAAAUACAACAGAAAAGAAAAUCCAUUCAAGCUUGUACAAUAGAAUGCACAAUAACCCUUUUACAUGUCCUUCCAACACCAGUGUUUUGCCUACUUUAGAGUCGCAGGAGGAGAGCUUAUUGCCAUUGUGCAAUUCGAGGGGGCAGUCAAUUUGGAAUGGUGGCAUAAACAUGUUUACUCCACGGAUCACCUAUAUGGGACAGAGCUUCCUUCUUCCCUUGUCGUCUGUAGGUUUCAACUUCACACUUUUUAUAUACAUGUAUGAGAACUUGUGGCUAUUUAUUUAUGGCCUUCUAACACUUGUUCUGCCAUUCCAAAGUGGGUUGGAGACUUUUUGAGUUGAAUGACUGGAAAGACUUCAGAUGACAGAAACUAGAGAGUUUGAAGAAAAAGGGUUACCAAGAACAGCAGUCAUGCCCACGACAUAAACUAAACAUGCUAUAAGCUCCACAGUAAUAUUUACUUCAUCUCCAUAAUCAGAAUAUUGGGAAAAAAAUACCACGGAGAAAUACGUGAAAUGAAAAACAACUCGGCAGUUACUGUGAGAUUGUGUACAUAAAACUUGGAACAACCAAACCAAUUAAAGCUAAGCCAUCUCAUACGUAUACCUACAUCAAAUAACAGUGUAUGGUCAUCUUGUUUAGAAUAUUGCAAUCAACACUUGGUUGAGACCGACCUGCAAAAACAACUGGGUUAAGUACAGAUGAAGCCAUUUAUGAAGGGCAGUUCCAGAAUUAAGACCUACGUUAAUUUGUAACUGCCACCGAAUCAGUUCAUAGUGCCAAAUGCAUCUACCAAGCACACAGAUAUGACCAGCCAAAAGAAAAAAAAGCAAAGUAAAAAAGAUAAAAGAGGCAUGCCAUAAAUGGGAACCUCAGCAGAAAUCAUCAGAUAUGCAUACAAGCAGAUUGAGUAACAUCUCACUAAGUAGAGGUCAUGUUGGUAAUCGCAUGUUGUGUUUGCACACAGACAUUUGGUUUUUGCAAACACAACAUGCAAUUGCAUUCCAUGAUGUGUGUGUUGUGUUUGCACACAGACAUUUGGUUUUUGCAAACACAACAUGCAAUUGCAUGAUGUGUGUGUUGUGUUUGCACACAGACAUAUGGUUUUUGCAAACACAACAUGCAAUUGCAUAUUGUGUGUGUUGUGUUUGCACACAGACAUAUGGUUUUUGCAAACACAACAUGCAAUUGCAUAUUGUGUGUGUUGUGUUUGCACACAGACAUUUGGUUUUUACACACACGAUAUGUAACAUUUAGUUUUACCCUUUUAUUCUUAUUUUCUUCGUUCAAACAUGGUGGUGAGAAAAGCACCAAACCAUCCCAUCAUAUAAAGCAAAACUCAUACAAUAUUUUAGAUGCAAAAGUUAUAUAUUUUAUAUAAAUGCAUCAUCCGCAUGGCUUGAAAUUACAAAUUCACGUUCACAUAUUACUUUUCACAAGCGCACAGACUAACAAUAAUAAUAAUCAACCAAGUAGUUGCGACAUUCAUCCUAUUACGUCCAUAUUGAUAAUGUCAGAAGUUUCAUCGAUAAGCCUCAUCAAACUACAAGUUUUUUAAUUUGAAUUAUGAAUUCAGAACUAAAAGCUCAUGAUAUGCAGAAAAUGACAUACAUUGUCCACAAUCGACUUUUCGAUAUAUUUCUGCUCUAGCAAUUUAUCGUCCAAAUUCUGGACUCUCUGUGUCAGGUGCUUCUUUGUGUUCUAUCCAGCAUAAGAAUAUUUAAUAGUGUGAUUUCAAUUGUUUAUACAAAUUCUAUAAGUAAUAUUGAUGAGUGCUGUAAAUCUAUUUGAUAUUGGGAACAAACAUGGUCCCACUAACAGAAACUCAAACAAAACAGGAAUUUUUUUUUAUUUUUUUUGGCAUAGACAGCCGAAAAGAAACUUACAGCAAUAGCCUCUGUCACGCUCUCCAGACGUUUAUGCAAUUUUGAAACAGCAGCAUUCAUACUACGCUUUGUCACAUACAGAAGAUCUGAGAAUUUUAGACCCUAACCAUUUGUGAAGAGCAAAUAUUAGAUUUGCUUAAAGAAGACAACAACUCACAGAACCAAUGGAUGAAAUAAUAUGAACAUAAAUAUAUCAUUUGGAUACCUUCCACCACAUGUAACCAUAACCCAAUGCCCCCAAGGUAGCUGUUGGCAUUAUUAGUGAUGUCAAACCUAUUAAAAAAAUCAAAAAAAAAAAUAUAACCAAGUAUAAAAUGUUUCUAUUGCAUUAUGAAAUACAUACGUGUAAGGAAUUAAUCGUUUUACAACUUAACCAAAAAGUCAAGGCAGGAGCAUGCAUUCAUUGAGUGGUUAUAAGCAAGAGGAAAAAGCACAAAGCAUGCUAAGAAUUCAUUUGAACACAGAAGAGAAAGUAAGCUACCUUGGAAUUUGGCUGUCAUUCCCCUUCAGGACGGCUCUCUGUAGUGACGAGUCUAGUUGUCGGACCUCAGCUGCCAGUCGGCGCACCUAAAACAAAGUAACACAGGAAAAUUGAUAUCCAUUACAAAAAACAAAAAUUGAACACGAGAAAGCAUCCUUCGACACUAAAUUUAUAGCAGUUUUUCCAAUACCUGUGAUGCGAUCGCAUAAAAGUCACCUUCUGAUUGUUCUCCGGUUCCAUUGAACAAAGGCUGCAAACAAAACAGAAAUAGACACAAAUCCAUCAAUUUUUUGAGCAACAAGACACAAGCUCCGAAAUAAAUAAACUAUCUAACUGAUCAAAACCCUAGUUUACCAAAUGCAUUACAAAAUUAAAAACUCAUACAAAAAUAACACCAAAUACAAAUGUUCUGCGAGUUCCACUAGCAAAGCAGAGUACAAAUCAUGAAAAUGGUACCUGAAGUUCACCGAUCAAUUCAGAUAAUUGACCAUUCUUACGCAGGAUGGUGCUCGUAUACCCUGUAGAAAGAGAACAAUCACUCAGAUCAAAUGUAGCUAAAUACACAAGGAAACUAAUCCAGUAUGCAAGAUGAAAGAGGAGUGAUUGGUACCUACUCCAGCGAAGAUCAGCAAACACAGUAUGAGGUUCCAAAUUCAAAUAACAACAUAAUGCUAAGCAGAGAAGUAGAAUUGCUGCCGAAAUUAUUUAAAACGAACUAAGUCAAAACUAAAUGGAGAAAUGUUAACAAAGUUGUAUGCUUCAGUAAGUCCAGUAACAGAUUCCCAAAACCACAGAGACAAAAUGUGAACAAUGGCUACAAAAGCAUCCAUAAAGAGCAACUAUGUUUAUAUAUGGAGGUGUACAAAAUAGUUAACCUUCAAAAUCGAAACAGUGUGUGUGCCAUGUAAGGCAAUUAGCCACUGCUUCUAGACUAUACAAUAUUACACCUCACAAUAAUAACUAAACCAACUAGCUCUAGCAAAAAGGCAGGAUGACCAUAUAAAGUACCCCCAGCAAAGCAUCUACGUCUGCAUCUUCAUAUCAAGGAGUUCCUGACAUAAGUAAUGAGCAAAGUGAAUUCCCAAGUCAUAAGUCCAGAAUGAGGUGAAUUCACGGACAUUAAAACAUUUACCUCAUAAAUAUGCCUCCCCCCUUAAACCCUCAAUUGCAAGCCUCAGCCGGUAAUAUUUGAUCUUCAAAGGGUCAACUUUAUCUACCGAAAUCCCAGCACUGAGAUGCUCGAUGAAUUUGACGGUCAUGAUUCCGCAAGACGUACUGUGAGACCAAUAAGUUGGGAAAUUAGAACUGCAGUUAUGUAAGAUUUGGAUAAACUGCACUAAAUUCACAAAGCUUACCCAUCUCGUUGUUGUGGCACAUCUGCAAUGCUGCAAACUGAGAAUGGCGUAAACGUCAACAUCUUCAGCCCCUUUUGCUUAACCUUUUCAACCUCAGAAUCUUCAUAAAAGUGCAUAUCGUACAGCACUCGUGCCAGCGUAUCGCUAAUAGGGUGCAGAAGUGUAACCAGCUUCGAACAUUUGGUAAAAGCAACAUAUGAGUCAUACACAGUUGCAGUAUGUCAGACGAAAUCAAUUUCGAUUGCAACCCAGUAAGACCCUUUAAGAUUAUAUGGAAUAUAGACCUUCCGGACUUUUGUCCAAGCUUGGCCAUACCCGUGUUGCCACGUACCGCGUACAAAGUAAUGUAUAUUCUGCAGCUUGCUGGGUGGAAGGUCAACGGUGUUUGAAGCAACUGCCUUCUUCGAUCCACGUUUCUUGGCAGUCGGUUUGAACGGAUCUAGAAAUUGCUGCAUAAAUUGAAAUGAAGGCAUAUUAGAAAAUCACAACCGAAAGCAAAUGAAGCAGCGAAUGUAACAUGGUAACAUGUUUACCUGCAAGCAACAAUCUGCUGUUGUCCAGUCAGUUCCAAAUACCAACGGAUGAGAGAGUUGCCUUUUCCAGAUAAGAAAGGUUGCCAUGUCCAGGUGCUGAAAGUUGACACACAUAAUAUCAGCACAAUUUCAUACAACUGUACACUUAAAAAAGGUGAGAAAACAAUUUAAUUAUCGCAAUAAAGUAGAGCUUUGUGUAUUCUUACCCUUGAGCUAAUCCAUUCCGUUUCAUCGAUAAGUCUGUAGAAAAAAUCAGCGCCCACUGAAAAUAAUUCCAGCUGCACCUCCGCACUACAAAAGGCAAACUUGCAAUGGUUACUUUUAUAGUCAUCUCAUAAUUCUGACUUUGUUGAUGACAAAAAUACACAUGUAUAUUAAAGCAAACUCUACGUUUUCUCAUUAGUCUAUGACUACAUACUAGAAUAGGAUGAAGAUUGGAAUUCAAAGGUAAAGAAUCCUAACCUGAUAUCGUUUUUCCAGGCAGUACAAAACUCUAUUACUGCCUUCACAUCUUCAAUGGGCACGGAUUUUGAUGGAUCAAAACAUGGCGGGGUUGCAGUCGCAGCCAACACACUCAUCGUCCUCUUCUUCCUCAAAGGAUCAGUAAAUGGGCUCAACAAUGUCUGCGCCGGGCGCUUCUGUCUGCACCCUUUACCUUCCACUUCUUUUUUUUCCACACUCGAACUACCUUCUUCAUCACCAGCCAUACUAACUGUGGGUAGACUUGGAGGAUUCAUCGGACCUCCCGAUGGCAUACUCUUAGUCACUUUCCAAUCUUCUAACAGAGACAACACUUUUUGGCAGAUUUCGUCACACCCGGCCACAUCUUCCGGGGUAGGCAGCUUCUCGGAUUGUGCCUGCUCAGCUGCUUCAUGCACUUGUAAGUGAGGAACUGAAGCGGCCAUUUCUGCCUCUUCGACUACCAUGGCUGCGGAAGGUUCGGCUCCAUCACCGGGAACUUGUGUUUCCAUUACCGCCGGUUCUGUAGGCGGACUAACAUGGUCAUGUAAUGGCGACAAGUGAUUGUCGCCUCCUUCAUUCAUAUGAGGACUACUGAGGUCCUCAUGUCCUUUCCCACCUUCAUUCACCCCACCAUUUCGUUUUUUCAGCUGCUCUAUCUCCACAUUAAAAUAAUGCUCCAUUAAAGCCAGGGUGUUGCGGAAAUCCUCCACACACUUUUUAUUUUUUUCGAACUCUCUUUCAACUUUCAAUGACUCCUUCCGUACCAUGUCUUCCAACUGAUGCACUCUGUUGCGAAGCGCUCGAUUUGAUAUGGCAACUUUGGCCAAUUCAUCCUUUGUCCUUUGAAAGUCACGCUUCAAAGUGCGUAACUCUCUGGACGCGACUGUACCCUGCAUUCAGUUAUAAUGCAAGUGUUACAAUAUUUUCAAAAUAUAUUGCAACAAUACAGCAGUUAUUUUCCUAUUGUAUUAUGACGUAUAUCUUGGAAAAAAAUGUAAUGCUUGCCUUAGAAGACGACGGAAGGCUAGCAGUUUCGUCAAUGUCCUUAUCUUUUUCUUCUACAGAGGCAGAAGUGCUGGUUUUUUGUUCAGCGUCAUCGCCAAACAACUGAACAAGUUCUUCAGUGUCGUCAACACUGUCACCCCAAGUCCAAUACGGCUGCUGCUUGUCGAUUACAGAUGGCCGGAGAAGUUGCACAUCAACCUGCAAUUUACACAUACAAUAUACAUAUCAGUAAACUUAUUAUAUUAUAUUUUCAUAUGCCUAACAUUAUCAUUAAAAACUUAACUAACCUCACGGUUCUCGAAUACUUGGCUCAUUAGCUCAUAAAAACACGGCGAACUAUUGCUCCUCCAAUGUAGUAAACGAGGGAUGUAGGCAUUAUCUUCGUGCACCACCAAAUGUAGUGCAGCCAACGCUGGAAAAACCUCAUAAGCCCAAAUCUGGUUUGAGGAAUAAAACGUGAGUCACUGUAAACAAAUGAAAUUUAACUUCAACAUGAAUGGAAAUUUGCUCACCUGAAGUGCAUAGGCAAAACCUUUGAGGUGGUACUCUCUUGGUCUACCAGUUGCCGUUGUUUUUGCUUUCUUUUCAGAUUUUUUUGUUUUUGCAGCUUUUUUGGGCACUUUCACUCGCUGGUAAUCUGUACAAAGUGCCCUCAGAAGUGACACAAUUGUCUUGGCAUAACACACAGCACCCCAUGGAUACUUCCCAAACUCUUCAAGGUCUUCCACCAACUUCAAAUAUCGCAUGUCAAUCUGGACAUGUUUUUCACUGCCCAACAGCACAAACACAGCAAAGUAUACAAAUCUGAGCUUCAAUACAUCGUCCGCAUCAACGCAUUUGAGGAAGGCCUUUUCUAAUUCCAAAACAUUGACAGUUUUAUAGUUGCCAAAGUACUUCCUUUUCAAUGAGCAGUUCUCAUUAGUGGGAAUCGGAAUAAAGGGAAGGUUUCCAAACCUUAGCCCUGUCACGAUGCAAAAUUGCUGCGCCGUGAAUUGGAUCACCUUAUUGCCAACGAUGAAUUUGAUCCCGUUGAGUUGGGAAACUGUCUUUGGAUCAGCUUUCCUCAGCAGCAAGCCGUGGACAAUUGGCGAAGUCCACUUGAGGUCCUCAAUCAGUAGGAGAUGCCCAAAACAACUCUCUUCAAACCUUUGUAGCUGUUGUUCACUGAAUUUCUCCUUUAUCGUGCUGAUUGCAGUCUUCGUAUGGGAUAGGGACAAUGCUUUUCCUUGGAACUUUUCUUCCUCUGCAAUCAUCAACUUCAUUUGAGCAACCAUCUUUCCCUGCAUGCCAAUAUUAUAAAAAAAAAUUCAGUCCGUUGCAAUCUAGACAAUAACAAGCAAUAAACAAUCAGCACUUAUCUACAGCCUAUUAUAGGAUAUUAAGUGAAAACAAAAAAACAAAAAAUACAGGGCAUAAACAAAACCCCAGCUAUUUACAACUGACCUACUAAUUCAAUAGCUCAAAGCCACAUCCCAAGACACCCAGUACUCUACCACUCUUGCAUAAUAUAAUAUCUAAAGACACAUCUCAACACACCAGAUAAUCAUGACACAGCUUCAGCUAGAAUGGGAAUGUGCGGUAGCACAAGCCUAAUUGAGAACAAUUCAAGACUAACGAUAGAAAUCUAUCUGACUAGAAAGAGUUUUAAAAAAACAAGAAGACAUCGGGAAAGAAUUGAUUGACUUCAAGGUAUAAUGUAAUGGAACAUCCUAUGAAUUAGUGGCAACCAUAAUAAUGACUCCACUAUGGCCCUCCUUUCAAAUGUAAGAAAAUGAAUGAAAUUGGCACCAUCCCUUCAGUUUUUUCUUAACAAAAUAAGAGAUUUGUAUGUAUUCUCUGCUUUAUCGAUAUCAAAGAUAAAUUAAUAAAUAAACCAUCAAAACUGUAUAAAAUGUUUGUUAGACAUGUACAAUUACAAAAUUAUAAGUUCUCCUCAGAAACAAAGUUCUCUAAGUACGCAAACAAGAAAAGCAAAAGCUUAAAGAGUUAGCUUAUAGCAAAAUCAAUGUCCCCAUUUCUCUAAACCACACCUGCUGGUGGUAGGUUCCCAUCUUCACUCAUUUCCCGCUUUCUUUUAAACAGACAAUGAUCAAGCACAAAAGAGCAAACUUUUAAAUAACUCAUAUUACACCACAAAUAGUUCUAAAGAAAACUUAUUCAUAUCCAAUAUGCAACCCCUAAAGUUAGUAAACAGAGUUAUAAAAAAAUAUGUCAAAUUAACAAGCAUUAUUCUCAAACAAAAAGUAUGAUAUGGUUGGGAGUUUACAAGUUCAAAAUGAUAUACACAGGUUAAUUGUCUUAGACUUUAGAUAUCAUCUUCAACAAAGAAAAUAGAUACCGAUUAGACUUGUAAGAAGGUUAAAUGCAAUGGUCAUAAAGACCCAUAGUAAGCCACCAAAUACCAAUCAAUAACUGCUAUAAAAACCAUAAUAAAACCAUAAUAAACUAAAAAUACAACAGCACUAAAAUGCCAACACAACAUCACUACAUUAGCAAUAUAGUAGCAACAAAACCACAAUACGACAUCAAUAGCAACAGCAAAACAACAGCAGUGCAAGCAUCAGUCCACAAAGAACAAACCCAUUCACUGUUUCAAACAAGGAAUCAUCAUACUAAGAUCAUUUCAGAGAAACCCCAAAACCAAUUUCAGUGAAACCCCUAAACCAAUUUCAGAGAAACCCCUAAACCAAUUUCAGAGAAACCCCUAAACCUUCAACCAAUUUCGAACAAAUCCCUGAACCAAUUUCAUAGAAAUGCAUAAACCCUAAACCAACUUCAAAGAAACCCUAAACUGUAAGAAAAUGACGAUGAACAGUACCUGUUCAAGGUGAACGAUGGAGUUGAGCUUCGAUGAACAAAUUUCGCUCGGAGAGGAAGAGAGAAGAGAGAGUCAGAGCUGAGCGACGAGAGAUUAAGGGCUGAGCGACGAGAGAGUGAGAGCUGAUCGACGAGAGAUGAGAGAGUGAGAGCAAAGUGACGACAGAGUGAAGAGAAAUUGAGAGAAGGAGCCAAGAGAGAGAGCUGAGAGAGAACUUCAGCAAAACUGAUAGAGAACUUCAGCAAAAGUGAUAUGUGUACAAUAAGGGGACAAUAAAUAUAUAUUUAUAGGUUAUAGUUCCAAAUUUUUUUAAAAAGAGUGGUAUUUUCAGUUACAAUUAUAAAAAUGGUGGCAUUUUGAGCUAUUUCCUUAUUUUUUAUUCAACAUGGACGCAGAAACUGUUGCUAAACUGCAAACUUCUUAAAAUAUUUGUCUCACUUUCUCAACCCUAUAUUUGUCUAACUUUCUAGAUCCAUGUACUGAGAUUUAUUAGGGAAAUAUUGUAGAAACUGAUUAUUUUGAAAUAUUAAAUGUGAAAAACUGAACAAAAAUUUGAUGGGUUACAUAUUUCAACUCAUUUCAGCAGCUUAGAUUUUGAAGACCUCGGAAGAGGCCAUGCAGUGAGCCUAGCUAGUGCACUGUUGAUCACUUCAGUGUCUACCGAUCUGUAAUUUUUCCAGAUUGGUUAUAUUUUCCUUUACAUAUUCUUAUAUUAUUCCCAGCUGUAAGUGUUUUACACACUUGUCUAUUAGAAAAGGGGAGACUUAUAAAUAAAUCCAAAAUGGGUACAGUAUUUAUAAAGAAUGACAAAAUUAAAGUGUUUGGGCAAUAAUGCCCUUAUUCAUUUUGAGAUUGCCUAAGGAAUAUUUUUUCUGAUUUUCAGAAGAUGCCAAAGGACCGUUGUUUGAUGAUUGCCGUAAGGAGCUAAGAAAACUUGCUUUGAUAGUUUUGGACAGAUGCAUGCUACUGUUGCUGGGAUGAUCUCUUCACGUGAAAUGAGGAUGAUGAUGCUUCUACACUACACAAUCCAACGAAUUCACAUGUCUAUUUCAGAUACAAGUAUAAACUAACAAGGCUUUAAAAUAUGGGCUGAUGCACUGUUGUUGAUGUUGCUGACACUGUUACUGUGUUGUUGAUACUGUCACUGCGUUGCUGUUGGAAAAAGCACAAGGACUUCACAUGUUGCUUUCGUCUUUUGUGGAGGAGAGAGACCUAGGACUUGCAUGUCUUAGAUAUUUAAGAUAAGGGGCUUUCGUUCCAUUUUGAAAAUACUUUGGGUGUUUUUGAAAGGUGAUUGUUUCUUUUGGGUUUCUCACUAAAUUUCGCUUUAGAAGGGAAAAUAAUAAUAAUAAUGUCAAACAAAGUAGGGUAAAUAUUCAGAUAUGCUCAUAUUAUUAUUCUUCUCCAAUAUUGAGGUAUUUAUACAAGUACAAAGAUGUGUUAACCCUAAAUAAAAUAGGAAAUAUAUCUAAAUUAUAAUAGGCAGUAAAUCUCUAUUACAAUAGGACUAAAUAAUAAUUGGUAAGUAACCAAAAUUCUAAUGAAAUAAGGAAUCAAAAUCCUAACUAAGUAAGGACUCGCCAACACUCCCCCUCAAGUUAGGGCAAACAUAUUUCGCAUGCCUAACUUGACAAGCGAGUCAUAGAACACCAUACUUGAGAAGCACCAAUUGUAGAGAAGGUCUUUUCGUCAACCACGAGUGAAACAAGUGACAAACUAAAGCAAAGUUCGCAGCGGAAACACAAGAGCGAAUCCUAAAAAAUAGGGCACAUAGCAGAACACAAAAAUCCUGGAGCACGACAGUAGAUAAGGCAGAACACAGAAACCCUGUUAGCACGGCAAUAGGUAAGGCAGAAAAAGUCAAGAGCAAAGGCAAGGUCAACAGGCGUGACCACAACGAAAACACACCAGCAAAGACAUGAGCAACAAUAUUAGCACCAUAAUAGACAUGAGCAACAAUACUGGUACCAACAACAGCAAUACAAGGCACUGGCACCAGCAAGAGCAACAAGGCAUGGACAUAACAUGCAUAAUCAAUAGUAAUCAACAUUGUCCCCAACAAGAGUCAUAAUAGGCAUGAGCAAUAACAUUGUCCCCACUAAGAGACUUAACAGGUAUGAGUAACAGUACUGGCACCAGCAAAGGGCAUAGUAGUCAGCAGCAAUAACAAUGACAAAUACUUCUAUUAUUGCAGAGACAACUUCUCUUCACUCCCCAUCUCCCCUUGAAGAGAAGGGGUCAUCGGAACCAUAAGAAAAGUGGCACUUAAGAAACAGAAGUUGACUGACGCUCAAAUGUAGAAGAAUCAGCCAUGGCAAAUAGGUAGCUGAAUUGCAGCGGAAUAGAUGAGCAGCGGUGUCACUCCCCCUCAUAUCUGAUAAUGUAUGAGAGUCGAGAUUUGGAGAAAGCAAUAUCGAAAAAUAAAGUUGCAGAACCCAAAUAAAGUUGCAUCUAUCUCCCCAUCAAAUCCGACACUGGUAAAGGGUCGAGAUUUGAAAGAGGAGAAAUUGAAAUAAUAGUAAAGAGACUCAAACAUGCAGUCUCAUGGCAGAAACAAAUGCAAGAGGGGAAGAUGGUAGCAUACGGUUGUCCCAUGAAGAAAAAACUUCAGAAAAGGAGAAUAGUAAGGGAGGAAACCUAGCAAAUCAUGAACAGAGACAAAGACAAAGAUGCUCAAACUGAGAAGCGGAAAGGCAACUCAAGAGAGCAACCGAAGAAGACAGAGGCCCGCAGAACAGUCAAAGUUAAGGCUCGGCGAGUGGUGACGAUGCUCGCGGAGGAAAGCAACGGCUCGGUGAGCGGUGAUGAGGCUCACGGAGUAAAGAGACUUGUUAUGAAGUUUCAAAGAUAGAGAAGCUGAGACAUCAAGAAAGACCAUCUGGCAUACAAAGAUGAAAAAUAAAAAUUUUGGAACAGUAGCAAAGAAGCAUGUGAAGGCUGGUGCGGUGAAAACACAUAUGAAAGGAUGAACAAAAGAAGAUGACUAUACAAGAUGAAGACCCAUGAUGGGUUAGGAAUGAGGAGUGCCAACGACUCUCAAUUUGGCAGAGGUUAUCGCAGGUUAGGAACCUGGCUCUGAUACCAUGUCAAACAAAGUAGGGUAAAUAUUCAGUUAUGCUCAGAUAUGCUCAUAUUAUUAUUUUUCUCCAAUAUGGAGAUAAUUAUACAAGUACAAAGAUGUGUUAACCCUAAAUAAAAUAGAAAAUAUAUCUAAAUUACAAUUGGAAGUAAAUCUAUAUUACAAUAGGACUAAAUAAUAAUUGGUAAGUAACUAAAAUUCUAAUGAAAUAAGGAACCAAAAUCCUAACUAAGUUAGGACUCGCCAACAAAUAAUAGUACAACUCUUAUUAGCAACAGGUUACAAACUUCUUCUACAACACACCAACAUGAAUCUAGCCCUGAUCCACUCUUUUACAUACUUGAAAACAAAACAAAACACGAAAAACAAAAAACAAGAAACAAGAUAGGGAGAAAAUGGCUACGGAGAGACUUCCUGCUAAUCAGGGGCGGCCCUGGGGUGGUGCAAGUGGCGUCACCGCACAGGGCCCCCGAUUCUUAAGGGCCCCCAAAAAAUAAUUCUUUAUAUUAUAUAUAUAUAUAUUAAUAUUAUAUGAAUCGUAUAUAAAGUAUAGCGUCUGGAUGAUAAAGAGACUCAUUAUCAUUAUCUUAGUCAUAAGAUUCAAAAUGAAUUGAUACUUUUGUUAGCUUCUGAGCUCAAAAGUGCAAUCAUUAAAAAGAUUGAAGAAGCUAAAUAUUUUUCUGUGAUUCUUGAUUGUACUCCAGAUGCUAGAAACCAAGAACAAAUGAGUUUGAUAGUAAGAUGUGUGGAUGUCUCUACUAAUUCAAUAAAGGUUGAAGAAUUCUUUUUGGAAUUUUUGAUUGUGAAUGAUACAACAGGACAAGGACUUUUUGAAGAGUUGCAAACGGUGUUGCAAAAACUUAAGCUUGAUAUUGAUAAUGUGAGAGGACAAGGCUAUGACAAUGGAUCAAAUAUGAGUGGGAAAUAUCAAGGUGUCCAAAGAAAAUUUUUGGAUGUAAAUCCUAGAGCAUUGUACACACCUUGUGGUUGUCAUAGUCUUAAUUUAACACUUUGCGAUAUUGCAAACUCUUGUGGAAAAGCAAAAGAUUUUUUUGGAAUCAUACAACGUAUUUAUACAUUGUUUGCUAAUUCUACAAAGCGGUGGAAGAUAUUGAAAGAUAAUGUUAAACACUUAACUCUGAAAUCAUUGUCAGUUACACGUUGGGAAAGUCGUAUUGAAAGUGUGAGAGCAAUAAGAUUCCAAGCUGCAGAUUUAAGAGAAGCUUUACUUCAGUUAGCAGAAAGUGACGGUGACUCCAAAAUAACAAGUGAAGCUAAUUCUUUGGCAACAUAUGAACUUGGAAAUUUUGAGUUCUUAUUGGGCAUGGUUAUUUGGUAUGAUAUAUUAGGUGGUGUCAAUGUAGUGAGCAAAAACUUACAAUCUGAAGACAUGCUUAUUGAUGUUGCUAUUGAUAAAGUGAAAGGGUUGAUUACUUUUUUUUUGAAAAGUAUAGAGAAAAUGGGUUUACAGAAGCUAUGUGUACUGCUAAAAAAAUUGCUACUGACAUGGGAAUUGACCCGGUGUUUCCUGAGAAGCGAAAAAUUCGUAGAAAAAAACAUUUUGAUGAGAAUACUUGUGAGCUAUCCCAAUCAGUUCCUGAAUCAACUGAAGAAAAGUUUAGAAUUGAUUAUUUCUUGUAUUUAGUGGACCAAGCUAUUGGUUCUUUACGAAGAAGGUUUCGACAAUAUCAAGAGUAUGAGAAUUUUUGGGUUUUUGUUUACUUCAGAGAAGUUAAAUUCAUUGGAUGAUUGCGAUUUGAAGAAUAGUUGCAGUCAUCUGGAAAGCAUUUUGAAAAAUGACAAGUUUUCUGAUGUCGAUGGGGAGGAUUUAUUUGUUGAGUUGAAAGUUUUACAAGAGCUUUUACCAAAAGUAAAUACCACAGCUACUGCAAUAUUAAAUUUCUUGAAAAGAUUAAAUUGUUUUCCAAAUGCAUUCAUUGCAUAUAGAAUCCUAUUGACUAUUCCUGUUACUGUUGCAUCUGCGGAAAGAAGUUUUUCAAAAUUAAAAUUGUUAAAAUCAUACUUGAGAUCAACUAUGUCGCAAGAAAGAUUAAAUGGACUAGCUUUGAUUUCAAUUGAAAGUGAACUUCUUGAAAAACUUGAUUAUGAACAUUUGAUUGAUGAUUUCUCUUCUAAAAAUUCAAGAAGAUCAAUUUUCAGACAUUAGUAUUGUACUAGCUGUGUUUUUUUUUUUCUUCUAGGGUAAAAGCUCUCAUAAUAAUUUUAAUUCUUCAAAUAAGACAGCAAAUACAAUGUGAUGAAUUUUGGAUAAUCAGGUAUGUUUUUGUUGUUGCUUUUGUGUUUAAUGCAAUAUAAUCUAAUUUUUUUAAUGACAUUUGUGUGCAACUACUCUUUGAUUUGUGAUUGCCAAUUUUUUUUUCUUUCUAUUAAACACAGAUUGCUUAUUGGAGGCAGCAAGAGACCUUAUAGGGGCACAAGGAGCUUAUUUUUGUACAAAACAUUUAACUUUAUCAAAUGGAAACAUUUAAAUUUUUAUGAAUUUGAUUUCUGAUUGUCAUUGCAUAUUUAUUGAUGGUGAAUUUUAGUUAUAAAAAAAAAAUUGUUUAUGACAUUAAGUUAUGGCAAAUUUUUAUAGUAUUUUCGUAUUAGAUUAUGCGAGGUCCCAAUUUAAGUUUCGCACAGGGCCCUCAAAAUCUCAGGAACGGCCCUGCUGCUAAUACUUGAUCAAUAACAGAGAUAAUAGAGCACACUGUUUGUAUGACAAUGAGUAUCAGAAGAAUAAUAGCUGCAAAGAGAGAAAUAGCUGCCCAAGGUGUGUUGAAAUACUUUUGUCUCAAAUUUGCCUUCCGUCUGUUCGUGGUCUUCUUGCAGUACUCGUUUAGUUUGCCAGCAAGAUCACCAAAAUAGUAGUUUCCGUGGUUCGGAGCAACUUUACUGCAAAGCUUGUUAAUCAUAAUGGAAACCUUAUUGUUGUCACCUAGCGUGUUUACAACAAUUCCAUUGUCAACAAGCAACUCUACAUCCUUUGGGGUGUUUACAAAUUUAUCCAGGAUGAAAACAUAAUCGCUUAUGUAUUUAUCCACGCAAUGGCCUUGUUCAAAGGCAAUGAGAUUUCUAUGUGUAAGCUGUGUAAUCAUGUAUUUCAAUUUUUGGAAUUUCCAAGGUGUUUUUCUUGAACUGUAUAUCGAAUAAGUUCUUGCUUGAUCCCACGUUAAACUUAACUCCGGCCUGGUGUAGUUUUGUCAUGCUGGGUGUACUUUGGAGCCCUCCAUUUUUUUUUCUUUUGGCAGAUGUAAAGUUCUAAUAAAAUCAACAAAAUGUAAAGGUUUUUUAGGAUCAGGAGGCAUAAAAGACUUACGGAAGGCUGGUGAGUUCUCCAAGUUUUCUAAACGCAGUGCCUGUUGGAAGAACUUGUAAGAGAGUUCAAUUAUUGAAGGCUCCCCAGUCUGAGCACCUGUGAGAUUGUAAAGAUCCUCGAGAAUGAAAAAUGGCAGCUGAUUUACGAGCAUAAGCAUGUCAGGCAAUAUAUUUUGUAGCACCCAUGGUUUUUUAAAUAUCCAAGCAUCAUCAUCCUGCAAUUUUUCUUCCUGAAAUUUUUCUUCGGAUUUAUUCCUCAACAAUAGCUCAAUGACAAAGGCGGCAUCAACUAGAAUGAUAUUCACAAAAGUAGCAAUGUUAAACUUCUUAGGGCUAGUUUGGCGGCGUUGUGCUUUUAAAAAAAUAUGCUUCUGCUGUGCUGUGAAAAUAAUUAGCUGUGAAAAAAAGCUACUAGGCGUUUGGUAAACUGUUUUUGAAAAACUGCUGUGAGUAGUCAAAGUGUUUGGUAAAUUUUUAUCAGAAGUACUUUUAGUGUGUAUAAUGACCAAAAAGGACAUGAUGAUGAAAUUGUUUGUUAUUUUCUUCAUUCUUUUUCUACUUUAAAAAAAAAAAAAACCCAAUUUCACUACAUAAAUUUUUAUUCUUUUUUAAUUCACACCUUUUUAUCAAAAAAUUUAAUCUACAAUUAACAUACAUAUUUUACCAUAAAUUAUAAAUUACUAUUAUAACAAAAGUAAUUCUAAAUAUUGUUAUAUUAAUAUGGGCUUCGGACAUGACAAAAAUACAAAAAUUGUUCAAUUUUAAAAUGCCCCAAUAGAUCACUACAAUAUAAAAGAAGCUAAUUAGAUGCAUUCAUUAAACUUGUAGCGAUGCUAUUUCUUAAUGCAUUCAUUAGCUUCUUUUUUUGGUUUCCAAUGGUUCUCUAACAAUUUUAACUAAAAAAACAACCAUAAUGCUUUGUGAACAAUAAAUUCAAGUCCAAAUCUGCUAUUGCCCACACCAUACAUAUAUACAUAAUUGUUCCUUUCAUAAAACUUGAAGAUUCAAUAGUAAUUACACAGUUUACCAAUCUUGAUUCCAACUAUAUCCAUAAAAUUAAACUAUAAUUAGAAAUAGAGGAGCUACAUGUGAUUACUCAUAAAUGCUUCCCACUCUCAUCAUCAUCAUCAUCAUCAUCUUCCUCCUCUGUACUUUGCCUUUCACAAAUGGACAAGACCAGAUGGUAACGUACACGACAUGGUCCACAUAUAGAUAAAUUUUGGGUUCACUGGAGAACAUAAAAGAGUUUUUACACGAAUACAAAGUUAGUUAAGUAGUGAAUAAAGUAAAACUAUUCUGUACAAUUCUAGCUGAUGCAGUCCAAAAAGAAUAUAUGUCUAAUAACUUAAAUAACAAUAAAGAGAAACAAAAGCCUCAUGAAAAAUGCUAGAGUAAAAGUUACAUAACUGAAUCGAUGGACAGAGAACUCCACAGGCAGAGAAACAGCAACAAAAAUUGUCAAAACAGUAGCAAGACCAUGUUGGAGUCAAGGCCAAAGAUCAUAUUUCCUGUGUAUCUUCUUCCAUUCUGAAUUAUUCUCGUAUUCAAAUACUGUAACUCUAUUUCAAGUGCACCCCAAAAUACUUAUCUAAGGCCAGUACAUAGGACUUCAUAAAGGGUGCGAUAAAAAAUAUUGCCCCUUAAUUGAUAAACAGAACCAAGAUCCCAACAGCACACCAAAACUAUACCAACCACACCUACAUAAUAUGGACAGAAAAUCCUGUUGUUCCGAUCUCUAACCACACCAAUGACAUUCAUUAGGAAAAUACAAAAGAUGGGUACCCUGCAUUUCUAACAUUUAAGAUAAAAUUCACUGCCAGCUAAUCACAAAUUUGAAAAGAUGGCAAGAAAAUUGGCUAAGCUUUAACAAAAACCAGAGCAGUCCUUGCAUAGACCUGACUUUUUGCUCCAAGCUUUAGCAGAUCACUUACUGGUAGAGAGCAGAGAACAUGUAUGUGAAUAUCUGAAGUUGGAAGGGUAAGCCAUCACAAACACCAAGAGAUCUGAUUCUCAUCUCUUGUUACAACAACAAAUCACAAACACCAAUACAUCUGAUUCAGAAUCUCAUAAACAAUGGAGGAACAAACACAUAUUCACACACAUAUAAAUCCCUAAACAGAAAAAAUAAAAAAUAAAAAAAAAACCAUGAAAGUCAUAGGAGAAUCAAAUUGAUUUGGGCCAAAAUUGCCUAAAAAGAAAACACUCCUAAAUAAACUUCAAUUCACUUUUAAAAACAGUAAAACAUGAUUGAAUCAUUCUUUAAAACAAUUCCCUAAUAUACAUGCAUGAUAAUGACAUCAUUUACCCCUGAAUCAAAUGCCUUUCACUGGUCAAGCCACAAGUCUGUGUUUUGGGAAUUGCUGAGCUGCAUCAAUCCUGCCAAUGUAAAUUCUGCCCCUAGGCUCUCUCAAAGUGCGUUUACAACCUAUGCUAACAUAUACUAGAGUUUGUUUUAGUAUCUAGAAAAUGCCAACACUAAUUUCGUAACACGUAGAAAUUGUUACAUAUUGGAAGUUUUUAUCAUUUUUUCUUCCAGUCUCUCCACCACUCACUAAUACAGAUUACUCAUGUGAUGAGUUUACAAAACAUAUUUCUCUACUCCCACAAAGACCAUACUUUUUCUCAAAAGACUAUAUCACUUUAUCUCUAUCUUUGUGAAAUGUAAAAAGUUGAAACUUUAAUGUCAAACCUCGACAAAAGAUGAACAUCCAUCAUCAAUUACAUUGAAUUUGAAUUUGUUGAACUUAAGUAGUUUUACUUCUCUGUCAGCGUUUGAUGACUUGAUUUGUUAUUUACUUCUUCUUUUUUCCUUGGAAAUGUGUUCCAUCAACGUGAGGAAGAAAAAUAUGCACAAAUUAAUAUAUUUAAUAGAAGCAAAAAUUAAUAUUUACAAAAAUAUGCACAAAUCAAGUAAAAUUAAUAAAGCAUAAAUUGGAAAGGGAAAAUAUGUAGAGGAUGCAUUGUAGGAUUGCUCAUGCCAAUAAUUGUACCCUCUAAAUAUAUAGGGACAUAUUUUUUUUUGUUUUCAUGACAUGUGGUCCUAAAAUUAUUGUUCUUAGCGGGCUCUCCACCCCUCUCGACUGAAAACCUAUUGUGUAAAUCUUCAAUCCUGAAUGAUGCACCUAAAACUCAUGUUGCAAUACACAUCCACCCAUUCUCAGGCCAAUUAUUACUCCUAGUGGGCUCUCCACCCCCUCUCAAAUUUAAGUGGUCCAUUAUUAUUAACCGUAUAUUUUAUGGACCAGCCAGCUGUGAGGUUUUAUCUCAAAAACCUUUCUCCCACAUGCCACAAUUUAUGUCUGAUACAUCACAUCAUGCCAGUUGUCUCAAAUGAAUUUAAGUGAGUGAGGCAGUGUUACUUCUGGGUACCCCUCAUUAUUCGUCUAUAAAUUGGUGAAGCCAGUUGCUACUGUUACCAUAAGAGCCAGCUCCGACUUUCAAAAUAAAAAUUCCAACAACGGUCUUAGUGCCUUCAAUUGUAUGAGUCAUUGAACAUGCAAAUGAAUAAAAUAUGAAUGAUAAAAGUGUUUGAUAAAUCACCAAGUUAUAGAACACUUGAUGAUUUAUCUCAAAUAAAAAUUCAGCUUUCUAAAGUUUGUGAAUUGAAAAUAUAAUCGUUAAAGCUCUCUAAACAAAGAAGACGAAAGUCUUAUUUUAUAGAAUUUUUCUUUACAAGAAAGAAAACAUGUUGAAAACCAAAUCUCCAAUUUCCAAGGCUUGACAGAAAAUCAAAAAAAUAUCUUUCCUAUUCUAGAGAUUGGUCACAUGUAGUUCAACCAAUAGGAAAUGAGAUAUUUAAGAAAGCAAGAUUUUGAUCAAUACCAAUAUCAAAUGAAUUCUUAUACGCCUAGUCAACUAUUAAGGGUAUCUUGACUCCUUGAUAUUGUGAUAUGAUUGAAACAUGAUUUCCAUGUUAGAAAAUUAAGGGGAUGUUAAAACAUGAAAGUAAUAGGAGAAUCAAAUUGAUUUGGACUAAAAUUGCCUAAAAAGAAAACACUCUUAAAUAAACUUCAAUUCACUUUUAAAAACAGUAAAACAUGAUUGAAUCAUUUUUUAAAACAAUUCCCUAAUAUACAUGCAUGAUAAUGACAUCACUUACCCCUAAAUCAAAUUGUCACGCCCCGGACCUGGGGGUCAGUGGAAACCCCACGUUCGGUGCGUGAGAAAAUAAAAAGUAAAAUAAAAUAAAAAGAAUGCCGAAACAAGGGUUUAAAAUAAACUUCUCUUAUAAAAAUAACUCCAAAAUCUUACAACUUUACAAGAAAUAAAUAAAGCCCUAUCAUUCUUAUCUAAUUCAGCCUCAACUGGUUUAGUCCUUGUCUUGCCCACUAAUUCAUCUAAAAAAUGAAGAGUGUUGCUAAACGAACCCUAAAAUUAAUUGAGUACACCCUACUACCAAACGAUUUAUUGAAUUUGUCACAUCUCGGGAUCAACUCCGCCGUAGCACGAUAUUGUUCGCUUUGGGCCCUCCCUCUCUGGCUCGCAUGGUUUUGUUUCUGGGAACUCACGAGUAACUUCCCAGUGGGUCACCAAUCCUGGGAUUGCUCUAGCCCACAACUCGCUUAACUUCGGAGUUCCUACGACUCCGAAGCCUGUGAGCUCCCAAAAGGUCUCGUGCUAGAUGGAUGCGGGUGUGCACAUAUAAGGCACAUCACCCCCUCUCCGUUGGUUGAUGUGGGAUCUUAUAGAAUUACUAAUUUAUCCUAAUAUAAAAUGACCAAAGAAGAUAAAAUAAUAUUGGUAUCUAUUGCUUUGAAUCCAUGCCUUCAAACAAAUUGACUUAAUUUUUAACAAACAACACGGAGUCCAGGAGAAGUGUAUUGAUCCAAGUUGAUUUUUGUAUGCGUAAAACUUAAACAAUCAAUAACACAAAGCAGUUCAUGCUGAAAUAUUGGAAACCCACACCCAAAGAGUUCUCCGCUGCGAGGUUGAAGGCAGGAGAGAUGGGUGACAGAUUUUACUUCCACUGCGAAGUUGGAGGCUAGGAGAGUCUGUGACUGCCAUGGUUGAGGGAGAAGAUGCGUUCAAAAUGCCUAUUGAUAUUUUACAUUAUUGGCUUUUUUCAAAAGUGAAAGUUUUUUUAUGGGUAAAACCUAAAUUUACUUUUUCUAUACAAGUUAACAGUGUUUGUGUAUUGUGAAAAGGUGGAGAGACGUGUCAAAAUUUUAGACAAAGGACAGGAGGAGAUAGGGAAUUUGGGGACAGCAGAUCUCAACUCCCUUGAGACCCUAUUCUCUACGCCACCCCUCCCCCUCAACAACCCUAGUCACCAUUUCUCCUUCAACUCCAACGGCAACUCAUUAAAACCCAAUUCUCAAAUGCAACAAUCUAAUCCCAAUCCCAAUUCAGAUGUUUCUAAAAAACCCAUUGUCGUGGUGGAGAACUGCAAUUCCAGGUGGUGGUGGUGGUACCACAUGGGAGAGAGAAAAAAGAAGAAGAAGAAGCAGGAGAGAGAGAGUUUUUUAUUUUAUUAUUAUUUUACUGUAAUUUUUUAAUUUAAAUAAUUAAAAAAAUUAAAAGUUAAAGAGGAUGUACCAUGGGUAUUUUUGGUAGUUAAAUAAGGUGUACUUAGGGUCAGUUUGGCAUUGCUGUGCUGUGAAAAUAAUAGCUGUCAGAUUUGCUGUGAGAGAAAUCAGCUGUGAGAGAAAUCAGUUUGGCGUUUGAUAAAAUUUUUGUUAAAAGUGUGUUGAUAUUGAUUUUAUGCUUAAUCCGAAAAUGAUUGCUGCAUAAUCAUUAAACCCAGCGCCUCUUCGAAACUGAUUCCUAUAUAAUCAGAAAAUGAAAGCACCUCAUUAGCUGCUUUCCUUUAUAGCUUUCUCUCACAGCAAUUUUUAACAAUAAGUGAUUUUCUCACAGUUUACCAAACGGGUUGGGCUUCUCAAAAUUUUUUAAAAAUCACUUAUUACCCCAAAUAAGCAAUACCAAACGGGCACUUAGUUAAUUUUACAUUUUAAUUUAAACAUUAGGGUGUACUCAGUUAAUUUUAGGGUUCGUUCAGCAGCACUCAAAAUUAAACAAGGUGAGGGAUGAGCAAGUAGGGACAUGAGACAUUGCCACAGUAGAUUGAUAUAACUAAAUAUUAUUAUAAACAUAGAAAUAUAUAAGUAUUAUUAUAAUAGGAUUCAUAAUAAUUAAUAUAAAAGUAUAACAACAAUAUUUACAUUUAUGUACCAAGAUAAUUACACAUAUAAAUAUAACCAAUAUAUAUUUUUAUAUAUUUUAAAAUAUAAGUCUUUACGUAAAUGCCUUUCACGGGUCAAGCCACAAGUCUGUGUUUUGGGGAUUGCUGAGCUGCAUCAAUCCUGCCAAUGUCAAUUCUGCCCCUGAGCUCUCUCAAAGCACGUUUAAAACCUAUGCUAACAUAUACUAGAGUUUAUGCUGUAUCUAGAAAAUGCCAACACUAAUUUCGUAACACGUAGAAAUUGUUAGAGAUUGGAAGUUUUUAUCAUUUUUUCUUCCAGUCUCUCCACUACUUAUUAAUACAGAUUACUCAUGUGAUGAGUUUACAAAACCUAUUUCUCUACUCUCGCAAAGACUAAACUUCUUCUCAAAAGACUAGAUCACUUUACCUCUAUCUCUGUGAAAUGUAAAAAGUUGAAACUUUAAUGUCAAACCUCGACAAAGUGUUCUACUUUACAAACUUCUUGUGUCUACCAAUUUGUACUAAAAUUAAUUUCUCUACAGUGCUCAGAUUCAUCAUAUGUGUGUCCUUAAUUUUAGUGGAAAUUGGAAGUUUCCAUAAUUUUUGCUUUAAGUCACUCUUCUGAAGGAAGUUGAGGUUCCACUUCAUAAUCCAAAAUGUCAGGUUGACUUAUGGCAAACAAUGUAAAUAUGUAGGAGUACUAUGACCUUUUAUAGCAUUUUUAGUUUGAAUUUGGGUUUUAUACAUAGAUUUCAAAAUUAAUAGGUUGAUGCCUAGGAAAUAGAAAUUGUAAGGGCCUAUAUUAGAGUAGCCCUCUUAAAAAUAAUAUUAAUUAAUGAAUAUUUGUUCUUCUUGUUGUUUUGAAGUAGUGGUGGGAGGCAGACCAACAAAAAAAAAAUAUAGUGAAGGCUUAUAAGAGCAUUUACAAUCAUGCUCCCUAUUUUUUAGUUAAAAUUUAGCUAAAAAUAGAAAAAAAGUUAUUAUAGGAGCUCUUUAUAAAGCUCCUUUAUAAAAUUUGAACUCCAAUCAUACUCCCUAGUUUAGGGAGUCAAAAAUACUAUAGUUAUUUUUUAAUUCAAUUUGAUUUUGGUUAAUCUCUAUAAAUAUGAAAAAAUAGUUAGCAUUAAUUAAAAGUUUAAACUAUGCAUAAAACAAAGAAACAUUAAAUUAUAGGGAGCCACUAUGAGUCAUUACUCUCUCCUCAGAUUUAGGAGCUCCUAAAGGUCUCCCUAUUUUAUGAGGUGGAUAAGGAGCAUGGUUGGAGUUGUAUUUCUUCAAUUUCCUCCCUAAAAUUUGUCUAAGGAUGUGGUUUAGGGAGCCCAUUGUGAAUGCUCUAACUCUGGUAAAACACGAGUGACAUGGACAACAUAUGUUACGUCGUACUGAAGAUUUUUGGGUUUCUUUAAUUGGUUAAGUAGCAUCCACACAGCUUCCUAAAUCAUCUCCUUAGACAAAUUUUAGGGAGGAAUUGGAAAAGUACAACUCCAACUAUGCUCCCUAUCCACCAACUAAAAUAGGGAGACUUCUAGGAGCUCCUAAAUCUGAUGAGAGAGAAAGGACUCUUAAUGACUCCCUAUAAUUUAAUGUUGCUUUAUAUUAUUUUGUAUACAGACGGGUCAAUUAUAUUAAAUUAAAAAAUAAUUAAAGUAUUUAUGACUCUCUAAACUAGUGAGCAUAAUUGUAGAUCAUCUUAUAUACCUUAAUUUGAAGAUUCUUUAUUUGGGUUUCUUUCAAGACUUAUCACCUUAGCCACGCCACCUACACGUCUGCAAGCUUUCCUAACAAGGAAGGGGAGGCUGCGCAAUACUUAUCACCUUAGCCACACUACACCAAAUUGACGUCUGCAAGCUUUCGUAAUCUAACAAGGAAGGGGAGGCUGCGCAAUACUUAUCACCUUAGCCACACCAACACCACAAGACCAAUAUGUGUAGUCCAGGAGGCUUUCCCAUUUUAAUAUAUAUUAUCAAAUAAAAUAAAAAUCAAUCUAUUAUCAUAUAUAUUAUAAAAUAAAGAUUAUUGCUCCAUCCUCCAUGCACUUGCAUGCCUCUUACAAAGUGUGAAGUAGAUUUUGUGUGCUCCAAGUCAUUGACGAGAGCUGUAACAUGGUUAGCUGGAUUUAUAAGAUCUUUUCUUUUCUGGGAAUUUUCUGAAUCAAGAAAAAUUAAGUAAAAUUAAUAAAGCAUAAAUUAGAAAGGAAAAAUAUCUAGAGGAUGCAUUGUAGGAUUGCACAUGCCAAUAAUUGUAUCCUCUAAAUAUAUAGGGACAUAUUUUUUUGUUUUCAUGACAUGUGGCCCUAAAAUUAUUGUUCCUAGCGGGCUCUCCACCCCCUCUCGAUUGAAAACUAAUUGUGUAAAUCUUCAAUCUUGAAUGAUGCACCUAAAACUCAAGUGUCCCAGGCCAAUUAUUGCUCUCAUACCACUUGUUGUAAUAAACAUCCAUCCAUUCUAAAGGAAAGAUAACCAUCGAUAUUAUCUCAAAUUUAACCACUUAAGUUCAUUAUGAUUAACUAUGUAUCUUAUGGACCAAUCCAAUCAUGAGGUUUUAUACCCAAUUAGAUCGACUAAUACAAAGUUCACACGUGGAUUGAAAAGCGCUAUCAGUAGGGGAGUGUUCGGCACCCUUUACUGCCGAACGCAACACAAGACCCCUUGCAUGCCUUCACUAAGUUGAGCCUAUCUAUUUUUUAGCAUUAACAAUAUAUAUAGAUUGAAAAAAUAAAAUAAAAAUCAAUCUAUUAUCAUAUAAAAUAAAUAUUAUUGCUCCAUCCUCCAUACACUUGCAUGCCCUCUUACAAAGUGUGAAGUAGAUUUUUUGUGCUCCAACUCAUUGACUAGGGCUGAAACAUGGUUAGUUGGAUUUAUAAGAUCUUUUCUUUUCUGGGAAUUUUCUGAAGCACGGAAAAUCAAAUAAAAUUAAUAAAGCAGAAACUGUACCCUUUAAUUAUAUAUGGACGUAUGUUUUUUUGUUUUCAAGUCUUAGAUGACAUGGGGACCUAAAAUUAUUGCUCCUAGUGGACUCUCGACCCCUCUCAAAUUUAAGUGGUCCAUUAUUAUUAACCACAUAUUUUAUGGACCAUGCAGCUGUGAGGUUUUAUCUCAAAAACCUUCGGUACAUUUCUCCCACAUGCCACAAUUGUAUAUUCACAAUUACGGCUGUUACGUCACAUCAUGCCACUUGCCUCACAUGCAACAAGUCUGUGUUUUGGGGAUUGCCGAGCUGCAUCAAUUCUGCCAAUGUCAAUUCUGCCCCUGGACUCUCUCAAAGCACAUUUAAAACCUAUGCGAACAUAUAUUAGAGUUUAUGAUGUAUGUAUCUAGAAAAUGCCAACACUAAUUUCGUAACAUGUAAAAAUUAUUAGAGAUUGGAAGUUUUUAUCAUUUUUUCUUCCAGUCUCUCCACCACUUAUUAAUACAGAUUACUCAUGUGAUGAGUUUACAAAACCUAUUUCUCUACUCUCGCAAAGACUAAACUUCUUCUCAAAAGACUAGAUCACUUUACCUCUAUCUCUGUGAAAUGUAAAAAGUUGAAACUUUAAUGUCAAACCUCGACAAAGUGUUCUACUUUACAAACUUCUUGUGUCUACCAAUUUGUACUAAAAUUAAUUUAUCUACGGUGCUCAGCUUCAUCGUAUGUGUGUCCUUAAUUUUAGUGGAAAUUGGAAGUUUCCAUAAUUUUUGCUUUAAGUCACUCUUCUGAAGGAAGUUGAGGUUCCACUCCAUAAUCCCAAAUGUCAGGUUGACUUAUGGCAAACAAUGUAAAUAUGUAGGAGUACUAUGACCUUUUAUAGCAUUUUUAGUUUGAAUUUGGGUUUUAUACAUAGAUUUCAAAAUUAAUAGGUUGAUGCCUAGGAAAUAGAAAUUGUAAGGGCCUAUAUUAGAGUAGCCCUCUUAAAAAUAAUAUUAAUUAAUGAAUAUUUGUUCUUCUUGUUGUUUUGAAGUAGUGGUGGGAGGCAGACCAACAAAAAAAAUAUAGUGAAGGCUUAUAAGAGCAUUUACAAUCAUGCUCCCUAUUUUUUAGUUAAAAUUUAGCUAAAAAUAGAAAAAAGUUAUUAUAGGAGCUCUUUAUAAAAUUUGAAUUCCAAUCGUACUCCCUAAUUUAGGGAGUCAUAAAUAUUAUAGUUAUUUUUUAAUUCAAUUUGAUUUUGGUUAAUCUCUAUAAAUAAAUAAAAAUAUGAAAAAAUAGUUAGCAUUAAUUAAAAGUUUAAACUAUGCAUAAAACAAAGAAACAUUAAAUUAUAGGGAGCCACUAUGCCAAUAAUUGUAUCCUCUAAAUAUAUAGGGACAUAUUUUUUUUGUUUUCAUGACAUGUGGCCCUAAAAUUAUUGUUCCUAGCGGGCUCUCCAACCCCUCUCGAUUGAAAACCAAUUGUGUAAAUCUUCAAUCUUGAAUGAUGCACCUAAAACUCAAGUGUCCCAGGCCAAUUAUUGCUCUCAUACCACGUGUUGUAAUAAACAUCCAUCCAUUCUAAAGGAAAGAUAACCAUCGAUAUUAUCUCAAAUUUAACCACUUAAGUUCAUUAUGAUUAACUAUGUAUCUUAUGAACCAAUCCAAUCGUGAGGUUUUAUACCCAAUUAGAUCGACCAAUACAAAGUUCACACGUGGAUUGAAAAGCACUAUCAAUAGGGGAGUGUUCGGCACCCUUUACUGCCGAGCGCAACACAAGAUCCCUUGCAUGCCCUCACUAAGUUGAGCCCAACUAUUUUUUAGCAUUAACAAUAUAUAUAGAUUGAAAAAAUAAAAUAAAAAUCAAUCUAUUAUCAUAUAUUUUAUAAAAUACAUAUUAUUGCUCCAUCCUCCAUACACUUGCAUGCCCUCUUACAAAGUGUGAAGUAGAUUUUUUGUGCUCCAACUCAUUGACUAGGGCUGAAACAUGGUUAGUUAGAUUUAUAAGAUCUUUUGUUUUUUGGGAAUUUUCUGAAGCAAGGAAAAUCAAAUAAAAUUAAUAAAGCAGAAACUGUACCCUUUAAUUAUAUAUGGACAUAUGUUUUUUUGUUUUUUUGCUCUCGACCCCUCUCAAAUUUAAGUGGUCCAUUAUUGUUAACCACAUAUUUUAUGGACCAUCCAGCUUCGGUACAUUUCAAAAAGCUUCGGUACAUUUCUCCCACAUGACACAAUUGUAUAUUCACAAUUACUUCUGGGUACCCCUCAUCAGUCGUCUAUAAAAUGGUGAAGCCAGUUGCUACUGUUACCAUAAGAGCCAGCUCCGACUUUCUUUAAUUUCUUGCUACAUCUGUUGCUAAGUUAAUUUCAGUCCUAAUGGGGUUUCAUCUCCCACUCAUCUUUGCUAUUCUCAGUGUAAGCUCUGCAAUUUGAUUAACUUUUCCAUUCUCUCUCAUUGUACUCUAUAUAUAUAAAUGAAAGUUUUGUGUUCCUAUAAUUCUCUCCGAUUUUAUUUAGUACGUACUUAAGUGUCGUCCACUAAUUAAUUACACUUUGUGAGAUUUGAUUUUAAUUAGAGUUCGAAUUAAUGUUGCAGCUAGCAGCGGUUGCACUGGCAAACAAUGCUGCUCAACCAGCACCUCAACUUUACUGGAACUCCGUCCUGCCAAACACACAGAUGCCAAGAUCUAUCAGUGAACUUCUGCAUCCUGGUUUGUGUUCAGCUCUUUAUAAUCUUAGAUAUCUCUUCUACCUGCCAUUUUACUAAAAUAUGUUCGACCACAUAUUUAUCAGCUAACUACUGUGAUUACAAGAAUGACACUUAUUUUCCAAUAUAAUUUGCAGACUCCACAAAUGAAGAAAAGAGCAAACCUGAAAUUUUCCCAUUGCAGGGCAAUAGAGUUUACACUCAAAGCCAUUAUAAAAAACGUCCUCCUCCUCCAUCUGACGAGGGCAAACCUGAAACUUUCCCAUUGGGCAAUAGCCAUUACACUCAAACCCGUUAUAAAAAACGUCCUCCUCCUCCAUCUGACGAGGGCAAACCUGAAAAUUUCCCAUUGGGCAAUAGCCAUUACACUCAAACCCGUUAUAAAAAACGUCCUCCUCCUCCAUCCGACGAGGGCAAACCUGAAAAUUUCCCAUUGGCCAAUAGCUUUUACACUCAAACCCGUUAUAAAAAACGUCCUCCUCCUCCAUCUGACGAGGGCAAACCUGAAAAUUUCCCAUUGGCCAAUAGCUUUUACACUCAAAGCCAUUAUAAAAAACGUCCUCCUCCUCCAUCUGACGAGGGCAAACCUGAAAAUUUCCCAUUGGCACGUUCUCCUCCAUCUGACAGUCAACUAAAGCAUUACAAAGACUUAGCUAUUUUCUUCUUCGAGAAGGACAUGCGCCCGGGCACAACUAUGAAGUUCCAAUUCCCUAGAAAUUCAAACACGGCUACUUUCCUGCCACGCGAAAGUGCUCAAUCGAUCCCCUUCUCCUCUAAGAAACUACCAGAAAUUUUCAACCAUUUUUCAGUGAAGCCAACAUCUGAGGAAGCCAAAACAAUUAAGCAAACAAUCGAAGAGUGUGAAGCUCCAGGCCUUAAGGGAGAGGAAAAAUAUUGCGCCACAUCUUUAGAAUCAAUGGUUGAUUUUAGCACUUCGAAGCUUGGAACAAGAAACGUUGAAGCAAUCUCAACGGAGGUAUUGGAAGAAGGAGCCACCAAGUACAUGCACAACUAUACAACAAUGCCGGGACUGAAGAAGUUGGAAGGUGACAAAGUCGUUGUGUGUCAUAAGGAGAACUAUCCCUAUGCUGUGUUUCUCUGCCAUGCAAUAAAACAAACAGAAGCUUAUGUUCUCUCCCUGAAAGCCGAUGAUGGGAUGAAGGUGAAAGCAGUAACCAUCUGCCAUCUAGACACAUCAGAAUGGGACCCAGAGCAUUUGUCCUUCCAAAUCCUCAACGUUAAGCCCGGAACCACUCCCAUCUGCCAUUUCCUUACCACUGAUGCUAUUGCCUGGGUUCCAAAACACAAAUCUGCAUGAUCAUCACUUAGCACUGUACGUGUAAUAAGCUUGGUCGGGUUGCACCCUAGGCCUGCAUAAUUAUCUCCCUACUUAUUUCUGCCUCUUCAUCAUGCGGUGUAAGAUAUAUGAUGAGAUGAAGUUUUCUCUUGUAACUAUGUAGACUACUUCAACUUGUACUCAUAAUAAAGCACGCUGUUGGGGGGUUCUACUUAAUUUCGUUCUCUCCAAUGUUUGAGUGUUGAAUUGUUACGUUGGAAUAGGCUGCUAAUGCAUGUAGUUAGAGAAGCCUUCAUUUAUAUCAAAGUCCUCAAACUAUCAAGAAUUAAUGUAUCCAGAAACAUAUACCAAGACGCAAAACAACAUAUUUUCCAUUCUCUGUCUGUAACACCAAAGCAAACUUCCUUUAUCACAUCAUUUAAAGGAUCAAAUUCCAGUACUAAUCUAAUCCAUCAUGUAAAGCAUACAAGUGCCUACCUAAAUUUGUCCAUUGGAUAUAUAUGUCACUUUUUAUUUUUUGAUAGAGAUAUAAAUGUUGAAAAAAUUAGAGUACACAACUCUUAUAGACACUACUACGAUUUACUAUUUGCGCGACGGAAGUUUGCGCGACGAACAUUGUUUCGUCGCGCAAAAAGCACUAUUGCGACGAAAAAAAAAUACCGUAGCGCAAACAACAUAACACAAGCGCGACAAACAGUUUCGUCGCGCAAACAAUCUAUGCGCGACCAAUAUUAAUUUCGUCGCGCAAAGGUAGGGGAAAAAAACCCGGUUUUUUUUUUUUGGCGCCAUAAUCUUGCGCGACAACAACAAUCGUCGCGCAUGACAAUAUUGCGCGACAAUUCAAAGAAUUCGUCAGGUAAAGAUGGACAGAAAAUUGUCUCAUUUUUUUGGCGGUAAAAAACUUUGCGCGACGAAAUUUUUCGUCUCAAAAGACAACUUAGCGCGACGGAAAUAUGUACCGUCGCGUAAAAAAACGAGGGAUACUUAUUUUUGGCGCCAAAAUGCAGGGUGGAUAAAAAAAAUUUUGCGCGACGGAAUUACCUUCGUCGCGUAAAGUGUAAUGCCGGUGCUUUCUUGCGCGACGAAAUAAAUAAUUUGCGCGACGUAAUUUAAACCUUGCGCGACGAAAAGUAUUAUUUGCGCGACGAAAUUUUGUGCGACGAAUAAUAUGUUUCGUCGCACAAAAAAGCAGAUGUCGACAGGUAAUUGCGCGACGGAAAUGUUGUUUUGUGCGAUGGAAAAGUGGGUUUUCGCGACGGCAUUUUGCGCGACGGAUAUUGGUGUUCGUCGCGCAAAGUCCUUCUUCUUCAUAUUAGUAUCUGCCAUUGCAGAGGCAGAAUGCAGAAAUUGCAUUCUGCCUCUCUCUCACUCUCCCUGCCGCUGCUCUGCUGUGAAUUCAAUACGUUCAUUGGGUAUGUAUUUUUUGUCGUUAGUUUAAAUGUAUUAAUGUAAAUUCGUAGUAACGCUAUUAAUUUUGUUAUCGUUAGGGAUAUUUGUGAUUAGUGAUUGGUGGAGAACGAUUGAGAAGGUAUGUUAUUGUAAAAGUUUGUUUGUUAUGUUUGUAAUUUUUUUGUGAAGUUAUAUGUAUAUAAUGUUGUGAAAUUGUGCGUGACAUAGCACAAUGUGUUGUGAUGUACGAAGUUAAUUGAAAUUAACUUCGUACUUUUAUUUUUAUGUUUAGUAACACGUAGUUUCCCGUUCGAGAUUAGUUGGAUUUCGUGCAUGGAUGAGUAAUGCAUGACUGCGGUCCAAUUAAUUCUUGAAUUGUCCCAUUAUUUGGACAGUUUGGUAAUGCAUAGUGUUGUCACAUAAUCUUCGGCUACAGGAUUAGGUUUCGAUUGUGGAGAUUUCGGUGUCAUCUCGGUACGUUCUUCGAGUGGUACGUAGGUAUUUAUACCUAUGCCCACUUCAAGAACUGUGUCGAGAUGCUGCCGAAAUUAAUCCACGUCGAAAUCUAAUCUCAUGUAGCCGUAGGUUACGUGACAGGACUAUGCAUUCCCGAAUGGGAUAGGGCCCUUACCGGAGGCAUAAGGUGACAUUAUAACUUCGUAUGAAGUUGUUGUGAUUGUUGUGUCGUGAUUGUGGUUUCAUGAAUUAUGAGCAGAAGGUGGAUACAUAACCCGAAUAGAUGCGCAGACGAAUACUUGGAUGGAAUCGAGGAUUUUAUUGAGUUUGCACAUAGACACAACCCGGGUGCAAGUAGAAUCCGUUGUCCUUGUAGGAGGUGUAACAACACGUUGUGGGAGACAAUUGAAAAUGUUGGAUUUCAUUUAGUAAGGAAUGGAAUGAUUGAAACAUAUAGCAUUUGGAACCUUCACGGCGAACAUGUAGGCCAUGCUUCGUCUUCAAAUGCCCCAAGAGUGGACAAUGUUGAACCUAUUGUGGAUCCUAAUGAUCAAGUCAUGGGUAUUAUACAGGAUGCUUUUCCAUUCGCAUCGACCAACAUCAAUCAGGAAGGGGAAGAUAACGUGCCUACACCAAUAGACAGUGCGGAGUUUGAACAGUAUGAAAAACUGUUAAAAAAUGCCAACCAAGAGUUAUACCCGGGGUACGAGAGCUUUUCCGUUCUCACUUCUAUUGUGGAGCUAAUGCACGGAAAAAUAAAGUAUCGUAUGUCGAACUUGUGUUUCGAUUACUUUUUGGGGGUUUUCAAGAGAAUGCUUCCGACGGAUAAUUAUUUGCCGAAAGACCAGAAACAUGCACAGAAGGUGUUGCAUGGUCUUGGAUUGGGUUAUGAAAAAAUCCACGCUUGCAAAAACAAUUGCAUGUUAUUCUACAAAGAGCAUGAAACGUUGGAUACAUGCCCUAUAUGCAAUGAGUCGAGGUUCAAAAUGACAUCCCAGAAUAGAACGACUAAGAUACCACAAAAAGUCAUGCGUUAUCUGCCCCUUAAACCUGGGUUGCAGCGAUUGUAUAUGUCGACGCAUACUGCCACAGACAUGAGAUGGCAUAAGGAAAAACGGGUAGACGAUGAUGUGAUGCGGCAUCCUGCAGAUGGGGAGGCAUGGAAAGAGUUCGAUCGAACGUUCCCCGAGUUUGCUGCUGAUCCCCGAAAUGUAAGAUUGGGACUUGCCACUGACGGAUUCAAUCCGUAUGGGGUUCUAAACCAACACCACAGCACUUGGCCGAUUUUCGCAUUCCCAUAUAAUUUGCCGCCUUGGAAAUGCAUGAAAAAAGAAUACAUGAUGAUGACUGUUUUGAUAACUGAGGAUCCUGGCAGGUCAAUUGAUGUGUACUUAAGGCCUCUGGUUGAUGAGCUGAAAGAUUUAUGGACAAACGGUGUUCGCACGUACGAUAAAUCAACUGGGAGGAUGUUCACUUUGCGAGCAGCAAUUAUGUGGACUGUGAAUGAUUUUCCAGCAUAUGCAAUGGUUUCUGGGUGGAGCACAAAAGGUUAUAUGGCAUGUCAUGUAUGCAAGGAAGAUGUAACUUCUGGUUGGCACGCGGGAAAAGUUUGUUACCUUGGUCAUCGGAGAUGGUUGCCAUGGGACCACGAGUGGCGAGAAAAAGAUAAAGAGUUCAACGGGAACACAGAGCGUCGCCUCAGACCUGGAGAAUGGUCCGGUGAUGAGAUCUUGGAACAGCUGAACCGUUUGGAUUUUGGUCCGUUCGGAAAAACAAUUAGUCGGACCAGACCUUCUACACAUUUGAACUGGACGCACAAGCCUAUGUUUUUUGAGCUCCCAUAUUGGUCGAAACUGAAAUUGAGGCACAAUCUAGAUGUGAUGCAUGUUGAGAAAAAUGUAUUCGACACAUUGGUGGGCACGAUUCUAGAUAUCGAGGGGAAGACGAAGGACACGAUCAAAGCUCGUCUUGAUUUGGAAAGAAUGGGCAUACGAAGGGGUUUAUGGAUGAAUAGGGACAGUGAUAAAGCUAGAAGGGAUCUUGCAUUCUUUUCUAUGAAACCGAAUGACAAAAAGGAGUUUCUAAAGUUUGUAUCGUCUGUCAAAUUUCCCGAUGGGUAUGCUUCUAAUAUCGCACGUUGCGUGAAUGUCGAUGGGGGUAAAUUUACUGGACUUAAGAGCCAUGACUGCCAUGUUCCUGUGGGUAUUCGACACCUACUGCCGGAAGAUGUGGUGAAGCCAAUCAUGUUGUUAUCCAGAUUUUUUUCCCAACUGACGGCAAAAACAUUGCGAAGGACAGACAUGUUUCAGUUGCGCCAUGACAUUGUCCAAGUCCUAUGCAAGUUUGAGAUGAUAUUUCCUCCGGCUUUCUUUACAAGUAUGAUGCACGUAAUGGUUCACUUGCCAG
rnacentral:lncRNA from 1 species